GAGGCACAAUGGGCGGUACCCCAGGAACCUUCACGCCCGGUGCCGGCACCACCGGCACAGGCAUGGGAACCGGCACUACUACUGGAACCACUGGCGCUGGGCUCGGUCUAGGACCGGCAGGCACCGGCAUGGACACUGCAGCAGCGAGCUUGCUCCCAAGCGCUGGGGUGGCCGCCGUCCUCACCGUGCUCCUCUCCGCCAUUGCAUUCGCAUGACGUUUGACCCCAAGAGACAAGACCCUACUCCUCCUACCUGCUAGUAGAAAGCACAUCACCCUUUUGGCAAGCUUGCUUCAGGAGUGCUCUGAUGAUCCAUGGAGAAAGGAACAUAACGGAAGCCUAAUGCAUCCUGUCCAAAACUCCACUAGUGCCUGCUUCGUGUCCGGUGCCGAUGGGGUGUUCAUGGGUGGGGUGGCGUUCUGUUUUCCUUUGAGACCACACCAUGUUCUUCCGUGUACCCUGUAAUUUGGUAGGAUGGCUGUCUCUGUCGUGCAAGGACGAUUGCCUAUCUUUUUAUUCCGUUGUUAAUCAUGUAAAUGUAGGGAAGCCAGUAGGUUAGAUCAAGGCUGGUUGCAAUGAAAAUGCUGCUGGGACAAUGCCAUGGUGUGCUUUUGAUCAACUUGCAUGUCAUCAGGUCCCUCACCCCUGUCGCCCUGUCGGUGGCUCCUGUUCUCGGUGUCCUGCUCCUGCUGGGCCUCUUCAACAUGGAAAAAUUGAGACUGAGAUAGAACUCCGUGACCUCCAGAAUAUUUGAUGUUCUCUGUCGAUUCUUGACGCAAAGACUCGCACUGUCGAUUCUUGACGCAAAGACUCGCACAGCUCUCCUACCCCGUAUAGUCUUGAAAAGGAAAUCGCGGCACUUCCAUUGUCGAUGCCGUUGAGCCUUGCUAUAAAAAACACGGCGGCAGCGCAAAUUGAUGUUACCGUUAGGUGGCUUGGCGCGUCAGGUUGGUCUGGCUCGAGUGGGGUUCCCCUUGCUCUGCCGCCGCCUUGUUGCCUUGCUUAAAGCACGGAUUCGCGGUGGAUGCUGCCCGUAGGAAGAGGCACACGCUAGUUGCAAGCCGCAGACGACCCCACGGCCGGGACAUGCCGGCCGAGCAGUGCUCGCCGUACCAAGGCGUCCCGGAUCCAGCGAAGCCUAACCAGCUGAGCCUGAGCUGCGUGACGAGCUAUGAUGAAUGGCGCAGCGCGGUCAGCCUGCUUCUGCCUGCCCGGUUGUGCAAAGCGACGCACUCGAUCGUGGCCGGGCGUGGCGUACCGGGAGCCGGGACGGAGCGCCGGCUGGAUCCGUGCGGAUGCGCACAUGGUGUCGCGCAGCGCGGCGAGGAGCAUGAUUGGCGCGUACCUGACGGGGGCCAGGCGAGUUACCGCGGGGGGAGGGUAGUAAUGGCGCGCAGGAGCAGGGGCAGGCAAUCAUGCGCGCGGCAUGGGGGCGCUUCUGUGCCUGCCCCGGCGCGAACCGUGGUGUGGCCGUGGGGCAGGGCCGCAGGGUGUCACUAGAAUUUGGAGAUGUCCACGCGACCACGCCGGCGUUUUUGGGUGAACGAUGCUGACGCCCGGACCGCGACGGGGUUCUGGUAAGCCGGGGAGAACCCAUACGGAUGCGCGCGGGGCGAUGGCGCGACCGCCGGCCGUGGCCAGGGCGAAGGCGAACUGCUCUGCUCGGCGGCGGCAGCCGCGCGAGCUGCUGUGCUGGCUCUUUGGGACAAGGAGUCGUCAACGGUAAUACACACACACACACCAAAGGACGUCAUCGUACGACAACAGCUGCAAUCGGACCCCAAUUGCUACGCAUGAUCCGCGCAAGCACGCACACCGUCUAGAGCUCCCCCAGCCUCUUGGCGCACUCGACGCUGGCGUCCAGCGUCUCCUCCACCCCGUACCUGUACCUGAACCCCAGGUCCUCAAGCUUGCUGGUGUCAGCCCGCACCCUCACCCCCUCCCCUGUCACCCUGCACAUAGCAGAGAUCAAGAACGAUCAGCCACUCAUCACACAUUCAAAUUCACCAAAAUUAAUUUAGCACCUGUUUGGAUGCAGGUUUAGCACCUGUCACAUCGGAUGUUUGUAUACUAAUUAGGAAUAUUAAAUAUAGUCUAAUUACAAAACUAAUUGUACAGAUGGAGUCUAAUUCGCGAGACAAAUCUAUUAAGCCUAAUUAAUUCAUAUUUUGACAAUGUGGUGCUACAGUAAUUAUUGUCUAAUGAUGGAUUAAUUAGGCUUAAUAGAUUCGUCUCAAGAAUUAGCACAUGGUUAUGCAAUUAGUUUUAUAAUUAGCUUAUGUUUAGUCAUUGUAAUUAGCAUCCGAACAUUUAAUGUAACACUGCUAAACUUUAGCACCUGAUAUCAAACGCCCCCUAAAAGCAAAUCAAGAACGAUCCGGCCAACGCUACGUACUGUUGGAGCUGUAUCCUGAGGUCGGGGUACUUGGCGGCGAAGCGGUCGAGGAUGUCCCGCAUGCUGGGGUACCCGGCAGCGCAGAGGAAGCGGCCGGCCAUGGCCGGCUGGUCCAUGCAGAAGGCGUGCGCCUCGCAGACGUCCUCCACGUGCGCCAGCGGCACAGAGCCCAUCAGCGCCUGCAUGAACAGGAGGGAGUUGUGGUGCAACGGGUGCCCCGUCAGCGGCGCCACGAUCACGGGGAUGGUGCUCCACAGGUACGGCUGGAUGGUGUCGCCGCCGGUGAGCGCGCACGCCAGCGAGACCACCUCGAACGCCGGCCGGGCCUCGCCGCCGUCGUUGUAGCCCAGCAGCUCCUUCUCCGACAGCGACUUGGACCACACGUAAGCCUGCGUGCAGUGUUUCAUGAGUUGAUAUGACCGGCCGGUCACCAUUGAUGUCGGUUGGACUUGGACCAUGAGCUGAUUUUGAUACUCCUACCGUCUUCCUACGAGGAGUCGAAAGGAAAGCUUACGUACGUCCAAGUGGGCGUUGCUGAAUCCGUAGGAGAGGUUGAGCGGCGUCCAGCGCGACUCGUUAAUGGAGUCCUUGUACCCACCACCGUCCUCUCUCAGCGGCGAGGCGGCCGUGACCGAGGCCGUGUGGAUGACGCGCCUCACCGUGCCGGAGCGCUCGCAUUGCCGCAGGAUGGUGCGCACCGCGUCCACCGCCACCUCCGUGGUGUUCUUGAACUGCGGGAAACCUGCAUCGUCAGGCGGCCAUUGUUGCAGCGCGCAGUGCACUACUGAACUGGACAAACACUCAAGUCUAGUAGGAUGACAAAAAGGUUCCGCACAUGGUCACACAGUUCAACGUGAGGUCGCGUCAACGAAAACCUCCAGCUACACAAAUCAUCAAGAUGCAUGAACCGUUGUGAAUCGAUGGUGCCCACGACGAUUUGUCACGAUUUUAGUCAAGACAAAAUUAUAAAAUAUAGGAAGUUAGGGGGUGUUUGGUUCACGGACUAAAGCUUAGUCCCCAUCACAUCGAAUAUUUGAAUAGUAAUUAGGAGUAUUAAGGCUGUGUUUGAUUUCCCUUGCUUAUUUUUAGGGACUAAACUCCCCUUGACUAAAGGACUAAAGUUUAGUUCCCCUGUUUGAUGUAGGGACUAAACAACUUUAAUGACUUGAAUAAUGACCACAUUACCCCUAAUUAUUGCUACCCCUCCCUUUUUUCCCUCGUCCCAGGCUGUUUCCCUCCCGCCAGAACCCCCUGUUAGGAUGCAGUGUUGACGGUUAGGCUACAGUGACUACGCGCAACCACACUUCUUCCACGGUCGGAUCCAGCACCACCACCGCUAGGUCGAGGUGUUUGGAACGCGCCAAAUCUACCGCCAGUGCCACGACCUCUUCCACGCUGCAGGAUACCCGAGUACUCUUCAAGGAAAGGGAAACCGUCAUCCUAAGAGUUGAGAUCAAGGUGCUUCAUGUGCACCCUCCCAGCCGAGAGGCUUAGGGCCGCCGGUGCGUGCGACGACGCUUGCGACAGGAGGUCUAAGUCGUCGGGUUUGGGGAUGACGGUGGAAGGAAGGAAGGCGGGAGCUGACGAAGAAGAUGCUCCCUGCGAGAAGUAGUUGUUGACACUGAAUUAUCAGACUUCUAUAGUUAGUUUCGGAACAUGAAGCCUUCAUACUCCGAAACUGGAGGCCUGUGUUGACACCGAAUUUUGGAAAUAUGCUCUGAAAGGAUGGAAUCGGUGCUCCGUUUCCUAUCAGCUUUCUAGCCGAUGGUUAUUGCUAAAUUAUAUUAAAUCGGCUGGAUGGUCGAUGAAACAUUCACACUUAUCAAGGAUCACAUCGGCCUGAUCAGCCGGUUGCCUCGGACAUCAAGAUGAUCAUCUUCUCCUUCUCAGUUGAAUGGUCAAACAGACUGGCACGCUCGCGCACCCCACGCGCGCCGAUUUGGAUUCUGCACUGGAGUUAAGCAGAUCUCCCAGGUCCUCAUGUGCUGAUGCAGGGUCCACCACCGCCAGGAUUUUGUGUCAACACAUUUUGGCACACCCGGUGGAAUAGGAGGAAGCAUCGGCUGAUUAAAAAUGCAUCGGCCAAUUGGAAUAAAGAAAAGGGAGUUGUAUCGGCUGAUUACAGAAAAUAUCGGCUGAUUAAAAAAGUAUCGGCUGGCUUCUUUAUUUCCAUCGCCUCUUUUCAGUCGAUGGACACAGCCGAUAGAAACUUCAGCCGAUGGACAAGAAAAAAAAUAAAAAAAAGGACAGCAACCGAUAAGAAAAGCUGUCGGCCGAUGGGCAAAGGAAUAAAUAAAUUUAAAAAAAAGGGAGCAGUCGGCCGAUGGAAUAUCGAAGGAAUAAAUAAAAGAAGAAAAAAAAAGGGGAGCAGCCAGCCGAUGGUACAAAGAGCUAAUAAUUAAUUUCAAUCGGCUGGGUACUUCCGUCGUUGGCUAUAUAAAAAAAAGAAUUAUGCAAGCCAAUCGACUGGGAACUUCCGUCAUCGGUUAAGAUGCUAUUGAGAGUACUAGCUCGCAGGCUUUACACAAAUUGAUUAUUAUUUGGAGCUGAGCUGAUAGUGGGGUAAAAACAAUGCAUCAGCAUCGGCCGGUUGGUGGUGCAUCGGCCAAUAGACAGUUACAAGAUAAUACUUGGUGUCCGAUGAUGAGGCUAGUUUAUCCAGCCAAUAGGGUAGCCGAUGGCUUGCGAUCAAAUCGGCUGAGUCAUGUUAUUUAAUUAAAGGCUAUGGAGGUAUCAGUAAAUGCUAAUCGCUCCCAGCUUAUAAAGGGCCGAUGGAGGUGACUUCCUCUCAACAAAGUAAAAUAAGAUGUCGAACUUACAUGAAGCUAGUGGAAUAGUCGAAGAUCCCAGCAUGAUGAAUGAUUAGGCAGUGAAGACGAAGUUUUUUGCAAGGUACAUACCUCUUCAAGGCUCAAAAUAAUCCUUCGUUGCCUGGACUAUCGACCUGUAGACUAGUGGCCAAAGUGUUCUCAGGACAGCUGAUGGAGUGAAUCGGCUUAAAAAAAAAGGCUGACCUGAAUAGCCGAUGGAAUGGUCGAUGGAGAAGUCUCACCUUACAGUCGACGGAAAUAGUAAUUUACAUGCUAAUUACGGGAUGGCUCUAGAAAAAAGUAUCGGCUGAUAUAAAGUAUCGGCUGAUUACAAAAAGUAUCAGUUGAAGUCUUUAGUAUCGGCUGCUAGAUAUUUGAAGCGUCGGCCGAUUGACUACUUGGCAAAAACCGGCUGAUUGCUUGGUUCAUAAAUUUUUUUUUGCAUCGGCCGAUUGGUUCAAGCAAAGAUUGCAUCGGCUGAUUGGUUCAAGUAGAAUAGUAUCUGUUGCUUAUUAAAUAUAUCAGAUAGUAAUUUCGAAGCAUGAAAUAGUCAUACUUCGAAACUGGGGCCUGUACGUGUUGACAACAAAAGUUUGCUAGUUGCCACAUCAAGUUUUGGUGUCAACAGACUGAUCUGCUAUUUUCACUACCUGCGAAUUCAUCGGCUUAGAGUGGGAUCAAGACAUCAAGCCAAUGGAGUUCUUUAUAUUUCAAGAGGAGUCGAUGUGGAUUUGAAUAUUGCAAUCAGACGUCAUUGGCUCUAAAGACAAGUAUCAGACUUCUAUAAUUAGUUUCGGUAGUUUCGGAACAUGAAGCAUUCAUACUCCGAAACUGAGGGGCUGUGUUGACACCGAAUUAUCAGACUUCUAUAGUUAGUUUCGGAACAUGAAACCUUCAUACUCCGAAACUCGGGGCCUGUGUUGACACCGAAUUUUGGAAAUAUGCUCUGAAAGGAAGGAAUCGACCGAUGAUGCAAAAAUGACGAAAUCUCCUAAAUAAGGCUAUUUGCAAGCUGGCCGCAGAAAUCAAGAAUGCGUGUGCAUGAAGAAAGAGAAAACAAGAAAGCUAGAAGAUUAAAAGAAGGAAAUCAACUCACAUACGGGAGGUUGAAUAAAAUAUUCUGGAGAUUAAGUUGGUUAGGGAUAAGCUUGGUUAGAGAUAGAGUUGGAUUAGUUAGAGAUAGAGUUUUUUUUAUUAGAAAAGAUUGUGUACGUGACUUGCCUUGUACGUAGUUAGAUGCCAAUUAUGUAACGUCAAAGGCCAUCCGCCCUAUAAAGGGUCAUGGCCAUUGUAAAUCAUCACGCGAUCAAUAAACAAAUAUAUUUACGUAUCUAUUUUUUCGGCUUCACGCCAUUGCAUUAGGAGUAGGAGUAAUGUAGCUUCUUGACGAGUUCCUUCCAGCAAGUUAGGCUACAUCGACCUCGAUCUCCGACAAGCUGUGAGUUCCGUCACCAAGUGUUCCAGACUUCAACGUCCGAGCGCAUCGCUGUCGUUGGGUCUGGUUUCAUCUACUAGUUAUUGAGUAUCUUGGAUCUUUGACUUACGGCGCAUCGCUUCUAUCUCGAUCUACGGUAUUCACUAGUUAUCCUGCCUUGAUUAAGCUUGCAUCGGCUGAUAUUUAUCUGUUCUUUCGUCUUGCCGUUCAGUUUGCUUUAAUUAGCUUUAGAUCGGUUCAUCAUAGACGAUAGAUCAUUUAAUAGACUUUUGCAUCUUAAUUUUGGCUUCAGCGAGCUUUUGUUGUCAACAGUAGUCACGAUAGCCGUUGCCGUGGCCGUCCAUGGUGGAUCCGGCGGAGGCGUGGGGAGGAGCGGUGGCGGCUUAGGGAAACAGAGGGGCGGUGGUGGCGGAUCCGGGGUAGGGGGGAGGGGAUCCGGCUCCCGGCGGUGGAGGGGUGAGGAGGAGCGAUGGGGGCGAAUUCGGAGGGGAGGAGCGGGCUCGUGGCGGUGGAGGUGUGAGGAGGAGCGGGAUAGGUGGCAGCGUACAGUAGCGGAUCCGGCGAAGGUGUGGCCCGGAGCGAGGGCGGUGGCAGCGUAGGGACGCGGUGGGAAUAGAUCCAGGGGGAGGAGCUGGGGCGCAGCGGCGGAGGCGUAGGGAGGAGUGGGGACGCCGGCGGGAGCAGUGGGUGUAGCGGCGGGGAGGGCGAAGGGUGCGGCAGCGUCGAGGAAUGGAACAGGAGAAGCAGAAACGGAUCGGGACGGGUGGGUGCGGAGGGGUGUAGGGGGAAGGGGUGAGGGUGUCACGGACAAGUCAUAAAGGAGGGUAGGGGGUGGACGGCAUGCAUGCGGUGAAAACUUGUAUAUUUACGCUCCCGCGCCUAUCGGUUUAACCCUGCCGUCUUUUUCACCAUUGUCGCGAGCAGAAGCUCGAGCGAGCAGCGCCGCUGCCGGCCAACACCCACACCGACGUUUUCCUUCGCGUUUCCGCCGCCUGAAGCCUUGCUAGCCCCACCGUGACGUCGCACGCCCAACCGUUGCUCAGUUCCCCGCCGGCGAGCUCCUAAUCGCCGCCAUUUCUGUCCGCCCGCUGCCAUCACCAUCCUCUCGGUGAGCUCCUCUGUGCCGCCCUUUCCCUUCAAUCUCUGGGUCUUUGGAACAUAGCUAGGCCUUGUAGAGGCCGUAGGGUGCCGCCGCCAGUCGUUUUGCGCCGCCGCCGGGCCUAAAGCCGGCCGGCCACCGGCCAUGGUGCCGCCGCUCGUGGAGGGGCCGGCUCAGGCCGCCUCUAGGGGGGCCGCUGCCACCCGUGGGUGCGUCGUGGCCUGGGGAUGCCUCCCAGCCCGGCCAUGCCGUCGGGGAGGCCGCUGCCGGCGAGUCCCCACCCCAACCCGUCGUGCCCUGUCCCUGGCGUGAGGAAGAAGGAGAGCCUGCCGCUAGGGCCCCACCUGUUAGUGACUUGGGAUAGGAGGGGGGCUGGUUUGAAUAGGAUUUUAGGAGAGAGACGGGGCCGGUCAGUCGCAGAGGGUAGAUAGGGGGUGAGCGGGAAAGGUUUUUCCGGGAGGUUUGGAUAAUCAUUUUUCUUUUGCAGAUAAAUAGUUUAAAUUGUUUUAUCACCAUUUAAUUCAUUAGAAAUGGUAGAAAUGUCAAAAAAAUAGUGAAAUCAAUUUUAUUAGGAUUGUUUUAUUUUCCUUUAUGCGUUAAAAUUCUUAAAUCCUAGAAAAAUAAUAAAUUUAGGUAUUUAUUUAAUGCCUUUGGAUUAAGGUAUUUAAAUAAAUGCUUAACCUUUAUUAAAUACAUAAAAUUUUGAAUAAUUCUUUCUUAUUCACAAAUUAUUAUUAAAUCAUAGGAAUUAAGUUUUGAGAUUAGAAAAUAAUUAUAAUGCUUUUCAAAAAUAAAAGAAAAAGGUUUAAGUUAUGUUAGUAAAGAAAUCUAAAAUUGUGGGUUAAUCUUAUGUGUAGUUUAGUGUUGGCUUGCAACUUUAUCAUGAAGAUAGGUUGUAUAGUCACUUGUGGGCUUGGAAUUUUAUCACAAAGGAAAGUUGUAUAGUCAUGUGUUCAAAAGUUUGCAUCUUUUAUUCCUGCAUGUACUAAAUCAUAGACACUGAAGCUUCAGAAGUGGAACUCUUGGAAUUAUAUGAAGAACCUUCGGAGUUUGAGGAGGUUAUCGAGUUGAUCCGUUUAUCUGAAGACGCUAUUAAGUCUAGGAGUUGAUUGCAACCCACUUUUGUGCAUGAUCAUACCUUGUCUUUCUUGACAUCUUUGCCACUUGUUCAACUAAUUAGCCAUACUUAGAUACUUUCAAGUAACUUGGUUACUUUACUCUAAAGCCCCGUUUGGAUCCCUUCAUUUUGAAGGAAUGAAUCUACUUAAUGGAGUAGGCUAAUUUAUCUUGGAAUGUGGCAUUCCUCAACUUUCCAAAGUUUAGAUAGAAGCCUAUCUUAAAUUCAUGGGGUGGGAGAUGAAAAUUGAUUCUAUAGAUUAUGAUUAUUAGAAUGGAAUUCAAUUCUUAUAGCACGCUCGUGGACUCACUUCCCUAUAGCAGAAGUGCAGCACAUAAAUAUUUCUCCUAUAUCACCAACAAUAAUAUACAAAUAUAUUCCACGUAUAAUUAUAUUAGCUUAAUUAAUUUAUGUCUAAAUAAUGAUUAUUAGAACGGAAUUCAAUUCCAAGGAUUCAAACGGCGUCUAAAUGAAUUCCAUCCCAAUAUUGGCGUGUGGUUUCCAAUCAUUGAUUGCGUGUUCAAGCUGUGUAUCUGCAUGAUACAAUUUUCCCUCUUUUGUCGUUAAUUUACUACUACCACGUCGAAGAAACUUGAAUCACGUGGCCUCCCCGAUCGGUUGCAGCGCUACAUCAGCUGGAUCGAGUCGUAGUUUUUUCCCCAAACUAACACUGAAACAGAUCAACGGAUGGAUUGGAUUCACCGGGGUCGAGCGUACCUUGGUGCUGGUGGGGUCGUGCACCAGCGGCGUGGCGACGAGGAAGACGAACUCGCAGCCGGCGAUGGCCGGCUCGAAGGUGUCGGCGUCGUACAUGUCCGCCUGGAAAAGCCGCAGCCGCUCCGCCGCGCCGGGGAGCGACCGGAGCAGCCCCGCCUUCUUCUCGUCCUCUGCCACCAACGAACGCGGGCAUCCACGAUAAAAAGGGUCAGAGAGAUCGAUCUGGGGUUCGGACAUGCUUAUCGUCACGCACGUACCGAGGCUCCUCAGGGUGGCGUGGACGACGCAGCCUCUGCCGAGGAGCUUCCUGACGAGCCAGCUCCCGAUGUAUCCGGCGCCGCCGGUGACGCACACCACCGUGCUCCUCAUCUGCUUCUUCUCCCCCUCGUCUCUCAUAGCCCCUCCAAGGCUCCAACUCCAGUGCCUCCCACAGUCCCACUUCGUGGUCGAGCGCACAGUCUCCGGCCAGCGGUGCCCGCGCUCCGCCGGUUUAAGUAGCUAGCGAGUAGCGAGCGAGGCGCCGACGGCUCGAACGCGCAGCAAAAUAUCACCACGGCCGUGACGCCAUGAGCAAGUACGAGCGUGCCCCUAGUAGCGCCUGAUUCGCUGCUGGACCUUCUGCUUCCUAGUUCCUUGGCACGUAUGUGUGUGAAAGUAAUAGAACACCGCACCACCGUACCACACGGUCAUGUAUGUGAAAGUACGGUGGUGCCUAAGGCACCUGUGAUCUUUUACUACUCGUAGCUCCCAAGUGCUAAACCCGUGCGUUUUACUGCUCGUAUCCCAAGUGCUAAACCUGUGCGUGUCGCGAUCGUAGCCUUGUACUUCUUGUUGGCGCGAUAUGAGCGGGCAUGUUUGGCUUCAGGUCCUCACAUCAGAUGUUUGGUACUAAUUAGGAGUAUUAAAUAUAAGUUAAUUAUAAAACUAAUUGUACGGAUGGAAUUUAAGUCGCUUGACGAAUCUAUUAAGUCUAAUUAGUCCAUGAUUUGACAAUGUAGUGCUACAGUAACCAUUCGCUAAUGAUGGAUUAAUUAAACUUAAUAGAUUCGUCUCGCGAAUUAGACUCCAUCUGUGCAAUUAGUUUUGUAAUUAGUUCAUGUUUAGUCCUCCUAAUUAGCAUCCGAACAUUCGAUGUGAUAUUGCUACAGUUUAGCAUCUAAGUAUCCAAACAUAAAAAAUCACCGUGUAUUCGUAACGAGGCUCGGACCAUCCGCCCAGCUUUGGACCACCCUGGAGGUGGAGGAGGUGUCGUUCUCAUUUGCUAGCGGAUCAUUGGCCAGAUCGGGCAGCUAGGCUAAGACCUGGUCAUCAUCUUGACGAGACGGCCGGACGGUGUCCGUUCGUUCAACCGUUCGGUUGCCUCUCCUCCUCCCUCGAUCCCCUGGCACGCCGACGAUGGUGACAACCGCGAGGGUGUACGAAGUUACGAGUUUGCCCCUGGCACGGACACGCCGGCCGGUCGUGGAUCGUAAUCCCCUCCUGUUUGCCAAAUGCCAAAUCCCCUCCAGACGGCAGAGACGUAUUGAGCACUGACGUAGAAUAUCCUGUGUCUUCAGCGAGAGCCGGAGGAUCUUCUGAUGCUCGGCUGUUCAGGCUAAACUGGCCACUACUUCUACCGGAUCUUUAUUUUGGCGAUAAUGGCGUUUGAAACUGUGUGGCCAUUUACUGUUGGCAGCAGGAUUUUUUUCGGAAGCUGUAUUGUAACACGCAAAUACGCAAUGGCCAAGCAAAAUGGACGACUUGGUGCGCCACCUUGACUGCCCGGACGGAUAUGGCCGGGAUAUGGAUCACACGUGCUCUUCCAGUGGUCACAUCAGAUCAGGCUCAUUCGAUAUGCGCACGUCUCUUCCGAUCAGGUAAAGGCAAAUCAAACCAUGAUCCAAAGACCAAAGCGUAAUCUACGUGAUGCUCCGUUCCAAAUUGCACAUUAUUUUGAUAAUUUUAUAUUCAUAAAUAUUAUUAUACAUCUAGAUAUACACUAUAUCUAUAUGCAUAAUAAUCAUAGCGCAGUCAGCCUACAACACACAAUUCAUUGGAUCAUUUGAAACGUUGAUUUGGCGGCCUUGGGUAGUAUAGAGUUGCGAGCUUUUCUCGUGGUUAGCGGUGCAAAACCGACUAUGGACGGUAGACAGACUGUAGAGUAGAGGGUGGUCAAAUCAGAUCUACUGCCCGCUCUACCGCUCAGAGUUAGAGACGUCACUACAGCCCGUAAUGGAUAUGGGAAAACAUUGCAAGCUGGACGGCAACUCGCACGGUUCACCCGAGAGAAUGGCCCUAGUCGGACACGGUACGCGAAUGGUGGAUGGCAGCAGCGGCAUCGGCAAGCACCUCGAGAAAGAGUUUGCAAUCUAUGAUCGCGCUAGCAUCCUGGAUAAUUUGGCAUCCUGGAUAAUUUGGAAGGAGCGCAAUGCGAGAAUUUUUGAGUGAAAGGAAGCCCCAGUUGCUGCGGUAUUUGCAUGGAUAAAGGAUGAAGCGGCUGGAUGGAUGAUGGCGUGAGCUAAGCACCUGUCUAAAACUACUAGCUAGAGUUUAAUGUACAUGCACUGGAGUUUUUCUCUUUUUUCUCUGUACAUAGAGGUCCUUGCGGUCCUCCUUUCAUGUACUUUGUUGCCCGUAUUUAGUCACUCUCCUUUUUAAUAUAAUAGGCAGCUCUCCUGUCGAUUCGUUAAAAAAGCAUAAUAAUAUUUAUUAACAAAAAAUUAAAACAACCUAUAAUUUGAAACGGGGAGUACACUAUAUUCCGGGAGGGAGCACACUAUAUUCCCUUCAGUAGGAAAAGGAGGGUGGUCACGGUCAGCAAUGCACUGCUCUAUCCACAAAUUCUAGUAUACUAUAAAAUAUAUGAAAACCAAGGCAACCGGCUGAGGGUGGUCUUCCUAGUGUGUGUACGGCAUGGAAUUUAUGGGAGGAGCACAACAGAUGAAUUUUCGACGGCAAGUCAACAGCCGGCUGCCCGGUUUGGGGGUUUAACCUGAUCAAUGACCCAGGGUGAACUGAUGUUAGGUCCUGUUUAGUUCAUCCUCAAAUCCCAACUUUGACACUAUUAAAAAAGAAGAUUCCCCGUCACAUCAAACUUGCGGUACAUGCAUAGAGUACUGAAUAUAAACGAAAUAAAAAACUAAUUGCACAGUUUUGUUGUACUUUGCGAGACGAAUCUUUUGAGCCUAAUUAGUCAAUAUUUGGACAAUAAUUCACAAAUACAAACGAAAUGCUACAGUUGCGCUACAGUAAUUUUGGUUGUCCAAAGUUGGACAACUAAACAAGGCGCCCAAACUUAUUACAGAGUGUAAAAGCAGGUAACAGUCAACAACAUUAGUUGCGAAAGCCUAAGCUGGGCCUGUAGUCCUGUACCAUGUAGCUAGGCAUGUUUGACAAUUGAAAGCACACCCAGCCUCGCGCAUUCCACAAUGCCGCCCAGCACCUCCUCUGCUCCUUAUCUGUACCUGAAUCCCAAGUCUACGAGCUUGCUCGUCGAUGCUUGCACUCUAUCUCCCUCUCCUACCACCCUAUUAAUGAUCCAAGCAAAACAUAUAUACAGACCGAGAUACCACUGAAAGAUGGCAUCUUUCCUCACGCGCAUUUGUUCAUAUUGACAUCAGCAGAGCAGAUCGGAACAUCAGGAGGAGAUCAGAGGAAGAAAAAUGAGUAUGAAACGUUGAGUGAUGCCGUGAUGGAGUCAUCUAGAUUCGAUGGCUGCUGUAAAUUCAGGUAAAAACACUCGAUACAGGCACGUUCCCUUCCAUAUCUCAAGAACAGGUUUAUAGCAACAAUGAUCGAGAGAUUAGGAACAGGAUUAUGCGUGAUAGCGCUCCGGUUGCUACAAAUCAGCUAUGAAACCUGGGUACACAAAACUGCAAGCAUGAACACACCAUGCAUCACAGCAGUCCAAGCCUUUUUGCGCACUCCACGCUGCCGUCUAUCACCUCCUCUACUCCAUGCCUGUACUUGAAUCCCAUGUCCACGAGCUUGCUUCUGUCGUCAGUGGCAGGCUGGACUCUCACUCCCUCUCCUGCGACCCUAGCAGUCCAAGGAGAACGACAGGGCCACGAAAACUCAAUGAACGAUGACCAACCAAUACAUUUGAAGUGAAUUCAUACUUUGGAAAAAAGAACAGUUCAAAACCAGACAUUUACACAUACUCUUUGAUCCGCAGCUUCAGCUCCGGGUGCUUGCGGCAGUAGUGAUCCACGAUGUCGCGCAUGUUCGGGUAGCCGGCGGCGCAGAGGAACCGUCCGGCGACGGGCGCCGGGCGCUCCAUGCAGAAGGCGUGCGCCUCGCAUACGUCGUCGACGUGCACCAGCGGCACAGCGCCGAGGAGGGCCUGCAUGAACUUGAACCCGCCGUGCCACGUCUCGUCGCCGGUGAGGGGCGAUACCACGCUCCGUAUGCUGCCGGGCACGUCCGGCAGCAGCGUGUCGCCUCCGACGAGGCCGCACAGCAGGGUCACGACCUCGAACGCCUUGCCCGGCGAGUCGUUGUAGCUCAGCAACUCCUUCUCGGACAGAGUCUUGGAGGACACGUAGGCCUGCGUGCAUGUCACUUCAGCAAGUGUUGAUCAACAUCAAUGGCCUGUAAGUGUUACUGAUUACUGGAAAAUUCUCAUCAGUUUCUCCUACAAAAUAACUUGUGCAACACUUGAGAAUUUGUAGCAUUAUGCUUCGGUUUAACGUGUUGCAUCGACCUUAAGCAGGUGAAAAGGCAUGGAAACUGGACACUCACGUCCAGGACUUCGUUGCUGGCGUAGCCGUAGGACAGAUUGAGCGGGGUCCAGCAGGAUUCAUCAACGAAGCGCUUGAACCCUUGGCCGUCCUCCUUGAGCGGCGCCGCCGCGACGACGGAGCCGGUGUGGAUGACACGCCUCACCGUCUUGGACCGCUCGCACUGCUGCAGAAUGGUGCGCAUCGCGCCGACGAUCCCUUCGGUGGCGUCCUUGUACACCAUCGCGAACAAAAGUUAGAAAAAAGCAAACCAAAAGCGCUAGGAUGCUAAAAUUAAAAAAAAACAUGAGUAGACGGCCGCCCUUGAUCAUAUCCGAUCAAUCCUUAAAUUGGAGCCUCCACGUUAAGAACUUAUAAGGUGUACUGAAGUCAAACUAGCACUAUAAGAUAUAAAAUCUCCCGGUUAGCUGUUGGAUGAGCCGAUCCAGUGGUCCACAAACAACACAGCAAACCUAUCGUCUUCUUCUAUCCCGCGAACUUGAACCGGUCUCAAGCUACAAACACGUGUUAGCUUUAGCUGUAAACAUUCACAUGUGAAUGGUUGAGGCCGGAUUUUCCUUAAUUAAAAAACCGCGUGUUAGGUCAUGAAUCUUUAAUUUCUUUCCCCGGCAGCCUCGAUGGUUGACAAGGAGCAAACCUUCAAAAGAUACGCAUCUACUCAUCCAUCCCAAAUUAUAAGUCGUUCCAAGAAUCUUAGAGAGUCAAAGUAUCUCAAGUUUGACCAAAUUUAUAUGAUAAUAUAAUAAUAUUUAUGAUGUCAUCUAAGUAUCAUUAGAUUCUUCAUCAAUUAUAUUUUCACAGUAUAUCUAUUUGAUGUCAUAAAUCUUUAUAAUUUUCUCUAUAAUUUUGAUCAAACUUGAGAUGCUUUGACUUUACAAAAUUUUUAGAAUAACUUAUAAUUUGGGAUGGAGGGAGUAGGACGCCAUCGUCGUGUGGCCACCAAUCAUGCAAAGAUAAUCCACGCUCUCACGGCCUCGGCCGGGCUCCACAGCUGGGGUGUGUACGUGUGGUGGGCCGGGAUACUACCGAAAACGGCAAGGAGACUCCUGUGCAGUAGAUGUAGCUGCAGAGGAUAUGCUUCCGAAAAUGAGAAAGCUCAACUCCACGGUACUAUGCCUUUGACCAGAAGCGCAUAACAAACGAAUACUGCACAUUUGCGAGCGGUUCUCCUGCUACAAUAUAAUUCAGGUGCAUGGCGUACCUUGGAUCUCCCGGCGGGGAUGUCAUGCAUCAUCGGCGCGGCGACGAGGAAGACGAACUCGCAGCCGGCGAUGGCCGGCUCGAAGGUGGCGGCGUCGUACAUGUCCGCCUGGAACAGCAACAGCCGCUCCGCCGCGCCGGGGAGCGCCCGCAGCAGCGCGGUCUUCUUCUCAUCCGCUGCCGCCGCCGCCGCCGCCGCCGCCGUCCAUGGGUAAGUGUAACGAGAUCAGGUUAUUGAGUGCCUAGCUAACUCUGAAGGCAUGAAAGCAUGGCACGUACCGAGGUUUCGCAAGGUUGCAUGGACGAUGCAGCCUCUGUCGAGGAGCUUCUUCACGAGCCAGGAGCCGAUGUAGCCGGCAGCUCCAGUGACGCAGCAAACCCUGCUCAUCUCUGUCGAGUCUCGACGUAGAUCUGCUUCCGUCUUCGUUCCCCCCUUAUACUAGCGCGUCAUAAUCAAGUGGCCAAGCGCAUUUAUUGCCGGGAUAGAGGCAGUUAUUGGCACCUCACAUUUUGUUCAUUACAUUUUUUGCGCGUGAAAUUUCAGUCUUUUGCAAGAGCACACCAUUAUGUUCGCGCAUUCGACGCUGCCGUCUAGAACCUCUUCACUCUUCUACUCCAUACCCUCUUUCUUUUUUCGAAAAUACGCAAGAGUUCUGCCUCAUCAUUUAUUACAUAGAAAGAAAGUUGACUACGGCACCUCUCGGGGUGAGAACACAACUCAGGACUUGUUUUGAUACAUAGGAACUGGAGUGGAACUGAGUUUAAAAUAAACUAAUUUCCUCUCUAAUCCCUUCCAUUCUUCAUUAAUCCACUGCUGUCCGAACAAGACCUCAGGCAGUCAUGCUACCUGGGCCAAAACACCACAAGAAAAGAAAAGGGGGAGAGAAAAGCGAGAGAUCGAACAACUGGACACUGAAAAAGCUAAUUAAGGUGAAGCAGCUAGAAGUCCUUGUUGGAUUGAUUCUUGGACCAGGAAUAAUGCCGCCUCCAUCUCAAUGGGUGUACUUGAGCCCCAAAUCAACAAACUUGCUCGUAUCAGGCUGCACUCUCUCCUUCCAUCCUCAGGGCACGUACAACGCUAACUAAUGAGCCGUCUGUAUAAUGCCAAGUAAAUUGUUUUCGCUGAGUUGGAUGAGAGAGAGACAGGAGAGAGAACGAAGCCGUCGUCUCACGAGAGGACGACCGCGGCUCGUGCUCCCACGCUCGUCGACAGCUUCAGUUCCCCGUUGUACGAUCCGUCGACGCCCACUCAGAUCGAGUGUGAAGAUGAGCCCCCUGCUCGGUUCGCUCUAGCUGCGCUGCAUCGGCAAGACCGGACGCGCCGAGCAGCGCUUGCCGUGCCCGCACUCCGCCUCGCCGGCCGCCGUUGUCAAUCCACGCUUGGCUGCAGCGCUUCCAGCCAGGCCAGAUGCCGUGGCGUGCCGAACAGGUCCGGACCAGACUUCAUCUUCUCUCCCCUUCGAUUGAGAGACGGAAGCCAUGAGAGAGACGAGAGAGAUUGAGAGGAGAGACGGGAAAAGAAACAGGAAGGGGACAAGAGUCGCCAGAUUGCCGCAUGCAAAGAGAUAUGGUUGGAAAGAUAAUUUGAUCUUUUUCUCCUCUAUUUUUUUUUAUAAUUUCUAAUCUAUAAACCACGCAUCAGACAUAUUACACUAAAAGACAAAUUGUAUACACUAUUCAUUCCAUCAAACAAGCAACAAUAUAAGCAUAGAAAGAUGAAAGUUACACUUAACCACCAUGAUAUGCGAUGAGCUUCUGACCUCGCACCCCGGCCUCGGCUCCUACCGCGUCCGCGAUCUCCCCUACUUGGGCGCCAGCGCCACUGCCAGCAGCGGUGACAUGCGCAGCGUCAUGGGCCUCCUCUUCCGCCGCGUGGCGCGGCGCCUUCGCCGCACCGCCACCGCCGUCGCUCUGAACGCCUUCCCGCGCCUGUUGCCGCCGGACCUCACCGCGGCGCUCGCCGCCGCGCUCCCCAACUGCCUCCCCAUCGCCAUCGGCCCCUACCACCUCCUCCCCGGCGCCGCCGCGGCACCGCCGGCUGCCUCGACUGGCUCGCCCGCCACCCCGCGCCCCCGCCGGUGCCGUCGCAUACGUCAGCUUCGGCACGGUCGCCGCGCCGCCGCGUGACGAGCUCCGCGAGCUCGCCUACGGGCUCGAGGCCAGGCGCGCGCCGUUCCUGUGGUCGCUGCGGGAGGACGCGUGGCCGCUGCUCCCGCAGGGGUUCCCGGACCGCGCCAAGGCCACCACUAACUCCGGGCGGCUCCUCGUGCCGUGGGCGCCGCAGGCCGCCGUGCUGCGGCACCCGUCGGUGGGCGCGUUCGUCACGCACUCCGGCUGGGGUUCCGUCGUCGAGGGGAUCUCCGGCGGCAUGCCCAUGGCGUGCCGCCCCUUUUUCGGGGACCAGCAGAUGAAUGCGCGUGACGUGGCGCGCCGGUGGUGCUUUGGCAAGGUGCUGGACGAGGACGCCCGAUGACGCGCGGCGGCGUGGCGGAGGCGGUGGCGUCGCUGCUCGCAGGGGAGGAAGGGGUCCGGAUGAGGGCCAGGGCGCGGGACCUGCAGGCCAGGGUGGUCGAGGCGUUCGAGCCCGACGGUGGAUCCACGAGCAACUUCCAUAAGUUUGUCGAGAUGGUCAGUGCUCCAGUGUGAUGGAUCGAUGGCGUGCUACGUGCUGCAGUGCACGCGCGAGGUAGUCAUGGGAGAGAGGCUCCGUGGAUCAGGCGUCUCAUUCUUGUGAUACCGUUGGUGAUAUCGAUUGGAACUUUAUAUAAGCUUGCCGUACACACGUGCCGCGGCAGGUUGAACACGACGUGAUCAGUGCCUGUGUCUGUGUCAAUAGCACACGCACGUAACUGAACGAGCCAUCUCGGGUGCGAGACAGCAAAAGCAGAGACGAUGCAACAAGGCGUGCUUCAGCUUACAGCGAGCUUCUCCCUUUUAUUCAUAGGCUCAAACAAUACAUCGAUCACGCGAAGGAAAGGCCUGACCCGCGGAGCUUCUCCUCCAUGAUGGCGUCCAGACGCCGGGCCAUCUCCGGCGUCAUGUGGUUCGCCCAGUCCCCGGCCUCCCCUCUUCUGAAGUAGGAGCUGUUCGGGAAGAGACCGUGGGAGACGGCCUUCUUGUUAACCUCCAGGCCCUUCAUCUUGUCGAAGCUGCAGAGCCUCACGACAUCCAUCGCGACCCCGGCGUCCUCCUCGGCCGGCGAGAACGGCUGCCCGACGAACAGCGCGAGCUUCCUCACGUUUCCGACGGGGUCGCGCAGGAUCUCCUCGUACCUCAGGAACAGCACCGUCUCCGGGCUCUCCUUGCUGGCGUUCCAGUACCCCAGGACAUGGUCCCAGAUGGGGCCAUUGAAAGACACGCCCUCGCAUGCGCGCUCGAAUACGUCGGUGAAGGUGAGGUUGGGUUGAACCGUUCUGGUAAAGUGCCACAGAGAAACUAGCAUGUCCUUCGGGUCCCUGCCGAACAGUUGUUGCCCAGAGAUUGUUAUGGCUAGCACUGGUUGCAUCUUGGUUGUAAGCUGUAACACGCACCUGCAUAUGUAGACGAUUUUGCAGCCGGGGUUGUUGCUGAUGGAGUCGGGCAGGAUGGAGUGGUGCAUGUGCGUAUUCAUGAGCCUCGGCGACGGCAGCGCGGCCAUCUUCGCGCUCCCGGAGCCGGCGUCGGCGAACAGAAUGUCCAUGAACGGGACGCAGUCGUGCGGGUUGAGGCGGAGGAGCGGGUGCCCCGCGCCGGCCGGUGGGUGCGCGCCGCGCGCCAUGGUGGCGAAGGCAAGGGCCUUGAGCCACGUGGUGCCGCACUUGGGCGCGCUCGCGAGGACGACGUCGCCGCGGCGCGGCACGAAGCUCCCCUGCUGGAUGGCGACGACCCCCGGCACGCACUGCGAGGCCAGCCACGUGCCCUGGUGCCAGCGCAGGAACCGCAUGGCGCUGCUCGGGGGCGCGGAGGCCGUGGCGCUGGCGUCGCCAUCGGGCAGCAGAGGCACGGCGUCCGGCCUUGCGCCGCAGACGUCCGUGAACGGCACCGGCCCAGCUGCAACGCUGAGCGCGGUCGGUGCGGUCGCCGUCGCCAUGGUGUAGUUCGUGAAUGGGUCUGAAACUCUGAAUACCCGGAUAUAUUAGGUGCAGAGACAGUGGUGGAAUCCAAUACAUUAGGGUUGGACUUGUUCUAUAUGCCGGAUAUUAACAUUAAUCUUGUUUAUCUUCUAGUGCCUAAUCAUGUGGCAGCACAUAAAUAAAUGCAAGUGGUGGUAAUGUAGCAUUGCCAGCAGUAGUGCUGUAGGAAGGUGGAUCAGUUGAGCUGUUCACCUCUUCCAUUAUUUUUAAAAGGUACAUGACCACAUGAGUUAUCCCAACCAUUCAUUUUUUAAUCAAUGGUAAGAUGGAUCAUGAGUAGGUGAGAAGUAUAUGAAGUAGGUAGUGUAUCAACGGCUGGAUGGAGAUAAAUCAACGGUUAAGAUAAGCCAUGUGAACAUGCAUUUUCCGAGACUACUGCCCUCAUUGUGCGGGAAACGCGCAACAGUCUACCACUGAACGAACAAGUAUAUGAAGUAGGUAGUGUAUCAACGGCUGGAUGGAGACAAAUCAACGGUUAAGAUAAGCCAUGUGAACAUGCAUUUUCCGAGACUACUGCCCUCAUUGUGCGGGAAACGCGCAACAGUCUACCACUGAACGAACACACGUGUAUGUACCCACAACAACCUAGUAAUAAAUCCUGUAAAACUCACUGCGAUUCGUCUCCACUAGAGAUCGAACCCGUGACAUCCUCUGAAAGCCGGUGCUAUUGAGGCUCUGCUGACCAUCGCAGGCCCGUUCAUCUUAUGCAUGGAGUUCUUACACAUAUUUUGGAACUGAAGUUUGCUUUCAAUCAUAUACUCCCUCCGUUUCAAAAUGUAGAUUGUUUCAGGUUGUUUUAUCUUUUCUAUAUAUACAUAGAUUUUAAGAGUUAUGUUUAGAUACGUUGCACAAUUUACAUAUCUAGAAAAGUUAAAACGACCUACAUUUUAAAAUGGAAGGAGUAAUAUAUAAGCAGCUAGGAAGGGUGAGAUAGCUGCGUUGUAACAAUGUGUGUAUUAUUCAACUUCUCCAAGUGAUAGUGUCAGUGUGUGUGUGCGUUCAAGUUGUAGUCCAUGUUCUUAUCUGCCACCGGAUGCAUUUGUCCGAUCCACGUACCAUCCACCCACCCUGGCGUCGGGUGCGCGCGCUGAGGUCGCUUGGUGGAUUGCCGCCGAAUCGAUCGGCCAUCGGGCUAAGGCUGGGGGAUCGCUGUGGAUUUCUCGGAUGAUCACGGCACAGCCGCACGCACGGACUACCGCCAUGGCACGCGAUAGGCGAUGUGAGUCGUGUCACCGGCCGCCGGUCGGGUUGCUAGCGCGGCUCCGGCAAAAGCGAACGGCGAGCCUCCGAUGUAAAAAGGCAAACAGCAAAGCACGAAACAGGAUAGUCUACUGUCUUCCCAUAGAACCUGUACAGCAAACGAACGAAAACAGCUUCCAUCAACACGAAUCCACUACAUGUUACAUCAAUAUAAUACUGUCGCUAGCUUUAUUCCCGUGUUAAAAUAUCUUGCAUUGCCCUAUUAUAUUGCUAGUGUUAGCUGACCAACCAACAUGGACGCCUGGCUCUUCAUCUCCGCUGCAUCUUCUAGUGUCACUUGUUCCAGCUCCACAGAGAAAGCUUUGGUACCAGCUCAUCCACUGGACUUUUCACCGACGCACACAACCCAGUCCAUGACCAUACGGCGAAACUUCGACAAGUUGAGCAGCCAUUACUGAAACCGCAUUGAGCGUAGCAGUUAUGUCCAUCAUCCAUGGGUGCAUUUCACUUUACGCAGCCCUAGCCUGAAGGCAGAUCUGUUCAGCUAUUCCUGCAUUAUUUUGGGGUUUGGACGUUGAGCGAUAAACCAGCGAAAGCAUACUCAUGAAUUGAACGCACAAAGAAUAACGCAACCGGCAGGAUAGCAAGGGUAACGUACGUAAGCACUGGUGUUACUGAAGAAGCCCGAUCUGUGUUUUCCGCUUUAUCUCUUUCAAGGAAUUCAAGAACAAGUUUUGCAGCUUCCCUUGGCUUUUCGACAUGAGGAAUAUGGCCACACUGCCGUACCUGCCUCAGAAUUGCAUCUGGGAGUUCCUGAUGCAAUCUCUGCAAAGUGACACAAGAAUAGCAUGAGCAUGUCUGGUAGGACACAGUAUUAGCUUUCCUCAGCGGUUUAAAUUGCGACAGCAGUUUAAAUUGGUGUUUGUAACAUUUAAACUUACAUAUGCUAGUUUGCUGCUUAUUAUCCCAUCAUCCUCUCCCCACAUGAUCAGGCAUUUAUGCUUCACCUGUAAAGAAAAUAGGAAUUUCUUUAGUAAUUAGUUCUGCUCAACCCAUUCCAUUUCUUUUCAUGCGUGGCUUUGAUUCAGAGAGGUCAUAGCAUUUGCCUUAUCGUUCGUUGUUCCAGUGAGAAUACUAGUGUGUUACUUACCGUUUCUCUUGGCAAAUAGAGUAUGACGAAACAACAGUGCAACAACCUUUCGGCAUUUUUACUAACAAGAUGCAAUAUUCAAGGUGUUGCAUUUCUGUCACCAAUGGGUUUGGUUAGUACUGCAGGAUGUGGUCAAAAGCCUUCAUGCAGAGAGGACCAAAAAUGUAUCAGGGACAAAGGAAGCAACCCUAAGCGUUAACAAGUAUCAAAGAAACCAUGGACGCCAUCCUUCCUCUUGCUAUGGUAUUGGUAUUGGUGUUACUGAUAUCUCGGUAGCUAACUAUCAACAUGCAGGGAAAUUUCCUAUUAGCAUCUGGGCAUUGUCAUAUAUAGCAGCAGUAAUUCUCAUCUCAAGAGCAUUUUGUUCUGUUGCAGCAUGACGCAGUAUCAUCAAUGCAAAGAGGACAAUGAAUGAACUAGAAAAAUCAGAAACUUUAACAUCCUUGAACAGUGAAAAAAAUCAUAAGCAGGGUGUUUAAAGAAAAGAACCUGUUUUAUUUGCUUUAUGACAUUAUAACCCCCUCUAAUCAUAAAAUCUACCGUAGAAUCCUCCCACCAAGGAAGUAGGCAAUGUAGACGGCCAAUCUGAAAUUGUAGGGGGGAACUGUCAAAACACAUGACUUCAGAUACCCAAGGUACAGAGGAACAGGAAAAUGGAAUGGCUUGAGUAGCCAGUUUGCAAAGUUUAUUGAAUUAAUCAUGGCGAUACUUUUGCACUGUUGAAAAUAGGAUUUCAGACAUGAGAAAAGGAAAGUUGGAGUGGCAGAUAAAUAUUUUGUUUCAAUACAGAAUCAUAUAUUGUUGCAUGAAUCACAAAAGUUUGGAUUAUUAUGUUAGCCCCCAUCAACAGAAACACAAAUACUGUAUAAGUACUUAUACAAAGACACUGAUUAUCUUGCAGCAUCAGAGAUAACAACUUUAUAGUAAGGUACAUGUAUAAUUUCAGAAGGUAGAGGAAACAACUUGAACAAGAUGGCCGUUGAAGGGAAAAAAAAAACAAGGACAUGAUUUCCUUUUCGUUUUGGUUUCCUUUUAAAGUUUAAAGCAAUCAUUGGAGGCUUACUUGCACCCAAUCAAAGAAUUCGUUUGGAGUAUUGUUAAAUGCCAAGCGUGUUGCUAAAAAUCGCAGUGGAAGACUCUUCAGUAUAAACACCUGGGGCAACAGAGAAAAAAUAUCAGUUUACUCCAGUGGCCCAGCUAAUGGAGACGGACACCACUAGAUUGUUUUGAGCCAAAUAGAGAUAAUAAGUCAACAUGAAAGAUUACAGAUGAGUAGCACAACCAUAAUUAAUUAAAAAAAGCAUUAUUUUGCACCAAAUGCAAAAUACAGAUAUGAUAACUCAAAAUAGAACAUGUAAAAUGUAAUGAAAAAUUAAAUAAACUUAGCAUGGAACUCAGAACGACUCACCCCAGCAUAUGAAACAAACUUAGGCAUCCUAGUCAUAUCUUUUGGGCCCUCAGAGUAUACACUUGCACCAAUGAAGAUCAUUUUUGAGACCUGCUAAACCAAGCUUAUACUAGCUUAUUAGAAUACAAACUUUCAAAAUUGUAGGAUCAGUCUUGUAAGAAGGCUUGCCGCAGAGAAAUACUCAAAUUUAACAUCAAAGGAAGCAUUACAGAUAUAGUUAAAUUAAAUAUCAAAGGAAAGAUAUAUCAGUGUAGUCUGCGCUGCUACUCUGCGCCAAAGAAAUAUAGAGAACAAAAACUAGUCUUAGCAUGUACCGCUUCCGGAUAGUUGAUUGAAAAAUCAAUGGCAACAGCAGCACCAAGGCUGGGCCCGACUAACACCAUCGGCCUUUUGAUGUAGGAUUUCCAGAACUACACAAAAAAGUUGUUAAGAUGUAAGGCUCAUAUCAGUGUAAUCAUUAUAUAGUAGCUUCAGCUCCACUCCAAAAUUUUCAUAGUACAUAUCUAAGUCACAAGAACUUACUGGUCUUAAAUGACUGAAGAAAAUACAAUAUGGAGCAAUAGAAUGAAAUUUUGAUUAAAGAAAAUGUCGUGAACUCGUGAUUCAAAUUGUGGUACAGGUUUUACCAUAGUACCUAUCUUUUUCAUGCCCUGCCUGCCAAGGCCAGUUUUCAGUUACUGUCAUGCUAAGAUAAGUUGUUCAAGCUGAGUUACUGCUUCACCGCAUUAGAAUCGCAAACAAGCCCACCGACAAGGAAAGGUACACAUCACAUGACAAUUAGCAGCAGGUAUAGCACCACUGUUUUUACCGUAUAUUUACCUGGUAAAGAUGCUCCCGCUUGGACGCAACAUCACAUGGUGGCCGUGUCGCUACGAAUGAGACAAUCAGAAAAUAUCACAAUGGGGGGCUACUAAGUACGAACUUACAACUCUACCAAAGUACAGUGACCGAAAAAAAUCACAUGGCUUAAAGGAGGGGGGCGUACCUAAAUCAGAGAAGCCCCAACCGAGGAUGUCCACAGCCCAAGCCUCGUGUCCAGCCUCCUCAAGCAGCGGGUAGGUGUAUCUCCACUCUAGACAAGAACUGUAGCGAAUAUACUUUUAAAUCGUCCAGCCUGAUGGUUACGUAGCAGAAUCACAAUGUUUGUUUCUAGGAACAAGGUUCCACAGACAAUGACCAGCAAUAAAAUCUGACAGUGCUAGUUGAACCACGAAAUUUGUGCUUUGCAUUGCAAGUUUGCAACCCACCUGUCGAAGCCAUGCAGCAGCACGAUUGGAUCAGCGUCCUGUUGCUGCUUGAGCGGCCUCACACAGCUGCUCUGUAUCGGACUAACCGAGAAACCGGUCUGAAGAUAGGAUAAGUUCAGACUUCACAGAAACACCGAGCAAUGAGCGUACUGCAUAGUAUAGAGUACAGAGUACAGGAUGCCUUUCUCCCCAAAGGGAGGAUAUCAUUAUCAAGAAAGUAGGAAAAUCUGGAGAAAUUGGCUCGCCUGGACGGGCACCCGCUCGAUUCGCUUGGCCAGGCGGAUGGCGGCGCCGUCGCGGAUGCGCUCCACCGCUCGGGGGAGGAACGACGGGAACCCGCCGGCGCUGGUGCCGCUGGCAGCGGCCCCAUCCGGGGCAGAGGCGGCGGCGGAAGCCGCGACCCUGACGCGGGCCCUGGACGACGCGGCCAGCGGUGGCGGCAGCGCCGGCAGGGAGGAGGAGGUGAGGAGCAGCGGCAUUUGGCCCUGGUCGGGUUGAGCCGCUCUCUUGCCCGCGCGCUGGACGGUUGGAGCGUGCUCUGAGCUGAACGGAUGUUAUAGGGCGCGAGGACGGUGGAGCAGGCCGCGUGGCAUCCUGUGCUGCCACGGUAUCGUGCCUAGGCCAGAUGUAAGAACAUGUGAUUCCUCAUUUCCAUCACGAGGAGAAAAUAAAGAGAAUGGACCGGAUUGAACUAUCAGCCUGUGCCCAAUCCUCCUGAAAUUAUAUAAGGUCUCGUUUGGAUACCCUACUAAAGUUUAGCACCUAUCACAUCCGAUGUUUGGAUACUAAUUAGGAGUAUUAAGUAUAAGCUAAUUACAAAACUAAUUGCACAGAUGGAGUCUAAUUCGUGAGAUGAAUCUAUUAAGUGAUUUGACAAUGUGGUGCUACAGUAACCAUUUGCUAAUGAUGGAUUAAUUAGUCUUAAUAGAUUCGUCUCGCGAAUUAGCACAGAGGUUCUGCAAUAAGUUUUAUAAUUAGAUCAUGUUUAGUUCUCCUAAUUAGCAUCCGAAUAUCCGAUGUGACACUGCUAAAGUUUAGCGUAUCCAAACAUUCCUAAGCGGACUGGGCAUCCUUGCAACUUUGUAUAGACGGGAAAAAGAACACAUUAAGGACAAAAAAAGGCAAAUAGUUAAAAAAGGAAUUAAAACAAAAAUGCCAGAAAAACGAAGAAGAGGCCAACUAAAAAUUUACACCUUCCAUUCAAGUACUCCUAACAAUUGGGUCAAGGCGGAGUCAGGUUCAGCUCAAAGGGGUGCUAAGACCCUUUCAAGUACUCUUUAACAAUUGGGCUAGGAGCGGAGUCAUGUCCUCUAUACAGAACUCAGGAUAAAACGGCUAAUAUUACUUGGACUUGCACGGGCUGUGCAGCUCCGCCACUGGUGUAAGCCCCUUCCGCCCGCAACACCAACAUUGAGGAGAGGUAUAAUAUAGGAAGAGAAGGAAGAAUGAUAAGUUCACUCUCCGUAAUCGGAUUCUCUAGCGUACAUCAUAGCGUGGUGUUACCAUUGAUGUAUGAGUCCUGUGCAUAACGUAAAAGAGGAUCACAUCUCUCUUAUUUGUUUCUAUUUUAUCAGCCGUUAAUUUUCUUAACUAUUUACGGUAGCCACUACACCUUGUGUUUUCUUCUCCUUGCUGGAGAUUUCCAAACAAUGAGGUUAUUUAUAAAAUUCCAUGCUGCAGAAAAAAAAACAAGUUUUAUUUUUGGGUCUUUAUGAGAUUUCUUUUCCCGGGUUCUGUCACGGUUUGAGAUGUUGUAUGUGCAUAAAUCAUUACGACAAUCAUUGAAGAUUUUGUUUUUUUUAUAGAGAAACACAUGGUUCAUGAGUGGCUUCAUCAUAAUAGUGACAUUAUAGUUCAACAUCACACUCUGUAAUGUUCACAUUGCUAAACUUAUACGACAAUUUUAAUUUUGCUCUCCAUUGCAAAAGCGAUGCACCGAUAUCUUUGCAAUAGAUACGUACCACAUCUUUUGUAUUUAUGGGUGCAUAUACUAUAAAAAUGAACUUGCACCAGAUGAAGUUGAAUUUGCUCUUGAAAUUUAAGGAGAAUAUUAACAUACGUUUUCUGUGUGUAGCAAUGUUUCGAGGCAUUUGUACAGCCUAUUCAUCUUCACUUGAAUUUCAUGCAUUAACGAGCUCUUCCAAAAGGUUAAUCUGUUUGCGGUUGGAGGGCUUCGACAAUGGAGAGCAGAGCCUGGGUGAUUUUGUGAUGUGCAGGGCGGAGCUAGCUCAGAACGGCUCCAGUGUCAGCACUAUUGGCCCUAUUCACCUGUGGGUUUUGCUGGGUUUGCCUGAUUUUGCAAACUAGACCGCAACAAGUGGUUUAGACCGGAUUGGUUUCAUUCUAUAACUUGCACGGAACUGGUGCUGAUGGGUUCUGUUGGGCUAGUUUCACAGUUAGACGGUUUGAACCGUUGUUGUUUGACUUCAACGAAGAAUCGUCUUCUUCCUCCAUGCUUUCAGCCAUCGUCCAUGGCCUGCUGAUUCACUGGCUCGCUCUAUAGUAACGUGGGUUCUUGUCCUCGCCAAUCAACACUACCUCUACCUUUCUCAUCCUCCUUCAGUACCUCUCGACAAGUGACACUAUGCUCACAAGAAUUCUUCUCUGUUGAUUAGUUGCAGUUUGCUCCAAUUCCAGAAAUAGAAUAAGAGCUUUGCUAAAAUCUUUUCCAUGGCUUCCUCACGUAGUAAUAUCAGAACCAAUUUAGCAAGAUUGUCACUCAAUUUUGGAUCAAUUUUGGUAGGUACCACAGGACGUACAAGACUUAUCCAGAUCACACCAACUUUUAAGCGGCCGCUAUGCUUGAGCACACUCCCACACAUGGCACAAUCUUAGCCGAGAUGCCGGUCAGCUGUUUGACUACGAUUCCAAUGCAGAGAUAUGAGAAGCUCCGAGGGUAGCGUCGACGGACUUGCCUCGUCUUCCAACCAAGCUGAGCGCUCUGUUUUGCUGCUGCCAUGGAGAUGCAACUCUAUAAGAUUGCUCUCCUCUAUUGCCAUCCCGUAGACAUUCAGAUUCACGCUUGCACUGCCAUCGAUCGCAAGGAGUUGUGGACGCCACACGGAUCUCCACCGUAGGAAGCAGAAUUGUUAUUGCUGAUGCUGAAACACCACAUGCGCAGGAAUUAGGGCGGGUUGAGCAAGUUUGUGCGGUUCUAAACUGUGUUCAACCCUAACUCGUUGCUACACACACAGGCUCUAACUAGAAACCAACUAACCCGCCCAAACCCACUUCUACGGUCCGGUUAGGCUGGGUUGGCAGGUUAGCUAGUUUCGCCCUAACCCGGUGAACAAGCCUAAGCACCAUUACAGGCUGGUGUGAGGUCCUUAUUAGAACAGUGCAGAACACUACUUUCUCACUUGCGGACACCGACAAAGAUAAAUAGGUCUAGCUCAGCUCUGAUGUACCGGGAUAAUAAUGGGGUUUGAGUUCUAUAGAAAAUGAAUGAUUUUUAGUGUUAUAUAUCAAUGACUUUUAUGUCUGGAUCCACCUACAGUCCUCAUGAUCCACAGCCCUACGGCGGAAUCAUCAGUGCUAGGUGUAUAUAAGGCAACUAUGAUAUGGGAUGGUGGGUGGCAUGUCAUGUGCGGCCGGCCGGGUUCGCUUUGUCACGACUCAUGGGGUGGCAUGAUAGUGCAACAGUGUGCAACUGUGCGCGCAGUACACGGGUCGGAAAUCCUGCUGGAUUCUGCCGGCCCAACGGAGAUCCGUGCACGCCUGUGCGUUUGGAGGACGAGUGGACGACGGAUCGCUAGACAACGACACGUCGACAUGUUACGAAGUUUUCGUGCACUAGUAUGUAGUCGUAGUGGUGCGUGGAUGGGACCGCGCGCGUACAGCAGAACGGCCAGGACCCAGGAGGAGUAGGGCAGCAGUACACACAACUGAUACAGCGCCAGCCAGGUCGACGUCCCGCACGAAUAAGCGAGCGUGACCGGGCUUGUCAUCUCCUGCCGCCCGAUCCUGUGGCGGCUUCGUCCGGAGACGGCGAUCCAUGGAUCACGAUCGGCGGCCGGGCAGCUAGCAGGUGAUGCAUGUGACGAUGCUUGAACGGGGAUCGAGCGAAACGAACAAUACGUGAGCAGUGAGCUCUCGAUCGCGAGCUCGGGAACGAAGCGCAUACCACCGCUGGUGCAGUGCUAAAUACGAUUUCGCGGGGUCGGAGCUCGCGCUCGGGUCCGCCGCGUGCCGUUCGUAGUUAGUCUUACAACGAUUGGUUCCGCGAUGCGAGAUCUACCGAUCGGUAAAGCCACGAGCGGCCGGCGCGCGAUGCCUCCCCAGGCACGUACGACGGCCCGGCGCGGUCCAGCACUGGCCGACCGGCCGGCCGUAGAAAUUGGCGAUGGCACGUCCAUAUUUGGGCCCCGAUGCUCGAAAUAUUUGGACCCCGCAUCAGAGAAGCGAGCAUCGAUAUGGGACCGACUGAGACCACUCAUGCUGGAGUUGCGAGCAAACAAAGGAUUCACAUGCAGCUGAGCAAUCGAUAUUUUACGGCCGAAGCAUAGAGAAAUGUUCUUUCACGGAUGCCAGCAAAUUUCUCCCGAGCAUCGCUCCCCGCAACGUUGAACUCGAUGCCUCGUCCUUCUCUUUCUUGAUCGGGCAUCAGUUUUUUUUGCCCCACUGCGGCUGCCCUAACACAUUGCUUGAUAUGCUUGGGCCUUGGGGCGUAAAAUUUCCGGAUUCAAAACAACAAGACAGCACGGCAAAGGGGCUCAUGGGCCCGACUCGGAAGCAACCCACUUGAACAAACACCCGCCAUGGGCCCUCCGCCUGUGCGCUUCCAGGCUUGGAGCCGACCGAGGUCAACUCGAAAGUCCGGAGCUGGCCACUUCCAGGUGGGACCCACGUUUGACAUCCGCGCUAACACCGGCCAAAACCAGUCCAGUGGACGACUGGGCGGCGGCGUCGGAAGUCGGAACGGCGCCCGAAAAAACCCCAUUUCCGCCUCGCCUCGCCCCUCUCGUCCUCGGGUCCGAUGGUUAGUCUCCGCGCCGCGCGAGACCGUCGCCGGCGCGCGAUGGCGGCGGCUUCGCCUCCCCCGGUGCCCGCGGCGAGGCCGCCGCGGGUGGGGCUGCUGUACGACGAGCGGAUGCGCGCGCACGCGACGCCCGACGGGGAGGACCACCCGGAAAACCCCGAGCGGCUGCGCGCCAUCUGGCGCAAGCUCGACGACGAGGGCGUCACGUCCAGGUAUGGCGCUAGUACCGGUUCGCCUGCUCCCUUGUCCCGAGUUGACAGCAGCGUCGUUUUGGUACUAGGGAUCGAAGAGGCGAGCGGGGUGGCCGCAGUCUUUUAACUGUUUAUACGGUUCGGUUCGAAUCGCCUGAGAUGAGAAUGAGACCCUCCUCGUCCGCUUGGCCCUGCGUUUAACUUACUCUGCUCCUUCAGUUGUUGACGUAUUGUGGCCGUGCCCAUUUCGAUCUGAUGAUUGACCCUAGUAAUUGCGUAAAUUAGUUGGUGUUCAUGAUUUCCCCACUAGGCUAGGUUUUAAAUCGAAAUGUCUAAAAUAUGAAACAAAAAUCUUGAAUAAUGCAAAGAAAAUAACUUGGUGAAACAUUUGGUCAGACAAUGCAUCAACUCCUCGCCAGAAAACAAUGCUUGCGUACACUUACAAAUGUAAACGAACUUGUUAUGGUACCAAUGCAUUUUCUGAUGGAGCUCUUGCUUUUCCGCAUUAACCUUGAUGCUACUAAACUUAAGCUUAAACAUUGUCAUUAGAGCUUAUGUGUUAUCAAUCUGAUUCGCCGUUUUGCUUAGUAGCAAGUUAGCAUAGUGCUUUUACAUUUGGUGAGGAUGGUGGUGGGGUUUCUGCAGUGCUUUUCUAACGUGAUUCUCAUCCAGGUGUGUGCUCCUUAAGGCGAAGGAAGCUGAGGACAAGUAUAUAGCUUCUGUUCACAGCCAGGACCAUAUAAAGUUGAUGAAGGAAAUUAGCUCGAAGAAUUAUUCCAGCAGAAACAAGAUCACCAGGAAAUUCAAUUCCAUCUACUUUAACCAAGGUUCCUCUGAGUCCGCUGUUCUUGCUGCUGGUUCUGUCAUAAAGGUAAUUGUACAUAUUCAUUUUUUGCAUUGCAUAAGCACAUUUCCUACUUCUCUGUAGCUAUCCAGUUCCAUCUUAUUGGGGGGCAAAUCACUGAAAAGCGACUUGUUUGACAAAUAGGUAGCUGAGAAGGUUGCUGCUGGUGAGUUACGUUCUUCUAUUGCUCUAGUGAGACCUCCUGGCCACCAUGCAGAACGUGAUAAAGCGAUGGGAUUUUACCUCUUUAACAAUAUGGCAGUUGCAGCUAAUUAUCUCUUAAACGAGAGGGUAUGUAUUUGAACCUCCCAUAUUGAUUGUUACAAGGUGUGUUCACUUUGAAAUAUUCUUUAUUCAACUGUAGCCUGAUUUAAGCAUCAAGAAGAUACUGAUGUCGAUUGGGAUGUUCACCAUGGAAAUGCUACACAGAAAAUGUUUUAUGAUGAUCCUUGUGUAUUGGUCUUUUCAGUUCACAGGUUUGAGAAAUAAAUUUGACAUCGCUUUGCUAGUUUUGUUUAGACUUUAGACUAGCUUCAUUACCUUCAUAAUAUGAUGGUAAUAAAGUUAUGAUACCUAUUUUCCCUUGGCUACAAUAUCUGGAUUGUGUAUUCCUUUCCAUGCAAAUACUGGGUACUUUGCAGUUAAUAGAGAAAUUUGAGAUCUGCAAUGAGUAGUUACAUAGAGCAAACCUGACCCAGUUUUAGUGCUGUUAUAUCUGUAUAUAGUAAUCCAGUGCAUUGAGGCCUGAAUUCCACCAGCUCAGCUUGAUCAUUCAUUACUACUAGUACUAGUCAGCCCUUCACUAUAUGAAAAUCAAUCACUCAAAGUAUUGUAUCUCUCCAAGAGUUGGCUGAAUGACAUGGUUCUUGCAUAAUCACUUGAGCAGUUCUAUUCAGUAUGGUGCAUUCAUGCAGCCAAUUUAAUGACGCUGUUAUCAAAAUCUAUUAUUUAUUUAUUUAUUUAUUUUUCUUCAAACAGUUGGGAGAUCUGCUCACCAUUAUAUUAAGGGUGCUAUUCUAACGCUUGUUCUGUAGAUUUGAUUUUGGAGACUUCUAUCCUUAUGAGGAGGAUGCUUCUUAUUGUUUCAUUGGGGAAGAGGCUGGUAAAGUGUAUAACAUUAAUGUACCCUGGGAGCAGGGGAAGUGUGGUGAUGCAGAUUAUAUUGCUGCAUGGGACCACAUACUGCUUCCAAUUACCGAAGCUUUUGGUCUUGAUAUAAUACUAGUUUCUGCUGGGUUUGAUGCAGGUAUAUAGAUGAAAAUUUCUUUGAAACUCUUUUAUUUCAUGAACCUAUCAACUUUUUACUUCAAACAAACAUUUAUAUAAGACAACGUUGUACUAAUAGGCUUUAGUUUCUCAACUGAUUUUAUGUGCUAGCUGUGCAAGAAAUGAGAUUUUCACUAAAGAAUUUUUAAUCUCAUUAAUUUUUGUUUUGGUAUUGACCUAUGUAUCUAAAUAGAUAGUUUCUGUUCUUAAUGUUCGGUUUUGAUAUUCAGUUCUGAUAUUUGACUACCGUGGUUAGCACUGGGUGAUCCUCUCAGUGGUUGCUGUGUCACUCCAGAUGGAUAUGCACUGCUACUAACAAAGGUAUGCAGUUGCAGAAAAAUGACUUUUACUCAGAUUUUCAGCCGAUCAUGCACUGCCCUCUCCUUACGACAUUAAUAUUUGAACUUCCAGUAAAGUUCAGAUGAUGAUUAAAGGCUGUAAUUUUUAUGCCUUCAGCUUCAGUAAUUUCAUAUUUUGUUCUUAUGCUUUUCUGCUACCCGUUAGGAGAUUUCAUUUGAUCUCUUCCAUUUAUCUAAAAUGUCGUCUGUACAUACUGGACAUUUCACUGUGUUGAUCAACACUUGCGUUUAUCACACAAACCCAUCAAAAAAGCCUUUUAAAAAUAAGAAUCCAUUGCUGCUCUGCUUAUCUUUAUGACAAAUCCUGCAGUUGUUAGGAUUUGCUCAAGGAAGGAUAGUGAUGGGCCUCAAGGAGGCUAUAACCUUAGGUCCACAGCAAAUUCAGUUUUUGCCUGUGCAGAAGUUUUGUUGGGGGAUAAAUUCACAUUCAACACUCUGGAGAAACAGCCACAUGAAUCUGCAUCGAGAGUUAUAGAGGCGGUAAUGCUCUGCAUGCACUAUUGCACUAUUGAUGUCUAGUUCCAUACUUACUGCGGAUUUGUAUAGCAACGCCUUGCCCUUUUCAACUCCAUAUUGGCCAUGGCCAGGUACGCAAUGAAUUGAAGACAUGCUGGCCUGUUUUGACUGGUAAACUGCCAGAGAAUGUGUCACCGACACCGAGUGAGGUGCAUUUCCUCGGACCAGAGGAAAUCCAGGCAGUCAGCAAGCGGGGCCGCGAAACUUCUGGCCUGCUCGAGCUACUGGCAAAGUGGCAGGGCCCUGCAUGGUGCCUCAGGUCCACUAUGCAAUGGAGGGCUCCGGUGAGAGCAAGCGGCGAAGGCUGGGCGGUGAUGAAGGGGGCGAGAUGGAGGCCAAGGUGGACAGAUUGGAUGAGGACAUGGGGGUUGACGACAGUGAGUCUCUUUCUCUGCUUCCCCUUACCCUUAGGGACCUAGACUGUAGGAUAAGGUACUAUACCUUAGCCUUCCCACACUCGAUUCAUGUAUGUGCCUUCGUUGCAGGUACCUCCAGCCAGGAGGACCAAGAGGAGACAGCGCGAGAGGAUGAGCAGGGGGGCUCUGGGGAUCAGGUCCCUUCUCCACCCAGGCCUGCGCUGGUCACGGCCCUGAACAAGGUGGCCGAGAGCCUAGGGCACAUGAACUCCCCGAGGGCAACCUCCGGGCAGGAGGACUCUGCAUGUUGGGAGAUUCCGAGUUUUCGGAGGACUGCCUCUGGGCAGGACUCUCGGGGCCUCAGCUUUGAUGGGCUGACUCUAGAGCACUUGGAGCUCCCCCUAGAAGCGAGGGAUGCCUUCGCCACGGCAGCGUCCCAGCUGCAUAGCACCUCUCCGGAACACCUGGUCGCACAGCUUGAGGAUGUGGCCUGGAAGGUAUCUGCAUCUGCAAACUGUGUGCGGGAUCUUGCUUCAUCGUUCGGACCCGCUACGAUAUCUGUAUCCACCUUUCUUUUUCUCCCGACAGAAAUUCCUCCACGUCAAAGCACUGCGGCACUCUCAUCGUCAGGUCCUCGCAGCAGCUAGGGAAGAGGUGCGUGAGGAAAUGGUGGAGCUCACCGAGUUGAAGGUCUAGUUGGAGGCCAAGCGGAGGCAAGAGGAGUGUAGGGAGCGUGCCAAGGAGGCGGCACGGGUCGCGAACGAUGCCCGGGUGAGCGCGGAGGCAUCUGCUCGCAGACUUCAGAAAAUUCUGGACUUGCGUCGGGAAAUCCUGGACUUGCGUGAAGUGGAGCUCCUAAGGCUGCAGUCCGCGCAAGUCUCUGCACGUAUAGAGCGCGAUGGUUGGGCGAAGGCGGCGACCGAGGCUCUCCAGGCCUUGUUGAAGAUGAACGCCCUUGGUGACCUUGGCUUAUUGGCUUCAAGGGCAUUACAGCCACCUCGCCCGGGCCGGUGGACUCCUUGGGUUUAACGUUCCAUUGGCUUCGGAAGGCCGCGCAGGCGACGCCCAAGGUGGCAGAGAGGCACGGGUCCAUCUGCGCCAGGACAGCUAUGAACUUAGCCCUAAUCCUACUCCACUCCGGGGGUUGCACUCAUGUUGGGUCCGUUGCUCGGCCGGACAUGUCCUUCCUGACCGAUGAACGGUUCACAGCGGAGGUUCGGGAGGCAUCCAAGGGCUUCUACAGGAACGUGUGGGAACGCUUCGGUAGGAGGGGAACGCGUUACGCUAUCCGCACCGCGGAUCGACAAAUCCGCCUUUUUUUUAUUUUGGCCCUUUUCGUGAAUUUUUUUUACAAAUACCCUUGCGAAACCAAUUCCGAAAAUGGACCCUUAGCUUGGCGCCAGAUGGCGCCAAGGUAUAUCCUGGCGCCAAGGUCCUCCCACCGCGCCUCCGACGUGGCGCCGGCCCCCUGACGUGGCGCCGAGGCUUGGCGCCAGCCUCCCUGGCGCCAAGCCUAUUACCAAAACAUCGCGGUUCCUUUCCUUUUGCCCGUUUGUUUCCAUUCGAAGUUUCAAAUCACGCUGCUGCCGCCCUCGGAGACCACCGCCGCCGUCGCCGCCCUCGGAGACCGCCGCCGUCUCGGAGUCCGCCGUCGCCGCCCGGAGGUCGGCCGUCCCCGCACGAUCGAACAUGCGCGCCCCGUCGCCCGGCGGCCGUCCGGCCGACCCGCCCGAAGGCCCCGCGCCCGUGCCCGGCCGAAGGCCGCCCGGUGGCCGGAGCCGCCCCGGCCAGCGCCCGCUCGCCCGAAGGCCCCGCGCUCGGUCGAAGGCCGCCUGGCACCCGCCUGCCCGGCGCCCGCCUGAAGGCCCCUCGCCCGGGCUCCCAAGGCCGCCCCGCACCCGCCAUUGCUCGCGGCUGCCCCUGCCGGUGGCCCACGGCCCGUCGCCCGUGUCCUCCACGACCGGAGGUCGUCUGACCCCCGCUCGGUGCUCGCCCCCAUGCCUUGCCGCCGGUGUUCAUCAGUGAGGUAAAACUCUAAGAAGAGUUAUAGUUAACUAGAUAAAAUAGUUAGAUAGAUGAAUUAGAAUUAUAUUGUUAGGUAGAAUUUAGAUAGGUAGGUAGAAUUGGUAGAUGAAAUAGUUAGAUACGUAAAUUAGAAUAGGUAGGUAGAAUUGUUAGAUAUGAAAGUUUAUCUUUAUGAAUUGCAAUGAUAGAAAGAUUAGAGGAUACUCAUGACACUAUUUAACUAGAUGCAUGUCCAAUUUUCUUUACGUAGUUAGAUGUAUAGUUAGUUACAUAGUAAACUAGUUAUUUAGUUAAGCAGUUGUAUAGGUACGUACCUAACUAACUAUUAGGUGGCAUAGUUAGUUAGUUGUAUGACAUAGUUAGUUAGUUGUAUUUGGUAGUUAGUAGGCAAUUGAUACUAUCUCAUUUCAUACUAGAGAUCUUGUACUUAGAAUGUUUGAUUUAUUAUGGACUAAAUGAAUUGUGCGUCGUUAUAUUGAUAUACUAGAUGGAGAACGUAGUGAGCAUAUAUCACGGAGGCACCGUGGAAUGGGAUGAAUAUGGAUGUGUUAAGUUUGUUGCCAUGCAAUGCGAGGUUGUCAUAUUCGAUGAGAAACCAUCGUUUAGUGAGUUGCUUGCAAGGGCUCGGGAAGAGUUACAUUGUCAUGAAGAUGAUGAAAUCACAGUCGAGGGUAUACUUCACCUAGGUUCCCCUCUCAACAUUCAAAGGAAGAUGGUCCCAAUUCGGUGUCCAGGCCAGUGGGAAAAAUAUGUUAGGACGGUUAUGAAUGGUCAUUCCCCAAGUGUUGAAGUGGUUGUUCGUCAGGUGGGAGUUGAUCCAAAUCCUCGUCGGUUUUCCGACCAAUGGGUCAACGGGCACACUUCGAUCCUCCCGUCCCAGAACCUGUUAUGGACGUGGAUGUUGCACCUACUAUUCCCGAUGCUGAAUCUGCCCCUAAUGAAGUAGUUGGACAUGGUUGUCGGAUUGUUGAUGAUGUGGCGGACUCUCCUAAUGAGUUCCUUUUCACUCAGAAUGAUCCGAGUAAGUGUCUUACCGGUUUCUAUUGUUGAGAGAUAAUCCAUUCGUUCCAUCAAGUUAUUCUUUACUCAUAUUUGUACUUGAUGGCGCAGGAGAUAUUUCAGAAAAUGUGGAUGUGCCUCUAGUUGAUGCGCAAGUGCAAUGUGGAGAUGGAUUGCGUGGCUCUAAUAGUGUUGAAAUUUUGAAUGAUGAAGAUGCAUACGAGAUGGGAGUGGAUCUUGAUUCUGAUGAUCAUCGUCCUGUUGGAGAGAUGACGGAGAGUGAUAUUGAGAUGUUCAGGCGUAUUUUCCCUGGACGUCGUGAUCCGAUAGUUCACGAGUUUAGCGAUCUUACUCUUUCCGAUCAGGCGUUUGCAGAAGGACGUGAUGAUGAGCUAAUAGAAACUCCUGAAGCUAGUCCUACUAUGGUUAUUGAGGAGGGAAGGGUAUUUAAGGACCUUCCCGCAUUGAAGAGAUGGUUGCAAGCUUUUGCGGUGAUACGAAAGAGACCGUACAAAGUGUUGCAUUCAUAUGCGGAGCGCCGUUACACAGUUGUGUGUGAAAAGGAACGGUGCUCAUGGAGGGUUUGUGCAAGGAAGCAAAAUAUCACCGGGAAGUGGAAGAUCACAAAAGUUGUCGGUCCACACAAUUAUGCUGACCAUGAGCUUACAGUGAGACAUCCGCAGCUAACAUCUACCCUCAUUGCGAAGCGGUUGAUGGGAAUAUUGAAAGAACAACCCAACAUGAAAGUGAGAACAAUUAUCAGAACUGUUGAGGAGAUUUAUGGAGGUUAUGUGAUAACUUAUGGUAAAGCUUGGAGGGCUAAGCAGCGAGCGUGGAGGAUGAUUUAUGGGGAUCGGGAGUCUGGGUACGAGCAGCUGCCAGUGCUUUUUAAUGCAAUUAAAGCGGUGAAUCCAGGCAUGCAUUAUGAGUACAUUCCAAAGCCAAAUGCUUGGAAGGAUGGGAGACAGAUAUUCGGGCGUGCGUUCUGGUGCUUCCCUCAGUCUGUGGAAGCCUUUAGGCACUGUCGUCCUAUUUUCUCUAUUGAUGGUACGUUUUUGAUUGGCAAAUACAGGACCACACUUCUUAUAGCCAUAUCUUGUGACGCGAACAAUAUGUUGGUUCCUUUGGCAUUUGCAUUGGUUGAGAGGGAGAACAAUGACAAUUGGGAUGGUUCUUAAGACUAGUUCGGAUACAUGUGGUUGGUCCUGGCAGGGAGGUUGGCGUCAUAUCCGAUAGGCAUCAGGUCAUACUUCAUGCUGUGCAAGAGCAGAUAGAGGGCUAUGCACCUUUGCAUCAUCGUUGGUGCACUCGGCACCUUGCGGAGAACCUUCUUCGGAAGGAUGGUGUGAAGGAUAAUUUUGAUCUGUUUCAAGUUGCUGCUCGUCAGCUUGAGGACUAUUACUUUCAGCGCAAAUUGGAGCAGGUAAGGACCGCAACAAAUGCAGAAGGUAGACAAUGGCUCGCUGGUUUGAUGAGAGAUUUGGAUAAGUGGACUAGAUCUCACGACGCCGGUAGUUGGAGGUACGAGUUUCAGUGCAGUAACAUGGCCGAGUCAUUCAAUAAGUUGUUAUUGGGGAUACGUGGUAUGCUUGUGAACGCAAUCGUUGAAUUCACUUUCUACAGGCUUGUAGCGUGGUUCAAUGAAAGACACGCAAAAGCAGAAGCGUUGCAGAUUGCUGGGGAGAGAUGGGCUGAAAAACCAAAGAGACAUCUCAUCAUUGCAAAUGAAAGGGCUUCCACACAUGAGGUGCAAUGUUUUGAUCUCGGCUCAGGGACUUAUCAGGUCGAGCAUAGGGGCGGUACAACGUCCGACGGCGAGAUCCGAGAGUCGAGGGUACAUGUGGUAGUCCUCCGAGAUUUCAAGUGCACUUGUGGUAGGCCAAGACAGUACCACUUCGUAUGUUCUCAUUUGGUGGCAGCAGCUAGGCAUCGCAAUUUUGAUAUCGAGAGCAUGAUACCUCAUGAGUUCAGCAUAGACACCCUUUUGCGGACAUGGAGCCCCCGCUUCGUGCCUUUCCGGGAUCCUAGAGAGUGGCCUCCAUAUGAUGGGCCAAAAUAUGUUGCGGAUCCAGCUUACCGUUGGAACAAAUGUAGAACAAGGAAGCGGACGAGGCAUAACAUGACUAUGGAUCAAGUAUCCGGAAGAACGAGGCGUGGUAGAGCAACACCAUUUCUUGCUGAUCCAGAACAGAACGAGUGCGGCAAGUGCGGUAGAUUGGGCCAUAAUUCACGCACUUGUCGUUGGCAGAUUAGUGAGGUGCGACUAGUAGCUCUUUUCGUUACUUCAUAUGUGUUUUAUUCAUGCAGGUUGUGUUUCUACAUCUCUAACUUCAUGAUUCAUUGUUUACUAAUGUUAUUUGUUUUUGCCUUUUUGUAGGAUGGCGCACUUCCACCUACUAGAUCAGGCGUACGAUCAGACCCACCGAGGUCGUCUCAUAGCGAAAGGGAAGGUAAUAAUCUACAAUUCAUGAUUCAAGCUUUGCAAGCGUCCACGUCUUGUUUCCUAAGAAAUGUCUGACUCGGUUUGUUUGCAUGCAGGUCCUUCCGCUCCUUCGUUCUAGAGCCCAUGAUGGGUUUUUGGCGCUGCAGUACGACGACCGCUACACUCCUUUGCUAGAGAUGGCGGGCCUAGAUGUCAUCUCGUAUCAGGUUAAUCGUGGGAUGCCCAAGUUCAACUCAGCGGCUAUAACUGCGUUGGUUGACAGGUACUACUUUAUUUCUAUUACCUCCGUUCAUAUUCAAUUUAUUAUGUCCUUACAUGUUAACAAGUAAUAAUGCUGCAAAAUGUAGGUGGCGGCCCGAGACUCACAGCUUUCACCUGCCGUUCGGAGAGAUGACAGUGACCUUACAGGACUGUCAGAAGAUGCUGGGUCUGUCGAUUCGCGGCCACGCAGUGACUGGACCGUGCGUCUCAGAGGGUUGGAGAGCACGAGUGGCAGCCUUCCUUGGGCGAGAGGUUGAGGAGCAGGGGACUCGCACAUCUGGAGUGCUAAUCUCCUGGCUGCGGGAACACUUCGGCCAGUGCCCCCAGGACGUGGAUGCGGAGACAGUUGGGCACUACUGCAGGGUGUGGAUCCUGCACCUGUUUGCCUGCGUUCUUUUCCCAGACGCUACAGGUGACACUGCGUCUUGGAUGUGGAUCCACUGCCUCACUGACUGGCACCAGGCACGUCUUUACAGUUGGGGAUCAGCUGUGCUGUGUUUUCUAUACCGGCAGCUGUGCGAGGCGUGCCGUCGGACUGCGGGCUCCGCGUCAGUUGGUGGGUGUGUCUAUCUAUUGCAGUUAUGGAUGUGGGCCCGUCUACCUGUUGGUCGUCCCGAGAUUAUGCCCCGUCGACCGUGGUUCCCAGGUGAGAUGCCGAGACGGCAGCCGACAUGGGCAUAUAUUUGGGAUCAGGUAAAGGUUAGCCAUACGAGGUUCGACCGCGCGUACCUGGAUUACAUCAAUGAGAUAGACGCGCUCACGGCUCAUAGUGUAAGUCAAAAUUAUUUUAACAUGCUUUGUAAUCUUUUAGUAUAACAAUUAACAUCUUAUUUUGUCAUGUUGCAGGUAAAUUGGCAGCCUUACCAAGGAGAGGACGCACUUCCUUUUACCAUUAGCUUUGUCUGUGGGUUGGACGAAGAUCUUUACAGGAUGAAGUGCCCUCUCAUAUGCUUCUAUGCUGUAGAGUACCACCUACCGGAUCGAGUAGCACGGCAGUUUGGGAUGAGGCAGAUUUGGCCACCACUGGUGACCUCCACUAGUGUGGAGUUACACAAGUAAGUCUUUUCGUAUUUGAAUUAUUUCAAUACCAGUAACUAAAUAUUGCCUAGCAAUAACAUGUAACGUGACGUGCAGCGUGGAUCGUAAGAAGAAAUGGAAGGUCUCUGAGUGGGCCGCGUUCCACCAGGCGUACAUUGACGAUUGGAAGAACUUCGACGAAAACGUGGACGAGAACGACGAGCCGCACACAAACAGUGAGUACAGGCAAUACCAGACUUGGUACCAAGGUGCGACGCGUCACAGGCUGAGGGCAGCGUGGACGGAAGAUGACUACGCCGACAUCCACUCAUCCGACGAUGAAGACACGGUGUACGAUCAGAGUACUCGUGCUGGAAGGCAGGUGGAGGCAGGACCAAUCCUGGAUAGGAUGGUAAGACAAUUGCUUCACUUUUCUAUGUUCUAUGUUAAGUUACUUAGAGAUUUAGUUAGUUAGAUAAGGACUUAGUGACCAUCUGACGUAAUCAUUUAGUCAUUUAGUGACUUAGUGUGUAAGUAAGUUAAUGACUAAAUCAUUUAUUGCUUUAGUGACUUAGUCAUUUGUUGCAGGGCCGUACCCUCCAAAGCUCGGUUAGAGAUAUAGAGCAUUUCCGUCCUAGAGUUACGGACCCCGAUACGCGGAGCUUCCUAGAGGUAAGUCUCAAAUUAUUCUUUCUAAUACUUUAUUAAUACGUUGCAUUCUUCUUUCGUGUAACUAGUUUUUACUACUGCAGCGACUGUCAAAUCGGCUUCGCCGUGCCGCUGCUCGUUGUGGUUGCAGGACUGCCACGACGCGAGACGUGCACAUUCCAUCCCUACGCGAAGGAGGCGUCGGUACGUCUAGCCAAGGCCCCUCAGGUUCAAAAUCAAUUGCAUCCGAGGAAGAGGACGACGACGACGACGAUGAGCAGGGGGCCGAGGAGCUUGGCCCUUCUCAGCUCCAGGAGGCUCCCUUGACUCAGCCUACACAGGUUGUAGGCACUAGACUACGUCGUUCACGUUCUCCUUACACUCCAGGCACCGACGCCCUUGGUCACAAGGGUAAGGGUAAGACUAGGAGGCAGUGACGGUUCUUAUUGCGAACUUUGUAUUAUAUGGACUAUUUGUAUAUAUGGACUUUCAUUCUAAAUUAUUGUGGAUUCUAUUAUGAAUGUGUCAUAUGCUUGUGUCAUAUGCUUCUAUGCUUGUAUGUUUCUAUUUAUGUUCACUAUUCAUCUCGUAAUUUUGUAUGGAUUGCAUCAAAAAGUAGGGGAAAUUCUGCCGAAAUUUCGCUAACAAGUACCAUUUUUAUUUUCUACGGAAAUUUCACUAGACUACGACUUCGAAAUGCAUUACAUCGCAAAAUAAACAUAGGUCAUCUACAAAUUGUGUGUCCAUACUUAAAGUGCAUUAUUACAUGACAACAUAAUAAAAGUCUCACAGUAGAAAAUAUUGUUCAUAAAUAAACCAUAGAACUAGAACCUAAAUAUGGCUACUGAGUGCAACGAGGCCACUUUCCCUUCCUUAAGGCAUCGGGAUUCUCCUCAACCGCUGCUUUCGCUCGACGUGCCCGCUCAAGCUUCUUCUCUCUCCUCCCUGUUCGCAGCAACCCGCCUCCUUUCCUCCUCUUCCAUGUGCUCCUUUUCCGCAGCCUCCUCUAUGAGCCUCUUCUCGUACACCUCCUUCCUCUCUGCAUCCCAGCGCAUCAUAUACUCCAAAAACUCCUUGUCUUCAGGAUUGAUCUCAGUGUCGAUCCACUGCUCAAAAUCACAUAGCGGUGGAGGGGUCUACAACAAAUGCAAUUGUUAUAAAACAAAAAAAUUAUGGACAAUAAUUAUAAGACAACAACAAUUCCUUACCAACAUGUUAAUGCGGCGCUGACGAAGUGUAGGUUCAAACGCAAAGUUGGAACACAUCCAAUACCUCUGCCUAUACGUGGCAUGUUCUUCGGACUUGGCUACCUUGCAAGGAUCGCCGCAAAAGCACAUCGGCACUGGAACACCACUAGGCAGAGGCAAUGGAUCGAACGCAUUUCCGGUCUUCUUGGCGCCAUAACUACAAUUUAGUUUAUUUCGUUCUAUGAAUCAAACGCACUUAACAAUAAACCUACAAUUAAGGUUUUUUCAUUUGAUCCACAACAAUGAGCAUAUAACAUAACUACGUGCGCUGAGAUUACCUUAGUUUCUUAGCUUUUCCACGCCUCGGCAUCCUACAUUUGCAUGAAACCCUAAGUUCAAAAAUGCAACAAAUAUAUAGCGAAUCGAUGUGAAAAAAAGGUACGAGGGAGAGAGGAUACCUUGCUCUUCAGGAUCCACGGAUCAAAUGAAAGUUUCCUCAGCUACAAUGUCAAUUCGUAGUCUAGGGCGAAGUAGGGAGAGUAAAAACCCGAGAGAGUGAAGAAGAAUGAGGAGGAACUCUCGGGCAGGAAGAAGGGUGGCGGUAUAUGUAGGGAGGCUUGGUGCUAGGGAGGCUGGCGCCGAGCCUUGGCGCCCAGGCUUGGUGCCAUAGAUCUUGGCGCCAAGCCUUGGCGCCACGUCAGGGGGCCGGCGCCACGUCGGAGGCGCGGUGGGGGGACCUUGGCGCCAGGCAUCCUGGCGCCAAGACGUUAUACCUUGGCGUCAGCCAUCCUGGCGCCAAGCUAAGGGUCCAUUUUCGGAAUUGGUUUCGCCAGGGGCCUAUUUGUGAAAAAUUUUCACGAAAAGGGCCAAAAUAAAAAAAAGUCGAAUCGCCAAAUGCCCCGGAACUGGAAAUAUCAAGGUGAGACUCCCGCACUGCAAGCCUCUAAAACAAACUCCACCUUUCCAUUCGCUACAGGAGAACUCCAAAUCUAGAGCUUCCUGUACACGAAUGCUAUCCUCUUGUGGAGGAGCAGCGGAUCCGGGGCGGCGACGGCGGGCGCAGAGGCCGGGCGGGGAGGAGGAGGUCAUGGCCGGCAAGGAGGAGGAGCUCCUGAGUAGCGGUGGGGCUUCCAGGCGGCGGUGCGGCCGCCAUGGCCGCGGCGGCGAGGAGGAGGAGGCUCCAGAGCAACGGCUGGCGGGGAGGAGGAGCUCUGGAGCAGCGGUGGGGUUCCUGGGCGGCGGCGCGGCUGCCAUGGCCGUGGCGGCGGGGAGGAGGAGGCUCCGCAGCAGUGGCCGGCGAAGGGAGGGAGAGAGCCACCGGGGAUGGAAGGAGAUGCGGAUGGAGCCGCACGCACGGUAGCUUAGUUUUUUUACUGUUCCUGUAAUUAGCCCACGAACAGUCACUUUUCCCUCCGCACUGUAGCUGCUCUUAGGCUAAUUCCAGGUUCAUACACAUUAAAUACGGCGACAAAUUAGAUGACAUUAAAUACGGCGACAAAUUAUAUGUGAUGAUACAGCAAUGUAAUUAUGAAGAGAGAGAGGGAAUGAGUUUCAUUAGAGCAAGUAUAAUAACGUGAAUAAGCCGGCUAGGAGAAGUCCACAUCGGCAGAAAAACAGGUCACGUCAGAGAGAGACUACGGAGCCGGCGCUUCCCAUCUCGCCCGACUUGAGCGCAAGGUACGAGAAAAAAUUAACUCUCCCAGCCUUCUCCGAGCCCGCAUAUGAGCGAGAUGCUGCCGCUUCCAUCUCCUAUCCUUGUGAACAUUAAAUCACUGCAAUAUGUACGUAAUCUAUGCUGUAGCCGGCCAAACAGCUAGCUUGUUGUAUUAGUUGGCUGUAUAACUGGCUGCAAAUGACAUGGUAUGGGCUUGCAGCCGGCUGCUGGCUAAAUUAUUGCUCUUGCUCUUAGGAUGAAACUGUGUAGGCACUGUUUCCAAGACUAUGAAAUAUGCAUUGGGAGCACAUUGAGGGCUAGAGAGUUUCAUUUCAUCUGACAAUAUUCAAUCACAUGCUUUGCAAUUAAAGACCAAAAUGCCAAGCCUAAUGUUCGGCAGCCCCGAAAAAGUUUGGUAGCGCUUGGUUGGGACUAAAACUACGGCUGCCAUGCCGUUUCUUUGUUGUUUCUCGCGCCGCAAGUGAGGCGUCGUAAGUUUGGCGUCGCCGCAGAUGCGGCGUGGCGUGUUAUGGCUGGCAGCUAAACAUGUCCUAAAUGGUAUGGAUGGACAUGUGCCGUUUCCUCUACAUUAGUCAUGGUGACGUAGCGCAAUGCUGUUGCCUUCGUUUAUCAUGUCCUUCUUUCCGGUCUACAGUGGCGGAUCCAUAAAUGGGCUCUGUCCUAAACUAACUAAUAUAAGGCCUAAAAUCUUACUAGCCAUAUACUAUUAGAUAUAACAUAUUUUUCAAAGAACACAAAUAAUUAUAUAAUUAUAUUGAUUCCAAGUGUUCAACCGAUAGACUCAAACAAUACGUAGAACAUUGAAGAUAGAAAAGUACCAAAUUAAGAGUCUUCCAUGACAAAAAAAAACCAUACAUAUAUUCAUGAUUUAGCACCACUUGUACUGACAUUCUCAAUUCUACAUAAAAAUUUUAAAAAUCUCAGCUCUUUAUAAAUCAAGAUAACAUUAUACAUUGAAAUACACUAAUACAAGUAAACGACACGCACCUUGAGACCUCGAUUGGCAAAUUCAUCUUACAGGUUCUAAAGCCUUGAAAGCGCUUUAGAAUUGUUUCAUCUUCAAUCGAUGCAAACAAAUCCCGCUCAAUAUAACAUAUACUAUUCAUCCAAUCAUCAUUCAUUUUAUUUAUUUGUUCGGUCUUGAUAAUAUUCAUAGCAGAGAAGGCUCUUUCAACUGUUGCUAUUGCCAUCGGCAAAAUCAAUGCAAGUUCAAUGAGAUGAUACACCAAAGAAAAAGUUGUAUGUCCAUCAGUCUGAACCAUCUUCUCAGCAACGUUACCAAGGUCAGUACAAGUGCCAAAAUUAUUAUCAUUUUUGACUUCAUCAAUGAAUAUAGGAAGGUCACCCGCAAGCUUUAUGCAGUCAUAAUCAGAGAAGUCAUCUUUAUAAAUCUUAGCAAGCUUAACUAACUUCUCCACCUCAAAGUUGGCAAAAGAAUCCCUCGGAUUAAGACAAGCAACAUAUCUUAAGAGUUGAGUUGAUCUUUCUGAAAAUUGAUUGUUUAACUCACAAUAAACUUGAUCAAUCACAAUAUUGAAAAUUCUAUGAUGAAAAUGAUGGUAGUAACUCACUAAUUUAGCACCACGACGUCUCGAACGACCUUUAACUGGUAUCGUAUCUUCCAUAUUAGGAAUGUCUAUAUUGUUGAGGAGGCAAAACUCCUUUACCUCUUCAAAAAGAGCAUCCCAACCAUUUUCUCUCAUUUCAUUCAUAUUUCUCAUCACAGAGCCAAUUAAUCCUAUUGCACGAACAAUGUUUUGAUUUUUUUUUGCAAACAUCAUGACAGGUCUUGAGUCAUCUCCAAUACUCUGAUCAUAUGAUGUAAUAUGAACACAAAUUCAAAUGACUCCAUUCUUUGAAUCAAUCCAGAGGCUGUAGUUUUUUUUCCCUAUCAGUUCCAUCUUCACUAAUAUUCUCUAACACCUCCGGUACAAAGGACCACAUGAUCAUAAGACAUGCCAAUGUUUUGUGAUGUGUACCCCACCAUGUAUCACCAAGCCUAACAAGACUAGUUUCUUGAUUUUUCCCUCUCCCAGAAAAAAUAGCACCACUAUCUAACUGCUUAACAAUCUUAUCAUGGGGACUUUGAAGGAGUUGAUCUUUCCUCUUGCAAGAAGCAGUAACAACAUUGAUAAUUGAAGUGACAUAAUUGAAGAAAUCAAAAGUUGAACCACAACACUUGGCUACAAAAACUACCACAAGCUGCAACUGAUGAGCAAAACAGUGGAUGUAAAAGGCAUAUGGGUUUUCAUUCAAUACCAAUCUUUGUAACCCAUAAAACUGUCAUCUCAUAUUUGAAGCUCCAUCAUAUCCUUUCCCUCUAAUCUUGGAAACAGAUAAACUAUAUCUUCUAAGCAUAGUAUCCAAUGCUUCUUUUAGUGAAGGUGAUGUGGUAUCAGAAACAUGUUCAAUGCCAAGAAACCUCUCGAUCACACUUCCUUUAUCAUUAACAAACCUAUAUGAGAAAAGAGAAAAUAGUGUUACUUGAAAGCAACAAAACAAAACCAACGAAAUAACCAAAUGGAGAGGAGAUAUAUACCUCACAACCGCAACCAUUUGUUCCUUAAUAGAUGCAUCACGAGCCUCAUCAACAAGCACCGCAAACCAACGAUCUCCUAUUUUACUUUUAAUUAAUGCACUUGUCUCCUUUGCACAAGCCCUAACCAAAUCUUUCUGAAUCAUUGGACUACUCAUUUGAUUAUUCCCUGGAGCAUUUUCACCGGUCACAGGUGCAGCCUUAGGAUCCUUCUUUCUGUACCAUUCAAGCAUCUCCAUAAAGUUCCCUUUAUUUCUUAAUGUUUUAGACUCACCAUGUCCAUGAAAGGCUAGAGCUUGCAAAAGGAGAAAUCUAGCAAUGCCUAACAUAAUAGUUAAAUGAGCUGUAUAUGCCUCCUCUUCUGUUGCACUUGUAACAGUCCACACAUGUUGAACACUUUGCCUCUGAUUUUUAAAAUUAAGUGUGCGCUUUCUUGCGUUACUAUGAAAGCCAUCAAUUGAUUGAACAUACUCCUUGAAAGAAUCCUUUGCAUUCUUCCAAUUUCUAAACCCAACUUUGGUGAAUGUAUCAUUACUAUGAAACCCAAUUUGUUGUGGCUUAAAUAGAUAGCAAUAAAAGCAAUAAGCUGCAUCUUGGCUACACUGUAUUCUAACCAAUCAAAUUGAUCAAACCAUGAUCCAACAAAUCCUAUUGAUUGGCCUUUACCAUCUUUUUUUCAUUUUUGGAAACUUAUGACCAGCUAGCCUAUAUGGACCUAUUUGUAGAUAUGCUCUCCUAGCCUCAUCCCUAAUGUUAUGAUGAAAAUCAUCAAUUGAUUUCCUGUCUCCUGGAUCAGCAACCAUAUCUCUCAUAUCAAGUUCAAUCCGUGGUCUUUUUUGCUAAACCCGACUCUCUAUAGUUUCGGUACUACUCUAUGACACAUCUUUUUUAGCAUAGUACCUAUCCAUUCUAAGAUGUGAAAUGUUGCAAUUGCAAAGUAAGACUCAACUCAAUGAAGUAAUGAAUGUUGCAAAGUAAUGAAUUUCUCUCCGUAGUAUCUCACCUGCCUGUGCCUACUGCUGCUUGGCAGCUGCUUGCCCUCAGCGGCUCAGCUGCCGGCGCGCUGCCAUAGUGCUGCUUAGCCGGUGGUCGGUGCCUGGCAAACUGACGCGCUGCCGCUCAGCCGACGGCCGGCGGGGGCGUGGCCGCAUGGGGGUGUGGGCGCGUGGCCGGUGGGGCCGGGGGGGUGACCAGUGAGGCGGCGACCUGGCCGGCGGGGCUGCGGGGGCCGGGGGUGAAGGCGAGUACGAACGGGAGGCGCGCGGCCAGCCGGCCAGGGCUAGGGUUCCAGCCUGCUGGGCUCACUUCGCGUCGAGGUGGGCUAAUGGGCUGCUUAACUUUUUUAUACCAUUUUUAUAAAACUUAUUCCCAGUCUUCUUAUACCUUGCCCCGGGCUGCAGCCCAGGCAGCCCGGGGCCCAAAUCCGCUCCUGCCGGUCUGUGACACCACUGUCACCUGGUUAGGGUGAUGUAAAGGAGGCACCGAAGCCCAGGGCCGAGGGGGCAGAAGAGGCAUGCCACAGCUUCAAAUUCCAAACUGAAAAUGCGGGAUGGGCAAAGAGAGUAGUGUACUGGAAACAAAGCAACCUAACCUGCCUUUCUUCCCGUACAUGCAAACUGUUGCAAAAUCGCAAAUGCAGAGAGUGACGCAGAUGGGAAAAAAGGUAACAAGCAGAAACAGAAAUGAUUCGAUCACACGCGAAGCCGCGCCGUGUGUAGCAAACACAGCAAAAGGGAACAUGGGCCCGAUUCGAGGCCGGUCCACGCUCCAUUGGCCCUCCGCCGCCCUCCUUCCCCCAGCCAAACUCAAAACGACAGCCCGGCACUGCCCAUUUUCAAGUGGGACCCACGUCGACAUCCGAGCACGCCCACGAAGGCACGACCAGUGGCGAGGCGACUGGCGAGGUGUCGUCGGAGCGGACACCCUUGAAUUCCCCCGCCUCCGACUCGCCUCGCUCGCCCCUUUCGUCCUCCGGGUCCGGGGUGGUCGGCCUCUCCGUCGCAAGAGGCUGUCGCCGGCACACGAUGGCGGCGGCUCCGGCUCCCCCAGCGGUCGCGGCGUCCAGAGCGGCGCGGGUGGGGCUGCUGUACGACGAGCGGAUGUGCGCGCACGCGACGCCCGACGGGGAGGAGCACCCGGAGAACCCCGAGCGGCUGCGCGCCAUCUGGCGGAAGCUCAGCGCCGAGGGCGUCGCGUCCAGGUACGGCGCCAGUGGCCGCUCGCCCCGCUCCCUUGUCUUUUGUUAGAGUUGAAGAGCGGCGUGGUUUCGGUGGGGAUCGGUGAGGCGCGCGCGGGGUUUUGCUGAAUUCCCUGAGACGAGAGCCUCGGCGUCCGCGUGCCUCUGUGUUUUACUCACUUCGCUCGUUCUGCUGUUGUUGAUUUGUUGUGCCGUACAGCCGUGCCCAUCCGAUCUGAUGACUGACCUUCUAGUUAUUUUUGUAAAUUAGCUCGGGAAGUGUUGGGGUUCAUGAUUUUUUCCCCUAGGCUUAGGUCUUGAAAUCCGAAAUGUCACUAUGCGAAAAAAAAAAUUGCAAAGCAAAUUAACUUGUUGGGACAUUUAGUAGUUCAAACACCGCAUCCACUCCUUGCCAGAAAUCGAUGCUUCAAUUAUACUCUUACAAAUGUAAAUCAUGAACUUCGAUGCGAGUAAGGUUAACCUGGAACACCAGCAUCGCAGCUUAUGUGCUGUUGAUCUGGUUCAUUGUUCUGCUUAGCAAGUUAGCGUGCUGCUUUUACUCUUAUUGAGGAUGACGGUGGGGUUCUGCGAUGCUAUUUAAACAUAAUUCUCUUCCAGGUGUGUGGUCCUUAAGGCGAAGGAAGCUGAGGACAAGUAUAUAGCUUCUGUUCACAGCCAGAACCAUAUAAAGCUGAUGAAGGAAAUCAGCUCGAAGAAAUAUGAUUCCAGCAGAAACAAGAUUGCUAGGAAAUACAAUUCCAUUUACUUCAACAAGGGUUCCUCAGAGUCUGCUGUUCUUGCAGCUGGUUCUGUCAUAGAGGUAAUUUUCAUCUUCGUUUCAUUCACUGCAUAAGCACGUUUUCUACUUUUCUGUAGCUAUUAUGUCCCAUCUUAUCGGGGGGAAAUCACUGAAAAGUGGAUUCUUUGGCAUUUAGGUUGCUGAGAAAGUUGCUGCUGGUGAGUUAAGUUCUGCUAUUGCCCUAGUCAGACCUCCAGGCCACCAUGCAGAACAUGAUGAGGCAAUGGGAUUUUGCCUCUUCAACAAUGUGGCAGUUGCAGCUAAUUAUCUCUUAAAUGAGAGGGUAGGUGUUGAAACUUUUGUGCUGUUUUUUUUUGUGGGGUUUACAUCAAAAGGUGCUACCGAUGUUUAUCACUUCCUACAAAGAAGCAAGCGCUACACUUUGUUUUAAUACGAUCAAAUAAGGUGUUUUGUUCACUUACAAACUUUGCUCUUUCUGUUGCAGCCUGAUUUGGGUAUCAAGAAGAUACUGAUUGUCGAUUGGGAUGUUCACCAUGGAAAUGGAACACAGAAAAUGUUUUACAAUGAUCCUUGUGUAUUGUUCUUUUCAGUUCACAGGUUUGACAAGACACCUUGACAUUGCUUUGCUAGUUUUGUUUAAACUUCAUAGUAGAAUAACUACUAUUGCAAUAUGAUGUUAGCAAAGUUAUAGCAGUUGUUUUAUCUUUUGUUUUGAGAGUUAUUGGUCUUGGAACAGCCAUGGUAUCGACAUCCCGGUUUCCUUUCCAUGCAAACACUGGAUACUUGCUGUUAAUAGAGAAACUUGAGACCUCAAAUGAUUAUCUGCGUGGUAUCAACAAAGUUGUUUGAGGUUGAGCGCUGGCUGUAUUUUGAUGCUGUUUGAUUAUAUGCCGUGAUCAAGUGUGGUUUGCGCUUGCAUUCCACAAAUUCACCUUGUUCAUUACUUGUCCUUUACAGCAUGAAAAAUAUCAAAUCAUAUCAUUGUAUCACUCCAAGAGUUGGUUGAUGGCAUGCUUCUCGCAUAAUCGCUUAAGUGCCAGUUUUACAGUAUCAAAAUUCUUCACCUCUAAUUCGUUUGUACAACGUAUUGUGCCAUGGAACUCACUGACCAAACACUUUGGCCAUCAUGUGCACAACUGUAGUGAUAGAAACUGAGCCCAGCUCAGUUGGUGGGAGGUGCAGUGUACACUCUCAAUCGGUCAAUCUUACCACCUAGGUUGCGUCCCUUUCUGCUCAAAUUUGGUGCCUAUUUUCUUAGUAAAAAGAUCACCUGUCACAUAUUUGGCGCUAUCCCGUUUUGUGCACACUAAAUCUAAGGUAAUGUUGAAUAGCAUUAAGUGCCCAUUCCCAUCACUAUAGUACGAGUAGCUAUCCAAAUUGUUGCCCUCUAACCCUUGAUUAUUUUAGAUGUGAUAACCAAUUCAUUGCAUUUGUCUUUGGUACUUGAGGCGACCUAUUGUUCUAUUAACUAGCUUAAGAUGGAUUCACAGAUUGUAACCUGUGAUAUGUGGCUAAGACGCCUCGUUGAAAUAUCCAACCAAUUCACUGAUAUGACAAACUUAUAAAUUUAGUAUGUAAUUGCUAUUUGCAUGCUUAUAUAAGAUAGACUUCUUUUUAGCUCACUGUAGUGUUAUUGUGGUUGAUUUUCAAUACACAGCCCUUUUUCUUUUGGUUCUUUGGAAAAUUGGAACACGUCCAUUGUUGCAAUCAACAUAAUAAUCAAUUGAAUCUUGGAUCAUAAGCUAUUCAUUUUAAUGCAUGUUUGUUGCCAGCUUAAUGAAGCCAUAAUCAAAUAUUUAUUGUUCGAAUGUUUGUUCUAUAGAUUUGAUUCUGGAAGCUUCUAUCCUGCUGAAGGGGAUGCUUCUCACUGUUUCAUCGGAGAAGAAGCUGGUAAAGGGUAUAACAUUAAUGUUCCCUGGGAGCAUGGGAAGUGUGGUGAUGCUGAUUAUAUCGCUGCAUGGGACCAUGUAUUGCUUCCUGUCACUGAAGCUUUUGAUCCUGAUAUAAUAUUGGUAUCGGCUGGGUUUGAUGCAGGUAUAUAGAUGAAAAAUUCUUUUAUUCUCUUAACUUAAUAACAACUCGUUAUUUUAAGCAUUUAUAUAAACCAAGGCAACAUUGUACUAACAACCAACAAGUUGUAGUUUCUUAACUGAGCACAUACUAGUCCAACUUAUCUGUGUAAUUACGUUGUUGCAUAAGAAGUGAGAUUUCUGCUGAGGAAUCUAUAAAUCUCGGGAACCUUUUCUUGUGGUAUUGAAUUCUGGAUACACGAUAUUAAAAUAUAUUCUUUUGGUGCAUCUAUGUGGUAGAUCAUGUCUGUUCUUAUCAUUCAUUGGAUUUGAAAUUCUACUCUAUUUGUUUUUUCAUGGUUAGCACUGGGUGAUCCUCUCGGUGGUUGCUGUAUCACACCAAAUGGAUAUGCACUGCUACUAACAAAGGUACACAGUUGCAGAAAAAAAACAGCUUUUAAUCAGAUUUCACCACAUCAUGCACUUCACUGUCCUUAAAGAAGUCAAUAGUCUUGCUUGAACUUUCAAAAGAGUUGGGAUGAACUGGAAUAGAUUAGAUGGAUCAAAGUUGUCUAAAGCUCUAACGUGGCAUCUUCAAUGCCUGUUAGAAGAUUUUCAUUUAAUCCCUUCCAUCUGUCUAGUGUUUCUUCUAUACAUCUUGAGCUUUCCACUGUGCUGAUCAACACUUGCGCCUAUCAUGCAAAGCCCAUACAAGAACCUUCUAAAAACCCAUUGCCUGCUCUUACUACUUAUAUGCCAAAUCCUGCAGCUAUUAGGAUUUGCUAAAGGAAGGAUAGUGAUGGCCCUUGAAGGAGGUUAUAACCUUAGGUCCAUAGCAAAUUCAGUUUCUGCUUGUGCAAAAGUUCUCUUGGGAGACAAAUUCACGUUCAGCUCUCCAGAGAUGCAGCCAUUUGAAUCUACAUGGAGAGUUAUACAAGCGGUAAUGAUGUGGAUGCACUAUUCUGUCUGGCUCUUUACUUCAUGUGGACAUCUAUAGUCAUGCUUUGUCUUUUGAACUCCAUAUUGACUAGGUACGCAAUGAAUUGAAAACAUGCUGGCCUGUUUUGAGUAGCAAGCUGCCAGAGAAUUUAUCAUUGAGGAUUAAGCCUUCACCAAGUGAGGUAUAUUUUCCUUUUCUAGAGAUAUAUUGUCAAAAUAGUUCCAGCUUUUACCCCCAUUGCCAGGUCAGAAUUUUCAGUUCAGUGUUUAAUACAGUAGCAUAGUGUAGUUCAAUUAAUUCAAAAGGUGAACGCAUGAACAUGAAUUGUGCCAAUUGCGUUAAGAAGCUCAGUUCAUAAGCAAUUACAUGUUAUAAUUUUUUAGAACAAUGAACAUUAGGAAAAGAGAUUUCUGUAUCAUCCAAUAGAUGAUUGUGAAUUUCCUGUGUAAUGGUGAUAAAUGUGUGAUUGUGAAAGCCCUCUCUAAUGUUGACACCGUGAGCCCAAACUCACAUGCCACACCAUUGAAAAUGCUGAGAAAUGCUUUCAGCCUUCAUGUGUAUUGCUAUAUCCUAACUCCUGAGUGCCUUGCUUAUGGAAAACAUAUGUGAGUUAUAUAGCUCAACUUUGUUGAUGUUUAUCUACAACUAUCUUGUAUUACAUUUGAUUUAUCAUUUAUGUGGCAUGUUGCAUUGAGACUUCCUGACAGUUGAGAUACAAAUCAUAGAGACACAUUAAUCCAGUAGUCAGCCUUGAAUAAUUUUCCUUUCAUGUUUCCUUAUGGCAAUGAACAGCUCUACGCUUCCUCUGAUUCUGAGCCUGACAGUGAAGAUGUUGAUGAGCUCUCUGGUGCUGUUUCAUCAGUCAAUGUUAUUCAAUUUGCUGAUGAUGCUAUAAGUGAACACCUCUCAAAAAUGAAACUUGAUGAAGACAACCUUGCAGUGAAGACUGCCUCAAGUUGCUCAACAGCAGAACAUCAUCCAACUGAUUCAGUACAAGUAGAUAAAGGUGUAUCUGUGGUACUGUCCAAAAGAAUAUCUGAUUUAUCUCUCGCUUGGCGAUCAGAUUUAUCAAGAAUUUAUGUCUGGUAUGCCAGCUUUGGUUCAAACAUGUGGAAGCCAAGGUUUCUAUGCUAUAUUGAAGGGGGGAAGGUAAAGUUCAAAACUCAAUGUUUUUGCAAGGACCAACGAGCAUUGGUUCCUUUGAUCAGUGUGUUCUACUUGUUAGAUGUCACUGCCGUUGUGACCUCCAUGAUUCUCUUGGGAUAUAUAAAUAUAUUCCAGUACUUGAGUAAUGUCACUGAAGGGCGGACCUGGUGCAGUGGUAAAACUCUCCACUUGUGACCCGGAGGUCCUGAGUUUGAACCAGCCUCUGUGCAGAAUUUUAAAAGAAUUUUGCAAGGGUAAGGCUGUCUAGGAAUUCCCUUCCCCAGACCCCACCUUGUGUGGGAGCUUUCGCACUGGGUACGCCCUUUUUGAAGGGUGGACCUGACGCAGUGGUAAAACUCUCCACUUGUGGCCCGGAGGUCCUGGGUUCGAACCAGCCUCUUUGCAGAAUUUUAAAAGAAUUUUGCAAGGGUAGGCCGUCUAGGAAUUCCUUUCCCCAGACCUCACCUUGUGUGGGAGCUUUCGCACUGGGUACACCCUUUUUUUUAUUACUUGAGUAAUGUCACUGCCGUUGUGACCUCCAUGAUCUUUUUAUAUUAUAAGCAGUAUGCUUUGAAAGAUAAAUUUCUAUUUUGUUUUACCUGUGACAGGCUGAGGGUAUGAGUAUACCAUGUUGCGGAUCACGUGACACGAGCUCACCAAAAGGAAUCAUGUGGAAGAUUGUGCCUCAUAGGUUGCUUUUCGGUAGAUCCUCUACCCCUUGUUGGGGUACUGGUGGUGUUGCUUUCCUCAACCCUGAGAUAAACUACAAUGAGAAGUCUUAUGUCUGCAUGUACAAAAUAACGUAUGUAUGCCACAUUUACAUGCUACUCCCUCCAUCCCAAAUUACUAUUCGUUUUGGCUUUUCUAGGUACAUAACUUUUGUUAUGCACUUAGAUAUAUAUUAUGUCUAGAUACAUAGCAAAAGUUAUGCAUCUGGAAAAUCCAAAACAAAUAGUAAUUUGGGACGGAGGGAGUAUUUAUCUUUGAGUUCAGGCAGGGUGGCAUUCUGUUAACACUCCACACCUCAUCUAAUUUGCCCCUCUUCAACAGGCUGGAGCAGUUCAAUGAUAUCUUGUUUCAAGAGAAUCGUCUAGUGCUGGAGGAUGGGACAGAUGGAAAUGUUGUGUAUCCUGACUCUCCUUUGAUUGGUUCAUCUGAAGUGGAGUUUAUGUCUACAAAUAAAGCUAUUCAUCUUGAACCUAUCAAGGUUUGUUUUGCCUGUCACAGUUCGAUAAUUGUACCCUUCCCUUUGUAUACAAUCUUUAUGUUGCUAAAUGAGAUUAAAUAACAUUGCACUGUUGAACACGUCACUCCAAAACAUAUGUCAGUCUGGCUGCUGUUCCAGGAGCUUAUCGAUAGAUGACAAGUUCUUUUCCCAUAGCGACAUAGGUCACUUUUACCUUGAUGGUUUCCUUGAAAAUUUAAGCUGAUGUUUGUAUGAACUUUUAAUCUUAAUCUGUUUAGCAAGGAGCCAGAAACAGCCUCUUUGGGUCAUUCAAGUUCAUUUUAGCUUAGCAAUGCUUUCUUAAGCUAAUUUGAAUCUCUGUUGACAUCGUAAACGAUGUUUAAAAGAAAGUCUGGUUUUAAUAAGAUAAAGCUAAAAAUAUAAAAUUAAGUAACAGUUUCACCUCAUCAAUAGACAAAUUCCACUACCAGCCUUACGAGCAUAAUUCUGACACCAUAUUAUUUCUGUUCCAUUAUCUACGUGUCAUGCUGAGUUUCAAAAAGUUCUGUAACAUAGCUAAUGUUUGAUAGAUGAAUUUCUUGCAGGAUAGCUGGUACUCCAAUGUACUUUAUCUUGGGGACGAGGAUGAACUUCCAAUUCUCACCGUGACGUGAGUUUUAUUGUACCCAUUAUUAAGUCUUUUGCCCCAAUUUGUCACUUGGGGAUGACAGUUCAAUGCAACCUUUUUAAGGGCAGUCAGAAUGUGUUAUGCUCGCAAUGUGAUGCUUAAUUAACUUUCCUCCGGUCUCUGCAGGUGCCCCUCAUCAGAUAUUGAGCGGUACAAAUCUGGUGAGCUACCUCUAGCACCUCCGUCAAAGACCUACGCCGCCACUCUGAUAAAGGGACUAGUGGAAGGGGAGCAACUGGAUGCGGACGGAGCUGCCAGCUACAUCAAUGCUGCUGCUGCAAGAGUGUUGUGAUUUGUGAAGGCUGCUUCAACGUGUGCUUGUACAGCCGGUAGGGAGUAGUAAGGAUAAUAUAUUUUGCUAGCGUGUGAUGACAUCGAUUUAGGACCAGGAGUGAUGUCCAGGCUUCAUUCUCCGCGAAUGGAGAAUCUGAAUCCCAUUUUUUUUUUUCCUGAGAACACGCAGGGGAGCUGCCUCUGUAUUAAGAAGAAAUUGUUGGUUACAACGCGGGUCAAACCAGGCACAUGCAGACGGACACAUUACACAUAAGGUGUUUACAACCUGAAGAGAAAAAACACGCACACACUAGCUAGCUAAUGUUGUACAUGAUCCCCUGAGCCUAGGCCAACCGUUGCUGUCGCCGGUCAGCCCAGAGCUGUUGGAUGCGUGAAGGAGACUAAAGUCCCCGGCGAUCAUACAGGUGCAACCAAUGGAGGUUUGGAUUGAACGCAGCUCGUCAAAGAACUCGAUCUUGUCGACAUCAGCCUCGCGGAGAUUGUCGCGACGACAUCGCACAUUCAAUCCGCGAGUAUUCCGCACGAGGAUAUUGUAGUUUUGCUGAUCCAUGAAGAAUGGCGACCAAGUGGCAGCGCCCGGCUGAUCAACAGACGCUGAUCGCCCCGCUCAGCUGAACGGCUACCGCCCUCACAUCAUCAUCUGAAAGCGCCUGAGUAGCGGGGAAGAUGUCCCUGAUGGCGCAGAAGUACUUUGCGUCCAGUGGCCUUUGGAAGAUCGAAGCCAACUGAGGGUGAGGCUGGUCUGGCACAGGUCCAUCAGUGGAGCAAAGGCCAAGCUUGCGCAUGACGAGCACCUCACCCUUCUUGGAUGCACGAACCGUGGAGUUCAGAGUUUGCUUGGCCAAUCUUCCGCUACGGCGAGGUCUGGACUGAGUUGGUGUGGCCGGUACCGACAUUGCCAUGGCAGCGCCUCCCCUGGCUGGCAUGCUCGCCAGGGGCACCUGGAGUGCUUGACUGACACUGGCGAGGAAGGCUGCCGUCGCGGCCUUGGCCUCCUCCAGGCUUGGGCUGGGCUAUGUCUUGGUACGCUUCCGCGGCGUGGGGUCGAUGUCGGGCCGUCUAGCUUUUGGGCCGGUUCCUCUGUUUGACUGGGCUUCGUUUCCCUGAACCACGCGUAGCUCGGAAUCGAGAGAUCCUCCCGGCUCUGUCGCCUCAGCGGUCGGCUCGCAAGGCGGCUGAGCCUCGCCCGAUGGAUCCAGCUCCUGGUCCUCGGCUGACUCCGUCGUCGGCUCGCAGGCUUGCUCAAAGCUGAGCAAGGUUGGUGGUGGCAGGGCGGCCUUGUCACGGGCCGCAGCGCUGCGCACCCUGCACCGGUACGACUUGAUAGCUGGCGAAGGCGUCAGCUGGUGUGGGGGCGGCGCUGCCUCCCUCCGGGCGGGUCCCCGAGGGCAUCAACUUUGGGGUUGGUGCGAUGGAUUACACAAACAGCAUCGGAUCGCCAGAGGCACCCCCGUGGCAGUCGCGGACGGGGCACUGUUCCUCGAAGGCCACCAACUCCGGGAACGACAGCACGGGUGCUUCCCCCUUGUUGUCGGCUUCCGCUUCCGGAAAGUGGCCGCCAGCCCCACUCAGAGACGUAGGCAGUGGUGGCGUGGGACCUUCUGACUCAGGCUGAGGCGUCGGAGCUGCGCUUUCGCUUUUGCUGGUGAGAAUCAUUGACUCGGUCGUAUCGCCCUCCGGUGGUGAUGUCGUCGCCGCUGCGUCGUCCUGCGCCGGCGAGGAGGGGGGCGGCGGCGCCUGGGCGAGCAGCGACACGGUAUGUGCCUCAGCAGGCGACAUCGCCGCCGCUGUGCCAUCCCGCAGCGCCGCGUCGUCCUGCGCCGGCGAGGAGGUGGGCGGCGGCGCCUGGGUGAGCAGCAGGACAGCCGGGGCCGCCUUCGGCUGAGGCGCCCACGAUCUCCUGGUGACGUUGCCACCGCCGCUCUGUCGACCAUCAACCCCAUCAGGCACGCCUCGGGAGCAGUGGAACCCGUGGAGCCGUGGCCCGCCGUCUCCAUGGGACUCCCCAUACCCAUGGGCCGGGUUUCCAUCGUGGCCGGAGUCGCCGUCGCUGGAUGGCAGCGACGGGCCUGGUGACGGGGGAAGGCGACCUCGAGGAGAAAUCAGCGAUGCUCCGCAGGUGGAUCUGGACCUCAUACUUGAGGAAUUUCUUCUGGCGUAGGUAGGGGGGAAGAUUGCCGAAGAUACGCUGUAUGUCCGGAUCGUCGUGUAGGAAUUUCUUCUGGCGUAGGUAGGUAGGGGAGCUCGUGCUCUGCGAUGAACACCGUCUUCCUCUUUGGGAUUCUGUUCGCUGAGUCGCGGCCCGUCGAAAAAGAAAAAAAACGAAAUGAUACCCAAAAAAAUAUGUUCUUUUUGGAGAUAUAAAAAAAGAAAAAAUUGUUGGAAGAUAAACAAUAAAUAAAUGCGCUAGAAGGAGGGCUCGAACCUCCGACCUUAUGGUUAACAGCCAUACGCUCUAACCAACUGAGCUAUUCCAGCUUUUUGUUUUAUCACGGUUUAACAAAUUAAUUAUAUGAAUAAUAAUGCCUGAAUUUGAAAAAAAAAAACUGCAAUAUGUUGCUGACCCCCAAACAGCAUAUCUGGAGCAGGGGUGCUGUUGUGGAAGGCCUCGCCGUCUCUAUGCUUGGGUCCACUGCACGAUGGUGCACGAGUGAACCAACCUUGUACAGGCGUCAGCCAGAGGACCGGAGGAGAUUGUAGUGGCACUGGGAGCAGAGGAAGGGAAGAAGUUUCAGACUUUCAGAUGAGCAGAUGCCACUACAGUGUGAGCUGAGUUGAGCCUCUCUGUUCCAUGUGAUGUGUGAACAAGAUGAACAGAUGCAGUUCGCGGAUGGGACCGCAGCUCUGAAGUUGGGGCUCACCUAAGAGGGUGUUUGGAUGCGAGGUACUAAAUUUUAGGAGGGUCACAUCGAAUGUUCGGACGUUAAUUAGAAGGACUAAACAUGAGCUAAUUAUAAAACUAACUGCAGAACUCCUAUACUAAUUCGCGAGAUGAAUCUAUUAAACCUAAUUAAUCCAUCAUUAGCAAAUGGUUACUGUAGCACCACAUUGUCAAAUCAUGGACUAAUUAGGCUUAAUAGAUUCGUCUCGCGAAUUAAACUCCAUCUGUGUAAUUAGUUUUGUAAUUAAACUAUAUUUAAUAGUCCUAAUUAGUAUCAAACAUCCGAUGUGACAUGUACUAAAAUUUAUGGGGGUGUAUCACCCCCUAAACCUCGAUUGCUAACACGGCAGUGCACCGUCUGUUACGGGAAGCGGAGCACCGUCCGGCGGCCGGGCAUGGGCGAACACCUGAACCUGACGACGAAAGGAUUCCUGGACCUGAACGAACACCUGCCAUGCUGACCGGAGGCCUCGGGCCCCGGCCACCGGCUCUUUCUGGGCGCGGCAUGUACAGCAACACGCCUCGGGUAGAGACCACGUGUAGCUGCCGCCCUCCGGUCUUUGCCGGCGUCCAAGCGCUCGCACCUGCCGGUGGCGGCGUCCAACAUCUGAUUGAAUCGAUGAGACGAUGACCACGAUCCCCAACCCGAAUGCUCCUGGCGAGCAACUCCCGCGACGACAACCGAGCCCACGGCCCUCAGCGUGAGCAACCCUCACCUCAGGUCGCGCCGCCGGUGGCGCUCUCAGACGGUGGCCAAGCAAGUGAGAAGCCCUCCUCUCCCUCUACCACGCCGGAGCUGGCGGAGCACCGCGCCACGGCCUCCGGCGCCCGACCCUGUUUCUGACGAAGCAGAGCGCACGACGGCUCUGUCCGCGAUUCAGUUAAUCUGGACCGCCCACGUCGCAUCGGACGGCAGCUAGGCACUCAGGGGGUGGACGGUAUUUGAAAUACCGUCCACCCCCCGGACGGUAUCUGAACCACCGUCCACCCCCUGGGGCCGCGACGAACGCUGCCUCCGCCUCACGCCGCGGCUCGCCGGAGCGCCGCCGAGUUCCGACCAUCCCUGGCUUCACUCCCUCUCUCUCUCUCUCUCUCUUCCCAGCCGCCAAGCCACCCGAGCUCGCACCACGCACGCCCUUCGGCAGCCGGCGAGGUCGGCGCCGCGGCCGGCGACCUGCUCUGCUUCUCUUGCUCAGACGGCGAGCCACCGAGCCGCGGCGUCCUGCGUCCGAGCUUGGCGACCUGAACCGCCAGCAAUUGAGCAAGAAAAAUCACGACUGCGUCGAUGCGACAGUAAGGGCCGGCUAAGGACAAUUCCACUGAAAAAUUUGGCACCAUGUUCUGACUGCUGAGUUGCAAUCACGCAGCUGCAAGACGAAACAAUCUAUCUACUCCUCUCAAGAGCAAUUGAGAAAGAUCGGAAUGUCGAAGCUUUCCUGGAACCUUUGGGAUUGUCGCUGCUUCAACAAUCCGAUGGCCUAGGAGGAGCAUAACAAUUACCCCCAUGUCAGAAUGGCGUGGAAAUCACGCCGUGGAGAAGUAUACCUGCAGAUUAAAGAGACGCGCAAGCGCAAACACAAGAUCCUGCACGGCUGCACAAACAGAGUCUGCAGCCAGAUCGCUACAGGCGAAGCACGUGCCGGCCAGUGACCGCGGCGAACAUCUGAUCCCAAAUUCUAAUCACCAGUGUGUUUGCAGACGCUCAGCCUGCCACUGCUCCGGCGAGGAACAUGAGCUCCAAACCUCGCUACAGGAACUCAAGAAGCCAGUCAGGUUGAAGUAACGAACAUCAGGUCACGCCGCGGUGUCGAUCUCGACGGCGGGCAAGCUAGUGAGAAGCCCUCCGCUCUCUCUCUCUGCUUCGCCGGAGCCGGCGGAGCACCGCGUCACGGCCUCCGGCGCCCGACCUGUGUCCCUGUCCCUGUAUCUGAUGAUGCAGAGCGCACGCCGCCUCCUUCCGCGAUUCAGUCAUUGUGGGCCGCACAGGCCGCAUCGGACGGCUGGUACGCACCGAGGGGGUGGACUCGUCCACCCCCGAGGCCAGGGGCUGAAGCAGUGUACAGAUGUACACCCAAUAAUUUUGGUAGAAAAAUCGCAGCUGGUCUAGUUAAUCUACAUAUAUACAGGUGCAUGCUGUUUAUUUGGUCAAGUUGCUCUGUAUUUGAGUGAAGGAUUCGAGGGUAAUGAUUGACAACAAUAAUGACUAACUUUCACUGGGUUAACCCUCGAGUGUUCAGAGUCGGUUCCGAACACCGAGCUUUUAUCUUUUUACUCUUUACUCAGGAAUGAUGCUUGAAGAAGAACUAGGUUGGAACCUCUUGACAAGACUCAAUGAAGCAGGCGCCUCGAGGCUGGACGUUCAUCUCGGAUCGCGGAUGAAACCUCGAGGCUGGACGAGAAACGUGACCAUGUGGAAAAGUUCAAUUUGUACAGUGUUUCUUAAUAAUUUUUAUGUAUGGCAUAAAGGAUAUAGUGGUUGAGAGAGGAUAUUUUCGGAAUGUAAAUUAAGUCGUGGAUCGUUAUAAAAGGGAGUCCUACCACAUUAUAAAAGAACAACGCGUUUUCAAUUGUUUUCAAUUGAAAGGUGUAACCCUAAAUCUGUUGUGCUGAAAUUGUUUGACACCAACACUGUCCAUCAACAACCUUUUAGUUUUGGGUCGGCCUUUUAUUUUCCCGUUGUCAGCUGGCCCAAUGCAAGUAAGAACAAUGACCAGUGAAGAGACGUUCACCAUUCUUCUCGACUCUGUGUCCAUGCCGUCCACAGGUGUGAGAGGGCACAAGGCCACGCGGACCAUGGCAGCUUAGUUUGGGUGAGCGGCGACAUGGAGGGAGAUGGAUGAGCCUCUGCUCACAGCGCUAUUCUUCAUUUCACCACCACAAAAAUGUUUGUGCGAACUUUAAUUAAUCAUUCUGGUUCUUUUGGCUUUAAUUUGUGUAUAUGAUGCAUAUGCUACGUAGUUGGUGGCAAUUGGCCAGCGGCAAAGAAAAUUUGUCUAGUUUUAGUACCUCAGUCAACUAAAGCAAGGUUAGUACAAUGACGUAUCAGUAUAAUAGAACCGAUGUUUUCUUUUAUAAAAAAAAACUACCACCUCCAUACCAAAACUACAAACCGGACAAAUCAAAUUUCAAAGCAAUUUUAAUUUUCUUCGGCUGCUUUCUUAGUUUUCCUUUAGAUUAGAACGAUUCUUCAGCGACGGUGGCCCACUGGAGAACAAACAGCUGCUAGCAAGGAGGCAGGGCAUGGCAGAAAUGGCCGGCGAUGCCCAGCUCAACCGAGGUGGCUCCAGACCACCGGAGUCCGGAGUUAGACGACGCAUCAACGGGUGAGAAGGAGUGGACGACUACUCCGUUUCAGGCUUCCAGCCCUCAACUAAGCCUCUGCACCAAUGCAAAUAUUGACGACAAUGUAGGACGAGAGGACGACGAUUCCAUCACUCUGAUCAUGGCUUAGAAUAUAGAGUUGGUGCUUAACUGCUUAUAGCUUUCCUACACUACUCACAAAAAGGAUGAAGUGCUUGCAAGUUCAGUAGAUGUUGCAUAAAGAGUUGAAGCACCAAAAAUUACAAAUUGUUCAUACAUACAAAACAAUUAAUUCGCACCGGUUAAAACAACUGUAUUUACAACUUCAAAAAUGGAUUAGGGGUACCGUUGUUUAAGGCCUCGCCGUCUCUGUGCUUCCACAUGUUACGGACUUCCCUAACAAUGGUAGCUUCGGGCAAUCGGCCUUGCUAUUAAGGAAUCAACAGUAUGUAAGAGAUGCAACUACCAAUUUCUUGUAAAAAGAGCAUGUAACGCCAACCAGUGCGAAAAUUGAAAAAGCACCACAUAACUUGUCUGGAAACAGAACGCAAAAACUAAAGCAGCGUACGCUCUACUAUACCCUAAUAAGCUCAGACAAAGUUUUUAUUUGCUCUAUUUAUCACGGUCGAUCCGAUGCAGCUUGGAUAAACAAAGGAUCUGCAGCAACGUGCAUCAGAUGAAUCAUGAAUGGGUGCAGCACUCUCAUCUAUUCUCCGCCGCUUCCUUGUCAGCGAAGUAGCUGUCGCCCAGCAGGUCGUCUUGGCCAUUGUACUGCAGCUUGUUAGCCCCAAAUCCUGUUGCCCCGCCACCAGAAAAUCCUCCAGCACUAUUGUGGCCACUGAAGCCGACACUAGUCGCAUUUCCAGCAAAGUUACUACCACUGUUGGGACCACCACCAGCAGCAACAGCAGCAGCAGUGAAACCUCCAUUGCUGAAACCGCCACCAAAACCGCCGAAGCUUCCACCACUGGGAGCUCCACUGUUGUUAUUGCCUGCACCAUAGUUGUUUGGAGAACUGUACCCACCGGUGUUUCCACCAGGAUUGCCAGUGGUACCGUAGUUUCCUCCACUGCCGAAUCCACCACCGGAAGCACUGUUGAAGUUGCUAGCAUAACCGCCACUGGUAGCUCCAUCAUUGUAACCACUGUUGCCAGCAUACCCUCCACCAGAAGCAUCGUUGUAGUUGCCUGCACCAUAGGUGUUUGGAGAACUGUACCCAUCAGCAUUUCCACCAGGAUUGCCAGUGGUACCGUAGCUUCCUACACUGCCGUAUCCACCACCAGAAGCACUGUUGAAGUUGCUAGCAUAACCGCCACUGGUAGCUCCAUCAUUGUAACCACUGUUGCCAGCAUAUCCGCCACCAGAAGCAUUGUUGGAGUUGCUACCAUAGCCACCACUGCCGCCACCAUCUCCACCGUAUCCACCGCUGUUACCACCAUACCCUCCAGAACUAUAUCCACCACUGUUACCACCAUAUCCCCCAGAAUUAUAUCCACCGCCACCGCCAUACCCACCAGUAGCAUAUCCACCUCCACCACCAUAAGCACCACCGGAGCCAAAUCCACCACCUCCACGUAUUCCACCAGCACGGUCAUUGGCAUGGUUCACCUUUACAGGUCGGCCUUGAAGUUCCUGUAUGAGAUGAAAUAGUUUCAAUGCUUUGCAAACAAGCAAACUAUUUAUGUUCCAGGAAACAGCAUGCUUAUUAGAUACAAGUAUCAACAACGUGAGACUCAAAUAACUUUUCAAUUCACUUGCCAUGUGAAAAUGAUAAAAUUUAUUCUUUUAAAAAUUCCAGAAUAAUAAGGGCCUGUUUCAGGAGAGCUCCAACUUCUGUAUUCUUGCAGGAUCUGGAGUUUGUAGGAUAAAACCAAGAUGGUCUAAGACUUUGUUUUUAGUCUAAAAUGGAAACAAGACAGCUCGCACAAAAACCCUCUAGUCUUGACCCCAACUCCAGCUCCAAGAAUUCUUGGAGCUGCAGCUCCCCCUAACAGGCCCAGUUAUUUUUAAGCUAAGCUAAAACUCCUAGGCACGAAUCAACCCAGUGUAAAUUUAAUUGUUUACAGGAGUCAUUUAUCACAUACACUGCUCUGAUCUACUCUUUCGGUGCUUACGAAUAUACCAACUGGAUUGUUGCAUCAGAAACUAAAGAUAAACAAAAAAUCAUUGCAAUAAUACAUACGCCAAAACUCUGCAAAAGGGGCUGCAAUACUCUAACCCAAGAAUAUUUUGGUCAAAACAAUUGCUUGUAUAUAUGGUACCAUAUCAAUCCAUGCAGUGAACUACUGAAAAGAAACCACAGUCCAACAUUGGAGCCCAGCUAAAAAUCAACGGUUAGCAGUUGCUUGUUUCUAUUGGAGUUUUAGUCCGCAUGAAGUGGAGAUAAACUGAACAAAGAGAUGGGACUUAAGAGUUAAUAAAAUGUAACAAGAAGUAGAAAUUGGAAUUUGGAAGGUCGAUAGUGCCCGUUAUCAGAACACUAUGUCUAAGCAGUGAAAAGAACACAAUCUUGGAUGACAGGGAGCACCUUAACUACACUGCACAUUCUGACCUAAUACAACAAAUUCAAGAAAUGUACACUUGAGGUGCUAUUCCUCAAGUAAAACCAUGGAACCUAAGGGUGACCUUUGGGUUCGCCUUUGCAAAUAAAAGCGGUUCAAAGGAUAGACAAUAAAACAAUAGAUAUGAUGGCCUACCUUGCCAUCCAUGGCAGUAAUUGCAGCUGAGGCUUCUUCGCUGGAUGUAUAAGUUACAAAUCCAAAUCCCCUUGACUUGCCGGAUUCCCGAUCCAUGAUGACUCGGGCUGAAUGCAAUACAAAAAUAGAGAAGUGUUAAACGCACAAGGAAAAAUGCCCACAGAGAAAUGCGAGCCAAAUUAAUUGGACAAACAAACCUUCAAGUACAUCUCCAUAUUUUGAAAAUUCAUUCCUCAGAGUGGUUUCAUCUGUGGCAUAUGAAAGUCCUACAAGCAGGUUGAUUAGAAAUAGAAUUAGAUACCCAGACAGCAUAAAACAAACCCUAUAUCCAGAAGGUAGAAGAGGAGAUUAAAAUCGAUCUGAACAUACCUCCAACAAAAAGCUUGGAAGAGGACAUGCAUCUUACUGCCUGAAGCAGCGGCGAGCUAGAGGGCACCGAAGUUCUCCUGAGCGCAUUUCCAAUUCUACUAGCGAAAGCCAUUGCACCAAGUCCUCGCUAGAAACCAACCGCACGCACUGAAAGAAGCACAAUCUGGCCAGUUGUCAGACACAAAACUGUAUACAGCUGCUUAUGCAAAAGAAUCGACCCGAGAAAGGAAACGAGGAGAGGGUUGAACUUGAAACUUGACAGAUUAUUGAGCCUACUCCACUCUAUACAUCUGAUUUUUUUUAUAAAAAAUAAACACCGCAAUCAUCCAUUCCCCAGGGGCCUUACGCAACUUUAACAGGAAAUAUUAAUCCAAAUUAGAUACUAGAACGGACAAUCCAGAGAAUUGCAUCCAUUCCCGAGGGGCCUUACGCAACUUUACCAGGAAAGAUUAAUCCAAAUUAGAUACUAGAACGAACAAUCCAGAGAAUUGCAUCCAUUCCCCAGGGGCCUUACGCAACUUUAACAGGAAAGAUGAAUCCAAAUUAGAUACUAGAACGCACAAUCAGGAGAAUUGCAGAACCAGAAAUCGAUUCGAUUUUCCUACUCAUACACCUAACGCUCCAGAUGGACAGGCAAACAUCACAAUUCAUUUCACAAAACUAAUAAGCCGGCUCCAGAGCGAGAGGCAUCCGAAGCGCACGCCUCGAAUCAAGAAAAUACCGCAGCAGAUAUGAGCGAUAGCGAUUGUCAAGGCUGCGACUCGGAAGACCGGAUCAGGAUCUCGUUACCUCCGGAGUAGAUACGCCCUUCCAGCCGCCUCAGGGGGUUGCGGUUGCGGUUGCAGAGCGGCGGCUUCUAGUCCCCCACCCUAAACCCUACCGGACGGGGCUGGCCUCCCGGUCCCGGGUUUAAGCCGUCGGGCUGGGGAAAUUCAAACAGCAACUAGGGUGGACCUGGGCCAAACGUCGUCGAUGGAUCAUGAAAGGUCGAGGAAAAUUCAGGCCCAUAAACACGAAAGAACCAGCCAGCUCAGCCCAGCGAGCAUAUUGACGGAAGGCCCAACUUUAGAGAGCUGCUGGUUUCUUUUCUUUUCCCGGAACGCAGACGCUGUCGGAACGAUUUUUUUUUUCAGUCACGUUAAGCGCGAUUAGACAGGUCCAAAUACGUGCGCCAAGGAAAAGAUACGGCGGAAGAGCAGACAAGGUUGUGCGCACUGGUGGACUGGACUGGACGGAUAUGCUUCCGGAAAGCAAAGGCGAGGCUUUUUCCACCUCCCUCCCUCCGUUGGUGCCUGCUCACCCCCACUUUGGUGGCCUGAUCUUGUUUAUUUCAAAGAGGACAGCCCAUUCGGCCGAGAUUUUCCUCCCCCCGGACGCAGCGCGUCACGAGCAGCAAAUCUCUGGCGACCUUAUCUGGCCGUCACCACGCCAGCGACAAAGCACGCGACCUAACUCCACACCCAUCCAUGGUUCUCGAUCUCCCUUGCAAACUGUUCAGCGAAUCUUCGUCCCAUCAGGAACAGAACAGCUGAGCUCCAACGAGCUCGCAGUGGCGCCGUGGCACUGCACGGGAACGGAUCGUGAGCCCAUGGCGUGCAAGAAUGUAGGAAAUCUUUGACCUGUGCGUUUCCCCUGUCGCGCCAGGAUCCGCGGCUUCGUUUUCAACUACGACGGCGGCGACGGCGACCACGCCGAGGGAGGAGCGCAGCUAGUGGUGGCUCGCCGCGAAACGGAGCAUGGCUAAUGCUUUCGCGCACGUGGAACGGGACGAGCCCACCGCUUUCUCCGGCCUACGGCACACGACAACCUAACACGCAACCGGCGCAAAAGUUGACACGACGGCGCCCUUUUCCCCCGAUCCGGCUUCCGCCCACGGCCCAUCCCGCAUCUCCAUCUCCAUCCCCAUCCACCGGCGGCUCCCUCCCUCGCCGCCGUGCCGUGCCGGCCGUCUCGCCGUGUGCCCUCCACCCAGUCUCCUCCCGUCCCCCGGCCACGCGUGCUACGCCACUAGCUAGCCCAACCCACUACCGCGUCCGCAUGCAGCCGCCGCCGCCGCUUUGACCGCGCUCCGGCGGCACGUUGACGGCUGCCGGGGCCCCGCACCUCCGUCGCCGAUCCGUUUCUCACCGUCGCGGGCGCCCUCGCGCGACGCUGACAUCGGCGGGCCCGCCACCCGGCGCGGGGCACGGGUCGCUUUCGGAAUUCCGAACCCCCCCGCCGCGGAAAGCAACGGGUGGGAGGGGGCGCACCAGCGCGUGCCGGGAGGGGAGCGUACCCGCCUCCGGCGGAGCGAGCGGGGAGCCGCGCGAUCGGGGAUGGACGGCGGGGAUGGGUGGGUGCGUGGGGGCGGGGGGCGAGUGCGUCAAAAGCGACAGUGGAAAGCAGAGGCCGCCGAGGGUGGUGGAUGGAUGGAUGGAUGGAGCGGGGAAAAGCAAAGCGUGGGCCUUUUCGCGUCCCACACCGCUCUUUUCGCGAAAUUGCACGUCCGGCAGUGGGGUUUUGCGGCGGGGCACGUCGCGUUGCUCGUAUUUGCACGGCGAGCCUAAAAAAGGGGAUACCGGUGUUGCAACAGAAAAAGACGGAAGGAACUAUUCCUUCUCUUUGCCCCUCUUCGAGUGUGCAAAAUCGACGUGUCGGGUGACAGAAAGGUGCUGGUAUGUUUGCUCGGAUAGGGAGUGCAGGAUGCUGCUGGCACCAAUUCUCAAGCUGCCACGGGAACCUGAAUUUCUGUCUGUAUAUGGGUUGUCAUUUGGCUUGCAAUUUGCAAAGUGCUUGAGAUGCCCUUGACAUGAAGGGCGUGGCUUGUUACUCGCAAGCCCGUAACGUGCUAGUAAUAAAUUGGUUCGCAUAUAAAUUACCCAACUUCAUGGUCUUUCCUAUAAAGAUAACAGGAUAUUAGUUUCGCUGUGUAGCUUAAUAAUUUUGCAACGCUUGUACCGUAUGCACGUAUUAGUAAUUAUCAAAUAGGCCUUGGUUAGUCUCUCCCAUCACUUCCUUGAAACAUUAUUUUUUUUCGAAGCGAGGAUUAUCCCCAUUUUCAUUUAUAACAACGGAAGUAACUUCUGUGAAACAUUAUGGAGUCUCUUUUUGAUAUACUUAAUGUAUUUUGGAUGGUCCCCUUCAACUACACAUACACGUGAUUAUCGAAAUUGCACAUUCAGUUUUAGUUUCUAACAUUUUCAGUGCAGCUAUAUUUCGACUUUGUCACUUUUGUUUAGUUACGAAUUCUUUUGGGUUGAACAUUAUUUUUGGGAUGAUCACAACCAUAGAAUUAUAAUUACAGAACCUAGAAUGAAUCAGCCAAUGAAUCUAUAGCACAAAUUUGUAAAUGGCACAUCAUAAUCAAUACUACGAAAACCAUACCGAUAUGAUAUGCCAUUUUAUCAGCAAUUAUAUUUGCAUUAACUACCCUAUAAGCUACUGCAUUAUUCUCUUCUUUCUUUGCCUUUUGAGCCUCGUCAGUUUCAACUAUUUUAUAACUUAGAUGUCCCGGUGUCCCACCACUGAUGUUGAAGUUGCUUAUUGGUUAUCACUAGGAAAAUAUGCUCGACUACCUAUUGUGAUGAUUAUCCUACUACUCAUCCGUACAUACAUAAGCUAAUUAGCCCAGUCAUUGGUUCACCAUCACUAUAUAUGUCGUUAUUAUAGUAUCGGUACAUUCCUACUCUCUCACAGUGAGCUAUUUGUCCUGCGACAUACUUUGCAGGUGGAGCGAAUGUGUUCGAACUUGAUCAAAACUAGUGUUAGUCAUCCAUCUUUAUCUAAGAAUCUCUUACGGCAAGAAUUGACAUAUCACAAUUGGCAGCUCACUUCGCACUAAGAUGCUAUUCACCUUUCCGCAAAGAUUUCCUCCUUUAGAAAUUCUAUGAAAGAUUUUUCUGCUUCUAUCCAGUAAACUCACUUUGUACUAAAGAAGAAAACAUUUAUGUCACCUGCAUCAGCCUGAAUUCAUCCCAGAGCUAUUGCAGCGCUUGCAAUUUGAGGGUAAUCAGAGGCCUUUGCCGCGAAGCACACUGGGCUCAGUGCAACCCAGCCGCUGGGUCACAUGCUCCAAAGCUUCCAAACCAAGCAACCCCCACCCCCACCUCCACCCGAGGGCGCAAAGCGCAAAACUCCACCCACCCCGAGGUCCCCGCUGCAAAUAAUCCACGCGUGCCCCUCCCUCUCGCCGCCGGCCGCCGCCGCCUCACUCUUACUACACUCCACCGCGGGCCAAGCACUCCGCCCCUCCCCCACUGCCCCGCCCCAAUGCGACGGCGGCCCCCGCCGCCGCCGCCGCCGACUCCGCCCAUGGCCGCGCAAACCCUACUACCGACGCUGCUCUUGCUGCUGCUGCUGCUCGGUGACGCCACCUCGGUCUCCGGCAGCGGCGAGCGCGAGGCGUUGAUGGAGUUCAAGGCGGCCAUGACGGCCGACCCGGGAGGGCUGCUGCGCGACUGGACCCCGGAGUCCGCAGACCACUGCCGCUGGCCGGGCGUGUCGUGCGGCGCGGGUGGUGAGGUGGUCGCGCUCAACGUCUCCUCCGCGCCGGGCCGCGCGCUCGCCGGCGCGCUGUCCCCGGCCGUCGCGGCGCUGCGGGGGCUCCGCGUGCUCGCUCUCCCGUCCCACGCGCUCUCGGGACCGCUCCCACCCGCGAUCUGGUCGCUGCGCCGCCUCCGCGUGCUCGACCUCUCCGGCAACCGCCUUCAGGGCGGAAUCCCCGCGGCGCUCGCCUGCGUCGGCCUCCAGACGCUGGACCUCGCCUACAACCAGCUCAACGGCUCCGUGCCCGCGGCCCUCGGCGCGCUCCCUGGACUGCGGCGUCUGUCACUUGCCUCCAACCGCUUUGGCGGCGCCAUCCCUGACGAACUUGGUGGCGCCGGGUGCCGCAGCCUGCAGUUCCUCGACCUCUCCGGGAACCUGCUCGUCGGUGGCAUCCCCCGGAGCCUGGGCAACUGUAGCCAGCUGGAGGCGCUGUUGCUGUCCUCCAAUCUGCUGGAUGACAUUAUUCCGCCGGAGAUUGGUCGGCUCAAGAACCUGCGGGCUUUGGAUGUGUCUAGGAACAGUUUGAGUGGGCCUGUGCCAGCGGAGCUUGGUGGUUGUGUUCAGCUGUCAGUGCUUGUGUUGUCCAAUCCUUAUGCGCCUCUUGGUGGUUCGAAUUCGUCCGAUUAUGGGGAGGUCGAUGACUUUAACUACUUCCAAGGAGGGAUUCCGGAAGCUGUUGUGGCGCUGCCGAAGCUGAGGGUGCUAUGGGCGCCAAGGGCUACAUUGGAGGGAGAAUUGCCGGGCAAUUGGAGUUCUUGCCAGAGCUUGGAGAUGAUGAAUUUGGGGGAGAAUCUGUUGUCUGGUGGGAUUCCUAAGGACCUGGUGGAAUGUGAGAAUCUGAGGUUCUUCAAUUUGAGCUCGAACAAGCUUACAGGUUCAGUCGAUCCUUCACUGCCUGUGCCUUGCAUGGACGUAUUUGAUGUCAGUGGAAACCAGUUAUCUGGUGCGAUUCCAGGAUUUAUCUCAAAGAAUUGUCUUUCAUCCCAGUCCCCAUUGGAUGACUUGGUGUCAGAGUAUUCUUCCUUCUUCACAUAUCAAGCGCUUGCUGGCUUUGUGUCAUCCUCAUUACCGUUGGGCGUGCAUUUGACAAGCUACCAUAGUUUUGCCCGGAACAAUUUUACUGGCUCAGUUACAUCCUUGCCACUUGCUGCUGAGAAGUUGGGGAUGCAGGGGUCCUAUGCAUUCUUGGCUGAUGGGAAUCGUCUUGGUGGUCAGCUUCAGCCUAGCAUAUUUGACAAGUGCAACAACUCAAGGGGCUUUGUUGUGGAAGUCAGUGACAACUUGAUAGCUGGAGCUAUUCCUGCAGAAAUUGGCUCGCUGUGCAGUUCUCUUGUUGUUCUUGGUAUUGCUGGUAAUCAGCUUUCAGGUGCGAUACCAUCAAGUAUUGGGGAGUUAAGUUACCUUGUCAGCUUGGAUUUGAGUAGGAAUGGCCUUGGUGGUGAAAUUCCUACUUCUGUAAAGAAAUUGCCGCACUUAGAGCGCCUCUCUUUGGCCCAUAACCUUCUGAAUGGCACCAUUCCAGCUGAUAUCAAUCAGUUGCAUGCUCUCCGGGUUCUGGACCUGUCAUCAAACCUCCUCACAGGGGUUAUCCCUGAUGCCCUUGCUGACUUGAGAAAUCUCACUGCACUCCUCCUUGAUAACAAUAAACUUACUGGGAAGAUUCCUUCAGGAUUUGCUAACUCAGCAUCCCUUGCCAUGUUUAAUGUGUCAUUCAACAAUUUGUCUGGCCCGGUGCCAACGAAUGGGAAUACGGUUAGAUGUGACAGCGUUAUUGGGAAUCCUUUACUGCAAUCUUGUCAUGUGUACACUCUGGCCGUGCCCUCAGCUGCUCAGCAGGGUCGUGGUUUGAACUCGAAUGGCUCCAAUGACACAACACCUACAGAUGCACAAAAUGAAGGAGGGAACAAUGCAUUCAAUGCAAUUGAAAUAGCUUCUAUAACUUCUGCAACAGCCAUUGUUUCUGUCCUCCUUGCACUGAUCGUGCUCUUCAUAUACACAAGGAAGUGCGCUCCCCGGAUGUCAGCUCGGUCUUCUGGAAGAAAGGAAGUUACAAUUUUCCAAGAUAUAGGUGUGCCGAUCACUUAUGAGACUGUUGUUCGAGCCACUGGAAGUUUCAAUGCGAGCAAUUGCAUUGGAAGUGGAGGCUUUGGAGCCACUUACAAAGCUGAAAUUGCACCUGGAGUGUUGGUAGCUAUCAAGAGGCUCUCAGUCGGGAGAUUUCAGGGAGCCCAACAGUUCCAUGCUGAGAUAAAAACCCUAGGGAGAUUAAGGCAUCAAAAUCUUGUUACCUUGGUAGGUUACCAUCUUGGCGAGUCUGAAAUGUUUCUCAUAUAUAACUACUUAUCUGGAGGAAACCUUGAGAGGUUUAUACAGGAGAGAUCCAAGAGACCAGUGGACUGGAAAAUGCUGCACAAGAUUGCAUUGGAUGUUGCAAAAGCACUUGCUUAUCUGCAUGAUACUUGUGUUCCUCGUAUCCUUCACCGGGAUGUGAAGCCAAGCAAUAUUUUGUUGGAUACUAACAAUAAUGCUUAUCUCUCAGACUUCGGACUGGCGAGACUCUUGGGAAAUUCAGAAACACAUGCAACCACUGGCGUAGCUGGAACAUUUGGAUAUGUCGCUCCAGAAUACGCCAUGACUUGCCGUGUUUCAGAUAAAGCUGAUGUGUAUAGCUACGGCGUUGUCCUGAUGGAGCUAAUUUCAGACAAGAAAGCCUUGGACCCAUCAUUUUCUCCCUAUGGUAAUGGGUUCAACAUAGUUGCUUGGGCAUGCAUGCUGCUUCGUCAAGGCCGUGCACGGGAAUUCUUUAUUGAUGGUCUGUGGGAUGUUGGCCCCCAUGAUGACUUGGUAGAGACAUUGCAUUUAGCAGUGAUGUGCACUGUUGAUUCGCUCUCUAUUCGGCCAACUAUGAAGCAGGUCGUCCAGCGGUUAAAGCAACUACAGCCCCCAAUUCGUGAACAUCGAUAGAGAUGAAUAAUUUACACAUUCCACAUGUAGAAGAAGGUAAAGAUAGCCGUGACCUGCGCCGUUGAUGAUUUUUUUUUCUAAUCAUCUGUUUGACUAGAUUUUAUCCUGUAGAUGGCAGCUUUGUAUAAUAUAGUUUUCUCCUGAAUCUCACUAAUGUAUCUGCUGAUAAGAAGAGCAGGUGUAAAUUAACAAUUUUAAUGCCAAAGAUUUCAGUUAAGAUUGCCUUACUGUAUUAUUUUAUUAUUCUCUCUAUAGUGUAUCCAGUGCAUUAGUGUUUAGUCUGUACAUGCCCAGUCACCAUAUGUAAGCAGUAUCAACUAUCUGCAUGGAAUUAGCGUACUGGACAUUGCCUUGGGAGAAGUUCAUUAACUUCCACGUGCGGUCAUAUUUCAACCAGUUCCUUGACAGGUCUUCUAUCGUUCUAUGGCUUGCAUUUUUUAAAUCUGAAUUAUUUAUAUGAAGGUCAAAGUUAUCAUGUGACCAAUUAAUCUAACAAGCAGAGCUCAUACGUGUAUCAAAACAGGGAAUGCUGAAACAUUAAUCAUGAAGGAAAUCCUUGUGCACGCAUGUGCUCUUCCUCUAAAUUUCUGCACUUUUGGAAUGGUGACACCACCGCAUUAUGUUUGGCAUUGCUAGGCUCUUACUGCUACUGUUUUGUAUAUGUAUGUCAUAUAACAAAGUGUAUCAACUGUCACCCUGAAUCUGCUGAGCUGUCUAAAGUAAAGAAAAACGAUCAGCAUAUACUGUCUAUGUUUUCUUUCUGAAGUCGCUGAAGGGUUCUCAGAAUUUCAACAUCAGGAAUGCUGAAUGCAUUGCACCUGUUAUAGUCUGUACUCAAAACCCAUUCAUGUGUUGAUUCAGGCUUUUAUUUUGUACUAACUAUGCAAAUUCAAAGUACAGAGGACUGUUUCGGUACCUACUCAUCUAUGGAAGUUAUACAGAGGACUGUUCUAUGCUUUGCUGUGUGUGCAACUGCAACAUGCACGGGUUCAUCAGGUUUUUUUGGAUGCCUGUUUGUCUUGACCACUCUAUACUAUUGGCACACUGCACAGCUCAAUUUGCUCAAGGUCAGAGAGUUCUUCAUGACGAUCAUGUGAAACAAGAUAGAGAUUCAUGCAAAGUUAAAAGGGGAUCACUGUUAGCACGAUGAACGGAUAAGAGGUAGCUCUGGUCCAAAUAAAAAACAAUAUAUGGCCAUUGCAAAAUCCAAGGAAUUGUCCCUACACUGGAAACAAGAGAACUACAUUCUGGAUGAAAGAACCAGCUACCGGUCAGUAACUGAACUAAGCCAGUGUGUAUCCUAGUGACCCCCUAACCUCACGCUACGAAAUCACGAUCAGUCUUUCUUCUUGGCCGUCCACUCCUGGAACCGGCGGAGGCUCGCCGGGAAGUCGGUGAAGAGCCCGUCGACGCCAACGUCGUUGAUCCAGUAGUCGUACUCGGCGUAGGGGUCCUGCCUGAAGUUGAAGUGCAGGAACUUGUUCUCGUUGCGGUACGUGUAAGGGUGCACCUGCAGCCCUCGCGCGUGCGCCAUGGCGACGAGGUCCGUCGGCGUCGCCAGCCGGUUGUCCUUGGUCGGCGGCACCACCGUGUCCUUCCAGGGCCCGAUGCCGACCACGUACUUGCUCAUGUAGUCCAGGUACUCGCCGGAGGUGAUCUCGUCGUAGGACUGGUUAAAGUCCUCGGUCCGGACGGUCACGUCGUCGAUGAGGAAGAUGAGCGGCGAGUCGGUGAGGCCGGCGGCGCGGACCAGAGAAGUCGGCGCGAAGGACUGGACGAACACCGGCUUCGCGCGCCACGCCGGCGACAUGUACCUGCCGCCGUACCCGUACUUCUUGAGCGUCGCGACGAACUUAUCCUCGUACCUCUUCCCGUCCGCCCAACGAACGUGCUUGUUCAUGAACGCCGGGUUCUUCAUCUCCGGGUAGAUCCCCACCACCCUCUUGGCGUUCAGCGCGAUGUCGAUGAACUCCUCGAACGUGAUGAUCGGCGAAAUGCCUGCGGUAACAAAAAAAACCAGAUUGUCGGUGAACAUUGUUCGCCGGAAAUGGCGAUUGGAUCGCCGGUCGGGAAGCCGGACGCGCCGCUCACCGUCGUGGGACUUGUCGCGGAAGUCCCAUCGCUGCUUCGCCCUCAGCGUCUUCAGCUCCGCCAGCGUGAAAUCAGCUGCAAGAAUAUAAUCAAGAACAGAACAGAUGCUUCGGAUUAUCCACUCGAUGGUUCCGAUCAACACAGCGGUAUGAAGAAAUCAAAUCACUGAACUGCAUUGAAUGAUCACGGGCGGUGUGAACUGUGCACGUACUGAUGAAGUAUCCGGUGACGUUGGCCCACUGCACCUCGAGCGUGCGGCGGCGUCCGGCGAACUCCGGGUGGUCGGCGACGUCGGUGGCGUCGUCGAGCGUGGUGUCGUGGAAGCAGACGAGGUGGCCGUCCCUGGUGGCCUCGAUGUCCGCCUCGAUGAAGUCGGCGCCCUCGUCGAUGGCGCGCGCGUACGCCGCCGCCGUCUCCUCGGGAAACUCGCCGUUGGAGCCCCGGUGCGCGAUGUUGAAGGGCCGCGACGUCUGCAGCGGCGCCCUGCUGCCCCCCCACGCCCCGCCUCCACCUUCCCCGACCAGCGGCCGUGCCGCGACGACGCUGGACGCGACGGCCGCCGCCGCCACCAACACGGCCGCGACCACCCCUGCACGCAAGAUUGAUUAGUAAUGCAACGUUGUAUCAAGAUCGUGUCGCGCCACGGUGAAGGCCAGGAGAUCGUCGUGUGCACGUACGGAGGGAUGCCAUUUCCGGCGGCGCGAUCGCUGCUGUUGGAGGGGAGGAGGUGGACUGGGCUGCCGCGACGGCGAGUGCUAUAUAAGCGGAGGCGUUGCGGCGCGGGGAAUAUUCCAGCGGGAUUUGUGUCAAUCACCGUUAAUCUGGUGCGUGUUUAUUGGAGAUGAUGAUAUCUUCCAAGAGAUUAGCAUCGGGGAGGAACGUGUUGGGCCUAGGGAUGAUCCUGCAGUCCACAGGUGGCCACUGAAAUGGGCCCAUCUAAAAUGCCGUCAGAGAACACGCACACCAGACUGCUGCACUGUCCCAACACGGAAGCCCAAGCAGGCCCGCAUCGGCCGAGCCACGCGUCCGACCUUCGCGUCAGUUCGGCCGAGAGAGAAAUAUCGUCGCCGGAGCUGUGACGAGGACGGCGGUGUGUCCGAGAAUCAACGGCUGGGGUGACGUCACCCCAGCCCACCUGUCUGGAACUGCAGCGAUCAACUUUUCCAUGGUUGCGUUGCGUCGUCCUACAGCAAUCAUGGAGGCCUGCCACCUUGGGCAGCAGUACAAUUCACAGGGAUAGGGUGGCCAUUUCUGUCGCGCUCUCUUCAGUCCCCGUCCUGCAAACGCUGCAACGACGGUGACUCGAUGAGCGAGUGAAAGUGAAACUGCACAGCGAGUCAGCGACAGGAAACCAGCCGGGUGUGCCUCAACUGAACCAGCAUCCAUUUCGGACAUUGUUAACCUCAAGAUCCCUCCAAUUCGCUCACUCUCUUAACUUACAGGUUACAGCAGUAUCCAGCUCGCUAACAUAAUUAACUAAUCAUAUGAUUACCAAGAAACGAAAAAGAAAAAGUUUAAGCUUCUGCUUCUGUCUGCUCCUCAAAAAAGUUUCAAGCUUCUGCUUCUGGCCCCACUGCUCAAAAAGUUUAAGCUUCUGCUUCUGCCUCGUGCUCAGAGGGUUUAAGCUUCUACUGUGCCUGCUUCCUCUGACAUCUCCCCCUACAUUUACUUGCACCGGACGAAGCAGAAGCAUGCCCCACUGCUCAAAAAGUUUAAGCUUCUGCUUCUGGCUCCUGCUCAAAGGGUUUAAGCUUCUCCUGUGCCUACUUCAUCUCAUAUCUCCCCCUAAAAGGGUUUACAUGUACCAGCAGAACCAUGCCCGCCGCCAUCACAAGAACACCGACUGCUGAGGGUUGACGACGAUAUGCCGCAGCGGGUUGGUGACGUCGCCGCCGCCGGCGUGCCGCACGAACUCCGCCGGCGUCAGGAAGUUGCCGUGGCAGACGCAGACUAUCCUGACCUCCUCGCCUUUCCUGUACUUGUACAGGAAGCCGUCGGUCUUGCGGCCGCUGGGCCCCUCCACCUUGUAGGAGACCAUCGGCAUGUCCUCCACCAUGCUGUUGCGGAGGUCGCCGGUGCUCGCCGUCCGCAUCGUCAGCGACCGCAGCGUCCGCAGCGGCGGCUGCUCGCGGCCGGUGGUGCCGUUCGAUGGCCUCCCGGUUCCUGACGCCGUUGGGGGCCUGGAGCUGCUCUGCCCACCGGAGGUCUCCGACGUGUUCAUGGCAGGAGGGCUCUUCGCCUCUGCUCCACUACCUGCUGAUGCUACAAGAACAGAGAGGCACAAGAUUUCAGAUUCAAAUGAGAUAACCUGCAUUAGCUGCGGUGAGACGAGCUCUGACGUGUGCUAGUGUUUCAAUAUAUAUGAAUGUGAAUUUCUAUCAUAAUGAACUUUGCCCCAAUGGACAAUGCAUAAAGGUAGUAGGGUAGUACUAGACCAUACACACCAGCUCAGACAAUGAUUAAUCCCAUAAUCACACUUAUGGCUACCUAAUGACUCAACUUGCCUAUCAUUGCAGAUGCUGAUUAACUAUAUAUGGUCUUAGCGUCCAGCCAUAGCGUAGCAUCUCUGUAAAACUGCCGUGCACAUCAAAGAAUUCUGUAACUGACAGCAAUGGAAGGAAACUAGUAGCUACCAGCCAAAAACAUGAGGGAUCAUGUCCCAGGGCAUCAUCUUUGUCAAAAAUAGUUCCGCAUUACUACUGCAAGAGCAAAUUCCCAAAACGAUGAAACAAGAUGACUAGGACAUGACAUGGAAAAUUCUUACGGCAUGAAGGUCGUGCCAUCCAUCCCUACAUGACUAGUACACUUCUUUCCGGUAGCAUCAAUAACAAAAUGGUUAGCUACUUCUAAACAGGGGGGAUCAUCAAGAACAGGUAAUAAACACAUCGCAGGUACAUGUCAUCAGAACAGCAAACGAGAUCACAAACCCACAGCUAAAGAUCCAUGUCUGAUGAUGAAACCUGCUUCACCUAGAUCUCUCUGCUCAGACAUCGGACAAUGAGACAUCUCGUACUGAGUACCUAACGGAACCCAACCCAACCCAAGAAAAUCUGUCCAUGCAUCAUCAAGAAGUAUCAACCAAGAAAACGAAAUGAAACGGAUAAUUGUGCUGGACACGCGCAAUAAAACAGUGGAGAUUAGCAUGCUGGUAUACCUUGCUCCGGCACGCUGGACGAGGUGGUCCCCUGCAAGGCGACCGUGCGCCGGAACUGGAAGCCGCUGGGCACCGUCUGCUCCAGGGCUUCGUCGCGGCAGACAGCAGCGCUAGCGUUGGGGCCCGACCUGCCGGAGUUCAUGGAGUUCCGGCGCUCGAGGCGCUUGCGCUUGGCCUCGAGCCGCCGCUGGCUCUGCAUCGCGCGGCGGCGGAGCCGGUCCUCCAUGUACUCGGUGGGCAGCGAGGAUGUGCGGAGCAGGUCGGACGGCGGCGCCGUGACGGCGGCGGGUUCCUCGCCGGAGGGGAAUCCGCCGGGCAGCGAGCAGAUCGAGGGGAUGGACGUGGACCGCACAAGGCGCGGCUUCUUCGCCUCGUGCGCCGGGUCGGCGCCGAAGCAGCCGCCGAGGGACAGACCGAGGCUGAGCUCGAUGUCGUCCGAGUCGACGGUGGCGGCGCUUCCACCGCCCGCAGCCGGUGCUCCUCCCUCCCGCCCGAACCUGCCCAGGAAAUCCCUCGACGCCAUCUGUCCCCUCCGGGCUCCAAUCCCUCCCACGGAUUCACCGAGGAGGAACGCUUCUCAAUGACCAAAAAUUCAGCUACAGAGAACACAGCAACCGAUUACGCUCUUCCGGCUCAUCAAAGCACCAAACAGAACCAGAUUUUUUUCAAAAAAGAAAAGGAAACACCCCACACGCCACGAGUUCCACCGUCAACACAGAAUUGACAUCCCGCAUGCCCCAAGCAUGUAACAUUGCAGCAGGCAGCAACCGGCGCCCUCUGCCCCCCGAAUCCCACACCGAGAAAUCGGGAGAACAGUGGAACACACGCGGCGAAACGAAGCGGAAUUCGAGAGACCAGAUCCCUCACCGUGAGCGGAACCAGGAGGACUAAGGAGGCGAGCCGAAGCGGAGAGCAGAGGCGACCUCGGUGCCUGCCUCCCUCUAAUCUCCUUCGCUCUUGCGCCCCCCGCUAACAAAAAAAAUAGGGAGGGUUUUCGCUGAAUUUUUUUCCGGCGAAAAUGGGGAGUGGAAAUUGGUUUUUGUAGUGGGGGGGGGAGGACUGAGGAGGCGGAGGUUCGUCGGAUGGGACUACGAGCGCACAGCACCCGGACACGUGUCGGACAAUGCGCACACGUGUUGGGCCGCCACGAGCCGAGCCGGGGCAGGGGCUGCGCCGGCUCGGCUCCGGCGCGCUGCCGUGGGGGCUUAAAAUAGUGUGACGUGUCGAAGGCGCGGUGGGGCGUUGGGCCUGACAUGUUUCGGGAGGUUUCCUCGGGCUGGAAAAUAUCAAGUGUACAGUACUAGCAUCCUUCUAGAAAUGCUGAGCUAAAUAAGAAACCUUAUGAAUAUACUGCUAAAUAAGGCAAAAUUAACGUAAAUUAACCGUGGCAUGUGAGAAUUUCUUUUUCUUUUCUGACAAAUCUGGUGCUGCUGGUGCUUUUCGACCAAAGAGCGGUAAUUUGUUGUUGUUUCUAUCUCGCUGAAUUUUUGGGGAUUGAGAACAGUUCAUGCUCCGAGAAUCGGUGGAAAGAAGUGAUCUUUUUUCAGGAGGUGGGCACAUGGGUGCUUCCACGCGGCUGUACACAGUUUUUGGAGGCUACAUGUUCACCUUAUACAUAAUUACAAUAUCUGCGGUCGAAAUAAAUCAUAAUUUUUUUAAAAAAAUGUACAAGGUGAAAUUAAUAAAAUAAGAAAACACGCAAGAUAGUGACGCGGUAGAUCUAGCUAUGACGAGUAGAAUCAAUAAUGGUUGCGCAUAUGAACAACACUAGUUGUAGCAAUAAAAGAUAGAUCGGACUGGCUGAUGGAUCAAAACAAUAAGAGGCGUUAGCGUACAUCUAAUUUUAUUAAAAAAAAUUAAUUAUAGUAACUUUAAAGAGAAGAGGAUACAUAGACACCAUACCGAAAUAGGGCAAUUAUGCCCAUAUGAUGUUGUGAGUAGGAUGGCCAUGGAGGUGGCCUUCGAGGAAGAACAUAUGAGGCCACCAUGAGCCGAUAGGAAUUGCAAAUAUCACCGAAGUCGAGCAUCAUCCCACGAUACCAACUUUAAAGAAGAAUAAAGAAAGAUCUCACAACUGUUGAAUAGGUUGUGGAGCUAUUAGAUCCGUUGUCACCGAGCUACACACCAUGAGGGGCGGAAUAGCCAUGAGAAUGCUAUAGGAGGAUAGGUGCUUAGCAGGAUGGGUUGGAGUAGCCAAGCGGUCGGAGUGGUAUGAGAAUGGAGGGGUGUGGUGAAAUAAAUAGCAAGACGGGAUGUAACGGACAAACCAAACUACGUAAGCACUGACGUCUUUUUGCAUCAAUACGUAAGCACUGACGUCUUCUCGCAUCAAUACGUAAGCACUUAUGGCACAUAUAGUAAAAAAGAAAAAUAAAAGAUACAGUACAUGUUGGUAAUGGCUCCUCUCCGCUUCGACUCCAUGGUAAGAAGGUUUCACUGGCUUCUACCAUUUCCCUUGUCAUUUUCCUCUCUAUUUGUUAAAUACCUCCUUGUAACAAACAAAAAAACCAAUACUGCUACUAUGCGGACUUUAGAACAUCAAAAGAAAUUCGUCGAAGAUGGGAGUGUCCCGCCCGCAUAUUGACUAGAACUUUGAAUCUUAAUGAAAGGACGAUAUAUAACUAACUCUCAAUAAAAUUUAAUUAAGAAAUAAACCGUUUAUCAAUGUUAUUUAUACUUUCUUAUAUGUAUGUAUAGUAUGUACUCCACUAUCAAAACGUGUUAGUUAAAUGUGAAAACUAUUCUUUGUAUAGAUAUACUUCCUCCGUCCCAAAAUAUUUACACCUCUACAAUUUAAAAUUUAUCCCAAAAUAUUUACACACACAGAUACGAGAUCUAAGAUUCUAGAUUACCAGGUGGAUCGGCUCACAGGAAAAAAGAUCGACUUGUAUAACCUCCGUCUGGACUCUGGACACUUUUCAACCUCUCGUCCGCCAUCAACCGGUGUUAGAAGAAUAGAUGAUGCUUCCAGAAAUCCUUCCGCCUCCGCAUGGAGCUGCAGCACAGUGCGGUGCAGUCACCGAAGCCAACGUGAGCGAAUUUCUUGUAGGGGCAGCAACGUCAUUUUAACAACUGUCUUGAUUUUCACACUGAACUUUAGAAUUGUAGGAAGGAGGGAGCAUAGAAGAUUAAUCGAUGUGCAAAACGCAACAGCCAACAGUCUUAGUAGAACACCCGGCCAUUAACCAGACACCAUUACAGAAAUUUUGAAAAAAUAAACAGCCACGUCCCGUUUACUCAACUGACCGGCUCGGCUCGGCUUGGCUCGCGGCUGGGCUACACGAGAGGCGGCUGGCUCCUCAUGGACCACUCCCCUAGGCUGCAGGCAGGCAGGCCAUACGGGCUAGCCUGCAACUGGCACCCAACUAAACAGCUGUAACUUGCCGCGGCGCUGGGCCCCACACGCGUCGCGCGGGGCCUACGCAGCAGCCACACGUCUCAGGCAUCCGCUUUAAACCCGCGGGGCCCGCGCAGGGACGGGGGCUACGUGUGUGCGCAGGGCGCCGCAUCGCUCGCCACGUGCCGCUUCCCGGCCCGGGGCGCGCGGGCCCCAUGACAGCUCACUGCCCCCGAGGCCAACUUGCCGGGUCGCCAGGCGGGCCCUCGCGCUGGACGCCGCAGCCCUGCCCUUGUAUCAUGACGCGUGGGUCUCGUGCGUUACGGGCCCCACAGGUCAGCGGGGUGAGGUGGCCCGCGCUGUGUUGCGGCUGCGAGAGAUGGCGUGCGGGGCUGCUAGGGUAGACCCACGUCUACUACACGCCUCGUUCACAUUGAAUGACACGCGGGUCCGUUAGAUACCCGGCCCGCAAAUCAGUGGGCCCGGUUGUCGCGACGCCUGCGGUUGGAGGGAGACACGUCACGCCUGGUAAUGUGACGGCGACGUACUGGCGCGCCGCAUCCACGUGUCGGGCUGCGGCGGGCAGGGCCGAACGGACGGCAGCGAUGGUGCCCUGCUGUCCCCAGGAGUGGGCCCCGCGCACAAGUGGAUGGCGGAUAGUGUUUGCUUGCGGCCCCACGGUGGUAGAGGCUCGGAUCGUCUGCGUGGAAGCCCAAUGUUUCAUGCAGCGUUUACAUUUUAUAGCGGUAUAUAUGGGAAAAAGAAAAAAAAAAGUUGUAGCAGCUUUAGGCUGAUAAGUGUAGCUAUAGCAAGGACUAUGUGCUAUGUAGUUUUAAAUAGUGUUAAGUAAUAUACUCAAUCCCUGAUGAAGAUAAGGUCUCUAAAUAUUUAAAAUCUGCCUCCAAGUAUAAAAUAUUAUAGGUAUAUUUGGAUAUCGGUUAUUUAAAUCUCUGCCAAAAUUCUCUUCAACCGAGUUAAUGACGUGCAAAAUUUUUUGUCUCUAACAAUCUCCUAUAAUAGAUGUCUUGAGUUAAUGACAUGCAAAUAUGGCUUUUAAUCCACGUGCCAUCCAUUUUGUGGGUCUUGACGUUUGCCAAUUGACAAUCAAACAAGACACUUGUGAGAGGCAUGGUAGUCUUUUGCUAAUCUCUUUAGUCCGUCUUGAAAUUGCUAGUAUACAUGAUAUUUUAGGAUGAAAGGAGUAUGAAACAACAAAUAUGUGUGAUAUGUAGGUACAAACAAAUAAGAAAAAAUAAUUUUAAAACCACCAAAGUACUUAAAAUUGGUUGUAACUAUAUUCUUAGAAUCCAUAAAUAUCAAAUAUGUAGACUAGGAUACUGAGAAAGAGAAACGUUGGACGUUUUGAUACUUUUUUUCUCCAAGCGUAACCUUGUAAUAUUAGAUACUUUUUGUUAGUUUUAAGUUUGAGUUAAUAUGAUUGUUUGUUCUACGUGUAGAAAUGCCAUGAACAACUACAAAGCUAUGAAAUGAACCUUAGAAGAGGAUGGAGAAAUGAAACGGUACAUCUGAUGUGCAGGAGACACAUUCGUCUUAAGGCCAAAGCAAGAGAAAAGUGUCAUAAGUAUCGUGUGUUUAUUGUUUCUAGCAGCAAAAUAACUAGAUCCGUCUUACAAUCCAUGCAAGAUAUAAGUUGAUGUAAAUGUGGGAACUGAGAUGAACAUAUAAAUGGGUCACCUUUCGUGAUCAAAUUUUUUUUGGAUUUACUCCCUCCAUAGAACAGAUUAACAAGGAGGUAAAACGACUUCAAUUACCCUCUAUUUAUUAGCCAUAUUUGACGUUAAUUGACUGCUGCAUGCCCACAUGCACAUGCAUGCACGCCAAAUUGAGUAUAACAAUUUAUUUUGGGGAUAAAUGUUGAAUCGUAGAAUAGCUUGUUUUUGGGACAGGGGAUCGUCAUUGCAGUAGCUAGUAAAGCAUGUUGCUAUUCCAACCAUGCAUGGUAUGUAGCAUGAACUCAAUAUAACAAAAGUACCAGUUUAUCCGGAUAAGCAUAUAAGCUCCAAGCCAUCUGAACAUGAAGCACCCACAAUUGCUGACCGAUCAUCUAGGCUUCUACAGCAUCAAUGAUUGCCGAGCAAGGUGCACACAGAGAAACCACAACCACAGCCUCAUGGAGCACGCCAAGUGCCACAGACUUGCCGUCCGCAGGCGAUCCAGCGAAUCCGCGAGGCGGGGAGCAGAAUCUUGGGUAUAUCGCUUUUGUACGAUGUUGGUCACAGGGAGAGAGAGAGAGGGGGAAAAAAAUCUCUGGGUCGGCGAUUUGACGCUGUCCGAUUGAAGCGCCCAAUAAUUAACUCCGCCGUGUCUUGCCGCGGCUGGGUUGGGUUGGUCGCGGCAAGUGGUGUGCAGGCAACGGGGACGCCGGGCUCGGCUAAACUAAUGGGAUCGGCUUAUUUUAGCAAGCGCGGAGGUUGCUUUCUGACGCUACCGUGCUACGCUAACGCUAGCGUUGGCGGCAUCUUGCUGUGAUUUGAAUAUAAAUAUAAAUAUAUAUACACACACGCACAUUGGAAUAAUAAGUGACACUGAUGGCUAAAUUCUUUGGAGUUUUAUACUUUUAUGUGCCUAAAUAAACAUGUUGAGCGUGUCAAUGCUUUAGAGUUUUGGAGGGAUUCCGCGUUCCACUGAGCGUUUGCAAAUGUUCCUUUAAUAUAUAGUCUCACUGAUAUAUGGGCUUGCCUAAUUCCAACGAGUUAUCGAUAGAGGCGUAGUGUUCAUGUAAUCAUGUGAUAGUGAUCAUAACUUAGAGACGUAUAUGUUUCAGUGGUCGACAAAAUACUUACUACUGCACAACUCGACGAUGACGACCCAAAUCCAACAAAAGAUACCAUCACACGGCGAUAAGUUUAUCCAUUGUAUUUAUUUGUCGACAAUGACGGUGAUGUUUACCGUAGCUAGCUAGCUCUCUCUAUAUACCUGCUUUAUUUAUUAUCAAUAUAAAUGACGGUGAUGUUUACCGUAGCUAGCUAGCUCUCUCUAUAUACCUGCUUUAUUUAUUAUCAAUAUAAAUAAAUAAAAAAGGGGUAGAUCCAACACGCAAACUAGCUAGCUAGCAAUUGGCUACAAAUCGUUGGACAGCCAGCGGCCAGCGUCUGAAAAUAAAGCGCAAGUUGCCAUGCGAUCCUUGUUGCAUCGAUCUCGCGCGCCGUAGACCAACAACACUAAUCCCUGCUGUUAAAUUAAUCCCCAACUUGCAGCUCGUGAUGAAGUACGUUAACUAGCGCUAAGCACUGCACUAACUGAUCACCAUCAGGAGGAGCAAGUGGUGGGUCACGCUCACGCGUGUACACAUGCCAACAAGGAGAAAUAUUUCUUUUCUACCUGUAACUAAAAGGUCAACAACAGAAACACACUGACGAUCGUGCAUGAGGCUUUUGGUUUGGCGAAACCAGCUCUCGGUGGGAGGAGGAGCAACCGGUCCCACUGUCAUAGAGAGGGUACGAUCAGAUGAGUCUAGCUAGCUUUCUGGCACAGUUUUUUUUUUUUUUUUUUUUUGCUGAUCACCGAUAUAGUACGAGUGUGUUAGCUACAGAUCUGCCAUUGGUAAACGACCUGAUCCUUAGUUAGAAAAGUUGCUGAUGCUACGACAGGAUAUCGUAAUGAUUUCUAUGUUUCGAGAGGGAAUCGAUCGGUGACCAAACUGACAAUCCCAUCGUCUGGUACGGAUUAAGUAGGGCCGACCAUACGUAUAUGAUCUCUGCAGAGGUACACGUAGAAGGUUCAAGGGUUACGUUGAUAGACUAUGCCCUGUCCGUACAUGCUCCAUGUGCAUCUCGCAGGGCGGAAAAAAGGUUCAGUGUGUUACGUGCGUUCAGUACUAUGCUUGUGCUAUGUAUGGUUGCAUUGCUAUAAAUUAAAGCAGCAGAGGCAUGUAAUUCUCCAGCGAGAUUUAAAAUGGGAGCUAACUGAACUUUGUAGCUCGUAGCUUGAGCAUUUCAGAUCCUAGAAAAAGUACACUACUAUCUGUUGGAUUUAACGUGGGCCAAGCCCAAUAUUUUAUCUAAUUAAAUCAAAUAAUUUUAAGGCCUGUAUUAAAUAUUGUGCGUACUAUCUGGUUUAGUAGCACAUGAGAAUUUGAUUGAAUGUUGACUUAUAUACGUGAAAUAUAUUUGCUUAUAUUGAGAAGUUGAGAAAAGGGUGAAGGCAUGCCACGCGCGCGUGCCGCUGCCGAGCUGUGGCGUGCCAUGCCUGCGUGCGGAGAGGAGCAGAGUUUUGCCACUCAAGUCAAUUAAUUCUAGUAGCUUCUAAUGGAAAGGAGUUUCUGAAGUUUAAAGCUGGUGGAAUGGUAGUGUCUGCGGGGUUACAAGAGUUACUUCCUCCGUAAUUGCUGACUCCUCGAGAGGUUACGAGAGUUACUUCCUCCGUGACUGCUGACUCCUCCGUUCAGCUUCUGCCCGUGAGAAUAAAAGGAGAACUCCUUCGAGCAGGCCUUCGGAACCAAACCGUCUACGAGUUCAUCCGCUCGUCGGACGACAUCUGCUUCCACUGCAUCGACAGGAACAACUACAUCGACAGAAGCUAUGAACGGCACUGCUGGGUAUGCUACCAUUACACUUUAUAUUCUCAUUUUAGCACUGAUUAGUAUUGUCUACAUGUUCCUGAAGCAUCCAAACACAGCACAUAUUUGAUGUCACAAACUUGGUAGUAUUUUUCUGGAUUAAAUUAGUACUGAAACUGUCUAGAUCUCUAACACCAUCUAGGAUUAAUUAUGUUUCAAACCUUUAGCAUUUGAAGAGACACUGUUUCCCAUUAUUAAUAAUCACUACGAUCAUGAAGGUACUAUUUCAUACUCUCAUAUACGCAUACUCCAACAACUAUACAACAUCACACAUAUAUGGUCGAGCUGUGUGUAGCAUGCAUUAUUCCUUUAUAUGUAAUGUAAUGUUAAGGAAUACUGCAUCUUCAUUGCGAUUCUCCCUCCAAAUCCAAACAUCUUGAACGACCCCAGUCGAGAAUUGGAACCACGAGUAGUAGGACGUUUCAAAGUGGCCUGGUCCUACCGUGUGCUUACUUCCAAACCCAUUUCUUAACAAGGGAACGCAAAUUGGUCCACGUCAAGCCCAUCAACUUCACAUCAUUAAACCCUCAAGCAGGCAAAAAAGUAGGAGGUGGGGCCGGGGAGCAAACAGCCGAUACGUGUAAAAGCACAGAAAGGUCCACCCAGUACAUUCCUUGACCACAAGCGCAGAAAGCCCUCUUGCGCAACUUGUGAGCAGAAUAUUGCCCAGAAAUUGGAGCCUUUACAUCUCCUCUGCUACUUGCUGUUCCUUUCAUCCUCCCAGUCCCAGUACAUGCAUAUGCGUGAUAGUUUAUGUUAUCCACCGACCACUAUUCAGUGUCGCCACGACGCCAAAUUGCAUCGGCGUCAAAUCGCUUGGCCCCCUCGCUACGUGCAUGCACCUGGAGCCGAUACAAUACGUGCAACUUGCCGAUGUGGUGCUCAGGCCAUAAUUCAUGUGGUCGCACCUUGCAGAUUCCUUCGCUCUCUCAUGAUAAGUGUAUAAGUAUUAAGCUGGUAGGGCCAUGCUUGUACUUCUCGGUUCCGUUUUUUUUAGCUUAAUUUCCUCGCUCCAAUAAUGUAACACCUAUUCCUUUAAAAAGAUUUCCAUAAUUUUUUUAUUUCUUUUAUCAUCAAAUGUUAUAAACUCAAUUUUUCACAUUAAAAGUUGGUUAUUAUGAAUAUAUUUGCAUUGCGUAACUUCCAUAUACUAAUUUAAUUAACACUUAUUUCUUUAAAAGGAUUUCCAUAUUUUUAUUUCUACCAUUAUCAAAUGUUAAAAACUCAACUUCAUAUUAAAAGGUCCAUUGGUUAUGAUGAAUCUAUUUGCAUCGCGUUACUUGCAGCUUCUAUAUAUACUAAUUAAACACGAAUAUAGUUUGAUAAAACAUUUGGUAAGACUUACAUAGUUUGUUUUAUUUUUAAAUCAGAAUGCGUCUUACGGACAAAGGUGUAUUUCUUUUUUUUUAAAAAAAAAAGCGAACCAGGCAGGCAAAGGUGUAUUUCAUUGUAGUCAGCAAAGGACAAGUUAUUUUGGAGCGUUUGAUAUUGCUCGUCGUUGUUUGUGGGAGAAUAUGCAGAGAAAUGGGGGAUCCUAUAAUUUGUAAAAGAAAACGACAUGACAUUGCAGCGGGAGGUCAUGCCGGACGUUCGCCGCGGACCGCUGUCAUCCGCUUCUACUUCCGUGCAUGACGAAGCUGAAUGAUAGAAUUCUGUGCCGACGAGGACAUGGUAAUCGUUCAGGCACCACAGGUUCCGCCUCUCAUCAUUCUCUCGGCCGCUCUUUUUUCUCUUUCACUGAAAGCGGCGGACAGGGAGUGCAUGCACCGCACGGAGAGCAAGUUGCCGUGCGGCCGGCCGGCGGUCUAGCCGUGCAUGGAGUACUUGGCAACAUGACAACGACACGGGCACACACCUACACCAGGGGAGGAGGGAACGGGGGGAAAGGCGGAGGGGGAUCCGCGAAAUAUCUCGUGGCCGCGACGGGUCGUGUCGAUUCGAUGGCCGCGCAACGCAACCGCGGGGUUGGGAACAUGUGUCGCCCGCGGGGGACGAGGCGGAUCGCGGCCGGGAUUUGAUGCCGCUCCGCGACCCCGGAAAGGUCGUGAGUGAUGAGUGAUGGAUGCUGAGUUGGGGAAGCUUGCACGGCAGAUGCUCCCCUGUCUGCAAAGGUUGUGGUCAGCAGUAGCCCGGCCCAAAAUGGAUAAGAGCUUUGUUGUUCCCUCGACAAUAACAUUAGCAGUGCCCAGCUUUCGCCUCGACCGCCAAGGCGACAAGUGUGCACAAGCAGCCCAGCUUCCCUCAGGGCCAUAGGAGAAUAGGAAUAGUUAAGACACGCAGAUGAAAGAAGCAGAGUGAUCCAGCAACGAGCAACAAAGCACAGAAGUCAAAUCGCACAAUUGCUAUCUCCAGAUAAGCGCCCAACAUAGCCCAUGGGAUGGAAUUCAUAAAUGCAGCCCAUGCCGAAGUUUGUGUAAACCUGAUGCUCCUAGUUCCUAGGACACGUAAACAAAGCCGCUGCGAGAACACUCCUCAUUCGCUAACCUAAAAAAACACCCUCACUUCUACCCUCAAAAAACUUUCACUACUCCCAUGGGCUACAAAAUGACCAGUCUACGAAGCAACCGGUGUUGGUGUCUGUUGCUUGAGACCAUUGCCGCGCUCAGCCCUCCCGUUUCCAUUCCCAUUCCCAUUGUUGUAGGGGCGUCGCUGUUGAUUACCAUCGUUCUGGUGGUAGCCAUCGUUCUGAUGGUAGCCGUUCCUGUUCCGGUGGUAGCCGUUACCGUUCUGCAGGUAGCCAUUCCCUUGAGGCCCUCGGCCACGGUCUGAAUACUCAUUCUGGUUCCUGAAGUCGUUCCUCAUGUUACCACCACCGUUGUAGUAGCCAUUGUUCCGGAAGCCCUGUCCCCUGUAGUUGUCACCAUUGUAACCACCUCUGCCUGACGGGAACCGACUGCCAGCCCCAUUGUCGUCACAACGAGUGACAACACCAUCAACAACUGAAAUACAAAAGAAAGUAGCACAUCAGUUGAAUCAAACAGUAAUGAGCACAUAGUAGGAUAUUUGGCUGAAGCACAAUAUCUCACUCGUGAAAUGCACUCACCUCGGGUUUUAGUUCUUUUUUCCUCAACAUAUGAUUCCCAGGAGCCGAAAUAAACUCUAGAUUCCUAAAAUGGAAAUACAAGUAAAUACUAUGAACAAUCAGAUACUCAAAUUAUAUAAAACACUGCACAUAACACAUUCUCAGCAUAUUCAAGUUCACAUACAGUACUCCAGCUAAUCAAAACUACUUCAAUCAACAAUGACGGCAAAUGCAUAGUAAAACUGAAACCGAAACCAUGAAUGCAGCUGAAAAAAAUUUAAAAUUAAAUUGCAAAGUAUGCAGUCAACCCAGUCAAACUGGACAAGCAAGUAAACAAACCUCAAUUGCUGCUUGCAUGGAAUGUUGAGACUCAAAUUCAAUGAAGCCAAAACAGAACUGAUCAAGCUGCAGCAACAUGACCAGGAUGUCAGCAGGGAUACAAAUACAACGUGUGGAAACUAAACCAACAACUGAAACUAACCUGGUAUUUUCUGACUUGUAUACCACCAGGUUUAAUAGCACCAAACCUGCUAAACUCUUGCCCAACCAUUUCAACAGUUGCUUCAAAAGGCAAAUUCUUGACAAAAACUGAAUACCCUGGCUCUGCAGAAAAAGCUAGUGUUACAGUUCAGAAUAAUAAAAAUCCCACUUCUUCUAUUUGUAUUUUUUGAAAACACAGAAAAAGAGCUAACCAUCAGGGGAUUUGGUUUUAGACACAUUCUUCUCGCUUGGGGGUGCAGUGUUAGUAGCUUGAGCAGGUUUUGAAGGUGAGGACACAGAUUUCUUCGCAUUUUGAUCCGGCUUUGGCCUUGGGCUGGGUUUGGGUUUAGCAGCAGGUGCAGGUGGUAUGCUCUCCCUGGUUGUCUUAACCUACAACCCAUCAACAGCAGGCAAUACACAUAAAUAUACCAUUACAGGCAUUACAUGCAAUUCUCCAGAUGGUUGAGAACAAACCAAACAAACUAAAUCAUAUUAGAUACUUCCAAUGGUGAAAAGUACAUGAAAUUAAGAAGAUAACUCACAAUUGAUGCAUAAGUCUUCUUAGGUACUUCCUUCUCAGCCGGAGGAGGAGCUUGAGUGGCCUCAGAUACCUUCUCAAUAUCCUUGUUAACCACUUUCACACAUGUCUCAACAACAGCAUCAUUUUUAACUUGAGAAACAGCAUUUGUAGAGGGACUAAUGACUUCAUCAUUGACAGGCAUUAUGUUUUCUGUAGGUGGAAUAUUUGGUUCUGUACUCUCCUUAAUUGAAACUGUUUCUGGUCAAAUAUUAAAAUGUGUCAGCAAAUAUGUGUAAGACAAACUUAAAUGUACUCGUACUCCAUUACCUGGCUCAGCUGGCAAGGUGGUACUCUGUAUGCUUACAUCAUCAUGGUUAGCUACAACUUCCUUCACCUCAGUUGAUGGCCUUACAAUUCUGAGCAUAUCAUUCAAAACAAAAUAGCCACUUCCUUGUGGAGCAAGAAAGAACGACUGUGUAAAUUUUUGUUUCACAGCAUCAAUAGUAAAAGAUCCAGCAACCAAAAUGAGCACCCCAUCCAGAUGGGAUGGCUGUGAAUCUACAGUCUCCAACUUUAUCAAACAGUCAGUGAAGUCUGUAGACUGAAGUUGCACUUUGAUAUCCUGCUCAAGCACAGAAAAUGGAUCAAACAUUCAGAACCAACCUAUGAAUUUAUUUAUUUGUCAAUACAAGCAAAGAUCAUGCUUAGGUGAUUACUAAUAACAGGUGAGUGCUUAAAAACCCUAAUUUCUUAUCGGCAUUCAUGACACAAUACUCCUAAUUUCUUAUCUGCAUUCAUGACACAAUACUCCUAAUUUCUUAUCAGCAUUCAUGACACAAUACUCUGUUCUCCAUCCAUCAAUGUAAAGCGUAUUUUAGUUUUCAAAAGUAACUUUCCAAAUUUUGGCCAACAAUAAUCAAAUUAUACCUGGGUCUAAUGUACAAAAGUUGCAUGAAUUAAAUGCAUCAAAGAGAAUUUUAAGAUGGUGUUGAUUUUGCAGCAAUUAACUUACUAUUACAACAGAUAAGGCCGACCUUCUAGUAAUAAGUUAUUACCGACAAAGAUAUUUUUAGCACCUUAAGUCACUUAUCACACACACAAACAGAUAGCCAUUGCCAAAGUGGCUUGUUCAAUUUAAAACGAUGAUUUAGUCAAGAUAGGAGAUAACAUCCGGUUGAUCAUAGUAAACGUGAAGCUUGCUGGCGGUACUAUCGCUAACAUUGAUGGAUGAUCAACUAUUACUAUUCUAUAAACAGGAUAUAAAAACUAUUCUAAACAGAGCAGAUACAAAAUAUAAGUCACGCAAGAAAAUCUCCUGAAAUUCAAAAAGGGCAACAAAUUUCAAGGGUCCACUAAAAGUAUCUGCAUCAUGAUGUUGUAAGGAACUUACAUCCAGUGUGGUUACCGAUAUGAUGUUUCCAUUAGAAUCUGAUCGACCAAGAAUGCUCGAGUCAUUAUAGAACUUAUAGGCAUCCUCUCGCAUGUAACGGAGAGUAUGGUAGUAUUUUUUGACAAAUGCACCCGCAACCUGUAAGCAGAACCAUCGUUAUUUUAAGUUCAAUAGUAUAACUAUUGCUAGUAGUAGAUUGUUAACUAAAGGGGCAAAAACCAAUACCACAUGUGGACUAUAAGGAGCAGCCGAGCUAUCAGCUUGCAUUGCCAUAUCUGCACAAGGUAGAUAAAUUAGUAUUUAAGCACCCUGACAAGGACCAUGCUAGUAUGCAUAUCUAGUGUAACUGUUAACUGCAGUAUCUCAGAAUAAAAUGUAAAAAAAAAUUCUAGCUACAGAAAUUCCGUCUAGUCAGCUGAGCACACAGGGCAUUCAACGAUGAGCUCCUAAAUUCGAAUUAUAAAUGAUCAAUCCGGGACAAAAUUUGCAUUCAUACAGGACCUCUUUCUGCAGACAGAAACUGCAACUUACUACUAAAAGAAUUAAAAUAAAUCAAUCAUGGAACUAUGGAAGCAACUUGAGUCAACACAAUAAACAAUUUCCCACCAUGUACAAACCACAGGAGACAGCAUAAUAGUAGUUCAUGACUAUAUCUCCUUCCUGAUAGCCUGAUAAUCAACCACGAAAUUGGUGCCAGGUGUGCCACAUUAUUCCAUUUCAUACAGCUGCCACCCCUAGCUCAACAUGGAACCCAGACAAAUAAGGAACCCAGACAAAUAAAGUUCACAAUUUCAAAGCAAGGACCCUGCCAACAAGCAAUUCUCGCAAUGCUCCAUGUUUCACUUAAGAAUCGACCUUUUCUACCACAUAAAUGCAUAGAUUCCAUCCAAUCCUACACAUGGACUACAAAAGAGGACCUGAUUCAUCACAGCACAAACCAAACACCCUAAUAGAUUCGAAAAACGACUAGAAGCACAACAGCAAUUCCAAUCAACAAAUCAACCGACUCCAAACUUAUCUAUCUGGUAAAGGCCCAAUCACAAGUCCAAUCUACAAGCCACUCGAUUCCAAAUUAACUCGCUACCAAAAGCCUAAUCGCACAACGCCUCCACGCGCCAAACCCAACUUCAACCAUCAUCACACAACUCAAACCCUAAACUUCCACCCGUGACGCCCAACACGAACGCACGAUCACAGGCGACUCCACCCGAUCGCCAACAAUCCGUAUCUUCAUCAACCCUACGCGGAGAGAUCGAAAGGCAUUGCGAGAGAAGAGGGAGGGAGGAAGGGAUGGAGGGAUGCACGACCUUGGGAGCGGGAGGGCACGAAGACGGCGCCGCCCCGAGACGCCGCCGCCUUCGCCUGCGUCGGGAACGGCAAACCCUAGCGGGGCGAGGCGAGGCGAGUCGGCGGCGCGAAAGGUCGAGCCGUGGGGGGCGGAGGUGGAGCGUGACACGGGAUGUUGGGGGGGAGGGGGGGCGUGAAGGGUUUAUAGCCAAACGGACAAACUGGUUUGGAAGGGGUUUUAGGGUGGCGUGGCUCUGGAACCUACCAUAUUUCACUGACGUGUGGGACCUAUAAGCUGGUUUCCAUCGGCCGCCCACGUCGGAGAGGGGUAGUUCCGAGCUCGGGUGGGUUACCAUACGAUUGACGCUUUCUUUCCUUCCUGGGUCGGGUCACGCUUGCAAAACCCAGCGCGGGCCGCGAGUGUUAAUUUUGGGCCCAUUGGCUUUCCUAGUGUGCUGAGGCCUGGCCCAUGUAGGCCCGUUGAACAUUUGCACCAGCCCAUUAGUGCGGGUAACAGGGGUGGGCCCCCAGGGCUUCAGGGAUGCACAUGCACACGACCUUGGGAGCUCUGCCUCUCUCGCGGUCUCGCCAUGGAUCCACGCCUCCACCCCUGUUUUGUCGCUGCGACCGCCGAUGGCCUCGCCGUGCCACCCCCACUGCGGGAGUGCGGGGCACCCUCCAUCGGCCUUCCCACCUCGCAGCGGAGGAGGUUGGAGGCGAGAUGUUCUCUGGGAUUGCGAUUAUCUCUAGGUGACCUGGCAAUGGCCUGCCGACCGCGUGCUCGACGAAAUGCGCGCGCGCGCUGGGCGGCGGAUAGAGCCUGGUCGUACGUGCUGCCCCAUGGCCUGGUCAGCGUGACAGCGCCCCGCAUGUUGGGCGCGCGUGCCAGCCGGUGGCGUCGUCCACCAUAGGUGAUGGCUCCUGUUGCAGCUGACCCGCCGAUGGGACGCUGGUAACUUAUUCCUUGCGCUGACAUGGCGGCGCCGGCAUUCCAUGUGCGGUGCCGAGAGGAUUCCUCCCAAGCUCAGGACCGUUCGUCCUUCGCGAUGACGAAAACUAAUCGCACGCGAGGCUGUAGCAGUCCACUAGUAAGAGCCGAUAAAUCUCUGACGGUUGACACUUGACAGUGCCAUUGAAAUCUUAAACGGUGCUGACGCCAUUGAAAAUCAUGGUCAGGUUAGUCCGGGUGGUGGUCCAUUGCAAUCUUGGCCUAUUCACUGUGCGCACACAGUUUGGAAAAUGGCAAGCGUGCAUGCCGCAUGCUGGUCUGGACUCUGGAGUUGGAGGAUGGAGGUAUGCCUUGCUCUGUCACUAUCAGAAAAAUGCCUGCCCUUGUCAGUUCAAUUCAUCUCUCUGCUGCCAAUUUGCGUCCUGUGUCCACGUCUCUUGUCCUAGAUGAUCUGACACUGACUCUGCUACAGUUAUACCGUUGAGAAUCGUUUAUGCUGAACAGAAAAGUUGCUUGCGCAGACUAAAGACGACCCUCCACUGCAGUGCUGGAUGUUGCCUUUACACAGAUUACUAGUUCCGUUUACUUUGGGGAGACAGGGUAAUGGUAGGUUUUGUUGAUUGUCCUUGUGCAAAUCUCAAGUUAGAACUCUUACAGUUCUUUUAGUUAUAGCAAAAUAUUUUGGGCUACAGCUUUAGAACUCCAAGUGGGUGUCAUCACCACUCUGGCAGAGUGGCAGAAACAAUCUAAUUAUCUAAAAUAGUAUGAGAUGUUCGUGGAAUAUAAAAGCCAAAUGGCCCUUUGUACCUGAAACAGGUGUAGAUGGAGUUCAACUAUUGCUUCAUGAAAGAAACAGCAGCUUGUGUAAUCUGGAAUGCAGCAUGAUUCGGCCAAAAGAACAUGACAUGCGUCAGAAGAGUUUAUUAACUAUUAUAUAUAGAUUUCCUCACUUCUUCUAGCACUGAUGGCAGCAAGAUUAGUAUUGAGGAACAUUUAUAUUCCUUCUACAGUUUAGUCUUCAGCAAAAUAUAAAAGGUUACAUUUACUAGAGCCUAAGCUUCUUAACAUAAACAACUACUACCACAAAUACUCAGUUUACACUACUGAAAGAAAGCUGCCUCCGCAGCUUCCAUUGUCCAAAUUGCAUCUUCUCUGUAGCCCCACCAUCUAUGACCUCGUUGAUAAGGUUUUUGAAUAUGUCCUUUUCGAUUUCCAAAACCAUGUCAUGUAGUAUGGUGUCAAAGCUCAUCCAGUCUUUUGUGAUAUCCUCAUGUACUGGCAUGUUUUCAUUCUCAUCCUCUUCGGAGCAUUUUGUUAGCCUGUCAACCUCAGUGCACAAAUCCUUGAAUAGUUGCCACCCACUUAACUUCCUUGACUGAAGAAAUUUUACUGGCUGACUUCGAAAUCUGCAGAUGUUCAUCUUCUGUGCUAUGGUUUCGUUUACCAUGUCAAACACAAGUCUUCGGUGAAGCUUUCCUGUGCAAGGCUUAGAGCAUUUCUUAGCUGCACUGACAGUUUGAAAUUCUGAAGCAAUGUCUGGUUUUGUUUGUUCAAGAAUGAGGAAGAGCUCCGGGUUGAUCAGAUUACUUGAUGGUCGGAGUUGACCAGGUAAUGCUGUGAAACUAAGUUCUUUAUGCAAAAGACCAGAUGCCAAUAGUAUCUCAUAGAUAUAGUGAUGAUCUUUAUUUGCAGCAACUGAUGCCAUGACUUCUUUGAUAUUUGCAGCUUCCUCGUUCAUUGAUUGCAGUUGCUCAAGCUUCUGGAUGAGGAACUCCAAGUUUUCUGGUUUAAUCUGGUUGACUUCACUGCUCGCCUUAGACUGUGGUGUGUCAGGCAGGCUGUUUGGGUUCCAGCACUCAUCCGAAGAAUGUGUCUCACCAUCUGAACAGGUAAUAAUGAUAUUUCAGAAAACAGUGCCCAAUAAUACGAAAAAUACAGAAUUUCACUGUCAGACAAAGCAUGUAUCAGACAGGAGAGACGAAAACACUGUCCACCUACAGAUCCAUCGAAUGAUGCACACUAGGUGUAUUUGUAGAGGGGGACAUUGGUGGGGCACAUCUACUCUAGCAUGUAUGCACACCAAAAGACACAUAUCGUGCUCCUGCAUAAGCAGUGCUGCGUGUGGGGUUGCAGCCAUGCACUGUUGAGCACAUCUAGCUGCUGUGGUUCCUCCUAAUUGCAGGACCACAAGCUAUCUGGUAGCUUUUAUUACAGAUUAUCUGUCACUAGCGUUAUCAGCACACUGACAGCUAGCUAUGCUUGUCCUUUGAGUAACACUAUGGGCUUCUGAAUUGAAUAAGACCAAACAGUAGGAUCUAUCAUGCUGGUGUUCUUGCAGGAAACAGCAGGUUAAUGAUGGUAAACGAAGAAACCUACUUCUUACCUUUGAAUGAAUCUGAAAUCCUUUUAUGAUAGAAGGAUGUGUCGAGGACAGAGACAGGGCUCGGGAUGUUGUCCAGUGAAUGAAUAUUUUGGUCUGAACCCAGAAUUGAAGGACCCUGAAAGAAGAUAGAGAGGAAUUAUUCGCUAGUAAGUAUCUUUGUGAUAAACAAUGAAUACAAAUUACAUGAAAGUUGUAGAACUAUAUGGUUUCUUGAUAUAUACAUUUUUCCCUUUAUCUGUACCUUGUGACUUGAUGUUGUGGCAACUUUGCAUGGUUGAACAAAUGAUGAGCUGACACCUGGGGGCUUUGGACAAUCCAUGAUACUGACAUCAACUUGCUUUGCUAAGCUGAUUCUGCUCCCUGCACUCGGCAAUACCUCAUCACGGUGGCUUUUCACCUGAGAAGGCUUUGAUCUUAUUCGUCCUUUUGGGGAAACAGCUUCAUUGGACUUCUUGCUUGGAGAUUUUGGUGAGACCGGCGGACGAGACCUCCUUUCGGACUCUGCUUUCUUUUGCACAUUUCUGGGGCUUGAUGAACCUGUAGGCCUCGGUGAGCUGGCACUGCUGACAGGUUCUUCUGACUUCGAUUGAGCUCUGGACAUCCGAAGAUGAAUCUUGUCAUCCGUGCCAUUGAAAGAUGAAUCUCUGACCGGCAACUUCCUCAGGCUUCUGAGGCCUGCAAUUGGAGCAACUGAAGCAAGUGAAACCCCAGGCUUCUUGGUGGUUCUUGCAGGCUUCAUAACCACAAUUGGAGGCUGGAAGUCUCUGGGCUCGGUGGCUUGAUCAUACCCUGUCCUCUGAACAGCCACUGAUCCAGCAUUGCUGUCAUUCUGGCUCUUAGAAUCUUUUGCAUUCAAUGCCCCCAAUAUUCUGAGAGCCCUGAAGUCCUUGUUAUUACACUCUAAGAAGUCGAGGCCCCCGAGCCUUCUUUCUAUGUCAGCAUAGACAGAUGCAGUCCUUGGCCUCCCUUCAGCUUCUCGACAUUGUUGUGCUUUUAUGUUGUUGGCACUUCUCUCCUGCUGCCUCCAAGGAGCCGCUUCUGUGAGAAUUCUUGGGGAAGGCUUGGUUCUGAGUACCCAAGACUCAUUCUUCAGCUGUAACAUGCAGGAAUCCUGGCAAGUGCUUCUGGGCGAACGUGAUGGAUUCUCAUAUUGAGUGGCUUGUGCAGGUCUCGGUGAUCUUGAAGUCUCAUGGUUAUCAGCAGUCAGCACCCCUGUAGCAUCUGUUGCUUCUUCCAACCCCAUUAGCUUGGCAAUGACACUGUUGGCUCUCCUAUGGCUUGGAGAAUCUUGAGGCCUCAAAGUAUCCAAGAGAAUAUCAUCAGUUCUCUUGUAACUGAAGUUAUUCUGGCGUGAGCUUGGACUCAGAGACUCCUUCCUACUGUCCAAGGACAAUCUAGGGAGCUCUUUGGGCCUUGAAGAAGGCCUCUUGCUUUCCUGGGUUUCGGCUGGCCGCAGGAGUCUUCGGUCAUCACAUGAGAAGCGUGAUUGCUCCUGCAAACGCCUGUUAGAUUCAGUGACAGUUGCAGGAACCUUUGUGCUCCUAUCGAUCCCAAUAAUACAGGUUCCAUCCAUUGAUUUGGACAGCAGCAGCGGCCUUGGUGAGUCCUUGUACUGCCCAUUUCUCCGUGCCUCCUGUACCGAGGUUUUUACAGUUAGGCCUCCGGAUUCCCGGUUGAUGGAGUCCUUCACUAUAUCUCUGAAACCGACAUUAGGAUGCCCGGGCUUGGUGUUCAUGUCAGUUUCCUUCAAACUUGGUGAUCUCUUCAGUGACCUCUGCACAAAGAGCUCCUCAUUGAUGUAAGGAAGCUCCUGUUGGACUGAUUUGUUGCCAUCAAGCGACGAGAAGGAUGAGCAUGAAGAGGAGGACGAAGAAGCUCUUGAUGAUUCGAUUGAAAGACUGCUGUUCUCAGUCGUACAUUUGCUGAAUGUUUUCUCCUGCAUAAGCAACUGAUAGGUUAGUGCCAGAUUCUCUAUGCAUUCAUAAUAUACUUCUGAUAGAUGUGUAAAAUGGUUUCCCUGACCAAAAAAACGGAAAAAAAGUUUUGAGUCCAACCAGGUAGGAAUAUUACCAGAACGAUCUUUGAAGUACUUGAACUUUGAACUGGGACAUUCCUGCUGCUCUUUGGAACAGUAUUGUCUGGACAACAUAAGGAGGUAUUAGAAUAAAAUAUCUAAACAGAGAAAAUAGAGCAAUUUAUUACGCCAUGCUGGUAAUGCAAAACGCUGAUAGUUAAGUUGACGAAAUAUUUACUGAAAUGCAUUAAUACAUUAUUGGAAUUAUUGCAAUCAAGUGUUGAGCUGUCCUCUUCAGCUAAUCUGUCAUUUAGAAGGUUUGUUUUCUAAAACUAAAUGUUAAGCUGUCCUCUUCAGAUAAUCUGUCAUUACUAGAAUCUAGAAAGAUUAGUUUUUUGUAAAAAACCUAAUGUUAAGCUGUCCUCUUCAGUAUGGUUAUAUAAAUGAAAUUUAUAAUACACUGUUCCGCUGUCCUCUUCAGUCAGCGUGAAUAGUUAACCUUGUGCUCGUUCCGGCUCUGGGGGUACCCAAAUCCUCAUCAUUUGAUGUCGCUACGUCGAUGCGGUGCUCAUCUAGUGCUAAAAGUGUCCGUGUGCUGUCAUUAGUGCAUUCUUAAGUAAAUGCUUUUAUGAUCACAAUUACUACGGUCAACCACUGCUGUAGUACACAUGUUCUCCUUACAGCAUGUAACUUGCACAAGAAACCUCCUAGUCUCUCGUCAGUAAAAGAAGGUACCGUAUACAAAAUUUGGAUUAUGGUACCAACAUGGCAAUUUCUUUUGCAACAUUCACUUUACAGGAAGUUGGUUCGCCCAUGCUGCAAGGCAACCGGUUUUUAUACUCCUGAGCAGUUUUACCAAACAAGGUAUUUUGUUUUUUAUAAUCCGUCCGGUGUUCUUAGCUGAACCCUCCAACUGUCGAUCUUACCAAACUUUUUGAAUAAUAACAUGGAAACGCACUUUAGGUUUCAACGCACACAAGUAGCAUGUUUUUUUUUAGUCAAAAAACUCCUAACUUUCCUAUCUCAAGUCAACACACCAGAAUGAGUUGUACUAGCUAAAUAUCGUCGUGAAGGUGAGUUAAAACUGGAUCAGUUCUUGGAAGCAAAACACAACGGCAAAGUACGACGACGACGAAGAAGAAGAAGAAGAUGAUGAUUUCGCAAAAGCUUGAACAGAGCAGAGCAGAACGAUGCAGAGAGCAGUAAGCAGCCCAGGAGGAAGCCAUUACCUGGAGCUGACGGCGGAGGCAGCCUCUUCUGCGCCUGCCGGCCGGCGCGCCGGCCACUCCCGGUGAUGAGCCGCUGGCGGUCGAAGAUCUGGAAUAUGCCGGCCAUGCACCCCAUUUGCCGGUCGAGCUCCCGCGCGUCGUCGGCGAAGGCCGCGGCGCCGCGCAUCCUCACCGGCAUCGUCCGUGCUCCUCCAAGCUUUCCUCGUUCUCAGCCCCCGAUCAGGCGCCGGAGCAAGGUGGCCGCCCAAGGCGAUCACCAGCUCGCAUUCAGGGGCGCUACAGCUACUGAUGGUCAGGCCGCAGCGCACCACCGCCACCAGAGAAGCUUCCGAAGCAGAGGGGGGAGCCAGUCACGGCGCAAGCAAAGCUGCGAGAAGCAGCGUGCACACGCAGAUGCAGGGGCAGAUAUAGAAGCUGGAGUCUCUUCUUUUCCCUUUGGGAUGGGCGAGUUCAGAGGAAUGUUAUCAUUGCGGCGCCAUGCAGGCUCUCUUCGUGAGGAGAGAAGGAGAGGGAGACGGGGGGAGAGGCCCGUGGAUUUAAGAGGGAGGCCGGCGGGCUGGCUGGGACGCUGGGUAACUUGGGGUUGGGUUGCCUGCCUGGGGGUGCGUGUGUGAUGGGGUUGAAAUAAGGGUGGGGAGUGGUGGUGGGGGGCACCGGCACGCUGUGUUGGGGUGGGUCAAGCCGUGUCCCUGGUCCUGCGCUGCGCCCCGCAUCCAUCCAUCCAUCCAUCCAUCUGCCGCUGCAUCUCACAAGCCCCUCCUCUUCCUACCCAUGUGAGGGGCUGAUCAUUGCGAGUCUGUGGGUGUGCGCGGGCAUGUGAUGCCUGUCAGGCCAGGCCGCAGCGCGCACAGGAGUUUUGAGGAAACGGAACAGCAGGGAGGGAGGAGGCGGCCGGCCGGCCGGCUGUGGCCAGGCCCGGCCAGCCGGCCGCCCCUUCAAUUCGUGACGCGCCCGCCAGCCUGCGCACCACCCGGCACGCGCCGUGCGCCGUGCCCCCGCCAGUCCCUCUCACGCUGCUGUUGCCGUGGCAUUGGUAGGCCGCCUCGGCCCGGCGGUCGGCGGAUCACCGGUUAGCUGGCGCCUGGCGAUCGGCCGCGCCGCGCUGUGCCGCGCGCGUUACUGCGAUCGGGGGACGUUGUGCGCGGUGUGCCACAUACACAUGCCAUCCGGCCCCUGGGAGUGGAGGUAAGCGUCGCGUAUCCAUGUCCCCGCCGGCCCCGGUCGUCGGCAUCGUCGCCACCCUUUUGCCAGGGUGACGAGGGGAACAGCAGUCCAUGCCGGGGCCCCAGGUGUGGUACGCGUAUACAUCCAGCAUCCCAUCGUCCAUCAUGCCGCUGCCGCUCGUACCUGAGAUCUUGAGAAUACGAUAGCCGAUGCCCGAUAGGUUGUCAUGUAUGGUCUCCUCCUCCUCGUAUGCAUGUGGAUAAAAACAUAUACGUACGGGUACUCACUGUUCAUCAUUGCGCUCGGUCGACGUAUCGCAUCGUAUCCUCUGGUCGUAUGCGUCCGUCUCCGAAUGUCUGUCUGUAUGGGAGAUGGCGCGAGCGAGUGGACCUGGUAACUCGUUCAAACCGUUAUGCCACGACCGGGAGCGCGGGAAACCCCUGCAUCUCAGGCAGCAUCUCCAUACGCCAUGGAGGCAUGGACUGAUGGAGUCACGCGUCGUGCAGGGGCGCUUGCUCUCCCGCGCACUCUGAGCGCGUGACACCAGUUACGGCUCGGCUCUCUGAACCUGUGAUCUCUUUUACUGACGGCGCUUGCGACCUCGAUCGGUAAAAAUUCAGGUGCUCCAUCUGCUAUUCCGGACGAAAAGGAAACGGAGAUGUUCGAAUUUGUCCGAAUGGAGAACGGAUCUGGGGACUUCUUUUUUUUUGGCUGCGAAGGGGUGUUUGGACAGGGCAAUUAUGAUGCACAGCUACGUGUAACAUGCACGGCCACUGGACUUUAGUGCGCUUUAAGGAAAAAGGCCGCCGGGUGACACCUUACACACGAGCAGGUGUGCCAUUAACACGUCGUUAAGCCUCUCUCAAGAAAGGUUUACUACUACUCAAGAUCGCAAUCGCAACAGUACUAGGUUUUGAGCGGCCGUCAGUACCAUCAACACGCUGCUAAAAGUGCUAAACCUUGUACUAAUGCGGGGAUGGUCGGUUAACCAACACUCACCAGUCGGAUCUUCUGGCUGGCCUCUGGUGAUGCAAACAGAUAUCUGAUGCUGAGAAAGCAUAUCCUAUCCUGGUGAAGCACACAGCGCACACACUCGUUCCGAUGAACUCCUCUUUGCAUCGAUAAUCGUUUGUUUUUAUUGUGGUGUGGUUGUUAAUCCUUAUGCAUCGGCUUCCGGUUCCGCAUCUAGCGAGUCGUCCUGAGCUCAGCUCACAUGGCGAGCGCGUGGUUAACAGUAAACAAGCCUGAGCCCCAAUCGGAGGAACCCCUCUCGUGACAUCACGUUGCAAGUCUGAGCCCGAUCAGUCAUGCCGCUGGUGUGCCUGGUGGUAGUAGUAAAAACCGCUCUGCACCAAUCGAGGUGCGCGGGAUGGCUGCGACUGUGAGCACUCCCAUGGCUGGCGCGCGCCAUGGCGGUGCAGUGUAGCGGUGGUCCACGUCCACGGCGCCGCUCGUCACAAGUCCCGACGCCGAGCUCGUAGAUGCGGGCGCGGGACGGCGGGGGGCAGGCAGGCCGACGCCGCCGGUGUGUGUGUGUGUGUGCGGGGGGGGGGGGGGGGGGGGGGGGGGGGGGUUUACUGGUGCUAAUUCAUGUUUCAGCUAGUUGUAUGCGUUAACCAUGGUUGGGUGUUUUGGUUAUUGGGUGAGUACGCUAGCUGCUAGCAACUGAGCUGCCGGGGCCUGUCACUUAAUAAGAUUGGCUCUCGCUCGAUCGUCCUGUUCGGCGGCACCAACACUGUGGCACGAUACUUAGAAGUAUUAAAUAUAGAUUAAUUAUAAAAUCAAUUACAUAAAUGAAGACUAAUUGUGAGACGAAUCUAUUAAACCUAAUUAGUCCAUGAUCUGAUCAUGUGAUGCUACAGUAAAUAUGUGCUAAUCAUGAAUUAAUUAGGUUUAAUUGAUUCGUCUCGCGAAUUAGCCUUCAUCUGUGCAAUUGAUUUUGUAAUUAACCUAUAUUUAAUACUCCUGAUUAAUAUCUAAAUAUUCGUUGUGACAAGGACUAAACUUUAGUCCCUGGAACAAACACCCUCUCAGUUUCAUUAAUGUAUCCUCAUCACGUGGUCUCAAUUUCUCAAUUGUAUCUUUGUCAUUCCAAUAUGUUUCAAUUGCUUCAUAAAUAUGGGCAGAUGCAAUUAAUUUGUCUCAAUUUCUUUGAUGUCAAGCAUAUUUGCAGCCACCUAAGUGGUGCAAAGGGCUUCACAUUAAAGCUAACAGCAUAGUAAUUAUUUUUAUCAAUUUCUUCAUAAAUCUCGUAGGUUUGUGAUGUGUUUGCCAGCUUGUCAAACAACACAUUAGUUAUGUAAAAUUCACAUUGAAGCAGUUUAAGAGAGAUAAAUGAAUAGUGAUCUUAAGUUGUGUAUAUGAAUGGUAUAUGGCAUAUGUCUACUUGCCCCCUUUGAUUCCUGGCUCCGCCCCUGGACGCAGAUGCAGUGAGUUAACCACGCUGAUACUCUGCUGCUGCCUGCUGGUGGUGGUCUGGUCUGGUGGUACUGUAACUUUCUGCAGGCGGGCAGCAGCGAGCAACUCGAACUCAACAAACUCUGCUGCGGCUGGCGGAGAGUGGCGUUAACUGGAAGCGAACAAGAAGGCAAGCUGGAGAGAGAGACAGGCGCAUUGAGGCGGGGUGGGGCGGGGACGGGGAGGGGCCCCGGGGACCAGUGCGGGUGGAUCUGGGGGCAUGGCUGCCGAGUGCUGGCGACCUGCGUGGGCUGGAGGAACUGGACCCCCGCGCCUGUUUGCCCUCCCGCCAUCAUCAUGCUCCAUUCCUCGUUCCUUAUCCCUGGCUAAAUCAUCCAUCCAUGGAAAUCAAGGUCAAGUGCUGGUUUCUCAAAAUUUCCAGAGUCUUGCUCAUCACUACCAUGAUAGGUAAAAAGUGAAGAACGUGCAUUGCAUGAACAUGAACAUCUUGCCGACGAGACGACGACUGUUUCGUUUUUGUUUUUGUGGGGCAAAAGGACUGGAUUUUUCCGGCGGCGAAAUCCGGAGAGGCUCGUGAGUGAAUGCUGCAGCGAUGGUUAGGUUAGGUGGAAGGAUCGGUCGCUGCGAAUUGAAGGGAGUUCGUUAGGUUUUCCCGCCAGUUACAGUCGCCGCCCCGGUUCGUACGUGCGGCGCCAGGGGAUCGUUGCCUCUUCAUUUCCUUUGCCGCCAACGUUUCCUUCCCUCCAAAUGUCACAAAAUUCAGGACCCUGCAGCCUACGUACAACAGCGGUGAAUCACGAAAGGACACGGCAGGUGUUCCUGGACAUUUACUCCGGUCGUAGUGUGGGCGUCUUCCAAGCAUCCCUUGUCAUGGAUAAACUGAUGCUAGCAUAGGACUACAAGUAUUCUCUCAUGGAGAGAAGCACUGUUGGUUGGAGUGGUGACGGUGUAGUGAGUGCAUGCUGGUUCCCUCCAUUGGAGUUAAAAUCUUGGUGUUUCCGAGUAUGAUAGGUGCGUGAAUCUCUAGUUGCUGUAGAGGAUGAAAAUUACAGUUCAUCCAUUAACAAGAUAUUUUUUAUGGGGAAUCAAAUCAUUCAUUAGAAAAUUGACUACAUGUUUUCUUUCCUUUGUCCUCUUUGCAAAGGGGACUACAUAAAAGGAAAUAUGAAAAGUAAUAAUUAAGAAAUUGUGUCCUCUGUAUUGCAGUUGCAGGCUUGCAGCCGCACAUAACACAUUAGAGUAAUAAUGCAAAUCCUAAAGAAUAAGUGGUGAUGGAACGGAUCGAACAGCAGGUACAUCGGACCAGGAUACGACGUCUACAUGGUAUGACAAGAGCACCGUACCACACUUGGGUACAGCAUCCCACAGGCGCUCGUGCUAAGCCCAUCCGCUAAUCCCCGUCAACGGCGACAGGUACACGAAUCGUGUGACAAAGAGCACUGUACGUACCACACAAAGACGAUACAGCAGCCACAAUUGCUCGUGCUAAUCCCAUCCAGUAAUCCCCGUCAACGGCGACAGGUACACGAACCGCAUCAAGCUUAGCUCAGACCGAGAGAUCGAGCUCAUCCUCAGCCUCCCUCUCGUCGUCGCGUGCAUUACUCCAUACAAUGAAAACGAACUGGACGCGCCAACAAAAGCGACGCGUGUACAGUGGACUCGACCGGCACCAGUCCUUGCCACUCAUUGGCAAUUUGGCACUCUGAACCCAGCAUUACUUGUCCAGUGAAUUAUUUCCCAGGGACGUGCCAGUGAAAAUAAGCAGGUUAGGUUUAAGUGAGAGUGAGACGACUCACUCACCGUAAUCACAACCAAUCCAUGGCACAAGAAAGUUGACACAAAACUUCUCUUUUGAAGCUUUGCAGGCCUGUAAUGGCAGUUUUACCCACGGGUACGGGUACCCGCGGGUCCUACCUAGAUGGGUAAAGAUACAGGUAUAAAAUUUUACCCACAGGGGUAAAGGUACGGGUAUGUAAUUCUACCCGCGGGUAAAGGUAUAGGUAUAAAAUUCUACCUGUGGGUACCCAAUAGGUACCCGGAUUAAGGUACUCGGAUUAAAAAAGUCCGUACAAACAUUUAGCCCAAGCCUAUACAAACCCUAGCACACCACCCGUUACCUAAGUCCUAAUCUUAUUCUCGUGCCUUGUUCCCCACUUCCCAUCCUCGUGCCUCGUUCCUCACUUCCCCAACCGCCGCCAGUCCUCCAAUCCCCUGCCCGUCUCCUGCGGUCCUGCCUCCACCCCCGAGGGCCGCGGUUGCUGCCUUACUGGACAACAUUUGAUCUUAUGUUGUAAUUUCUUAUUUGGCUUGUGUGCCAACUUAGGACUUAUGCACAUGUGACAAUUUGAAAGUAGAGAAUCUGAGACUUAUUUAUGUCAGUAUGUUUGUGAUCGUGAAGUUUGAGACUUAUUUAGCUAUCAAAUUAUUGUUGUACUCUUGGAUAUGAACUCAUUGACAUGUUUGUGUUCAAUACCCGUCGGGCACGGGUAAGGAUUUUUACUUGUUAUGUUUGGCGGGUACGAAUAUAAUAGAGAUAGACGGGCAAAUGCUUUACCUCUACCCUACCCUACCCGUUGCUAUCCCUAGUAGCCAAUAUACCAGUAGCCAGUGCCCAGCAGGUAGCUAGCGUUGCUCAUCAGCGACCGGACACGAGUUAGAUGUGCACGCAGCUUUUCAGCCUCCUCUGCAUGCCGUUGGAGCAGUCCUUUGUUGUCAAGUGUCAAGUGUGUAAACCGGGCGAGCUAGCGGCCAAGCAGCAGCUAGCAGGGGCAACCAGCGGCGAGCACGCACCGAACAGGCCGAGGGCGACGCGCAACGCAGGCACGCAGUGCGCUGCAUCCUGGCGGUAUUGGGGCACCCGCCGGCAGGCGCAAUCAAUGGAAGCCUCCCGCCGUGUCUGCGUCUCCGGCGCCGGGUCGCUGUCCGCGCCGCGGGCAGGGUCGCUGCCGCCGCAGCUGGGCGGCCGGAGCCUUGCCCCCCGCGCCCCGCUGCCCGCGACGCGCACACGCCGCGUCGCUUGCGCGCACGCCGUGCCAUGCCGGCCGCGGCUCGGCUGCAUUCCCACACGCAGGCACUGAGGCACGUCGCUGUAGUCGCGGUCAGUUUCUGCUCUGAUGCGGCGAACGUGAGAACUGGUAAAAGCAACGUGCGCGCGUGCAGGGGUGCAGGAGCAGAGCAUGGUGGGGGUUGGCUGGCUACUGGCUGCUGCAGGGUGCAGGGUGGCCUAGCUACCGAGUAGAAUAGCUGAGGUCUUUGUGUAAUUGCGUGUGUAGUGUACUACGCGUGAUGGCUUGGGAGUGUGGGAAAAGAGACGCUAGGUUUUAGGGUUCUGGAAGGAUGUGCAAAGUGAAAGCAUGGAAAUGAUCUUGGGCUUAACGUAUCAUUCUAAGAUUAGGAGUGACGUAUCAUUGCAUUUUUCUCAAAAGAAAUGAGAGACGAAACGAAACGAUCGAAGCGAAAACAAGACACUGUCGCUCACGCCACAUCUCCUGCUACUUCCUAGUCUACAACUCUAGACGCCAACCAAUUCUUCUGACUUUCAGAGUAAACACAAGUGUCACCGAACCAACCAGUAAUACAAAUUACAAAAGAACUCCUAACGUACGACAGAAUUCUUUAGCACGGGAUUCUCUCUGAUCUCUGACAGAGAUUAAGAAGGGAUAGUUAUCUUGCCGCUGUCAGUAGUAGGUGUGCCGACACUUACCAGCACGGGCCUGCUGAGGUAAGCAGCCAGCACCUGCCAUUGCAAGCCACUGCAACGAACAAACCUGCCACAAAAUAUAUGGAGUACCAUCUCUUUUCAGGUACAACUUGGCAGGAUCCUGCUGACGACACUCUGUUUUUUCUUGUAAGUUGUAAAAGAAUAAUGGGAGAGAAUCUUGCAGGUGACAAGGAUAACAGAGGAGCUAGCCAUAGAUCACUCAACACCUGGAGAAAAUAAUUGUGAAAAGAAAAUGUUUUUUUUGAAGAGUGAAAAGAAAAUGUUUGAUUGGUUUAUCCUGCCCAGGCAUUAUUGUUGCUACGGCAUAUUCUGUCAUCUGAGGUCAAGAUCUGUCGAUGAAACAUUGCUGGGCUGUGCUUCUUGGAUCGAUGAGACGACGACGACGACGCUAUGCAUCAUUGCAUCGUGCAUGUUCAUCCGCCGUGCGCAUUUCGAUGAUGCAAUUGGCAGGGAGCUGUGGGUUAUCGUGCAGUUUGCAUCUCGGUCACAUGAUACCUCAUGUGGUGCUAGCUCGGUACAGCCGUGUAUAUUCUUUUUCUUUUCUUUCUUUCGUCAAGAAAUAUAGUUUUUUUUUUCUUCGGAAGGCUGGAAAUGGCCGGGGAAUAUUGAUAAUUGGCAACACAUGCGCACAGCACGUACGUACCUGGAGAAAAGACUCUGAAUCAUUCUGAAUGAUGAAAAGGAUAUCCAGUUAGUUUAGGAUUUUAUUUUUGUUCAGUUAGUUAGUUAAUGGCUGUUUCUUGUACAAUUGUACUCUGCUUGUACGUAUUAUUGUAUUAUUGGGCAUGAGUAGCUAGCCAUGGGACAGUCCAAAAAGGUCCCAAACUAGAGCAGGCUGUGCGCCAGCCGUACAUGCGCGCAAGAUUUGCCAUUAUACGAGAUUCGGAAUCGGAGUAGUUAAAAUGAUUAAAUGGGACAAGGAAGCACACCGUGCACCUUCUUCCUCAAUGCAAGGAGGAGAGCGGAGCAGUAGAUUGAGAAGGUUGUAUUUGUAUGUGUGGAGCACAUCCUUGUUUCAAUACUGGUUCAGACUUCAGAGUAGUAGACAUGUUGAGGAUAGAAGAAGAAGAGACAUGGUCUCACACAUGGAGCUACCAUCUGAAACUACGGGGUGUUUGAUACGAGGUGCUAAAGUCACAUCGGAUAUUCAGAUGCUAAUUAAGAGAACUAAAUAUGAGCUAAUUAUAAAACUAGUUGCAGAAUCCUGUGCUAGUUCGCGAGACGAAUCUAUUAAACUUAAUUAGUCCAUAUUUUGACAAUGUGGUGCUACAGUAACCAUUUGCUAUGUAGCACCACAUUGUCAAAUCAUGGAUUAAUUAGGCUUAAUAGAUUCAUCUCGCGAAUUACAUUCCAUCUGUGCAAUUAGUUUUAUAAUUAACUUAUAUUUAAUACUUCUAAUUAGCAUCCAAACAUCCGAUGUGACGAACUUUAACAGCCCUCGAGUCAAACAGCCCCGUACAAAAAGCUACGGUGAGGUGGUGUGUGAUGGCUAGUAGUCGAGUUUGUCGAAGGGUUCAAAUCAUGGUGGCUGCGUGCACGACGCAUUAAGAGGGUGUUUGGAUACACCCUUCUAAGCUAUGGUACCUAUCACAUCGGAUGUUUGGAUACUAAUUAGUAGUAUUAAAUAUAGUCUAAUUACAAAACUAAUUGCACAGAUGGAGUCUAAUUCGUGAGACGAAUCUAUUAAACCUAAUUAGUCCAUUAUUUGACAAUGUGGUGCUACAGUAACCAUUUGCUAAUGAUGAAUUAAUUAGGUUUAAUAGAUUCGUCUCGCGAAUUAGUACAACGGUUCUGCAGUUAAUUUUAUAAUUACUUAUAUUUAAUCCUCCUAAUUAGCAUCUUAAUAUUCGAUGCGAUCCAUCUAAAGUUCAGUAUCCCGUAUCAAACACCCCUAGGCUUAGCGACGGCAGCAUGGAUGGCCCCUGCAGACGGCCGGGUCCCCGACCGGCCGGUGAGAGCCGACGGCAGCAAGUCUGCAAGUGGCUGGGUGGUGGUGGAUAAGGAGGAGGCGACAGCGUGGCUCAGGCCAGCAAGGGCGGAGCAGGCACCCCACGUGCGCGGGGCGGAGGCCGGCGUGGCGUGCGCGCCACAUGGCCUGUGCGUGUGCGCCACCAUGGCCUGCAGCGCCGCGGACGCAGCCGCAUGCAGAAUCCCUAUCCUCUUGGACUGGACGUGCGCCUCUUUCCUCGGCGCACGGAGCCCCGGCCGCCCUGCCCUGCCCUGCAGGAUUCUCUGCACGACCUCGCCGCCGCCCCCUGCUUCGUCAGAGCCGCACGAGCUCCCUGUCCACGGCAAGGUAACAGCCAGGCAGGCAGGCAGGCCACACAAUGACACAACCCCCCUGACACAGAGUCAUUUCUCGGCGCUAUGUUGCUGGGCGCGACGACGGUUGUUCAGAUUUAUUUUUUGAAACAUUCGGUUGUUCAGAUUUGAUUCAGUCAUUCAGAACGUGCCAACUUGGCAUGAGUAGAGUACGUUCUCGCAGGAACUGUACGUAUUCUUUCUGAAGCAACUGUACUGUACACGACGGCGUAGUUUUGUUCGUACUUUGUACGAAAUCCAUUGGCUCUACCCAGCGUCGCUGCACGCAUGAUUGAGCUUCUCAUCCAGCGCGAGACGGCGAGAGCGUUGCAUUAUUCAGACGCCAACCUGUGAUAAUCAUUGACCACCAGAGAAGAGAGAACCUAGUAUGCGAUGAUACUUGCACACACACGGAUGCGCAAGUGCCGGGACAGGAACAAGACACGGCAAGGUGCCGAUCACUCGGAGCUCCUAGCUAGCGGGCGGCACAUGCCAUGCCGUGCGUCGCCGGUCGGCAGGCUACUUCCUGCGUGGCUUCAUCGGCCGAUCGGGCAACCACGUGGCCCGGCCGGCCACUAACGCCUUCGUUUGGUACCGAUCGGUCCCGGCCCCCGAGAGCACGACGGCUCAAUGAUUCGCGCGCAUGGGUUGCAUGCUCUCGGUAGAUCAUAGAAUGCUUACCAGUUGCCAUCAUCGGUCUCAUGAUCAUCCGACGACCACCCCGACGUCGUCGCUGUAAGUGCUGCCGCUGUGCCUAGCCUACCUAGCAGGCUGCGUGGGGUGAUGUUCUGAUGUGGCUGUGUGCGGUAGCUAAUUCGGCGUGCAUGUGAGAUGGGUGCAGCCCGUUCAGGACGGUUGCCGGCCGGGGUGGACUGAACCGAUGGAUGCAUGCAAUGUGUGUGGACUGUGGUUAGUUGGGCCACGGGGUCGUCUUUCCCUUCAGAUUACUGUGGCGGAAUGGCUGGUGUCGCGUGUCGCCCACUGGUCACACUUUGUUCAGUUGCUCGGAUGGAGAUCGAUCGAGUUGAGGACAGUUGGUUUGGUUGGUGCUUCUUUUGCUUUGGUCUUUCCCACCCCUGCCUCUUGCUCAACUGCUGAAUACGGUGUUGGUAGAUGACCUGAUCUCAGAAUUGUCGACACUACUUGAAGACUGAGUUAGUUCACCCCUUACCCUGUCACCAAGUGGCUCGCUCAACUUACAUGUUUAUUACGCGUCAUCAACAGCAAAAACACGGGAAUGAUUUGACAAGAAUCUACGCAGAACGCUGCUAAAAGUUGCUAGUGUUUCGUGUGAAAUUUCCAUGUGAACAUGCAGAGACAUCCACUCUGCGGUCUACGCCCUGCCGUCUAGACAGCUAAGCUAGCCUGCCGAAAGAAAUACGUACUGGGAAGAACAGUUCGCAACAGGCCGUACACAAACGUGCGAGCACGACACGGUUCGGCCGGGACAUGAUUGGAACAGCCAUCACGUCAAGGGCCGACGGGACACCAAAGCUGAGCCCCAAAAACAUGCCUGUGCCGAUGCCGGUACACCUAGAGCUCGUACACCGCCUUUUGCCUCAUCAGGGGCGUACGUCCCCUACACAGCUAGCCGGUACAGACUCCAGGCAGGAGGGGCCUCUGGCCCAGAAGCACGGAAGGGGAUGAAUGGCGGGCCCCACACGCCAUGAGAGACAUGAGCGCGUACGUGACAAUCAGUGGCCUAAACCGGCAAGCCUAGCGAAGCACAGCUGGGGGAAUUAUUGGGCUGUUUUUGUUCUUGCGCUGCGACAGUGAGCGGUGAUCAUGGGUUCAUCAUGGUGUUCUUCUUCCUUGGUUCAUCAGGGUGUUCUUCUUCUUCCUUGGCUACAUUUUAACUGCAACGGCUUGUAAAAGUAAAACCAUGGUACGUUUUGCAGUUCAACACGAAACCUCGCAUUGGAUAGUUUUGUGUCAGUAAUUGGACGGCAAUCACGGCAGGAUCUUACGCAAUGGAGGCAUUUAUUGGGUGGUCAUUUGUUAAAACGAUGUGCAGUCAAUAGUGAAAGGAAGCCACAAGCCAGGUUGGAGAUUUGGACAUGCAUGUGUACUACGACGGUUUGGGGGUUAAGCUACCGACUUCAAAGUCAAGAUCGCCAUGAUUCUCUUCGGAUCUCUAUUGCACUACUUCUACUUCCUAAAGGUUCCAAGCCUUUUUUAUACGCAGUGAGGUAAACACGCGGACAAGCUGAGAUACUCUUGACGUGCCAGUCACAUGCUACCACAGUUAGCUAGCUGACUAACCUUGCCAUCAUGCAUGUUCUUUUUUCCAAAAAAAAAACGUGGGAGUAUAAUUCUGAGGUUAAAUUAUGCUUGAGACUAGAACAUACACAUAGUUAGCGAGAUUGAAGAUAUUAUAUAGAUGAAAAACCGUUAAAGAGAUUGGAUAUAAAGUACUAGGUAACCUAUGUAUUAGUUUGCUAGAUCGGUUCAGAUUGGGAAUAAUUGAGAUCUGCCGUAAACUAAUCACGAACCGAUGGAUCGGAUCGACCAACGAACCUGCCUGCCUUUCUGAUCACUGUUUGUAUUGACCGUACUUGGCAGUUGGCAGCGAGCUGAGGGAGCACAUGCCUAUCAUGGAGCUAGGGCAGCCGCGCAUGUGUGCCUCGGAUUGACAAAUCAUGUGUGUGUUGGUUAAGCUAACUGGCUGAGCAAGCGCAUUAUUGUGGAGCAGUAUGCAGAUCGGGAAUUUAGUAAGCAAUGACUUGUGCGGAUGGGGCAUUACAUGUGUGUCAGUAAGCUAAGGUACAGUGCAAGAAGCAAGAGGCCACGGAUGUUCUUGCUCUUAAUUUGGUCUUUGCUAGCUGUUCUGUUUCUUUUUAAACGAAGCUGUUAUAUGUAAGAAAUUGGAUCUGAACGAAGAUGCAGAGAUGACCUGCACUGCAGGCACUGGAACGGAAAAAAAUGGUGAAAGAACAACUGAACAAGUUGAUGACUAGAAAUGGUGACUUAUAUCUGGGCCGACAAUGCAAGGAGCUUAAUGGACCGAGAGGCCUUGCAAUUCCAUUCCUGGGAAACCGCAUGUGGCCGGCCGGCCACUCCAAUAUCGUUUUCGUUUUGUUUGGUACAUACCUUGUCGGCGAGCUCGGCUUUGCCGGCCCGGAGACCACGACGGCGAGCUCAAUGAUUCGCGCGCGUGGGCUGUUACGUCCUCGACCGGCCGUCGCGCGAUGCCAUCGAUCUCUCACCUGACAAGCAACGCAACGUCGUCGUCGUCGCUGUGCGUGCUACGGCUGCGUGAUGUGCGAUGGUGUUGGUCUGCAGGAUGACAGAGGCACGGUACUCCGGUGGACGAUGGCGUCAAGUGGCCUGAGGGCGUAGCCAGGAUUUGAACAUACGGGAGGCCAGGAAAGCGAUACCGACAACAAUCGUACAUGAUGACAUAUACACAGUAUACUUAUAUGAACUUGGCCAGAGCAUAGAUAACAAGCAAUUAAAGCUGCGAAUUUGGCUAGAUCAUACAUAUGUUUGUUGAUAAGAAGAAAUUAAAGCUAGUUGUCAAUUAGUUAUCUUCGAAUUGAAUUAAACGUAUAUACACGGAUAAAACAAGAUAGUAUGUGUUUGCCAACACAAAACAUGUUACAUCUUUAACUUGUAUUUAGCUCGGGUUGGUUGCAUUCAUCGAGAUUAGAAAAUGAUCGAGCAGGACAGUGUUUCUUAACUAGAGUUCAAAUCUUUGGACUAUCAGAGGUGUGUGGAGUCUUGGACCAAAGGCACAAAGUGCUUGAAGAUCCGUAACUUGAUAGUUCUUCCAAUUCAAAUAGCUUUCGAUGGAUUGCGUAAUUUAAUUAGCCAUAGCCCCCACCUCAAUCUAAUUCUAAAGCAUAGUUGCAAUGGGAGAUUACAUCGUACGGAGGGAGCGUGGGGCAUAGGUUCAUGGAUUAGCAGCCUAGUGGGCUAGUGGCUAUUGGUGUUGCAUCUUUCACGGCCGCACCAGCGGACGGUGGCCUGGAGUCUGGAGAUCGGAGCACCACCUGAGAAGCAGCGGCACGAAUGAAAGGAGAGGAAGCGGAAGCAUCCGUCAACCAUCGGUAGCCUGGCAGCAGGCUGAGGACACGGACGGGUUCCUCUUCAGUUGAGCAAAGGCUUGUUCGCCCCCCUUGGCUCCGCCCCAGUGACGGAUGCGUGCGUCCAUGGGUAUCCUGGUUAGUUGUGCAUCUGUCAGAUCUGUGCAAGGGAGUCGUGUCCCUUCACUCUACUGUGGCAACUGGCCGGGGAGUGUUGUCGUGCAUGGCAGUGGCGUUCACUACCACGGGGCAGGAAGUUCCUGACGGCCGAAAACCGUCAGGAAAGGCCGGAAUCCACCGACAGGAGCAGCUAGAGAGAAAAAAGAGUCACUUCCUGACGGUUAGCCGACAGGAAACUGCUCCUGACGGUGGGCGUUCGACCUGUCAAUCCAUUCUCUUGUUACUGUAGCCGUGUUACUGUAGCCGUCAGGAACAGCCAGAGGAACGGCCUCUAGACAGGAAUUGGCACGUUUUCGAUGACGUGAAAGCCGACAGGCCAAAACGGUACAAACCGACAGGAUUUUGCAUUACACAUUUCUUGACGGCCUAAGCCGAAAGGAGUACAGGACAGAAGAAACUUCAUUUAAUAGAAUAUACUACCGAUGCAAUCCAUGAGCACACCACAAUGUAUUAUACACAUUCACUCAGAAGUCACAGUACAGAUUAAAUAGACAUGCCAUUCAUCCCAAGUUCAGAUAUUCAUAUCAUCCAAAAUUAAAUGGCACUAACUUCACAGAUCACACAAAAGCCAUCCAAAUAUGUCUAACACGUCUUGCUAGCACUAGCUUACACACAGCAUUUCCAGUUCCAGCACUUGUUAGAGUUUACACAGAUCCAGCAUGUCCAGUUGGUGACUCGACUACGCAGCAUGUCCAGCACCUGACACAGCAGAAGGUCGAUCGACUAUACCAAAGCAGCAAGUGCAAUGCUAACAAAAGGAGAGACCUUUCCACUCUCUAAUUGUACCUAUCACCAUAUUUCACUCCAGGUUAAUGUUGUCUUCGUUGCCAUCCCUACUCUGAGAACCAGAAACUUCAUUUGCAACACGGGAUGACUCAGUAACCUACAAGGAAUAGAGUUAGUGACUCUUAAGACUGGAUGUUAAUAUCAGUGUAAUUUCACUAAGUAACAAAUAGUAAUUUGAAUGAAUGGUGAUAACAGCUGUAGUAGUACAAACUUCGCCUAAGAAGGUAUUUUUAUGCAAGCAGAAACAACAGCCUAGUCCAAUGUUUUGGAGAAUCUAAGCUAGCAUGAGGCAGCUUUUACUUCUCUACAAUGGAAAAAAUGGACCAGACAGACUAUAGAGAGCAUGACUGUUGAAAUAUGCAAUGCAUACUUGGAACAUUCUAGAAGAUUGUGGAAAUCUCAAGGACUAACUUUGCCAUGUAUAAGGAUAGGAUCAUGGCAAGGUAAGAAGAUUUUAGAAAAUUGGAGAGAAUGCAUAAGCUAUAGUUGCCAUGCUUCACGGUGAAGUAUAGAAUACUCUAGAACUAGAUAUUUUAGCAUGGUAGAAAUAUAAGAAACUAGAUAAAGAUGAGAAGGGUUCUAGAGUUAGGAUAUUUUGUAUGGAAGAGUGUGGAAGUAGGAGUUAACACAUGUCUAGGAGUUAACACAAAGAAGCAGGUCCACUACACAAAAGCAGCAAGAGAAUGCUAACAUAAAGAGACGCCUUUUCACUAUUCUGAGAACCAUAAAGUUCAUUUACAACAUGGUAUGACGCAGUACCCUACAACAAAUAGAGUUAGUGACUUUAAAACUGGAAGCAUUACAAAUAUAGGAGUACAUCGUUAUUGAUCUCGCGAUAGUAAUUGGAAUGAAUGAUGAUAGCUACAAUAUUACAAACUUCGCCAAAUGAUUAUGCUUGCGGAAAGCCAAAAAUAACAGCUUAGUCCAAUUUUCUAGAGAAUCUAAACUAGCAUGAUUAAUACAUAAUUGUAUAUACAGCUUUGACUUCACUAUAAUGGAAAAAAUGUAGAUUUUUUACAAAUUCAUGACCACAGAUUUGCAAUAUCCAAAGUUCUAGCUCAGUGAAAAAGAAGGAAGAAUAAACAAUUAGUUGGUGACUUGCUGAAAUCACGUUCAUUAUAGUUUCUUGAAUAACAGGUCUCUUCGCUUGAGCAAAAUUGAAAAGGGGCAUGGAUAUAAGUGUGUUUGACUAUUACAUUACAGGAACAAUGGCAUAAUGCUUCAAAAUCAUAUUCUUACCAUGAGCCUGUCAAACCUCUUGCAAUCAUCUUGUUUAGUUUCCUCCACCAAUUUGGCCAGCAUAGAUUUGUUGUAGUAACAAAUUCGUGGAGUCACAGAGGCAUCGCUUUUGAAUUUAUCUGACUUUAGGUUGUCCAAGUAAUAUAACUGUAGGCAUAAGUUUACCGUUAGAUACCCAAAGAAUAUAGUCUUUCCUGUAAUCUAGUCCCAAAGAAUACAUGCUAUGUCGAUGACACUAGUUGGUGACUUGCUGAUCAUUUUCGCAAACAAUAUGGGAAAAUGAUAAACAUUCUAGCAGUUGCAAUCUAUUUUAUAGAAAAUACUGAAUCUUGUAAUCAUGAUAUAGACCACACAAAGAUCACUACAAAAUAUCCUAUGUUCCAGUUAUGUGAGACUGUAGAUCUAUACUAGUUGCCACCUCAGCACUUGCAAAACAAAAAUGGCAGCUAGUGCAUUCAUCGAACUGCUGCCUCAGCAUUUGCAAAAUAAAAAAAUAAAUAAGGAAUAAGGUUAUUCAUCAAUAUUGGGAACUGACCUUAGAAUAGUGGUGGAUCUCAUGAUUUGUGAUUGAAGAAUCAUAUUUCUGUUCAUCAGAUCCAAGCUUGGGAUCGGGCUUCUCAUCAUCCAACUGAGCAUUAGCAGGAGCUGCAAAACAAAGAACAGAAUAUUAGCUAUGUUUAAUGAAAGGAAAUGUUUCAACUUACAAGGAGUAGAAAUGACCGUAAAAAAGAAGUUACCUUCAUAAAUUUAAGAGAUAGGAAAUCGCCGCUCAAUAGACAAUAAGUCCCACAUCUUGUACAAGUGAAAUGCUCUAUUAGCUAGGUGCGGGAAGAGAGGGAACAUGUGAGGCAGCAGAAUGACUGCGUCUUUCCAUGUAUGAGGAUUGGUUGCCAAAGUGUGAUUAUAAGGCAAACUGAAAGCCACCAUAUCAACCUGGGGUUCAACAAUAUGGGCUUGGGAAUGGUGAUGGACAUCAAAACUAGAGCUUCAGCCAAGUUCGAUUUCAUACUAUCAACUUUUAAGAGGUGCAUUUGCUGGUCCUUCUUCAUCUUUUUCUUAAGCUUCUUGAAAAUCUUCUUUUGCUUACUUGUCAAAGCACCCAAUCCAAUAUCCAGUCUAGUACCAUCAACUUGAAAAUGAGAUUGACACCACUGCUUCAUCAAAUAAUAGCUGCUGCAAACUAGUGACACAUAGGACCCCAUCACUGAAUGAACAUAACUCAUCAUCUUCAUCACAUCAGAAUCAAGACCACGAGUUGGCAGUUGUUUCCUCACCAACCUCUGGUACUCCAUGAAAACAGUGGCCAACAUCUCAUCGCACAUGAACUCAUGGUGGUAGAUGAUCUCUUUAUACGAAAGAGACCCUAAGUCAGCGAUAUCAGCUUUUAGACCCUGGGUGAUGACUGACAAACCUCUAUACUCUUCUUUCACCAGACCCUUGAGAAAGGCACUGAAAGAGUUGUUUAUGACGAGAGAUGUAGGAUCAACUGUUUCACAUUGGUAACAAGAUUCAGCUACUUAAAGCAUAGAACUUCAGCAUCUUUCAAAACACCAACAUUACCUUCUGAAAAAGGGUCUAAAAGAGAAAGUGAUUGGACAUCACAUAGAUGCGGAAGGAUAUAUUCAGAAUGUAUCCAUUUCCGCCCCUUGUGAGAGGUUCUAUAGGGUUUAUCGCUGUCAACAGUGGUAACAAGUCUAUCACACGGAACCUCAUUAAAAAUUGGGUUUUUCUUAACAAAAGUCUCUACUGGAAACUUUCAAUCGGGAAUUCUAAAAUACCAUGAGCCGACCUACAACAAUUAAAUUUUAAACAUUCUGAACAUCACAUAGUACUCAAAAUAGUUGACAGAACAAUAGUAAUUAUUAUACAACAAACACACAUAUCAACAAAGUUAAUCCUAAAACUUGUAGGCAAAAUCUAAAAUAGCAGAACUUGUAUUCAUUUCCCAAAUCAACCACACAGAGCAUGUAGUCACUACAGCAAGUUUCAAAUAUUCUGAACAUCACAUAAUACUCAAACAGUUGACAGAACAGUAAUACUCAUUGUACAACAAGCACAUAUAUCCUAAAUGCAGCACGCACGUAUUUCCACGAUCCCAACUCCCAACCCAUUCCCUAAGCUCGUGUGCCGUCACGAACCUUCGUGCAUGCUUCAUUGUACAAACAGAAUUUUCCGGUUUGAUUAAUUUUUUAGAGCCUUUCUCAGGGUCGAGCAGAUGAGUGUGCGACCGGUUCGAUUGAAUAGGGCCCCCAAAUUGGAGGGGGCCACCAACCGGACUAGUUUCUAUAGGCCCGUCGCCCGUUGGUUGAUGGCAGAUUGGUAGGCGCAGGCGCUAGGUCUCGCAGAGUCGCAGGCAGGACAGGACAAGACGCCAGCGCUAGGAAUCCAUACUCAAUAGAAUAAUAGAUCAAUACUCCCGUGACCGUCGAAGUCGGAUACUCGAAUAAAUCAAUACUCAAUAGAAUAUAGAUCCGUUCCGACGCACACCGCGGACUCGCGACCUCGCAGGUGCGUGUGUCGGCCUGUCGCCGCCUCGGCUCCUCGCCGGUACGCAGCGCGCCAGCGCGUCUGCGCGUGUCGGACUGUCGGCCAAUCGCUGGUGCGCAGCGGCAGCGCGUCCUGCUGGCCAUGCCGUCGAGAAUCGGGAUCCUGUAUAAUUGCAGAAGACUAUUUUUUUCACCGAUCGCUACAGGUAUACUAAUCUGAUCCAGUUAAUUUUUAAUAUUUUAAUCAAUAUUGAUGGGUGAUGACUAAUAUAAUAUUGAUCCACCUAGGUGUUCAGUUAUAUUUAUUCUGGUUCUGAAUUAUCUAGUGUUCCAAUACAAGAUUGUAGUCAUGUCUUCUGUAAACCGGUCUAGAAAGUACAAAUCUGGUUACCAAAAGCGUAAGAAAAAACAAAGAAUAGAGGAUCUAACUCAAUCUCAAAAGGGGGCUAUGGAUAAAUUUGUUAGAAAAGAGUCACUUGAUCAGGGAUAGGGAACUGCACUUGAUAAUAAUGAUGACAAUGAUCCUAGAGAUGGUCAGAUAGAGACAGAAAAUAUUGUUGGGGUCGAGGAAGUUCUUAUUGAUAACACAAACAUUGAAACGGAUAACAAUGCUGAUAACAUUGAGGCCAAUAGUACUAGUAUUAACUUGAACACUCACCAAUUGUGUAUGUUAAUGAUUCCUUUCAGCCUGAUAUAUUUGAUCCUAGAUAUUGGGAUUCCCUUGAUCAUAAACAAAUUGAUAUUUUAGCACAGAAGGAUCCUAUAAGAGAUUUAUCAAUUCAGAAAGGUCCUAAGGAUAGGUAUUUUAGUAGGUUUUCUGCACUAUUCUAUACAAGAAUUUUUUGGCUUGUCUAUUCUAAGGAACUCGAUAGGAUCUUUUACUUUGGUUGUAAAUUAUUUACAAAAGGCCAUCGAAAAUGUUAGUAGGCAAAUGAGGGGUUUAAUGAUUGGAUACAUCUUGGUGUUAAACUUAAAGAGCAUGAGACAAGUCGAAACCAUGUUUUGAGUAUGACAACUUGGUAUGAGUUGCGUAGUAGAUUGCAAAAGGAUCAAACUAUUGAUAAAGCCGCUCAACGACAACUCGAGAAAGAAAAGGACCAUUGGAUAAAAGUUUUGUUCAGAAUUAUUUGCAUUGUUAAAUUUCUUGCCAAGCAUAAUCUGGCUUUUCGUGGGACUAAUAUCAAACUGUAUGAAGAUAGCAAUGGGAAUUUCUUGGGAUUGGUAGAGAUGUUGGCUGAAUUUGACCCAAUUAUUCAAGAACAUGUUCGUCGUAUUACAAGUGAGGAAACUUAAGCUCAUUAUCUUGAUUUUAAGAUUAACAAUGAGUUGAUACACUUGCUUGCUUCUGCUAUUAAGUCUGAAAUUAUUAAGAAAAUAAAGAGUGCAAAGUACUUCUCUGUCAUACUUGAUUGUACUCCUGAUGCAAGCCACCAAGAACAAAUUUCUUUAAUUAUAAGAUAUGUUGACUCAUCUUCAAGUGAUGUUCGCAUAGAAGAAUCCUUUCUAGGAUUUUUGGAUAUCAACGAUACAACUGGGCAAGGACUUUUUGAUGUGCUAGAGAAUGAACUAAAGCUCCUUGGUCUUGAUAUAGAUGAUGUGAGAGGACAAGGUUAUGACAAUGGGUCAAAUAUGAAAGGAAAACAUAAAGGGGGUAAAAAAGAAACUUUUGGAUGUAAAUCCUCGUGCUUUCUAUUCUGCUUGUGGUAAAGCUAAAAACUUCUUUGGAAUCAUCUAGCGCAUCUAUACAACUUUUGCUAAUUCUACCAAGAAAUGGCAGAUUCUAAAAGAUAACAUAUCAGAUUGACUCUCAAGUCAGUAUCAGCUACACGUUGGGAGAGUCGUGUUGAAAGUGUUAAAGCUAUAAGAGUUCAGUGCACAGACAUUUGAGAGGCUCUACUUCAGGUACCCAAUAUUGUUGUAUUGAUAUUUGAUAAUGAUAUACUUAUUUUGGCUAUCUCCAACUAUAACACAUAUUUUCUUCCUUUCAAUUUUAGGUAUCUGAUGUUGAUAAUGAUCCAAAAACAAGCAGUGAGGCUAAGGGCUUGGCAAACAAUGAACUUGGAGAGUAUGAAUUUAUAGUGGCAAUAGUUAUUUGGUAUGAGGUAUUAUAUGCUAUUCAUUUAGUAUGCAAACACUUGCAAGCAAAGGAUAUGCUUAUUAAUGUUGCUAUUGAGAAAGUGGAAGGGUUGAUUUCUUUCUUCAGGGGUUAUAGGGAAACUGGUUUCUUAGAAGCAUUAGAGAUUGCCAAAGGAAUUGCACUUGAGAUGGAUAUUGGUACAACAUUUUGUAAAAGAAGAGAAAUUAAAAGAAAGAGACAUUUUGAUGAGAACCUAGAUGACACAAAUGCUGCUACACAGUCUGCAGAGGACCUAUUUAGAAUCAGCUAUUUUUUACCUACUGUUGAUCAAGCAAUUUCCUCACUUACAACAAGAUUUGAACAAUACCAGAGUUACCAACAAAAUUUUGGUUUCUUAUUUACCUCUGAAACAUUACAGUCAUUGGAUGACAUGAGUUUGAAAUCUUCUUGUGAUAAUCUUGGGGCUGUCCUUACAAAAGAUGGAAAAUCUGAUGUUGAUGCCAAUGAUUUGUAUGUGGAGUUGAAGUUUCUUCAAGAUUUCAUUCCUAAAGAAAAUAUGGGUCCUGUUGAAAUUCUAAAGUUCCUAAAGCGGCAUGACUGUUUUUCCAAAGCAAGUAUUGCAUAUAGAGUUCUGUUGACCAUUCCUGUGACCGUUGCAUCGGCAGAGCGAAGCUUUUCUAAAUUGAAACUACUGAAGUCAUAUUUGUGUUCGACAAUGACACAACAAAGACUUAAUGAUUGACCACAAUAGCACUUGAGAGUGGAUUGCUGGAGAAGAUUGAUUAUGAGCAUAUAUCUUAUUGUGAUAUAUAUCAUAUAUCUUAUUUACAGUUCUAUUUUUUUACAGUUCUAUUUUUUUAGAGAGGUAGGUCUCAUUUUAGAGUUUGGUACAGGCCUCGAUUUUUGCUGGCUCGACCCUAGCCUUUCUCUCCACUUUUGGAGUUAAAACUCACUCAAAUUUUCAACAAAAUAUCCUUUGUACGUACAAACAGAAUGAGAGCCAUGCAUGCAUCUGCUCCUCGGUCCUCAGUUCAUUCUACGCGCAGGCGCUCCGAGCGCUGGCAAAGGAAGGAGCAGGCGUUGAGCACGAGGUCACAGCGUGCAUGGCGGUCAGGAUCGCACGGCGUGUAACAUGGAAACGACUAAGGUGUUGAGCAGGAAGGGUCUCACCGUCUAAGGGAGACUUCAGGGCACGUGCGCGGCUCUAGUGGCAGGAGGCUCGGCGCGGCGACCGGCGCGAGGGAGAUGGGCUGCCGCCGCAACGCAGCAAGAAUUGUUUCCAUUUCUUUCAGUAGGCUGUAGGUAAUUGCCUCCUCGUUCUACGUCGUUGGGCGUCUACAUAUGGCGGCAGCGGCAUGCAUAUAUAUGCAGCCUCCUCGAUAGCUAGUGAGGAGCGAGGAGGCAGCCUUUCCGCUACAACUACGAGGGUGAUCGCUUGACAGCCGGGAUGCUCGGCACGGAGGCUGAGGCCUUUCCAUGCAACUAUUUAUGAGCUCAGCUUCCCCGUGAGGCGUGAGUUGAUGAGUGUGGCGAUGCGAUCCAGCCAUUCCGCCCAAAGGCAUGACGGGCGAGUGAGUACGCAUGAUGAUGGGCCUUAGCGCCAACGGCAGAGUACGUCCUGGUCAGAUGAUUCCGUGUAUUCUUGUAUUGUAAACUUUUAUUUGCAUGUACACAUAUUUUUUCUUUCCCUGCCUACUGCUCUGAUGAACUGAAUUAAUGUGCUUUGCUGUUGCCUUCAAUUCUUAUUUCUACAGUCUUGGAGUACGGUCCUAGGUAGAAUAACGACAUACUGUACCAGUGAUCAGUUGUAUCCAUCAAUGAGCGAUAUGGCUAGCAGAGUUUAGGAUGCUGGGUUUGACUCUUCUGAUAAUCUCCUCCAUUCGUUUAAGUUUUCAUAGAGUUGUGUAAACACGCGAAGCUGAGAGAUACUCUUAACGUGCCGCUCACAUACAAGGGCAGAGCAACCAGUUGCCAUGGCGAGUGGCAACAACGGUUGACAAAUGACCUACGCUCUACGGUUUCUCUCCAAACGCGUGUCUCCACACCUAGCAUUCACAAGGAAUUGACUACAGAUAAAAAUACGAAAAAUCGUUAAAGUGUAAGUACUAGGUAGGCCACGUCUAGGUGUAGAUCCAUAAAAUAUACGUAUUCACGAACUGGGGCAACGUGUUUGGCAGCAAGGGAAGACCACUUAACUGAACAUGCCUGUCAUGCAGCUACGUGUGUAGCGGUCACAAGCUAGCUAGGCCUAAUUAACGGUCGAAUAUAAUCAUGUGUGUCAGUUAAUUAAGCUACCUAGCUAAUAAGCACUGCAUGCGCAGGAGUGCACUGAUAGGAACUUAGCAAUGAGUUAAUUUUAAGCAUGGGGCAUAGUGAGGUGUGAAAAUUCUUAACGAGAUGGGCCGUUUGUCGCCGGCGAAUCUAAAGCCGGAAUUUAAAACCGGUGAAGUUAAAAAUAAUAAAUUCAUCGGGCUUCAAUUUUAUUUUAACAUUAGCUUAUAAAAUAGCUUCAGGUUACAAUGACUUAUUUUAUGUAAAACUGCCGAAGUCGAAAUAAACCACCCCAAAUGGGGCCAAGGAUGUGUCUUCGCUUCUCAGAGCAAAGGAUACAAGCGGCAACGCUGUGGGACUGUAAUGAAAUAGAGAUGGGGAAGAGACUACUAGGCCAAAGCCCACCUAAGACUCAGUCUGAUCCUGGGCCGAGCUUUAUUUGGGCUCACUCGAGAUUAGUGGACGAGAGCUUACAUGAAUUUCAGUACUGCUAUCCCAGGCCCAUUAAGGCCAGUGAGAAAUUUCUGAAAAGAAAUAGAGAGAACAAUCCUCCUCUAGGCCUCUCAACAUCGUCAACUAUAUCUGGCCAUGCAGCCCGCAGCCCGAGAGCCCAGCACGGAGCACGUUUUUUUAGCCCGUACCUAACCCGGCCCGGCCCGUAAUUCUUCGGACUCGGGCUGGCCCGGCCCGCAGCAUCGUGCCGGGCGUGGGCCGUAUCCUCGGCCCGACGGGCGGCACGGCCCGGCACGAAAAUGAUUACCGGCCCGUUGCCGGCCCAUCAAAUAGCAGCGGCCCAGCAGGCCAGCGGCCCAGCAACGGUCGGAAGGGGGGGCGUAUAUAAGCCCUCGCGGCCAGCGACGCCCCCCCUUCGCAAACCCUACCCCCAAUCCCCCAUUUCCCCUCCGCCCGCCGCCUCCUCGCCUCCUCGUCUCCUCCGCUGCGCGCCUGCGCUCGCGCUCCAGCCUCCAGGCUCCUCGCGACCUCGCCUCCUCAGCUCCUCCUGUCCCGGCGAGUCGGUGACGGCCGACGGCGACCGGCGCGCCGCCUCCUCGCCUCGACUCCUCCCGUCCUCCGCAGCUCCGCUCCCGCCUCCCGGCUCCCGGCUCACCUCCUGACCGCCUGGCGCCUGCCUGCCUCCCUGGUGCCUUCUGCCUUGCCGGCUUGCCACCGGCACCGGCGCACCGCCUCCUCGCCUCGACUCCUUCGUUCCCCGCUCCUUUACUCCUCCCGUCCCGCCUCCCUGGAUCUGGAUCUACAUCUAGAUCCUCCUGAUCCUUAGAUCUAGAUCCUCCGGAUCCUUAGAUCUAGAUCCUCCGGAUCCUUAGAUCUAGAUCCUCCUGAUCCUCUUCUUGUUCUCCUGAUCUUGUUCCUGUCGUCCUCUCUAGCCCGGGCUGAGCCGCUGAGGCGUCGCAGGUAUGUACAUGAGUAGAUCCCCCUGAUCCAUUUCUUGUUCUCCUGAUGUAGAUCCUCCUGAUCGUGUUUUUGUUGUCCUGAUCCUCUUCUUGCAGGUAACUGUCUUCUUCUCCUGCUCCGGGCUCCGGCGUCGCAGGUAUCCGUCGCCCCGUCGGGUGCCGCGCGCCGUUGAGUGGCGGAGCGGUUGAGGCCUGAGUGAGACAGUGAGACCUGAGGGACGCCCCGGCCCCCGGCUGCCGCUUGCCCCAGGAGGUCGUCGUGAUGGACGAGAACUACACCAUCAACGACGACCUAAGGGCCUGUGGCCUGCCAGGUAACAUCUUGCUGAUCCUCUUCUUGUUCUUGUUCUCCUGAUCAUCUUCUUGUUCCUGUCUUCCUGAUCCUCUUCUUGUUCCUAUCUUCCUGUUCCUCUUCUUGUUCUGUUCUACCAGGCGACGAUGAGGACGACGUGGCUGCCGGAGCCGUGCCACUCGUCGGUAGCUCUGCUGCUCCCGUCAAUGUGGAUGCUGCCCGUGCCGGAGGUACCAUUCCACCUUCUACCCCAUCUUCUACCCCAUCUUCUACCCCAACUACAUCAACGGGCACCAGUAUCCGCAAGGGGAAGUGGCGGUCUGCUGCCUGGAAUGACUUUGAGGAGUUGUUCCAGGAAGGCGCCAACGGGAAGAAGGUAAGGUACGCUGCCAAAUGCCGUCAUUGUUCUCACAUUCUUACUGGCCGGUCUUGUGCUGGUACUGGCCAUUUGCUCCGGCACCAGAAGAUGUGCUUGGCUAAACAAAACCAUUCUUCUCUUGUUCAGUCUCACCUGCAAUUCCAUUCUGAUGGCUCAAUUAUUAAUUGGGAAUACAAGCCCGAUCUUGCUCGCAAAGAAUUGUGCCGGUUGAUUGCUAGAAUUGAUCUUCCCCUAGGUUUUGGUGAGACAGAGGCAUUUGUGGAGUACAUCCAGCGUGCUCAUAACCCUCGUUUUGCUAAAGUUUCUAGACAGACCACUUCUAGAGAUCUUGCCAAGUUCUUUGCCGAGCGUCGUCUUUCUCUUGUUGAUACUUUGAAGUCUCAUGUUUCUUCUGUUUGUCUUACUUCUGAUAUUUGGUCAGGGAAUGCCAAGGAGGACUACCGUAGUGUUGUUGCACAUUUUGUUUCUGCUGAUUGGGAAUUAGAGAAGAGAGUCAUUGCUCUUAGGUUGAUUGAUUGCUCCCAUUCUGGUGUUAACAUUGCUGAGCAUAUUGAACAAGUUGUUUCUAAGUUUGGUUUACAGGAUAAAAUUUUCUCUAUCACACUUGACAAUGCUUCUGCUAAUACUUCUGCCAUGUCCACACUUAUUCCCAAAUUUGUUGGUUAUCUAGGUCCAGAUCCUGAACCUCUUGAUUCUGAUUCUGAUUCUGAUAAAGCACUUGUUGGUCUUUUGCAUCAACGUUGUGCAUGUCAUAUUAUCAAUCUCAUAGUCAAGUCUGGUUUGAAGAGGAUCAAGGCUUAUCUUGAGGCUUUUAGGACUGCAAUCUCUUUUUUGAACUCUUCUAAUCAACGCAUUGCAGCUUUCCAUAACUUCUGCAUUCUCAAGGGGGUACGCCCUCGUAAGUUUGGUUUAGAUAUGGAUGUGAGAUGGAAUUCUACAUAUCUCAUGCUCAAACAUCUACUACCAUAUAAGAUUGUCUUCUCUGUCUUUAUUUCUACUCAUUAUGUGCACAAUGGCCAGCCACUUCUGACUGAAAACCAUUGGGUAAUUGCUGAGAAAAUCUUGCUGUUCCUUGAAAUGUUUUAUGAUUCCACUGUUGCUUUAUCUGGUGUUUACUAUCCUACAAGUCCUUUGAUGUUGCAUCAUAUUAUUGAGAUUGCUGGCCAUUUGCAUGGCCAAGAUUCUGAUCUAUUGCUCAGAAAUAUUGUUGUUCCCAUGUAGCUUAAGUUUCUCAAGUAUUGGCAGAACAUACCUCUGUUGUAUUCCUUUGCAUUCAUUUUGGAUCCUAGAGCCAAGGUGAGAGGUUUUCAUAAUGUUCUCCAACUUCUUUCUCAGACAGUUGGUGUUGAUUACUCUUCUUAUUUCACUGAGGUAAGAACUCAAUUACAUAAGUUGUUUAACAAGUAUGAAAACAAGUUUGGUGCAGUUCGAUCGCAAAGGCCCGCUCAACCUUCAGCUGCUACUGGUAAGAAAAGAACGGCAUGGGGUAAGAUCUUUGGUGGUCCUGGUACAUGUGGUUCUCCUGUUCUUUCAUCUACACCUCCUAUAUCUCCUGCUUCAGAGCUGUCAUCCUACUUGGAUAGUGAUACUAUUUCUUGCUAUGAUGAUGACUUCAACAUACUUAGUUGGUGGCAUGAGCACAAGCUAUCCUAUCCUAUUUUGUCCAUACUUGCUAAAGAUGUUAUGUCUGUUCCAGUUUCCAUUGUUUCUUCGGAAUCUUGUUUUAGUCUAACUGGCAGGGUGAUUGAGGAGCGGCGCCGACGGUUGCUGCCGAGACGGUGGAGAUGCUGACUUGCCUCAAGGAUUGGGAGUUGGGAGAUGCAAGGGCCCAACAUGAUGUUGAGAAGGAGGUCAAUGAACUGGAGGAAACUUACAAAAGCCCCUACCCAGACAUGGAUGAAGGCCAAGCUAGUCAGUAAGUACAACUCAUUACUCAUCUUGUUAAAUACUUUGAAUUGCAAACACUAAUGAGCUAAUGCUGUUGCCUGUUGCCUGUUGCCUGUUGCCCUGUUGUGCACUUGUGCUUGUGCACCUCCAGGCCUACCCCAGGACCAGGAGCAACCUGAAGCUUGUUGCCUGUUGGCUGUUGCCUGUUGCUGUUGGACUUGGAGACUUGGAGACUUGACUUUGAAUGCCUGUUGCCUGUUGGAGCAUGGAGCUUGGCCAGUUGCCCAGUUGUUCAUUAGAUGUUAAUAUGUUUUGUGUCUGUCAGUCUCUGUGUGUGUCUCAAACUCUUUGUAAUGUUGAAUUGAAACAAUGAGCUGGCUGUACUCUUUUUCCCUUCCUAGGGUUUUCUCACAAGGGUGAGUUUUUACCUAGGAAGGUUUUUAAUGAGGCAGCCAACACUUGAUCACACAGAUCAAGUGUUAAACAGCUCUAAUAAUUCCAUGUGAUGAAUGUCUGUGAUUUUGUGAUUGUGUCUGUGAUUUUGUGAUUGUGUGUUGUGUCUGUGAUUCCAUGUUAACAGCUCAAAUGAUUUGUGAAUUGUGAUUGUGUCUGUGUCUGUGAUUUUGUGAUUGUGUGUUGUGUUGUGUCGAAUAUGGGCUGUGGGCUGGCCCGACCCGUAAAAAAAGACGGGCCCUUUGGGCCGGCCCGGCACGGAAAAGACCUCACGGGCCCAUGCAUGGGCAGCCCCCACGGCCCGUGGGCUGGCCCGGCCCGGCACGAGGGUGUUAUCGUGACGGGCCAGGCCCGGCACGAAAACGAACGGGCCAUGCCGAGCCCGUGCCGGACCGGGCCGGGCGGCCCGAAUGGACAUCUAUAUCGUCAACGCAUGCGUAGUCCAGUCUCUAAUUUCAAAAGCUUGUAUUCGAGAUAAAUCGAUUGAAACUCUUUAUAAUUAAUCUAGAGCCGUAGAAGUCUUGAAUUAUCGCUCGCAUUCAGAGAGCCUUAAUGGACCGACAGGCCUUGCAAUUCCAUUCCUGGGACAGCAUGUGGCUGGCCGGUCAUUCCAGACUCCGAUCCACUAUCGUUUUCGUUUCGUUUGGUACACACCUUGUCGCCGAGCUUGGCUUUGCCGGCCCGGAGACCACGACGGCGAGCUCAAUGAUUCGCGCGCGUGGGUUGCUACAUGCUCCACCCGUCCACCGUCGCGCCAUGCCAUCGAUCUCUCACCUGACGAGCUGAGCAACGCAACGUCGUCGUCGUCACUGUGCGUGCUACGGCUGCGUGAUGUGCGAUGGUGUAGGUCUGUAGGAGGACAGGCACGGUACUCCGGUGGACCGUGGACGACGGCGUGCAGUGGACUGACGGGUGCGUGUGUGCAUGGGUACACGCCAAUGCGUACGCGGCCUGGUUAGUUGUGCAUCUGUGCAAGGGAGUCGUGUCCCUUCACUCUACUGUGGCAACUAGGGAGGUGUUGUCGUGCAUGGCAGUGGCGCUGUUAACUCACUUGCUCUGAAUCUGAUGGAGAUUGAUCACUUGAGAUUGAGGGUUGGCGUUGGUGAACUGAUGAGAGGAGGCGAAUGGAUGCUGAUCCGUAGUGGUUUUCUAUCAGCAUGAGCAUGCACAAAGUCCACUCAUCACUCAAAUGCCUCAACAACAGAAGCAAGUUUCAGCUUUCAAGCUUCAUCCACAGCUGUGGAUUUCUUAUCAAGUUUCAGCUUUCUAGCUUCUUCUACAGCAGUGGAUUUCUUAGCAGGAGAUAUCGAUGGUCUCAUUAUCACUCUGCAGCUGCAUUCUCAUCAACAGCAGGAGGUUUUUGUCAGCAACAUCAGCUUCAUGUUCCUCAGAACCAGCACCAGGAUUAGCACCAGGAGGUCGUUUGGUCAGCAACAUCAAGUUUAUGUCCCUAGCAGGUGUCCUUUUAUCAGCAAAAUCAUAUUCCUGUUCUUUGAUCCAAGCUUAGCAUCGGGCUUCUCAUCAUCCAGCACAGCAUUAGCAGGGGCUGCAAAAUAAAGAACAAAAUACAACUAGGAUCAAUGAAAAGGGAUGUUUCAACUUCCGAGGAGUAGAAAUGAUAGUAUUGCAAAUAGAAAAAGAAGCUACCUUCAUAAAUUAGGGGGAUAGGAAAUUGACGCUCUAUAGACAACAAGUCCCACAUCUUGUACAUGUGAAAUGCUCUGUUGGCUAAUGGCUAGGUGUGGGAAUAGAUGAAAUAUGUGGUGUAGCAAAACCACUACAUCUUUCCAUGUAUGAGGAUUUGUUGCAAAAUUGUGAUUAUGAGACAAAUUGAAAGCCACCUUAUCAACACGUGGUUCAACAAUAUGGGCUUGGGAAUGAUGAUGCACAUCAAAAACUAAAGCUCCAGCCAAAUUGAGUUUCAUGCUAUCAAAUUUUAAGAGCUGGUUCUUUUUCAUCUUCUUCUUAAGCUUCUUGAAAAUCUUCUUUUGCUUACUUGUCAAAGCGCCCAGUCCAGUAUCAUCGUCUUGAAAAUGAAAGUAACACCACUGUGUCAACAAAUCAUGGCUGAUGCAAACUACUGACACAUAUGACCCCAUCACUAAAUGAAUAUAGUUCAUGAUCUUCAUCGCAUCGGAAUCAAGACCACGAGUUGGCAAUUGUUUCCUUAACUAACCUCUGGUACUCCAUGAAGAGGGUGGCCAGCAUCUCAUCACACAUGAACUCAGGGUGGUAGAUGAUCUCCUUAUACGAAAUAGACCAUAAGUUAGCGAUAUCCAUUACAGCCUCUAGACCCUGUGGGAUGAUAGGCAAACAACUAUACUCUUCUUUCAGUUAUAUGACAUUUAUGACAAACUAAUUUAACAUAUUGACUUCUCUUUAGAGGAAGGAAAAUGCUUCUCUCUACCACCAACAGGCUUCCUAUUAGCUUUAACAUGCUUUACAUCAGCAGCUACUACACGCACAAUUCAAAAUUAUAAGAAAAGAAACUCUUACAGGAUCUACAUUAUAACUAAAUUUUUAGAACUGCAAUAUAAGUGCAAUAUUGUAUGAUGUUUUUCAUAUAACUUCCAUCAUUAAUUAGCAUAUUUCUUUUACGUACAUACAUGCUUAUUUUACAUGUUAUGUCGUCAUAUGAAUAUUGAUAGGGUUAAUAAGCUUAUUAUAAAGCAAAAGACCAACAACCUGCUUGUUUCUUGGAUUUGAUAAACCUUGAAAGAAUUAAACCUAUGGAAAAAUACAACUGCACGGAUGUGCCUUAUCCUUACAAUAAAUUUAUUGUGUGCAUAAGAGGCGCCAACAGUUGCCACAUGGCAACACUACAAUGACCAUGAGUUUUUUUUUGCAAAGUUGUUUAAUCCGAGAUAGUUUCUAACAAUAAAAAUAUCUAAAUUCAUGGUUUGGAAAGUAGUAUUUUAAAGAAUUAACUUCCAAUAUAGGUGCUAUGGUCCAAAUCUAAGUUUCUUUAUAAAACACAUGGUAAAAAUUAAGUUCACAUGCACGCCUCCUGCGCGAGGUGAACUGGAGAGCACAUAGGCUACGCUUUGGGGUAGCCGGUGCAAAUCGACGGACACAGCUGCAUGGCUCGCAUAUCCUUGGGUGGGAAGGAGGGUGGGGAAGAAGGAGGCAGUUGUCGAGGCUGUGGGAGGAGUUUUAUGCCCUAUGUUCUGACUUUUCAUAGUGUUAGCUAAUGUCUCUGAAUCUGAAUUUGUGUUCUUUCACUUCUUUUUCUUAUGUGUCAUGGUAUGAAUAUCGUGUCACGAUGAGGGUGGUGGCAGGGGCAAAAGGUGAGGGCGAGAGGAAGGCAAUGAAGUUGCACGAUCCAUUACCUGUCUGAGUAGGCAACCUUUUUUGAUAUACAAUGAUUUGUGCUUUUUCUUAUUUGAGAGUGUGUAUCUCCAUUGCGACAUGUCGUUAUAAAUGUUUCAUAUGAUAAAAACUAAUGCUCAUGGAGAGAAUUUGUAUUGCUUGUAGCAACACACGGGCAUAUACCUUAUUCAAUAUAAAUCUUUGAUAGUGUUCACGUCAUCGUUCCAGUGCAUCACUAGGGUUGGCAACUUGGCAUGCAACUCUUGGUUUUAAAUCUACUGUUUUUAUUGAAAAAAUCUGCGGGAUCAGAGCCAAUGAGCUUUGUGCUUACCGUUCCUCUUAUGGACGACUCAACUUUCCAUCUCAUCUCCAAUUAUUUUUUCUUUAUUUUUGGACUCAGUUAGUUUAUGCAGUGUGCUAAAAUAGAUGUUGGAGAAUUCGACUUUUAUAAUAUCUUAUAUGAGUCGACAAUGAGAUAGCAAAUACUCCCUUUGCCUUUUGUCAAACUCUAUUUAGUUGACCAAAUUUAUAUAAAAAUGUCAAUGUUUAUGAUACUAAAUAAGUACUAAUAAAUUUAUCGUGAAAUAUUUUCUGUAGUAUCAUAUUUCACGUCAUAAAUAUUGUUUAAAACAUGGUAAAUUAAGAUAGUUUGGCUUAAAAUAAAACUGGAAUUGCAUAUAUUUUUUCUAGACGAAGGGGGUAAAAGCCGGUAACUAUUGCAGACAGUUCCGUAUGGCUUCUCUUCAAACGUGUGCUUGCUCACAUCACCUAGCAAUAGCAUCCACUAAGGGAAUUGACUAGUCAUAAAAUAAACAUGAAAAUCGUUAUAGUAGAAAGUUUAAACACAAGUAUUAGGUAGCCUCUACUAGAUAAGGUAGAUCUAUUUCGCAAGAUAGAUCCUAAAAAUAUUCACGAACAGGGCAGCCAUAUUCUGCAUUUCUGCUGCUAUGCAGUAAAGGGAAGACUACUGAACAUCGCUGUCAUGUUUAGGGAAGCCAUGCACGUGUGUAGCAGGCAUAACCGCACAAGCUAGGCCUGAUUAACUGCCGAAUCAUGUGUGCCAGAAGCACAAUGCAUGCGUAGGAGUACACUCAUGGGGGUCAUGGGGAACGAACUUAGCAACGAGUCAGUUUUAAGCGCGAAGCAUGUGCGUCUUGCCUUCUUGGUGUUGAAGCGGUUCCGUGAAGGAGCCUGGUGACUUACUGGUGAGGAGGGGCCUGGAAAUGGAGAAGCGAAAAGCAGAGAGGGCCAGAGACGCGCAGGCCCAGGAGAUCGUGGGAGUGAUCUGGAUCUUCAAACGGGCCGUUCCGUCUAGUCGAGCAGGGUCCUGAAAAGCGGCCCACGAACAGACAGAACGGCCCGUUUCUCCACCGUCGUCCCCGCUGCGCCGACACGGACAAGGGACAACGACUGUGACUUUCACUCGUCGUUCUAGUUCAGCACUUGGCUCUCGCAUCCAACUCCCGUUUCAAAAGCUUGUGAUUUUGAUCGAAAAUCCGAGAGAUCAGAGCCCUCGAACGACGACCCACUUGCUACGUGCGCGCGAUUUCGUCUGUCCCUUUACAACUCGUCGCGGAUCGUCAUGCGUCGGCAACCAGAAGCAUCUGCAUUUUACAAUGUACGUAAAAGGCUUCCUGAUCGAUUGAUCGAUCGGCGCCUUUCUGUGCACAUGCAUAUGAUUGCUGAUAUACACGCUGCACACACACGCGCGCACGCACGCACGCACGCAGCUCAUACAAGCGUUGCGCACACGUAUUCCUGGACCACAAACUGCUCGCUCAGGUGGCUGGGGACCUUGAUCGAGGAUGUACUUGCUGGCCAUCGAUCAUGUGAAGUAGAUGCACAUCUAGGUUUUCUUUAACCUGAUCUGCUCUUUACUGAAUGCAAGGCCAAUUGGAGCCGGCAGCAGGUAUAUUCAUCCAUUGACAGACAGUUCAUUCAACCACCACAUGAUCUUCAAUCAGUUGCUUUCAGUUUGAAGAACCAGAUGCCUAGGUGCACUGAAGGAUGUACACCAGCUCACAGAGUUCGCAGGUGUGGUUCUGAUUUGGAUUCAGUUGAUUCUUACCCUUGCUGGUCCCGGCCGGAACUGGAGCGCUUUUGUGCUUUAAGUAUAAUAACUAGCAUAUCUUAACGUUCCUCUUUAGUUCUUUAUGUACAUGGCUGAACCAACUAGUGCUUUCAGUCAGUUUCAGACAGCCUAGAGACUCCCCUGCUUAAACUCUGAACACAUGUGAUGGCUUAUGGUCCAUGAUCACACAUUUUUCUGACGAGUACACGUACAUGCAGAUGCAGAAGUAUUGCCCACCAUUGUAAACAGUUCUGUCUAGGGCGGCAAAGACAAGGAAUUCUUCGGACAGUGGAGCUUCCUAGCUCCAAUAAUCUCACUUGACUUUUAUCUGCAUCCCAAAAGCUGACGUGCAGGAUCAACACACCCAUGCAAUUGCAUGAUGCCAUGACAAUAAGAUAUGUGCUUGCAGUUGCAGGGCAGCUUGAGGCAGAAUCUCUUUGAGCCUUACUCCGCACUCCAGAAGCUCAUGAGGAAAUGAUGGCUCGCACGGUGUUCAGAUGAUGUUCUUCUAUGAUUAGCCAUGAGCACCGUAUCGCGGCUUCUUUUGUGAUGAAGCUAAAAAAGGACAGAGAAAGAGGUAACCGUACGUGGAGUCUCAUGUGAUCCAUGAUAUUUGUGGGUGGCCCUGAUGCCAUGGGAAGUGAACAAUGAUGCUCCUCAUCUCAUCUGCCUGAUCUGGGCCGGGGGCUUUCCCCCCAUGCCAAAAGGAUGGCCCUGAAGAAACUUCCAGUGAAGCUUUUGGUGGGGAACAUGUGAGUGAACACUGAGCAGCAAGCUGCUGGAGAUCAGAGCUGAAUUGAUCGGUGCCAUUGUGCCGAAAUCAGACGAAAUUCACCUUUGAUCUUUCCAUUACUGUGUUCUCGUGUCAACAAAGUUGACAAAAGAAAGAGGAAACGUGUAUGCUGGUAAUGUGGUUGGUUGGGCUAAAAGCAAAAACUAGAUUGUUCAUUUCCAUUUCUUUACUGUGUGGUAGUCCUCACUUCUCAGAAGAGAGAAUUUUUGUAGAGAAUGUUUUGCAACUUGUGUUUUUUCUGAACAGCCUAUAUAUGGUGAUUUUAGUAAAUUACGGUCAGGAAAAAAAUUCAGCAAGUACUCCCUUCGUCAUUAUUUAUAUGGUGUUUAUAACAAACUAAUUUAUUUAUUUAGCUUGUUUUUUUAAGUCUAAUGUAUAAAUAAAUUUUAAAUAUAAUAGCCCGUGCGGGAGCACGGGUUGAUGGACUAGUAUUUAGAAACGGCGGGAGUAAGUCUGAUUGGAACAGGUUCGUUAAAAAAAGUUUGAUUGGAACAGCUAGUUUGACAGUAUUGGGGAAUUCUGGAUACUUUAAUAUAAGUUGCAUCAUUCUUGGUGUUCUUUGGCGAAGCUUUGCUGAUAGGUGCCCGUCACAUGUAUAGUUGCUUAGUGCUUUGGAGGCUUGGACCACCCAAUUAGGUUUCCACUGCUAACAUGCAGUUUGGAAAGCAUAAUAUGCUCAUGACUGACGAGUGACAAGUAUCCUUACCCCAUGUUCGCAUCUAGAAAUAUUUAAAAUGCCCUUAAAACCCGACCAUCGUGUCAUCUUUGUGCGAACUAAUCAUGUUCAGCACUUGUAAUUAGCAGGCCAACAAUCUUUUUCUUUUUUUGGCUGGAGAAACCAACAGUUGCAAUUUGGUGCCACCCCACCUAACCUUUUCUCUACGUUCAGAAAAGAAGGGUAAAAAUCUCUGCAUAAGGUUAAAGUUUUUCAUCUUUCGAAAGCACGUCCACUGAGUUGGUUAAAAAAAGGAAGGAAGGAAGAAGAGUCGAGAGAAGGAAAGCCGUGACGAUGACAUGAAACCGCUUCAUACAAGAGGGUGGCUCAAUCGAUUUCACACAACAAGCAUCUGAAAAUAAACAAAUCCUUUUGUUUGAAUUUCAAGAUUCAGAUCAUAUUAAACUAGUGUACACACCACCCCUGUGUUUUCCACAGUGGUUGUUGAUCCAAAAAUCGACGAGCACUGUUUAUGGGGAAGAUUUUAUGAUCUGAAUCCGCAAUGGAAGCAUGACGGCGAUCUCCAUGCUUUUAUAUCCAUUCUUCUGCAUGCGCGGUUGGUGCGCGGCACGGCCAUGGCGCGCCCAACGGCAUUGACAAGAUCACCUCAAAACCAAGAAAUUUUUCGCAAAGAGCAUGCGAGUUUGUGGAGCCCCGGGGUGGAAGGCUUUUUGCGCUAGUUUAACUGAUCCUUGGCGUGAUGAGGAUCCCAACCACCGGUGGCCGCGUGAGCCGUAUCGCCGUGCAUCCCAUGGAUGAUGAAUUGGAUGGCAAUAUUGAAUGGUCGCAAAGGACAUGGGCGCAGGACAUCCACCAAAAUGCCUGGCAUCGGUGUGUUCACCGGUCAUAAAGAAAAAGAUUUUAGUUUAGUUCCGAGAUGUGUUAAUCGUGCUUCUCAUUUUUCUUUUGUUCUACUCCGAAUGCCAAGAUACUGUUCCUCCACGACUCAACCAGAAAUCGAUAGGUCCCAAUCAUUUGUUCCUUCCAUUCCUGAAUUUGUAUAAAAUUCAUCAAUCAGGCACGAGCCAUGUCGUGCACACGCGUGUCUGCUGUGGAUCAGCCUGGUCAAACCAAGCACGUUCUGAAAUCUGAAUGAUCCCCUGCGGAGUCAAAUCGACUGGACUAUGCUGAUCGAGUAAAAUACAGAUAACUCGACAUGGGUUUUGUUUGACUCUGGAAUGUGAUGAGCAGCUCGGUCGGCCUUCAAUUCGAACCAACAACCGGCUGGCUAAAAACUAAUCGUUUCCCAGCUCUGACAGAGAACCAUCGCCAUGACUCGCGCGUCGCCGUGCGUGUCGCCCGAGCCAUCUGGCGCAUUUCUGAGCCAGGGCUUGCCACGGCGGACCGCGUCUUUGUUCUUCUCCGAAUGCCAAGAUACUACUGUUUUCAGCUUAGACAGUCGACCAGCAACGACACAUGAAUCGAACUUUUCAAAAAAAAAAAUGCAAUAGGGACUCACAAGGCUCUGAUGAGCUGCCGUCAUCAACCGACAGCAAAAAAUGCAAUAGGGACUCGACAGGUCAUGGGAGAGCCUGUCCCUGUCCGUAUCGGGCUGCCAAGGUUAGUCUGGGCGGAUGGCAGGUGGCACAGAUUUGCUACUGUGCACGACGCGCAUGGCAUGAGGUUCGUUAAUUCCCAAGAUGCCAACUUGUGUUCAGAUUUCAGACCAUAUAUAUAUAUAGAGAGAGCUUUGGAACCAAGAAAAAUGAAGUCGCUGUACUCUUUGGCACGUACUACUACUUUUGAGUGGUGUUGCUAACCAAACAUGCUACGUUUUGACGCCACGGGGAUUAGUUUAGGUAACCUUUUUUCAGUCUUUCUUUAGCCAUGUAAACCUCAGGAGCUGUCGAAACAGAAAGGCCGGGUGGAACCUGCUUCACGUCGGAGUCACGUAGUACCAGGUUCUACAGCGGCAGCUGAAAAGCUUACCAGAAAAUAUUCUUUCAACAGUUCUACUUCUACUUUACCUAUCAAGGAAUUGCAUGUCGAGUUGUCGACGCCGUCUCGAUUCCGCAGUUGAAGAUGUCAAUUCUGUGGUACCGGAUGUCAAAAUGGUUUCUGCUAAAUCUUGCCGGAUUAAACACGACAUUAUCGAGCAUCCUGCACAAUAUUUCUUGUGGAUUACCCGCAAGGAUUCAGUUUUACGACACUUUCAACUCUAGUUAUUAUCUGUUAGUGCUAUUGGAUGGUCAAAGAUGGACUUUACUCUUGUGCUAAUGAUCUCUGACCAGGACUACUCUUCAACAAAAUUCCUCCAACCAGGAGCCCUUAUGUGCAAAAACGGCGGUACCAGAAGAAGUAUAAAUUUUUCGUAUCCUUUUUUCCUGCCAUUGCUGCCGCGCCCGCUGCCGCCGCUUCCUUCCCCUCCUCGACCUCCGCCAAAGCCACCCUCCUGACCCGGAGCAGCAAAAGCAAGGAUUUUUUUUUCCUUCUCCAAAUCUACCAGCGCGAUGGGCUCGCUGGUCUCCUGCCUCUCCGACCCCUGCCCGUCGGCGUCGCCGCCGCCGCAGGCGAAGCGGCGCUCCUCCACCUCCUCCCGCGGCCGUGGCGGCGGCGGGAGGGAUUCCGCCAAGGCCAGCAUGUCCAUCGACGAGGAGGCGCUGGCCGCCGCGGCGGCGCUCGUGCUGGGCCAGCGGGGCGCCGUGGGGGCGUUCGAGCGGUCCGCGUCCGUGCGGUACGCCGCCAAGCGGCAGGGCCAGGGCCCGCCGCUGCCCCGGAGCUGCAGCACGCGCCCGAGGUCGCUCGCCGACCCCGAGCUCCAGCCGCAGCAGCUGCUCGCCAAGGUGAGGACGCCCUGCUUUCUCAUUCUCCCUCCAUUGCUUGCGCCUCUCGGCAUUCGGCUCCCCAUUGCUUGGUGUCCGUGCCGCCGCGUGCGCUGCGUUGAAUUCUGGCGCUGUUUUCGUUUGACUUGUACCCGUUUCUCCGUCGGGGUUUCGCUGGGAUUGGCUGCCUUUGCGUCGCGUGUAAGAAACGUGGCGGCUUUGGGAUUUUUUUCCCCUCUGAAGUUAUAAUUCUCGGUUCUCUCGGUCUUGCUGUUUUUUGUUCUUUUCUUUCGGUGAAAUUUAGAUUCGUCCUUUCAUGGUUUGCUCGAUUCAUUAAGGUAUGAUGAUCUCUGGUGAUUCUUCUUUCUCAUCGUACAGACAUGUCAGACCAAUUUGCAAUUUAGUUCGAUGCUGCUCCGUGUGGACGAAUUCCUCUGAUUUGUUCCUUGCCAUUGCCUCAUGUAAGAACCGGAUAGACGAUUACAUUUCGCGAUCUGGGACACUGCCUAGUGGGGCCGGGCGAAGUGGUUCCCAUGCCAUAGGUGAGCAAGGUCGUUGAACCUUGAAACCGGAAAGCCUACAAAUCCGGGCUGGUGCUAUGCACAUGUGCUUCUCCACCUGUUUACAUCUGUUGAUAGUAUCAUGUUCUACGGUGGCAUGCGUUCCUGAUUUUCAACAUAGACUAAGACCUCACUUUAUCGUUUGGGGUUGAUGAACUCUCUUGAGAAGCGUGAACAAGUAGGCAUCUGACAGCGACCGAGCACUGAUUUGGUAAAAGAUUAGAGUAACUGGAAAACUUCGGUUGUUGACGGAUAGUAGUUGGUCAUAUACAUUGGGUCUUUGUUCACAAGCUCUUCAUGCGUGGGGGGCUGUUGAAACUGAUCGAUUGUUGCUUCUAGCUCUUGUGCAAUCAUAUUGGCAUGUGUGUUCGUUGCUCUGGAGAAAGGACAAGGAAGGAGCUGAUGAGAUCCCAACUUGUGCAAUUGUAGGAGAUCCUAGAGAUUGAUUAGUUCAAAUUGUUUCAGUAUUGACACAUAUAUGUUGUCGAGAUAUGUUGCUCCCAGGUUUGCCCUGAUCAUGAAAGGGAUGGGCAGCCGGCGUGGCUACUAAUUUGUAUUGACUUGUAUUAUAUACCGGCAUUUCUGACUACUAACAGUGGUGUUGACUAGUAAGAGGAUACCAGCCGAGGAAACCCAGGUUGAUUGUGAUUGGGAGGUUUGUGUUUUGACAUUGUCCAAGUCAUUUGUCAGCUGCCAAUGAAUACGCUGGUAUGCUAAAUUUCUUGGAAGCAGUGAAAGGUUGAACAGAAUCAGCAUGGUAUUUGCUGAUGGCAUUUCUGUCUUUUAGUCCUUAUCGGCAAACAACCAUUUCCAAAUUUGUGACUCGGAAUAAUAAAUAUAUUGUAUACAUAUCCAUCAGGACCUCAGAUAUUUUUUUUUCUAGUUUCCUCCUCACUUGAAUUCUAGCGUUUGACGAUUCUUGUAUUCUUGAUGUUUUUGUGACCACAAUUUUUGACUGAUGGUUCAUUUCUCAAACAGGAUUUGAAUUCUAAGGAUUUGGAAACCAACAUCAUUGUUCUUGUUCAUGGUGGUGGCUUUGGUGCUUGGUGUUGGUACAAGACUAUAUCGCUUCUUGAAGAUAGUGGGUUCAAAGUUAAUGCCAUCGACUUAACGGGCUCAGGGAUUCAUUCUUAUGACACAAACAAGAUUAGCAGUCUUUCAGAGUAUGCUGAACCGCUUACAUCUUAUCUUAAAGGCUUAGGUGAUGCUGAAAAGGUUAACCCUCUUUCCGUAUAUCAAUUAUAGAUGCUUCGAAUAUUUAGGAACUUAAAUUCUAUUUGGGAUGAUGUAGGAGCCUAAAAAUUGACUGUUGUCAUGUUCUUUUAGGAAUCAGGAGGGGUUGCCCCCUACUGGUUAAUAUAUUAAUAAACAGUAACCAACCCCUUUCAUGCUUUACAUUUUUAAUAUUCUUUGCAUCUAACGAGUUGCUUGCCUAUAGAGACUUUCCAAUGUAGUUAUAUAACAAAGGCCUACCUGACUGUAGUCCGUAAGAAUCUUCAGUCAAAGAAAAAUUGUUGUCUGUAACUAAAUUGCUGGGAUGGUCUACUGCUUACAUUUUAUAAUAUGCAAACUGGGAUGGCAUUAACUAAUUUAUUAAAACUUAGAGCUAUAUAAUGACAAAAUAGUACUUGUUCCUGCAAAAGUUUAUAUUCUACUGUUAUGAGAGCACAUUGAUUUCAGUACAGGGCACUGCAGCACCUUGUAGGCUGCCAAUGCUGUCUUCUUUCAAUUGGCGAAUGUUAGAUAAGAAUAGAUACUGCAGCAACAUGAAAAUUAUGAGAGAAGUGUUAAUGUACUUGGAUAGUACUUUACUCUUCUGGGGUGAGGUUGAAACUAGUAGUUAAUCACUGAAUGUACAAAUACUGAACUAGGAGAAAUCAUUAAUAAGACACAAUAUGUCUUGGUGUUCUGCAGGAUCAAAUUUGUAUGCACUAAAUUCUGUAUACUUUUUUUUUGUAAAGAUCACAAUCAUAACAGGAAUCAUCUUAAUUGAACUGGUCCCACAUUAUGAUGGAAAGCCUAAGCACCACCUAACUUUAGUUAUGACUUGAUGCUUGAGAAUGACAUUAUUAUUAUGUACGCACCAAUGACUUAGGAUAAUUGAGUGCCCCUCAGUUUAUCUAUAUUUCUUUAAAAUGAUUCCUAGGAAUAUUUUGUCUAUGCUCCAAUGUAUCAUCUUAAUAUUUCACCUGAAUUUUGAAAAGUUCUUAGCAGUGCCAAUAUUGAUAUUUGAAAGCAUCAUAGGAACUUUUCAGGAGAUUUUGAUACUGUUAUGUUCAGAUUUAUAUGAAGAUCCCUGCUUUGAGUGAUUCUUUUUUGCACACAACCUCUUCCUCUCUUACCACAAAUAUAACAAUUCGAUACUUCUAUCAUUAUGCAGGUGAUUUUGGUAGGACAUGAUUUUGGUGGUACAUGUAUAUCCUACGCAAUGGAGAUGUUCCCAUCCAAAGUUGCCAAGGCAGUCUUCGUCUGCGCAGCAAUGCUGACAAAUGGACACAGUGCCCUUGACAUGUUCCAACAGCAGGUUGAACUCCUGCCACUGCAUUAACUUGGUCGAUCGACAACAUUAACCAAAUCAAACUGACAAGAACAUCGAAUGUUGCCUUGCCUCGCGUCCGAAUUAGCAUCAUCUUUCUAUCAUUAUGUCCUGAUGCCAUCCUUAUGCUCCAGAUGGACGCAAACGGCACUCUCCAAAAGGCGCAGGAAUUCGUCUACUCCAAUGGCAAGGACCGGCCUCCGACAGCCAUCAACAUCGACAGAGCAUUACUGAGAGACCUGCUGUUCAACCAAAGCCCUUCAAAGGUACUAUGUUAUACUGAGCCACUCAAAAUUAUCUCCAAAUGGCAUUUGCUAGAUCCUAGGAUCAGAGCCAAGUUCUCACACUAUCUUCCUCGUGGUUCUUGAAGGACGUGUCACUGGCCUCGGUGUCCAUGAGGCCGAUCCCUUUCGCCCCGGUGCUGGAGAAGCUUCAGUUAACAGCCGAGAACUACGGCUCAGUGCGGCGGUUCUACGUGGAGACCACGGAGGACAACGCCAUUCCCCUGCAUCUCCAGCAGAGCAUGUGCGGCAUCAACCCGCCGGAGAAGGUGCUGCGGCUGAAGGGGGCAGACCACGCGCCCUUCUUCUCCAAGCCGCAGGCGCUGCACAAGACCCUGGUGGAGAUCGCCGCCGUGCCACCGGUCCAAGCAUCGUGAGACCGCGUUUGACUUUUGCAGGCCAGCGAGCUUGCAUGGCUGCUGUACAUGCUGAGGAUGGUAUGGUUUGGGAGUCGUUAUACACGAUGCUGUCGCCGGUGUGGCAGCAGAGUCGGCUCUAGAAUUUCACCGUCAUCUCUGAAGAGGGCAUUCUUCCUUUGUGCACUGAGAUCUUGGGUGUGACUAUCACUACUGAUCCCGUUUAGAACAAGUUUGGAACGGUAGAAUCUCACGAGAUUUCUGUGACGAUAUUUCAGCUUUAUGUGAAAUUUCACAUUCAGAUAGGGCCAGCAUCUGUAACUCUGCUACAACCAAAAUGAUGAAAAAUGAAAGUAAAGAAAUGUUUUUUCUUCUCAUACAAACAAAUAUCUAGUUAUUUCUUUUCCCCUCUCUACAAAAGACAUCCUAAGGUAUCUUAUACCCGAUUUAUAUGAAGAAAAGUAAGGGAAAAAACAUGCCAAAGAAAAUUACGAACUUAUUUAACAAAGUCUUCUUCUCCAUUGCAUCCAAUCAUCCAUUGUAACUAUGACCAUUGUGUGGCAUUCCCCAUCACGUCGGUCAUGCUGCCAAUAGAAGAGAGGGAAAAUAGAGAUCACAACUAUGGGCAUUUUGUAUUGUUCCAUAUCAUCGAUCUCACACCAAUGGAAAUGAGGAGAACAAAACAAGAUAUUGACGAACCCCAACCGCACAAAGAUUUUUGAAGAUUGCAAAUCACCCAGAACAAAACAAGAUAUUAACGAACCCCAACAGCACAAGGAUUUUUGAAGAUUGCAAAUCACCCGUCCUGAAGAGCGGAUCCCCUAAAUUUGUUUGUGGGGGAGUGUGGUUUACUGUCCUGCAGAAACUUGCAAAUUUUGGCUUUACACAAAAUUGGAUGGAUACAAUAUGCAAGCAUAUAUCAUCAAGUAAAAUUUGAGGUUGAACUAAAAGUUGCAAUGAGAGCCAAAAAAUGAGUUUUCAGCAUGUGAAUAGUUGCGAGUUGCCAAUUUAGACAUGAACAGUUGUGAGUAGCGAGAAUGCCGAGAAGACAUUUGCGAAGUGGAUGAAGAUAGAAUUUCAUUUGAAAUACAAGCCAAUAUAUCAUCAAUUGAAGCCUUCAAUUAACACACAGUAAAACUAGGGUGAUUUUUCUUGAUCAGCUACAUAUUAUGUUAAAGGUUGCAAUCACAGAAAGCUGAGGAAAAGAACUAAGCUGCAGCAAAACUUGACAGGCUUUCUGAGACUACCUAGGGCACGGAGAGUGAACAACAAUUGAAAGUACAAUUAAAAACCACAAGACAGGGAGAAAUGGCAUGAAACAUCCAACAGUAACAUUGUUAGACCACUUAUAAUCAAAAAUUGUUAGACCAAAUGGGCAAAUAAAGCCUGUAUAUAGCUAAGUGCUAAAUAACAAUCAGCAGAGCAAUCUGUAAGUAUUUUUAUGCGUGGUGCGCAUGCUUGUGAUUAUAAUUGAGAUCCUAGCAUGACUUUGCAAAGAUCAAGAGUAUGCAGCAAAUUUGAACAUGAAAUUAUCAAUCCUAACACAGAUUUUCCAGAACUGACAUAAAAACAAAUAGAUCCAAAAAUAUAGCAGAGAAUUUUUUUCUAUUAUUUAUCUUUAUAUUGCCACAUAUCAUAAAUUACAUCCAAAGACGCUUGGGCAUACAUAGUAUGCAUACAACGAUACAAGAGGCAAAGGGCCAAUUGGCCAAAGGCACGGUGGAUCCCAACAUGCUACCAUCCAUCCAAAUAAAGUUUAAUUUAGGAUGUUACUCCAACUGCAUGCAUGUAGAUAAGAGCGAAACAACCAGUGUAGGUCCUAGGCUACAUCCAGAAUACUGCAUGAGAAAAUAGGAGGCUAUUCUUGGACACAGCAUAGGAUCUACUGGUUCGGCGAACCUUAGUUUGUAGCUCUCCUUUAUGAUCAUACUUGAGGCCGAACAAGGUGACAUGAAUCACAGAUCCAUCAUCGAAAUCCUCACCACACAAAAUGUCCUCCACGAGGCAAAAUCUGCUGUCUCCCGUGUAUGUAAGAGUGGGCUUCAAGUGCAAAUGGUCUAGUUUCACCUUCUCCUUCACUAGUAGAGAACUCGCCUUUAAUCCCGGUUGGUAGGGUGCAUAUCUCCCGAAAAUUCAUCCGGGAUAAACUAAUUGAGACAAAAGAGCGGGGUCUUUAGUCCCAGGUCCUUCAACCGGGAGUAAAGUCACCCUUUAAUCCUGGUUGGUUUCACUUUGUGCAAAUCAACCUAGCUUGUUGUUACUUAAAGAAAAACGUAUCAGUCCUUUGGACGAGCAACUUGAAAUUCACGAUGAAAACAAACACACACUUGCUACAUACGCCAACAGUUGCAAAGAAGAGAAUUUUCUUUUUGCGAUGAACACAAAAUAAGUCCUCGAAGUGUGCACUCUACACACACAAAAAGUGAGGACUUUCAAUCAGACGGCUCUCAUGCUUUGCCCUAUCUCACGUUGGCGGGACUUGGACCAUGCUAUGGUGGAACUCAAUUGAAACUGAUUUCCUUUUGCAACCGAUUUAAAAUUGGUUCCAGGUUAUAUUGGUUUCAGUUCGUAUUUAGGCCAAAUUCAGGGGGUGCAAUGGACCGUUAAAGCAUCACUGGCUGGCUUUGCGUGUUAAAAUCGAUUUACGGCACACAGCUAGUGCUUCGCCACUUCAGCUAGAGCAUACGCAACCAGCGCUAUGCCGCUAGCAUGUCAAUGGAUUUUUUUUAAAAAAAAUAUUCUGGCAUGUGCUGUUGGAUUUGGCUCAUGGUAAAACUAAUUAAAAUGUCCGGUUUCUUAUGUUUUAACUCAUGGUAAAUAUUACAAUGACGUUUCUGUUUCCCAGAUUUAUACGGUGAUGCACAUUUCUGUUUUGAUUGACUGCUUCAAGAUUUUACAGCUUGAUAUGCUGAUGCGCACUUCUGCGUUUCUUGGCUGUUUUUAUAUUUCCAGCUUGAUAUGUUUGGAUUUUUCAAACUUGAAAUGCUUCCAACACAGCGGGAAAUGAUUAGCCUUUUGUUGGUCUGCACUGAACAAUGACAAACGCAUUUAUUUUCUUAUCAUCAAGGGAAAUUAUAUAUAACCAGUUUCUUCAUAUCAUGUUCCGCCCCUUAAUUUGUGCCUUCAAUGGAGAUUUUUUUUGGCAGUUUUGCAAUGACACAAUAAAAAUAUGUUAGGUUCUUUUUUUCACGAACAACACUGAUACUGCACACGAGAAAUAAAUAUACCGAACUACCACAGCAAGAAAUACAUAGCUUCGUUUUCCAACAAUUAUUCAAAUCCGCCAACCAAUUGAUCAAUUUGUAGAAGCUAAGAAAGCAAUAUAUUAAUUAAGAGGAAUAAUGAACCUCGAAUAUGUAACCAUGAAACCUCUUGUGCAUGCUAUCUUUUCUAGAUAUUAUUAUACCUAUAGACAUAUAAGUAUGCCUAAGUGCAUAAUAAAGUUUAUAAAUUUAAUAAAAUCAAAACGACCUGUAAUUUAGGACGGAUGGAAUACCUUCUGUAUUAUGAAAUACACACUAUGCAGGGCUAUUGUUUUGUCUCUUUAGAACCCUCACACCCGUACAUCUUACAUUAGGUAUAAACCAUCGCUGCAUUUUGCCUUAGUCUUCAAUUAUUCCAUAAUCCGUACCAUUAGGAUUUGAAAAUGGAGCAUGACCCUAUUGCACCGGAAGAAGCUCGCUUUGCCUGUUUCAAAUCUACAUAGAAUUUUGGUCGAAAGAAAAUCUACAUAGGAUAUUUUUAUUCAUCACGCAUGGUAUUUCUUUUCAUCAAGAGCUAAAAUCAAGCCAUUCAUCAACGGUUACACACUCAUUUAAAUGCGUUAUUAUUGUUGCAAGGAAGGACCUUCGAUCACUCCUUGCCGCCUUGGUAAUGCAAUUUAAACGGAAAUCAGUAUAUUAUUUGCCAUAACAGCUGCCAAAUCAGCGGUUAUUCCCUGGACUCUCUCCUAUUUAAGCGCUCCAUUCCACCAACUUCUCCAAACCCCUCAUCCCACACCACCCAAGCAACCAUGGUGCUCACCAUGACCGCCGGCUAUGAGGACUCGCUCCUCCUGCUCCUCCUCCCUACCACCUCCCCCCUCCCGCCCCUCCUGGCCGUCUUCGUCCUCGCCGCCGUCCUCCUGUGGCUCUCCCCCGGCGGCCCAGCGUGGGCGCUCUCCCGCUGCCGCCGCCCGCCGUCGGGCCCUCCGGGCGUGGUCACCGCGCUCUCCAGCCCCGUGGCGCACCGCACGCUGGCGGCGCUGUCCCGCGCCGUCGACGGCGGCGCGGCAUUGAUGUCCUUCUCGGUUGGGCUCACGCGGCUCGUGGUGUCGAGCCAGCCCGAUACGGCGCGGGAGAUCCUCGUCAGCCCGGCGUUCGGCGACCGCCCCGUCAAGGACGCGGCGCGCCACCUGCUCUUCCACCGCGCCAUGGGCUUCGCCCCGUCCGGCGACGCUCACUGGCGCGGGCUCCGCCGCCUCGCCGCCGCGCAUCUGUUCGGCCCUCGCUGCGUCGCCGGGGCCGCGCACCACCGCGCCUCCAUCGGCGCGACCAUGGUCUCCGACGUCGCCGCCGCCAUGGCCCGCCACGGCGAGGUAUCCCUGAAGCGCGUGCUGCACGCCGCGUCGCUCAACCACAUGAUGGCCACCGUCUUCGGCAAGCACUCCGACAACUUGGCCAGCCAAGAGGGCGCCUUGCUGGAGGAGAUGGUGACCGAGGGCUACGACCUCCUCGGGACUUUCAACUGGGCCGAUCACCUGCCAUUGCUCAAGUGGCUCGACCUCCAGGGCGUGCGCCGCCGGUGCAACAGGUUAGUCCAGAAGGUUGAAGUGUUCGUUGGCAAGAUCAUCCAGGAGCACAGGGCGAGGCGUGCAAAUGGAGGAGUCGCCGAUGAGUUCAUGGGUGACUUCGUCGACGUCCUCCUUGGCCUCGAGGGAGAGGAGAAGAUGUCAGAUUCCGACAUGAUCGCUGUUCUUUGGGUAAGAUCGAGCUUGUUUGUGUACUAAAAUGCAUGCUCUUUACAAAUUGCAAUCCCUUUGUUUUCUGUGUAUGUAAAAUGGUUGCAUUGAAUUUACGCACGUUCUGUUCUGUCGUUCUUGUUUUGAUCAGGAAAUGAUCUUCAGAGGCACCGACACGGUGGCGAUCCUGAUGGAGUGGAUCAUGGCGAGGAUGGUGCUGCACCCUGACAUCCAGGCGAAGGCGCAGGCGGAGCUGGACGCCGUCGUGGGCCGCGGCCGCGGCGUGGCCGACGCCGACGUGGCCAACCUCCCCUACAUCCAGUGCAUCGUGAAGGAGACGCUGCGCAUGCACCCCCCGGGCCCGCUCCUCUCGUGGGCGCGCCUCGCCAUUCACGACGCGCACGUCGGCGGCCACCUCGUCCCCGCCGGCACCACGGCGAUGGUGAACAUGUGGGCCAUCGCGCACGACCCGGCCAUCUGGGCCGAGCCGGAGGCGUUCCGCCCCGAGCGCUUCCAGGAGGAGGACGUGAGCGUGCUCGGCAGCGACCUCCGCCUCGCCCCCUUCGGCGCCGGCCGCCGCGUCUGCCCCGGCAAGAUGCUGGCGCUCGCCACCACCCACCUCUGGAUCGCCCAGCUUCUGCACCAGUUCGAGUGGGCACCCGCGGCCGCCGGCGGCGGCGUCGACCUGUCGGAGCGCCUGAACAUGUCGCUGGAGAUGGCGACGCCGCUGGUGUGCAAGGCCGUCCCCAGGGUCGUCCAGGCCUAAGCUAUAUAUCGUCAUCACAGUCAGCCCUUUCGUUUGCCUGCGUGUCCGAUCUACCUCCAUGCGUGGCCGAAGCUACCAAUGGUCGCCGUGCAUGGCGUCGUGAGAGUGUCUCCUAAAUAUGUUCGUGCGUCCUGUGUCCAUGGCUCCAUGCAAGCCUCAGCUCCUAGGUAGUGGCUUGCCAAGUUUUUGUGUGCUUCGUCGUGUCCGAAAAUAAUUUGGUGUGAUCGUCUCUGUGACUCGGGUUAUAUGGCUUGUGAUAAUGAACAUGAGCUAUGAUAUUAAGAUUUCUUAUUUAAAUUUGGCCUCAAAGUAUUCUCUUUUCUAUAUAUAAAUAUCCCAGAUAUUACUUGAUAUACUUGGGGAUCCUCUCCCUGUUGAUUGAUGCGUCUAUCGUCGUCAUGCAUGGGCUUCUUGCAGUGAACAGUCACUUUGUCUCCAAGCAGUGAUACAAUGUUCAGCAGUCACUCAACACCAUUGACAUGUAUUGGAGACAUGGCUAUGCGUCAAGCGAGACGAAAUAGUGCGUGUGCCUAACAAACUAUAGUGCCUUUAUACUGUGUGCUACCCAACUCAUGCAUGUUCACGCUACUCAUGCUGGCAGGAACAACCAUUACUCAUGCAUUGUUCUGAUGCUGCCUAUCAGUUUUGGACUUGGUCAUUUGAUCUGCAACGGGAUUUUUUUACGGAAUCUGAAUCUUGAGGCACGCGUUCACACGAAGCCAGAGCUCAGGGCAUCAGAUUCAGACCAGUAUCUUCAUUUCGCCGAUUUCAUCGUUCGGGCAGAGUACUGAUUUUUUUGGGAAUGUGCAAAAGUUUUGCAUGUCUUUUAGUUAACAGUUUAACAGAGGUGUGAAGAUGCCAAGUUUUCACAUGAUGCAAAGACAGCCGAUUGGCAAAGUUCCGAUUGUCGAUUGCUGUCUUGCUUUAGGCUGAUUUUACAGUCUUCAGGCAGGUAACAAAAUUUAGCUUCUUGGUGUUACCUCCUAGUAUUUACCAAGGACCGUAAAAAAGUCCAAUGGUUCUUAGUAUGGAGUAUGGACGAAGAUGGUUUUUAGUGUGGGUGUUUAAGCAAUUUGUUGCAGGCAAAGAAGAUAGAAAGAUAUGAUAUAAUAGAUGAAGGUGCUCGUGAAGUCAACUCUGAUACUGUGAAGAGAGAGGACUAGUUUACUUUCUGCUCUCUGCUCCCAUGAUCCUGAAAGCUGACUUGUGUAGAAGUCAGGGACUGCAAAACCGGCUUUGUUAAUCGACGACCGGUCAGGCUCAGAUCAUGAUCAUCUUUGAUAUCUGCCAACAAAUACAGAAAUCAGCUUGGUCAUAGCUACAUCCAAUCAGAUCGAUACGAUCAAACUGUUUUUCUUGUAUAUAAAAAAAGGUAAAAUAAACAAACUGCUUUGAUUCCUCAGUCAACUCCUACUGGUAACUUUGGGCAUGGACCCAAUAGCUGAAGAUUCGAUCAAAGAAGAUCUGAUGGAAACAGUCGCAGGAGCCCAAGGCCUGUAUAAAACCAAUAUAGUUGCAGUUCAACGCCUGUGCUUCAGAAGUUCAGAUAGGCGCUGCAUUUGCCGUGUUUCAUGGAAGUAAUCGAAGCCUGCUAGCAUGCAGUAAUCGAAGGCAGUCAAACACUGGGAAACAGAGCACUGUUUCAUGGAAGGGAACCGGGCGCUGAGCGCAGAGCAUUCAUUUUCAAUGGCCUGCACGCAGUGGUCUGUUUCUUUUGAGGAAACCGUGGAUCUGUUUCCCAGUGGUUCGGCUACUGAACGUUUACGUAGUAGUCUUCAGGCUGCAUGGUUUAGCAGUGGAAACUUCUGGGAGAUGAACGAAUCCGAGGUUUCAUGUGGCUAGCAAUCGGGGAUAGGCUUUGGGCGGCAACAAGAAGCCAACGCCGAGGACUUCAGGACGUAGAAACCUCUGAACAUCUGUUUGCCAGGUGCUCCUACACGGUCCAGAUUUGGCACAUCGUCAGUUCAGUGCUGUGUAUUCAGAAUGUCUUCCCGGGGCAUCAGAUGACGCUGGAGGAUUGGUGGUUACAAAAAAGACACGGACUGAACCGCCUGAAGAGAUAGGGGCUCGACUCCGCUUUCGUCCUGAUUUCUUGGUGCAUUCGGAAGGAGCGUAAUAACCGAGUUUUCAGCAGAUCGUCCUCAAGGCAGCCACACCAGCUGGCUCAACAGAUUUCAGAAGAAGCGCUCCUGUGGUGUGCUAAGGCCCUGUCAGCAUUUUGCCUGGCCACAUGCAGCUGGCUCAGUUCUGCACUAGAUCUUCCUUGCUUUGUUUUCUUUCUCUGGUUGUGUCGAGUCUCCACCUAGGUAUCUAAGAAGUGAAAUCUUGUAGAGACCGGUUGGCCCGCGUUGUAACUCUCUAACGUUCUAUUUCUUUUUAAUACAAAGAUACGCAGCUCUUCUGCGUAUUCUAGAAAAAAAAAGAACGAAUCCGAGGUGUAGCUUGUCAACCAGAGUUUUCUUCUGCUGCUUCUCAGCUUUGUCAACUAAGGCAUCAGCAUCCCUUGAGACUGAACCUGAUCACCAAAUGAUACGAUUCCAUGUCCGUUCCAAAUCAAGAACCGAAUGAUAUGAUUCCACCAAGGCAGAUUCAAAAAAAUAAUAAUUAAAAAGAUGAUAUGAUUCCAGCUUUCACCUGCCUUUGUUCUCCUUUCCUUCAGAUCCAAAUCUGCGUCGAUGAGAGGCCGGAAAGUUGCGCCGUUGCUAUCAACGGAAAGAUGCCAAUAUCUGACGAAAAUGGAAAGCUCCAAUCCGAACGUGUUGUGUGUGCAGAUUAGACCAGGUGGUGGGUGCCACCGUCUCUCAUCAUUGGCGCAAUCUGCAGGUGUGGGCGAGACUGAGAGCGAUGGCAGAGAUCUCGGCUCGCGGGAACACAGCGUCGUUGGCGGUUGGUCACGUCGUCGAUCUAGUCGGCAAGAGAGCUGCUACGAGAUGAUGCUUCAUGCCAGCGUCCUGUCAGUACUCAGGAACAUGAUCAGCUAUUCAGCUCGGCUCAUCGGCUACGCACUGACGCACACUUGCCUCGACCCACUGGCGACGGCGAGAUGGGCUCCGUCCCGUCCCGUCCGUCACAGUGUGGCCGUCGGCCGCGGGGAGUGCAGCAAGGUCAUGCGUCCGGCGGGUGGAUGCGCGUGGAUCCCCACAUGGGCUAUCCCCCGCCCUGCAUGUAGACGUAGGUCUAGGAGGAUAGGAAAAGGCUGCUGCAUGCGUGAUGCGACGGGAGCGGCCGGUGCCGAUGCCGGCGCGGACGAACGGACACGCCGGUGCGGCGAGACCCGAUCCUCGCGCGCGUGCGUGAUGGGCACCGGGCACUUGGGGCAGGACGCGCCAUGCCGCGUUUGCCAACCGCGUGCAGGCGAGCGGAUCGGGGGAUACCGCGGCGGCGCGGCGCACGGCCGCACGCUCGUGGCGGCGGCCUGUCGCGGCUUGUCCCGCCCCGCGAAUUCGGCCACGCGCGUCGAAAAUCACAGGGCGCGGCGCGGCAGAUGAGUGGUGCCGUGGUGGUGUGUGCGGAGGAGAUGGUUCCGAACGAGUUGGCGGCAGGCUAGCUUGGUACCGAGCGAAUCGUCGGUGCGGCAGCGGCGGGCGUGUAUGGCCAUGGGCCAGUAUGGGGGUGUGGGUAGCGCGACGGAAAAAAUGGUGGCUUCAACGGUUGGUUGGGCCGGGUCUCGCCACGUUCCUGGCCGACUCGAGCAUUCCUCGGCCAUAUCAUACGGGCCGGUAUAACGCGUUUGUUGUCAGCUGGGCCUGGCCGUGAGCUAUUUCUUAGACGUAUUUUGUCCAUCAUGGCAAUAAAAAAGCUGUAGCGGUGACAUUUGGGUACAAAUGUCUUGGCAGCUACCAAAGUUUAGAUUGUGAUGCCUGUUCACCCAAAGCCAAAAGCAACCUAAAUUCAGCCAAAAUGCUUCAACAAAGUAGUGAAAAAUAUUGCCUAAAACCUGAAUCAACCACGACGAUAUAUUCUUUUAGACCGACUCAAGGAAUAAUAAAAACUUUAGUACUCCCUCCGUUCCAAAUUGUAGGUCGUUUUGACUUUUCUAGGUUUAUAGAUAUUAUUAUGCAUCUAGAUAUAGUGUAUGUCUAGAUGCAUAAUAAUAUCUAUGAAUCUAAAAGAGCUAAAACGACUUACAAUUUGGAACGGAGGGAGUAGUAGAAAAUCUUGCUAAAACCUGAACACACCCCCACGGAGAUAUUCGUUUUUGAUCGACUGAAGGAGUAAAGACUUUUUUUUAAAAAAAAUAAGGAGUAAAAAUUUUGGUAGUUGUCUGUAACCUUAGCCAACCAUUACGAUAUCUAAUUUAGACCGACUCUGGGAGUAAAGAAUAUUAUUUAUGGGGAUGUUUGAUCCUCGAGCUAAAGUUUAGUCCGUAUCACAUCCAAUAUUUGAUGCUAAUUAGAAGGACUAAACAUGAACUAAUUACAAAACUAAUUGCACAACCCCUAGGCUAAAAUCGCGAGACGAAUCUAUUAAGCCUAAUUAAUCCAUCAUUAGCGAAUGUUUACUGUAGCACCAUAUUGUCAAAUUAUGGACUAAUUAGGCUUAAUAGAUUCAUCUUGCGAUUUAGCCUGGGGAUUGUGAAAUUGGUUUUGUAAUUAACCUAUAUUUAAUACUCCUAAUUAGUAUCGAACAUUCAAUGUCACCUGAGCUAAAAUUAGCCGGGGAUCCAAACAACCCCGCGGAGGGAGUAGUAAUUUUUCCUCUCAAACAUGCGCGAAAUUUACACGUUCUUGACUUCUUGUAGUUGUAGGGGGGGAAAAAAAGAAACCGUCGCAUCUCUGAACGAGAACGAAAGCCCCACUCGCACGAGUCAAAAACUGCCGCUAGAGGUCACUCUCCAGAGAUGCUGGCCACCGGUCACCGGCUCUCCGCCACGGAACAGCAGAAGAAAAUCAAGCAAUCAGGCAAUCACCCAUCCCCGACACCCCGCCCGUUCUUUUCCCCUGUACCGCGUAGCCGUCGGGCCUCGUCCCUCGCGUCUGUCCCCUCGCCGGCGUGGCCUGCGCAGGGAGCGGAGCUGAACUACCAGCUGCCGCCAGCCAGAACCAGAUUACCAGGUGCCAGGCCACAAUGAUUUUAUCGGCCGCGCUCUCACCAACCCCGCCUCCUCGUCGCGUCGUCGGCAACCACCUCCGCAGCCAGCACCUCUGACUAUUUAGGGGAGGCGUGAGGCGGCGAGGGACUCGGAUCAGCGGGGAGGCGGGCCGGCCAUGGAGGAAGGAGGCGAGCACACGAGUCUUCUGGUCAAGGUAUGGAGAACCCGCUCGAUUUGCCUCCGCCGGAUCCAAACUACUUAACGUCUUGUUUCCUGGAUUGGGAGUUGGGACUCGGGCUCGCCGGGAGCGAAUCUCAUUUGCUUAAUGCGGCGCCUUUGUAUCCCAAGCGGGGGUUUUGGAUAUCCAAAUUUCAUUUUCUAGUUCCACGAGGGGCUUGAGUUAGUUAGAAUCGUGUACAGUGGGCAUCUGAGAGUGGCAUGCACGCAUAUUGUAAGUCAAUAUGGUAGUAUUUGGGUUACUCUGUUGUUGGGGAAAUGUUUCGUAGGCCGUGGAGUAUACGCAGAUAAGUCACAUUUACUACUUAUCUUAAGUUAUACAGCCAAUGUUAACGAGAAAGGAAAAAGCACUGAACUUAGAUGUGUGGACUUAAUUACAGAAAGUUAUCAAAUAAACUGUUGAGAAAAAAAUUGGUUACCCAGGAGGAGCAUUUUGGUCUCAUGUUAAUACCUGGCCUUCCUUCAGGAUGAUGCAUCAUGUCACCGCGAAGAACCACAGAAUCUAUUGGAAGCAAACCAAGGGUCACAGCCUAAAAGUAAACUCUCUGACUGGAGAGCACCGGCACUCAUUCUGGGUGAGUCAUGCUGUGCCAAGCGUAACUUUUGUUCUGUAUAAUAUCUGAGUAUUCUUCUUUGAACCUGUCACAUAACCAACUCUUGUCUAGAGCACUUCUGCACUUAUCACUCUUUUACAUUCUUUAGCAUGAUGUCUUGUGAGAUGUUUGAUUGAUCUGUGUUUUCUUGCUCCUGGUGUAAGAAGGGCUAUUCCUGGCCUCCUUGUCACAGUUCCUACAAUUAUCCUAUGCCUAUCCAUGGCUACCUGUUAAUUUCUUAAGUGAUAGUAUUCUCCGUUUUGUGGCUAAAAGGAUAGAUGAAACGACCAUUUAAAAACAAUGUGAUGUGUAAAAAUUAUACUGCAUUUUUGUCUAUUAAUAGGAUGUUGAUCGGCUAAAAUCCUGCAGGAUUGGAAUGCUUGGAGAGCAUGGCUUUUAAUGGCAUCGCAACAAACCUAGUUGUGUAUAUCCGCUCAGUUCUCCAUGGUGGUAUUGCUUCCAGUGCAUCAACCGUAUCUCUUUGGUACGGAACAAGCUUCUUUGUGCCAAUACUUGGAGCCGCUGUAGCAGAUACUUACUUGGGAAAUUACAAGACCAUCUUGAUCUCCCUUAUCAUGUACCUACUUGUAAGAUCAAUCUCUUACUGCUCAGAUACUGCUGCUUAUUCACUCUGCAUUUCCAUUUUGGUAGACUGGUAACCUGACCAUUCAAUUGAUGCACAAUUUUGCUUGUUUUUCUAAUAGGAUGCCAAUGCUCAUUGCAGGGCAUGGUACUAAUUACAGUUGCAACAUUUAUGCCUUCUACUUCAGUCAUUUGUGACAUGAGCUCAUGCCUAUCGUCAGAUGGAACUCAAAAUCUGAUUUUCUUUGUUGGUUUGUAUCUCACUGCUGUUGGAUGUGGAGGAGUAAGAUCUGCAUUGCUUCCAUUUGGUGCAAACCAAUUCAGCAAUGAGCACAGUUUAGAUGUUAAAAAGAGAAGGAAUUUCUUCAGUUUGUUCUACAUAUGUGUCAUCUUUGGUGUGAUUACUUCUGGGACCAUUAUAGUUUGGGUUCAGGAAAAUGUGAGCUGGGCUAUAGGAUAUGGAAUUGCCACUACAUGCAUAGGUCUUGCUUUGAUAGGAUUUCUGGUGGGAACACCCAUAUUCCGACAAGAUGAGCCUUGUGGUUCUCCGGUGAAGAGUAUUUUCCAGGUUAUUGUUGCCUCUUUUAGGAACAUUAGCUUGGAAGUUCCUGCUGAUAGCUCUCUUCUGUAUGAGGUCAGGAGCAACCACACACAAAGGGCAAAACUAGCCCACUCUGAUGAUUUUAGGUACAUUUUUUGUUACUUACCAUGAGAAUGAGAUACUUAUAUAUAUGGUAAAUUUUUCUUGUUUCCACUGAUUUUUUAAAUCUUCUUGAAGUAAUCAUGUCAAUGGUAUUUGGUUGUUAAUCACUUUUCUGGAAAUCCUCAAAUUGUGUAUCUCAUGCAUCUUAUGGGUGAACUUAGAAAUUAAUAACUGUUCCUGAAACAUGGAAACCAAUGUGAAUUGCUUGUUCAUUUGAUUGGUGUCACCUGCUAUCCUGCACUUAUUUAAUCAUCUGAUUCCAUCAUUUUUCUCAGGUUCUUAGACAAGGCAGCAGUUAUUUUUGAUCCGAGCUUGGCCAGUGGAAGUUGUCGAAGUUCAUGGAGUCUAUGCACAGUUACUGAAGUUGAGGAACUGAAAAUACUAAUCCGCUUACUCCCAAUAUGGGUGACUGGAAUACUCUUUGGUGCUGCAAUCUCUCAAAUGCACACCACUUUCAUUCAGCAGGGAACUGUGAUGAACACCAAGAUUGGCUCCCUAUCCAUUCCACCAGCAUCCUUGUACUCAUUUGAAGUUAUAUGCGUUACGCUCUGGGUUCUUUUUGUGAACAAAGUGGUUGUACCGGCAACCCGAACAUACUUUGCAAACGGCGCAGAGCUCACACAGUUACAGCGGAUUGGGAUCGGUCGUUUCCUGAUGAUUUUUGCCAUGGCAAUGGCUGCACUUCUAGAAACAAAGAGGCUACAGAGUGUUCAGGAGGGGGAACCGCUGAGUAUUGUAUGGCAGCUUCCGCAGUACUUUGUUAUCGCUGGGGCUGAGUGCUUCGCUAUCAUCACUCAGCUGGAAUUCUUCCACAGUCAGGCGCCAGACUCCAUGAAGAGCAUGCUGACAGCAUUUGCGCUGCUCACCACUGCUCUCGGCAAUUACUUGAGCUCAGCCAUCAUCACCUUCAUUGCUGGGGUGACCAAGAUAUGGCAAAGCCCGGGAUGGAUACCAGAUGAUCUGAACAGAGGUCACCUAGACUACUACUAUUGGUGUCUGACAGCCCUCACAAUGGCGAAUUUUGUUGUGUAUCUGUAUUUUGCUAGUAAAUACAAAUUGAAGAAAGUUGUUAUUAGCUAACAUCACUUGUGAUAUCACUAGGUGUAAUAUAUGAAGAAUGUUUGUAUGUAUUAUCUAUGUAUGCAUGGAAGGACCUUAUCUCCCAAAUAUAGUGUCUUAUUGAUCUCAGGAUUCAGGUGGAUGUGUAAAUGUUAGGAGAAACAUAGAUAUUGCUUUUGCAGUAGCUAUUCAUUCUGUGUGCUUGUGGAGGGAUCGGUUGAUUCGGUUCAGUUAUAUGCCAAUGCAAUGUGGAAUUGCUGGUGCAUCCAGUAUCUUGGAAUAAAAUCGCUACUCCAUCUGUCCCAAAUUAUUAGUCGUUUAAUUAGGGGAAAUCUAGUUGAUUAUUAGGGCGACAUUUUUAUACUCAGUUUAUGAUCUUGAUAAUUUACAUGGUUAAGUUGACACAGCAUAUUUUCAAAACCAUACCUUUUUUGUACUACCGGUACUAAAUAAGAACAGAAUAACAGAAUAUAUAUAUAUAUAUAUAUAUAUAUAGAGAGAGAGAGAGAGAGAGAGAGAGAGAGAGAGAGAGAGAGAGAGAGAGGGGUUAAUUCUUUUUUGAAAUGGAGAACAAAGGUAGGUUGUUGAGUAGUAAAACUUCAUCCCUAGGUUGGCACUGCGAUCCACAGGUUGGGACGUUGGGUCCCCAGCGCUCCUUGAAAGUUGAAACCCAGAAAAAAAACCCCUCAAAAUCGGGCGCGGGCUAUCAGUCUAUCACACACAGGAUAGCUGGGCUCACAGAGCUGACCGUCCGGAAAUGCACACGACAGCAAGAUCCAUCUCAAAAUCUCAACAAACGGAAAAAAGGGGAAAGAGUUGAAGAUCUUUCCCGUCUCGAAUCCUCGGUCAGGAGCAGGCACAUCAUCAGCACGCACCAGCCGUGAACCGAUUCAAUGAUUCAUCGGUACCACCGUACCAGCAGUUACACUGUAACAGCUUCAGGCCUUCAGUAAUCAGCAGUCUGCACAACCAUGGAGCCAUCCACCUGUGCAUGCCACUCUUCUACUGGUACAGCUUCCAGUGUAUGAUAUCCAAUGGUUCCUUUAGAACCAGGCAACCAACAUGCGCUAAUGCCGCUCCAGAUGCUGCAGUACAGACGCGACCACAUGCAGGGAGCCGGUAACGCAGACGAGGCCAGGAGAUGCGCCGCCGCCUCUGCUCUCGAGGAUGAUCUGGGAGGCGGCCCUGAUCAGGUCGCAGGAGAAUGGCACCGCGGCGUCCUGGCACCCAAUCAUCACCGUGGGUUUUCCGGCUAAGCUCGAUGGCGAUGCGGCCAGGUUUGCAAUGUGUUCUGGAGCCUUAGCACCGCUGAUGGUGCCGAUGUCCACACAAUUGAUGCCCAGGUCGCGUGCCGCAGCCAUCCAUAUUUCUUUCAGUGACGGUGCGGGCAUUGCACGGGAGGCCCCUCCAGCGAUGCUCGCCUCUGUCAGCAACACCACGUUGGGCCUUGAACCUGCAGCAAGUUUCAGAAAAUUACACAACUUCAGCACUACAGUGGGAUGAACCUGCAGCAAGUUUCAGAAAGGCAAAAUAGGCAUUGUGGUCCUUGAACUUGAGGGUCAAGUUCAUCCCUCAACUUUCAGAUUGACCAAUUUAGUCCCUCAACUUCCGUUUUUGGGUCAAACUCGUUCUUAUGCUGAUGUUGUGCUCUAUAUUAGCAUGAGACUAAUGCAAAAAGUCACUUUUGCCCUUGACUCUUGUAGGUCAAACAUGUAUGUGCCCAUGCUUUAAAAUUGAAAUUGACAUGCGCUCGUACGAAUUUGAUUUGCAAAAUGUAUGCAAUCAAACAAGUAUGCACUCAUAUUAUUUUGGUAUAUACAAUUCAUGUACGCAUGCUUUAAAAUUGAAAUUGACAUGUGCUCACAUACUUAUGUACGCAAUAACAUGCUCCACAUAUGUAUUCAUACUCUCUCGAUAAACACAUAUAUUCACAUAUUUAUUUUGGAUCAUACUGUUAUAUUGUACUUCUAAUGGUGGAAAUUGAAGAGAUAAAGAAGGAGCCAAGGGUAUAAAAGACUUUUCGCAUCAGUGUCAUGCUAAUAUGGAGCUCCAUAUCAGCACAAAGGACGAGUUUGAUAAAAAAAAAGUUGAGGGACUAGAUUGGCCAAUAUGGAAGUUGAGAGACGAACUUGACCCUCGGUGCAAAGUUCAGGGACCGAAAUGCCUAUUUUGCCUUUCAGAAAAUUACACAAACUUCAUUGCUACUGUUAAAUUGUGUGGCAACAGAAACCAAAGCGAGUGGGUUUCAAAUGCUCAGGAAGGGAUGAAUCGCCCUCGUACCUGCUAGAAGCUGUUCAGCAAAUGCAAGAUGCUCCUUGUCAUUAGCCAUUCCGACAACAAGAGCCAGAGGCCCUUCCGGUCUGACAGUCUCUAUCACGUUUGACAAGGCCUUUGCUGAUGCCUCGGUAUGGGCUGGAAGAUGCUCAGUACAUCAGCGGAUGGCAAAAAACCACAACUGAAAAACCAUUAAUGGUAAAUUAUAGUAUAUAGCACAGACCUCCGUCGAUAAGUAUGGUGGAUGGUCCAUCAAGCCCAAGCACCAAGGCUUCCUCUCGUGUAAGAAACUGGCUUCUCCCAGGAAGUUGCGUCUCCUCUAAGCCAGAUUGGAUCGAAGCGUCGGAAAUAUCCCAUCCUUAACUUCCCAAAUCCAUGCAAUUGGAAGAAUAAUAGAUCAGCCAGUGCUUGUGGUAAAACAAAUAAAUAGAACAAUAACCACAUAGUGCUUGUGGGAUUAAGGCUGAAGUAACUUUACUUCGAUGAAACUGAAUGGAUGCACUGCCAGCAAAUUGCCUUGAUAGCAUCAUUACCUAGGUUACGGAGACAGAGAGCUGUGCAAGAAGCUGUAACAGCAUUCUGGCGCUGAUGAUCUCCCAGCAGCUGAAGGUUUACAUCAUGCAAUUCAAUGGACUGAAAAGCAUUGUUUGCGCUAUCCGGUCAGAGGUUUUGAAAAUCAGAUGGGAACCUAUCAAUUUCAGAUGAAAUAGGUGGGGGUUCGUGCUGUAACUCACCAAUAGUGUAUCAUUUGAAAUCUUGAUGCUGAUGUCACAGCGUUGAUACGGCUUUCCGUUAUCCCAAUAUAUGCAUUUAGAAAUGCUCUUAAUGCCAGGAUCACAAGCAGAUAUGACAGGGGAUUGUGUCAAGAAUGCUCUGUCACGAAUAAUUUGCUCAAUAUCCGUCGAAAAUGGUCCACCAAUCACAACCUGAAAAAAUGUCCGAUAUCCAGGUUACAUCUUGUCUAGGUCAGGAAACAAGCUGGAAUAUGUUAAAAAAACUGAAUCUUAGUGGCCUCAUUUAGACCAUGUAUGCUAUGUUAAAAAAAUAUUGAAAUAUGAGUGGGCGAAAGAUUUAAGAUCAAAUUGCAGAACAAAUUCUAAUGUUUGGAAGGGAUUGAGGAAGAAAAAUAUGGGGAUACUGGAAGAGGAAGGGUUCCUAAUGCUGCUGCUCCUUGCAUACAGUGCAAUGUUACAAGAUCCACUAGAAUGCCACAUCUGAGGUAGACAUUACAAGUACACAACUCAAUAUUAGGAACCUAAUAACUACAAUGCUGCUAAAAGAAACAAAUCUGAGAAUCAAUCAGUCCGGGGAAAGAAUAAACAAGAAUAACUGGAUAAGGAAAGGUUCAUGUUCAGUCAUACUUGUCACAUACCUUGGCAGAUCAUAUGCAAGGAUAAUAUUAUACAACUGGACAAAAGUCUUUUGGAAAGACUCAAGAAUAAGGUAGCAUUUUUCUCAUGUUACUGAACAAAGUCAAGAACAAGAUUCCUACGAUGCGAUGGAACAGGAGAAGAGCAAGGCUUGUCAUACCACCAUUUAAUUCAAGUAAAAAAAGUGCAAGACUUUCAAGUUGGCUGUGAGGUAAAUGAUAAACAGGAGCAGCUUGAUCCUGGUAGACAUGCAGAAGGAAAAUGAUAAGGGAAUUACAUACUGGUCGUCCUUGUUUGAUGAUCCCGGACUUUGCUAUUGCUAUGUUUUGCAGGGAGCCACCCAAUGCAGCAAGAUGCUCCCUCCCUACUGUUGUUAUGACAGAUGCUGCUAAUUCAGUACUUUGUAUGACAUUUGUGGCAUCUCUAGCUCCACCAAGGCCUGCCUAGGGAAUAGAUAGACAAAUGCAAGCAUUACUGAGAUUGUUUUUGCAACCAUAAAGUUCAUGUUCAGUGUAAUUUAGAGUCAGUAAGAACAGAUGAUAUUAAGAACGUGACAGCCCUUUGCGUUCAAGACCAAUUGGCCCUAUGUUUGUUGUACUUAUGUUCAUUUGAUAUUCUAUUAUACUGAGAUCCAUUUAGAAAGCAGUCAUUGGAAGUGUUAGCUAUGCAGAAUUUUUGUAACUUAUUAGCACUAUUUCCUUUAAUCUCAUAGCUCAGGUGCCCGUUGGCCUACAAUCUCAAAAUAAAUCAGUUGCCCAUUCCACAUUCCUAGCAGGCACUCUUGUGACUUCUGUUCAACAUUAUAUAAGUUCAACAGCGACACGCACAAAACUUGAGAGGUCAUAUAAGGCAGCAAUAGAUGUUCCAUAACUUACUUCAACGAUGGCAAUGUCAACAUUUUCUUGUGAGAAUAGAAGAAAUGAGAGAGCAGUAAAAACCUGCAAAAGCGUGCAGAUAAUACUAAAAGUCAUGACCAUGAUUAUAUGAGAAACAAACAUGAUGAGAUUCAAUGCCAAUAGUAUUUGAGGCUACCAAAAUUCUCAUUAGCUGUUUGCAAUAACUACUUGCGAAUGUAAUGAAACAGUAAAAAAAUCUAUCAUCCGACAAAGAGGUAGGUUACAUUUUCAAUAAACAAACUACCUCAAAAUGUGUCAGUGCUCCAUUUUCUAAUUCUAUUGAUUCAUCAAUAGCUUCCUUUGCCUGAUCGAAAAGAUCACUCAGCAGUCCAACUGGGACAGGGCCUCCAUCAUUUCCAACAGAAAUUCGUUCACGUAUUGUUAGAAGAUGUGGGCUGCAUAGAAAACAGAAUCAUAGCAGUGUUUACACAGAUGCAACUGGACAAUUAGAAAUGAUCUAAAAUAGAGGAUUACAAUUCAACACCUUGGCAUAGAGCUCAACAUGAAAGGAGAAAGAUACUAUUCAAAACUAAUUUGCUAGAAAACAAGAUCCAGCCCCCUAAGAAUUGAACAGGAUAGAGCUAGAGCAGAAUUUAUAUAUACGUAAGCCUCAUUCGAUCAAAGCUCCUUAAAAAAGACUACAUUCUUCUCCUGCAUACCUCUUUGAACUAUCAACAGAACAGCCCCAUUUAGGCUAUUUUUCUCUUUAAUACAUUUUGUAAUUUCAGUUCAAUAUCCUUUGAUAAAUGUUGAUAUCAGUUGACACUUGACAGAGGCUAAAAGCCUAAAAUCAAAAUUUUGACUAUGCAACUUUUCAUAAGGACAAAAUUGUUCGAGCAACCAAUCAUGAAUGCAUUCGUUUCCCUGUCCCAAUUACAGAGGCACCACAAAACUUCUGAGUAACAACUGCAUACGAUCGACAUUGCUGAUGAUGAUUUAAGAUUACCUGGAAUAACAGCCCACAUUGUAGCCUUGCUCCCUCAUGAUAUUGGACAGGAAUGCAGCGGUUGAACCUUUCCCCUUGGUGCCAGCGAUAUGCACAGCCUACAAACACAACUACACAACUGAUGAGCUCAUCUUACAUUCAUUGCAAUAUCUUUGUGUUAGUCAGCGAGAUAAGGGAACACGGGGGGCUCACCGGGAAGUGGGUGUGGGGGUCUCCGAGCCGGCGGAGGAGGCGGCGCAUGCGACCGAGGUCGAAGCCGUCGUCAGAGUCGGUGCCGGCGCCGCGCGGCACGCCCGAGCGCUCGUAGUUGCGCAGCCGCUCCAUGUACUCGAAGAAAUCCCCGAGCUGGCCCUCCCCGUCGCCUCCGGCCAUAGCGGACAGGCCACGGCGGCCGCUGCUCCCGCGCAGCAGACAGCGCGAGAGGCGGAGCGCGACGGGGAAGCGGCCGAGCAUCCGUCGGGGCCGUGCUGCGAGCACCGCGGCGGGAGGCGCCGGAGGGCGCGCGGUCGCAGCCGUGGCGCUCAGAUGCCGCGAAUCGCGCGCGCACGCGCGCCUCCUCUCCUCCCUCGCGCUUCCUGCUCGGACGGGAGGUUGGGGAGGAUGUCGGCGUCGGGGGCCGCCGGUCGCCGGAGGAGUAUCUGAUCCGACGAGGGAGGACCAAACCAGGGGGUUCCAUGAUAGAUAACCAACUUUCCAUCCUGACCGUCCGAUCUCAGAUCGGCGCUUGACGUUGCCCUUGGCGCGUUUAGACCUCGCAGAGUAGACCCAGGAGCAAACCUCCCAAACCCUCCCCACUGCCCCCGAUCUCAGCCGCUCCAAAAUGUGGCGCCGCCACCUCCUCCGCCGCCUCCUCCUCCCAUCUCCGGCCACCGGCGCCGCCGCAGCCACGCCCCCUUCUCCCUUCCUGCGCCACCUCUCCGCCUCCACUGCUCCCGCUCCGGACAACUCCCUCGCAUCCUCCCUCGCGGCGGCACUCGCCGCGCUCUCCACGACCCCGCCGCCCGCCACCACCCCGGACGCCUACUUCUCGCUCCACUUCUCCGACGUGCGCCCCACCAACGCGCUCCUCGCCGAGGCGCUCGCGCUCUCCCCGCCCGCCAGCUCGCGCGCCGCUGCAGACCUCUUCCGCUUCCUCGUCCGCCGCCGCUCGCUACACCCCUCCGACGGCGCGCUCGCGCCCGUCGUCCGCCACCUCGCGCGCCGCCGCGACUUCCCCGCCGUGCGCGCGCUCAUCCAGGAGUUCCCCACCGCGCUCGGGCCCGACACGCUCGACGCUUACCUCCACCAGCUCGCCAGAGCCGGCCGCCCCACGGACGCCGUCAAGGUGUUCGACGAAUUGCCCGAGCAACUCCGUAACCGCGAGGCGCUCACUUCUCUGGUCUCCUCGCUUUCUGCUGAGGGCUUCCCUUCGCACGCAGAGCGUGCUGCCAAGAAGGUCGCCAAUGAGAUCUUCCCUGAUGACAAUAUCUGCACUUUGCUGGUAUCUGGCUAUGCCAAUGCUGGAAAGCUCGACCAUGCGCUGAGGUUGAUUGGUGAGACACGCCGUGGUGGGUUUCAGCCAGGUUUGGAUGCAUACAAUGCUGUUCUUGAUUGUGUCUGCCGGCUCAGCCGCAAGAAGGACCCACUGAGGAUGCCCGUGGAAGCGGAGAAGUUCUUACUUGACAUGGAGGCCAAUGGCAUUCCCCGGGAUGCUGGGACAUUUCGGGUGCUGAUCACAAAUCUUUGCAAGAUCCGCAAGACGGAGGAUGCCAUGAAUCUCUUCCGCCGAAUGGGUGAGUGGGGAUGCUCACCGGAUGCUGACACGUACUUGGUGCUCAUCAGGAGCUUGUACCAAGCUGCUCGUAUUUCAGAGGGGGAUGAGAUGAUGACGUGGAUGCGAUCUGCCGGAUUUGGAGAUAAGCUUGAUAGGAAGGUGUAUUAUGGAUUCAUCAAGAUCUUGUGUGGUAUUGAGAGGGUUGAGCAUGCCGUCAAGGUAUUCCGUAUGAUGAAAGGAUAUGGGCAUGCUCCUGGAGUAAAGUCGUAUAGCUUGUUGAUUGAGAAGCUGACUAAGCACAAUUUAGGGGAUCGUGCAAAUGCACUGUUCAGGGAGGCAGUUGCACGCGGUGUAACUGUGGCACCAGGAGAGUAUAAGAUUGACAAGAAGUAUGUGAAGGCAAAGAAGGAGAAGAAGGUGAAGAAGAGGCUCACUUUGCCGGAGAAGAAGAGAUUGAAGAGCAAGAGGCUAUACAAGCUCAGAAUGAGCUUUGUCAAGAAGCCCAGGCGGCGAAUGCGGGCUUAAGCAAAAUUUGGGUAAUUUUUGUAGUCAUGAUGCUUUUAUUGCACUUUUCAUAAUACUAUCUUUGCUUAAGCAUUUGCUGUGUGGAUGGUGAUAGUUCUGAGGACCAGUCCAUCGUUUUAUGUUAGUGGUUUAUCCUGCAUUGUAUCUUACUUCAUUGCUCUUGAACUAUGAAAACACCAUGGAAUUUUGUGUUUCCGAUGGUUCCUGUAUGCAGAUUCAGGACUGUAUUAGAAUCUUUUCUUUUAUACCAUUCUACUUAAAGAUGGUUGUCGUAAGCCUAGUCUCUUUAUGAAUGUGUGGAAGACAAGCUCUAAUUAAUGCACCAAUAUGAUACUGAGUAAGCUGUUAAGUCAAGAAUUAUAGGCAGGAAGAAUUCUUUGGAACCAAGGAAGUUAACAAGUACUAUCCCAAAGUAGCAGGUAGUUUCACUUGAAUUGGAUUGCACAACUUGUUUCAUUUCUAUGACCCAGUAACCAGUAGAUCAGCCAUGGAUUCCCAAUAACUGGUAGAUGAGUCAGAGUCUUUGCAAUUUUGGUAUUCUAACAUUGUUUUUCUUGCCCUUUUCUUCAAACUGGCUAUUUUUCUCGUUUGUUUAGUCCACUGAAGCAGUUGCAUAGAUAACUGCCACAUUCAAAAUGACUUAUAGUUAAGUGCAGAUAUUUGAUAAAAUAAAUACAUGAUAUUUCAUGGAAGGCAAUGUGCACUACUUACAAAUACCAAAAUUCCUGAACCUACUUUUUGUAAGGACUGUGGGUACAUGCAAAUCUAAAAACAUUUGAAUACACAAAAGGCGUUAAACUUGCUUCAUUGUUCCUUAUCCAAGGUUAUCAUGCCUCUCUGCCUGCAAAAAGCCAGCACACACUGGAAUUGUCUUAAUCAUUUUUAAUUUUUCAUUUUUCCUGCGGUCCAGUCUUCCACUGAGUAACAUUUUACAUCAUAGCAACUCCAUCUCAACAUUUUUCAAAUCAGUUUGUUUGACUUGUGUGGCUUUGGUUCCAGUUAUGGACCUUUCCCUAUGAAACAAAAUUAGCUGCAGUGCUCAAGUCACGCUGCACUGUGAAAUACAUCUUAUGAAUGACUCCAUCAUGCGUUGCAAAGGUUGCUCUGACACAUACAGACUAGACCUAGUCCUGCUGGUGUUCUGAUAUAUAUUAUCAUGACUGGAGCAUAUUCCAAUAUUCCAUACUGUAAGAGUGCUAAUCUGUAUCAAUUUUUUUAAGUUUCCCUUUGGCACUAGAGCAUAUUCUGACCUACCUGUUUAGAAUGUACUUAGACCCACCACUACAUGUAGGCUCCAACUUUAUGUAUUGUAUCAUAUCAUGAACUGAGCUUUACGAACCUGGCUUCUCAGUUCUCACCAUCCAAGCUAGUGCCUCUCACUAACUGAACCAUCAUAUUUGGAUUAGGGACAUCUAAAGUCUUGAACAUAUGGAAUAUGCUCUGGUCAUGACAUGUUCCUUGACCUUAAUUUUGCAUAUUCUUUAUCAGAAUUCUGAAGUGUCAAACAUAAUCACCGUGUUUAUGAAGUUGCAAGUGCUCAACUCAUGUGUGUGACUUUGUUUGAUAGAGGCAACACUAUUAUAUGCCUGCCGAUAGCUUAUGUUACUAGAUAAAUGAGAAUCAUAUACUGUACCAGAGGCCAAUAUCACUAUCUAGGGGUUUUUCCUAUCAUCUCAUCUAUUUGAUUCUAGUUUGACGUGAUUUUAUUACUCACAGCAGAAAUUCGCAGCAUUGCCUGUGACAUUAAGGAUUUAAAAGUUUUUUCUAUUUGUUUCAAGUGAUUUUUUCUUGUAAACUAAACUACCUAUAAUCUUUCUGCAACUGUGUUACUAAUCGUUUGUAAUUAUGCAUCAGUUUGGUUGGAGCGGAUGAUCAUGGGAAGGGUUGAAGGGAAACAUCAUUGCUAGUAGAGUUACAAUCCAGAAGGUCAUAAAAUUGCUGUCCUUGACUUGUGCCUGCCAUUGUGAGUGGCUAUCCAACAGCAAUGUUUUCCAAUGUUAGGGGCUUCGUAUGGUUUCAUUUUCAGUUGACGGAUUGGUGGUUCUGCUGAUGUUUGGUGCAACACCUUGCAUUACAUCAGCAUAAAUAAUGUACCAUUUCACUUCUUUUUAUUUACCCUUCUGGUGAUGUUCUGUACACCCUAGUUCUUCAUAGAAAGCAUUGGAAUUAGGCAUCAGCCGAAUGCCCAAAACUAACCGGGCCACAUCUUGCUAAAGAACGGUUACUGUUUCCCCCUUUUUUAUGCCUGGAAAUUUGUUCUUCCAAUGUAUUCGAGUGCUUGAGCUUCUACAUGAACAUCACCUGUUUUCACUCGCUGGAAAAUGAAAUGUUCUGCACACCUGAUCGAUUUCUUCACGUCACGUCAGAGUUUAGGUCUCGGCAAUUGGGGGUUGCACUGCCGGGACCGGGAUGUGCAGGAACAACUGAAGAGAUCACGGUGCACACUCACAUGCAUAGAGACCCGUUCCUUUCCCAGAUUUCCAUCAGGUAGGUAUGACUUUUUUUUUCGUCUGUGCAACUUUAUACACCUGGUUUGCGUGCACUGGUUCCUCUUUUCUUGAGCUCUCAUUUCAUAAACCAAUCUCGGAUCAAGCUGCGAUCAUCCACACUAUUAUAGAUUUAUAGAGGGUCUCUCUCUUUCACACACUUGGAGAUAACAUAGACUAUGGGCUUCUGGGACCCUUUGCCCCUUGUCUCCAUUGGCGUAGCCUGAUCUCUGAUGCACCCAACAAGUGCUUCACUUAAAUGAGUGGCAACCUAAAAUGAUGUGUGCAAAAGACUAGCAAAAUAAAAAAAAAUGUUUUCCACCUGAUAUACAACUAAAUAUCCAUCAGUGUCUAUCGGAAUUCUUGUGUGACAUAUUUUACCCUUGUGCGUUCUAAAAAGAUCCCUGAGAAAUGCAAGGUGCCGCAGCGAAGAAAUUUGUCCCCUGAGAAAUGAAGAAAAUUUUGGUGGCUGCUGGUUGUUUAUGCAAAUCUAGGCGAGGUGAUAACGAGUUCCUGUGUGCCCAAAUUUGUCGAUUUUUUAGACGCUGCAGUGAGGAAUUUGACAGGCCACCAACCUUGGACCCUGCCCAUGGUGCCCCCCGUCGCCUCUGUGCCACGACCCAAAUCCAGGCAGCCGUUUCCUGUGCAUAAAUGGACAGCAGUGGAGCUGACAGCGAAGGAUAUGGCCGGGAAUUAUUGGGGGUCACACAUCAUGUCCUUUCCAACGCGAUCCCUCUUAUCAGAAACAGGCUCUCCCUGCGUGCCCCUGACCUAAAACAUUGCCUGAUUCGCCGCUAUCUUGUUGCCUCUCCGUUUGGGUUGGGUGGUGAUCGGUGUCUGGUUGUUGAGCUCCCAAGAAUUGGAGUUGCAGUUGCCUUGGAAAUCUGUGGUCUUGCCGGCGCUGCCAUCUGCCAGUGAGCAAAGCCAACCGAUGGCUGUCAAGUUGAAAAUGUUGCAGUGCCCAAUCAGAUGGAUGGAAGAUGACAGCUUUCAUGCUGUAAGCUACGCGGCUGGCUGGGACACGCAAGCUUGAGAAUGAUACGUCGGUCCAGAGUUGUUCUCCUGUUCACCUGCGAGUCUUGAUUGGUGGAGCCACGUAGGCUGGAGGAACGCUAAGCUCGUGCGUCAGGCCUGUUCGUUUCAGCUUAUAAGCCGGCUCAAAAGCUGAAACGGCUGAUUUAUUGUGAGAGGAAAACACUGUUUGAUGGCUGAUAAGCUGGCUGAAUAAGCUGAAGCGAACAGGUCCAGCUUGGAACGAUUUGUGUUUUCUUGGUCCCCCAAACUUUGUGGCCUUUCAUGAUGAUGAGUAAGUUUGUGGCAGUACAGUAUAAAAGGACCCCAGUUUGAGGAUAAAGAUCAGCAGAUGCAUCCCGAUCAGCUCACCUGAAACACACAAACAAGUACUGCCUGCAAAUUGCAACUGAUGCCAUCUUUAAUUAUCGCCUUUUCUGAAAGCAAAUUCGGGGCGAGGUAGGUAGGCAUUGGCACGUAGGCACAGCUGUUCAUUGCGCUGUGGGUGGGAUCACGAAGCGAGCGGGUCAGAUUUGUACUACUAGCGCUAGCGCUAGCGCCGUGUAAAGAUUUGGGGUAGGGUCGCAUCAAAGGCAGUGGACCUUCCUCUUUCACCCUCCCUCCCUCCAUGGUCCAUGAUGCUAUCUGCAAUGGCUCUUCGCCAUCCUCUGCGUCAGUUGCAGAUGAAGACAGCAGCUCAAUCGUUUUCUCCAAAAAGAUGAGGAGGACCGCGUGCGCCCCCCUGCAACUUGCGUGAUUUUAUCGGCUCGAUGCCAACUGACAAAGCGCUCCCUCUACCCCCCCGGUAGAUUCCGUUGCUGAAAGCCAUUAAAUUUGCUAGUGAUUUGUCUGCAGAUGAAUGGGGUCGACUGUUACAUGGAUGUUUACAGGAAGAUCAAGGGGUAAUCCACAUGUACCAGGAGAUGAAAUGACGAGGCUGGCUGGCAGGUAGGGAAGCUGGGGUAGCGAUAAGGAUGAGAGGGCAGCCGCACGUGCGCGGCAGCUCGACAGAUGGACGCAACCAAAAUUUUAUAAUCCCUCCGGGAACAGAAGGAUAAAGCCACAUCUACAGUAGAGUGGAGACUUCGCAGACCCAGAGGCAAAGAGCGGAGGAGAGAUGGAAUAAAAAAAAGAGGGAGAGCAGGAGAAGCGCGCACAUAACCCGCAAAGGCAGAGAAGUGCAGGGGAGAAUUCGUUCAGAUCAAAACAAGGUGUCGUCUUCUUCCUCCCCCUCCUCCUGAUGUCGACGUCCACCCCCGAUUUUCCUUUUCUGGUUUUAAUAUUUGUCGCCAGCAAUUCUGUACGCAAUACGUCAAGCGAAAAGAUCGUACGUAUGUAUGCGUAUGUGUGUGUGUGUGUGUGUGUCUGCGCUUCCUUGCUUCCCCUGGCUUCUUUUAUUCCCCCUCCUUUGUUCGCUUGCGGCUUCGGGACAGGAGGAGGCGGGGCAGGGCGAGUGAAUGCACAGUUCCGGUGAGUUCUUGGAACCCGACCGGGCUCUUCUUGAUUCGUUUCCGCCCCGUGAUCUUAGGGUUGGUUCUUGGUUUGGGCGCUACUCGGGGUGGGGGCGAUUUGUCCGGCGCGCAGUCGCCACGAACUGGAAUUCUUCCUCUUCCUCGUCAGCCUCGUGCUGUUCCUGACGGAUCGUGUUUUCUUGGCACUACCUGAUAGAACAUUGAUAGGAAAAUGCGGCCGAAUUGUUUGUUAAUUCAUAGAGUGUGGUUUUGUUGCUGGUAUGGGUUUUUAGGUAAUGCGGCUUGGUGCGCGUUCUAGUCGAUCGAAGAUUGGAUUUUUUUUUUUCGGGGCAGGAUUGCGCGUUCUUGAUCCGUCUGGUUUUUGUCCGGGGAGUGCGCCCGCCAUGACCAUAUCCGAUUUCUUUUGGGUUCUUUUCCUCGGGAGAAAGUACGCGAGCAAUGGGGCCAAAGGCAGCAGCUUUUUUUCAGUCUUCAGCAUCUAUACUGCAAUGGAUUGUUCCCCCGCAGUGCUUCUGCUUCCUUUUCACUUUUAUUAGCAGUAAAGUAGUAUUUGAGUGCUUUUGUUGGGAUUGAAAAAAAAGCAUUGGAAUCUUUGAACUGUUCUCAUCUCAAAUGAUGGCUACUAGAGCUUUCAGUUGCAACUGUCCGUUCCUUAUUGCUAGUCAUUCAGUUCUGUCCAGAGCUCUUUCAGCUUUCUCCAUUCCUUCAGCAGAACAAGAAAGGCAACUUCUGGUCUUUUAUUCGCAAUUUUUGUGUUCUUUGAGUAUGUGUUACUGCUUGUAUGUGAAUACUAUCUGUAAUGCUGAUAGCUCUCUGUCUACUGUGCAAUUUCGCCUCUGUAUUUAGUAUGAUACCUUUAGAGCUUCAGUUUUAAUCUGAUGCUUUGAACUUAACGGAGUAUCAUUUUUGUAGUUUUUACUGUUCUCAGAUUUAGUUAUGCAAUUGGCUUUCGAGCCUUCGGCCCACAAGAGGCAAUUUGUAGCUGGAUGUUGAAUACGUUGUUUUGCAGAGAUACAUCUGAUCGGGUUUCAGGCUUCAGCUAUUAACGUGAAAUAGGCAGCCAGCAAGACUUCCAUAUACAGCAAUAGGAGACUUCCCUUCCCCUAAAAUUCAUACUGAAACGUCAAAGCUAUAAUUAAUUAAGGCAAUAAUAGAUCCACAAGUUUUAUCUUCUUUCUUAUGGGUUAUUCAAUCCAGCUAGAUUUCUGUCACAAUCAUAUUACACACUCAAAUUUAUGAUCCCCAAAUUGACGCGAUGCAAUCAUACAUGUUCAGUUUUUUAGGUGCUUUAAUGUUGCGUGCAAAAUCUUUGCUACAAUACUUAUUCCUUUUGGGCCUUUGGUCAAGGUCUACAAAACGUAGGAGUAGCUUUUUAAUCAUUUACAACUAGCAAGUUGGUGUUUUAAUUUUUAGUUGUGCUCGAAAUGUUUAGAAGCGAAACAUAACAUUUAUAAGGAUAACAUAUUAAAGAAUGCAGCAAAAGGAACCAGCAUACCAGUUUCUAGAUGCAUGUUGUGCUACCAGUUUUCUCGAUUGUUUUUCUUCUGCAUUCUAGAGAGAAGCACCCUAUAGUAAUAUUUUUAUUGCAGUUUUAUUGCAGAGCAGCUUCAUAAUUCUGGAGUAAAUGUGUCUUGUUUUGAACAUGUUCUGUAAUGAACAAGAAUAUUAGCAAAAGGCCCUCUGAUGUCACCCUUUCUCUUAGAUUGGCUAGCAGAGACAAUGUUAUGCUUCAAUAGUUUUACUGCUAUUAAAGGGGCCAUAACUCAUGUGAUAUUAGGCUGGGUAAGCAUAGGUAUAGAAUGUCCUCCGUUUUCUAACAUUUUGGUCCCUUCUUGGCCAGAAACAAUAAACAAAAUGGUAUUUGUGUUGGGAGUGUUAGAGUUAGAGCAAUAGUCUAUGGUUGGCCAGAAUGUUGCGACUUCUACUGUAGGUACUAUAGACGUACAAGUUAGAGAACUAAAGUCUGCAUUUUGCAAGCUUUCUUAUAUUCUAAUGUUAAUUGGAUCACUUCUUCUGAAUCUAUUUCUUCUUAAUAUAUUGAUAUGCAGCUCUCCUGCGUGUUCGUGGAAAAAAAAACUUCUUCAGAAUCUACUUGUGUUGUUAAUUUGCCACUACUUCUUUCUGCAGGAAUAUUUUGGUGCGAUAGUAACUUGAUAUAGAGUUCUAGAUCAAAGAAGCAAUGGAAAGGGAAUCAGCUACCACAUAUGAGCCAAAAAGGAACAGUGAAAUAAGGGUUUUUGAGAGUUUUGAUGAUAUCUCAACAGAUCUGGCUGAGUAUAUCUCACAAAUUUCAGAAAUUUCUGUCAAAGAAAGGGGAUACUUUGCUAUUGCCCUAUCUGGAGCCCCCCUAGUCAGUUUUUUGUGGUAAUGCUAUUUCCUCAGCUUUAUUAACUAACAUAUUCUUUUGAUUAUUGUUUGCACAAGAAGUGCCAACAGCCCAACACAGUUCAUAUUCCUAUACCUGAACUUUCACUCUUUCAAUUACUACAAGGAAACUUUGUGAAGCCCCAUACAACAAGACCCUGGAUUGGUCCAAAUGGUACAUCUUCUGGACUGACGAACGUGCUGUAGCAAAGAAUCAUGCUGAGAGUAACUAUAAGCUAACAAAAGAAGGAUUCCUCGCCAAGGUAUGUGAACUGAAUAUACCAUUCCUUUUCUGAUUCCUUUUUGACCUGCAGGCAGCCUAAAAUAAAGCUUAUGCACAAAUUCAGUGUUUUGUUUAUUAAGAUUUGUUAUUUUGUAUUCACUUGUUGAUGUCUGUCACCUACUUUCUGCUUCGUUGAAAAAUGAGCUGAUUUGGCUUCCUUUUAUUUAUUGUUCUGUACCAACCAGAUGGCGGUUGUAUCUAUACUGAUGGUUCUCCUUGUUGCUUCCACUAAUAUUAUUUUUCCCUCUGCAUACCUAAACAAUGAAAAGUUUAUUCACUGAAAUAGGAUGUCAAAAAAUUCUUACAGUACAAGUUUAACAGCUGAAGUGAGUAUGUCUUGUCAUUUAAAACCUGAAACGCUAUGUGUUUUGUAGUCAGAAGUCUGAUGUUUUGGUGCCCACCUGUCUAUGAUCUGGUUGGUUUUUUCGUUAUUGAGGGAUUCUUUUUUUUUCCUGCCAAAUGAUAUACUAUUUGAUGCUAGUCUGUUUUUGCUCUUUGCUUCCUUAUUUUGGGUAAUAUUUUGAUGUUUUUUGUGUGGAAAUAAUCAUUGAUAUUAUUUUAGUCUUAAAAGUGCUGUCUGAACUUCAGCUCCACUUGUGUUAAAUCAACCAGCAGUUACGAUGAACUUUUCCUUUACAUUAUACUUGUCCACCUCGUUGAGGCUACAACCAUGGAAGUAGACUGUAAAGAACCGACAGAGCAAGCACAUACUUGUAUCAUACCUGAAUAUUUGUUGUUCUGGUUACUGAUAAGAGUGGACUUUUUUUUGUCUAGCUCUGUUUGAGAUCUGAGUGUUUUUAUUCUCUAUUGUUGGUAUGUACUGCAUGUUAUAAAAUACUACCAUAUAAAUUUUAUUGACACGGUACUCAACGGAUUAUCUAGGAUUAUAUGACUGACCUGUGGAUUUCUUUUUUUUUCAUUUUUUCUUGUUUCAACCAAAUGUUAGGAGUAUUUGGUCAUUUCAUUUCAGGCUUCAGAGCAACAAGGCUUAAAAUUAGUUGUUGAGAGGACCAGCCAGUGGGAGUCUUAGAUAAUCAAGAAUUCCCUGUUCUUUAUUGCAAUGAAUUGUUCAAAGAAAGAGCAGGUCAAGAGUAGCGGUAUAUAUUAGCUCAAAAUCUGUGUUGCUAACAUUCAGUCUCCUAUCAUUCUCAUUCGGCCAUAUCCAUUUUCCUUUCUUGUUACAAUAAAGAAUAAUGCCAAUUGAAAGUAGAACACAUUUUUAGGUAGAUUUUACACCUUAGACACUGACUGUUGGUCUGGAUGGGUGCUACACCUUAUCAUUUGAUGUGUCAUGUUCUGGUAGUCUGAUAUUUUCACACUUCAGACAAUGCUAUAUCCUUUGCCAACUUGGGGAUGGGGGACAGAUUAAGGCUGCCUAACUACUGACUUAAUAGCUUCAUGUUCAGCUACUCCGGAAGCACCCUGCACCAACCACACAUUUUCAUAGCUUCUGAUUAUUGCCCAUUGUCAGACUAAAAACUCGUUGAAAUGGUUUCUUAUUGCAACAGAAUAACUGCACUCAGCUGAGCUCCUCCUUGAACCAGUCUCAUUAUAUGUGUAGAUUUCUUGAUUCCAUUUUUCUAGACUAAAAUAUUACUCAAUUCGAUCUUAACAAAAUUCAGUUUAACUUGUUGAAUUUUUUUCCCUGCUAUUGUCCUUACCCUAUUAUUUUGUCUAGUUUGUGUGCCCAUUUAAAUCUUUAGAGAGCACAUAUGCCUAAAUAGCCUGUUAUGCUAGUGUCACUGUUGCAUGAGACUUCUUCGAGCAUGUCAUGUUCUUAUGUGUCGAGUCUUUGAUUAUAUGUAUCUGUUCCAUGUUAUUCCCAUUCUUGCCAUUUCAGUUACACUGAUUCCACAUUCAACUUAUGUUGGCACCAAGAAUCAAAUAAGUGGAUAAGAUGCAGUUGUUAGUGUCGCAUUUAUGAUGGUUGCUGCUGCUGCUGCUGAUUAUGGGUUAGAAUCUUGCAAUGCAUCCUUUUGCCGAGUUAACUAUUUGACAUAUUUGAAUUGUCUUACAGGUACCUAUUCUUAAUGGCCAUGUCUACUCCAUAAAUGACAAUGCCACAGUGGAGGAUGCAGCAACAGACUACGAAUUCGUCAUCAGGCAGCUGGUCAAGGUCCGGACAAUCGGGGUCUCAGAGAGCAACGACUGCCCCAAGUUUGAUCUCAUCCUCCUUGACAUGGGCUCUGAUGGUCAUGUGGCCUCGCUGUUCCCCAACCACCCUGCCCUUGAGCUGAAAGACGACUGGGUCACCUACAUCACUGACUCCCCGCAGCCUCCACCCGAGAGGAUCACCUUCACUCUCCCAGUAAUCAACUCGGCUUCCAACAUAGCGAUAGUGGCUACUGGCGACGACAAGGUGAAGGCCGUGCACUUAGCGGUUUCUGACGGCACUGAAGGUCCUGAUGCUCCCGCGUUGCUGCCUGCAAGAAUGAUCCACCCGACGGACGGGAAGCUGGUGUGGUUCCUGGACAAGGCCGCGGCAGCAUCCCUCGAGGCUAACAACGGUGAUGCCUCCUACGACGAGCAUGCCGAGUACCGACUUUGAAGAUCCAAGGUCGUUUUGCCGUGAAUGAGUGGAGGCGUGUAAGUAGGCGGGUGGGAUGGAAGAUGCUGGGUGCCCCGUUUUAGCUCGAUAUACUUGUAGUCUUGGCAUUAAUUUUGCCUAGGGUCUAGUUCCGGGAAAUCAAAAAUUGCCGUGGUCCUUUUGCCAUGAGAUGUGAUUUAGAGCGAAGAAAUGUGUAUGCGAUGUCGAGAGCAAAGGAUGAGAACACCGGAUUUUUAACUGUGAUAGUAUUAUGCUAUGCGCUGCAUUCUAUUUCUAUCUAGCUGAAGUUAGAUUCUUUAGUUUGUUGGUAUUUGUUCUUGUGCAUAGCACUCUUCUGUCUCAGCCUUCUGAGUAUGUUUGCAUCCGUACCCAGACUUGAGACACCAAAAUUCUUUUGUUUGCAGCCGAAUAUGGGCUCAUCAGGCUGUUUGCGAAACAUUUCAAACUCAUAGCAAUCUUUCAAACUCAUAUGAUUUUUUUAGGCUGUUUGUGGAGCAUAACCAUAUCAGUUUUUUAAGAUCAUACUUGAAGUAGUUUUAUUCCUGGCAUUUAGCAAUGCAAUCAACCUUCCACCGUCAUUUGGGUCGGGCAGCGUGGGUUGCUGGAGAGGCAGUUUGCCUGGCAGUGCUCAUUCUUGUCCCAACACUUCUGCGGCUUCACGCUCAUGCAGCAGUAGCAUCGUUCAUCACAAUAAGGUGGUACGGCGCAAAAUGUUACCUUAAACUUGCUCACAUCUACUGUCAGAGACAGGAGUUCACCGCGGUAGCAUUUGUAGCCCCUGCUGUGGUGGUAGGGUAGCAGUAUGUUGCAGUAUCAGUGCAAAUGAACAUAGAUGGUUCGUAACAUUAGUGAAAAGCUCGGUUCAGGAGGAGAUGAGAGAUCAAAGCGAUGCAUACUCACACUGGGCUACCAAAGUUAGGCAUCCAAAGAGCACAACGAACAAGACAGUUAUCAUGCAUGUACACCAGAUCACUGCCACGGUUAACCUUCAUAUUGGUCGAUAAACUUCUGCAGCAUACGAGUCAAAUUAAAUGGGCACGGAGGGGUGGUAAAAUCUUGCAGGGAGAAAUGCUGAUUCCAAAAAUGUGUCGUGUAAACCGAUCUGAACAUUCGAAGUAGCAAUUUAAUCGAUCAUUUCCCUGUUUCUUAACUUAUAUGCAAGGGGUGGCUGACACGGUGUUCAGCUGCUAGGGGAUUCGCAUUGGGUGUUCAGCUGCUAGGGGAUUCGCAUUGGGUGUUCAGCUGCUAGGGGAUUCGCAUUGGGUGUUCAGCUGCUAGGGGAUUCGCAUUGUAUCAGAGUUGAAAAAAAAAAGACAGGCAAGAAUGAAUCAUCAGGCUAAUAUCUCAUUGUAUCUCAAGAGUGCAUAAAUGAAUCAACGAAGCAGAUAUUAGCGUAAAAAAAAGAUCAACUGCCACUAUUAGUCAACGCUAGAAAAGAGCCCUGCUCCAACCUUUUCUCCGAAGAGCUCCUCCGAUCCGAUCCGAUCCGAUGCUUAGCAUGCGGCGGCCCGAGGCAGGAGCGCUGCCGGCCUCUAUGAUCGCCUAGCCGCCUACGCAGGAAUGGGACGAUGGACCAGAGUGCAGCUGGCAGGGUCACUAGGCAAGGAAUUUAUAUGGCCUUUAAUCUUGUGCUUUGGAUGAAAAACAGUAGGAAAUGGUAGGAAACGAUAUCGUUCAUGAAGAAACGAUUCCGUAGUUGCGGUUGCAAUUUAAUAACGUUGCUGAAAGAAAUUACGCAAAACAAAUUCUAUAUACGGUAAGGAUCGGAAAUGGUAACAAAAACUAUAUGAUUCUCAAUGAUUGGGAGUUUCCAUCGCUGCUUUCAUUCUUUGAGCACAGACUGUUCUAUGAUUCCAUUAUCAAUCCAAGCACGCAACGGAUACGCUUUCAGUUGUAAGCAAAAUGCCUCUGACGUGCCGCGUCCCCGUCAGCUCAGGGCUCCUCAUUUCUUGGCCAUUCCACCUCCAGCUCCUCCGACGAGUUUCUGAUCACUCUUUCGAUGACUGAUGGGAGGAGUACUAAGCUGUUUGUCAGAGCGGCUCUGCCAUCUUUGGAUUUCCUGUUUUGGCAUUCCUUCCGCAGGUCUUCGAUCUCUCUGCAGUGGAGCAUGGGCUCCUGGCUUCCUCCGGCUUCUCUCUCGUUUUGUUCCUCUUGCCCCCUCCUCUCUCCUGGUGGGCGGUGGCCGGCUCUUCUCCUGGCAUGGCCCUUGGGAAGUUUAAGGAUUAAGGUUAGGGCACGCCUUGGCUCUUAAUAGUUCCAUGUCCAGCUACUCCGGAAGCACCCUGCACCAACCACACAUUUUUACAUACAACACACAACCUCAUCUUUCUUGCGGCAGUUUGUUUAUCACCACCGGCCAUGGUACGCUACCACAAACUUGCUUCCAUGGCUUGUCGACUGCCGUGCAGUUCUUCUUCCUUCAUCUCUAGCGGUUCCCCAAUCCCUAUUGUCAUGUUUGUUGGAUGACGCCAGCCUCCGGUCUAGGUGCCCCCACGUUACUGACUAGUACUACUUUUUUUGUUGCCCAAUGCCCAUGCAUGAUGCAUUGCUAGAGAAAACUCUCGCCUCGCGAUAUAACCCAUAUAUAACUCUAAACCUAACAUGACAAGGUGACGAUGGUGAGCAGUAGCAGCGCAUGGCAAAGAAAGUGAAAGAAGAUGCUGACUCCACGCGUGGACCAUAAUAUACACAUAUUACUUUGGUUAUUGCUAACUCGCGUGAAUGUCAAAUAGGUAAAAGUCAUGCUCAUGCCACCUAGUUGUUCUGCAUAAGGAUGGCUCUCCACUGAUGCUGCACCUUCUCAAAGGUGAUGUGGCCGGAGGGUUCUUUAUCAUCCAGACCCUUCUCAGACUACUGCUUGGACCAGUGGAGCCAGGAUUUAAUAUUAGGGGGCCAAGAAGAAUCAUUCAGACUGUAUGCGGUAAACAUCUAGAUAGAAAAUCAUGAACUCAUAUAAUGUAAAUUAAUUCAUUUAGAUCCAGGUCAUCCAUUUCAUCUAAGCUACUAAUUUUUUGCUAAAAUCUAAUACUACUCCAUAAGUUAAUUGAAAAGUGCAUAAUUUAAUCAACUAUUUGUGCAAAUCAAAUUUCCUAAUUAGUGCUGGCAUCGAGCAUUGGGAGUGGGGGCAUGGCCCCUGCCAGCCCCCCUUGGCUCCGCCACUGGCUGAGACCGCCAUCUGCAUCAGCUCAUACGUGCCUAUCGAACAGCACCGGUACGGAAUACUACCAACACGAAUAGUGAAGUAAUCAUACCGGCUCCUCUAACCUAUCUUCAGACCUCUCGUUGCUUGAGCUCUCUUGCGCUCUGCUAGGUGUGAAAGGUUCUGGCUCCUGAUCCCCCGAACUUCUCUACAGUGUGAUUGUAAUGCUUGGGACUUCUCCAUCUUAUUUGCAAGAAUGUUUCCACGUUUGAUAACCAUGAUAGAAAGUGCAUUGGGUUAACUUUGGUCAUCUUGGCAAAUAUGAAGGCACAUAGUAAGAAGGGAGCUUUACAAUAUGUGAGGUGACAGAAGUGCUAUGUUAUGUGUUUUUUAAUUACCCAUUUUUAUGUUUGAUUUUUGUGCUGUUUUUUUCUCGUUGUGUAUUGGUCAUCACUAGAAUGCACCAAUUUACACUUCUUUUGUUAGACUGGCCUAAUAAUGUAUUGAUUCCAGUGGCGGAACCAGGCCACCCCGGCAGUCCAAGCUCCAAACGUAAUCACAAGAACCCAAGUAGCAGGGAGGCAGAACAGACAGCUGCAUGAACCAGAACUAAGCAAUCCUAGUAGGACCUGAGUGAUCCUCAGAGGAUGGAAAUUCAUUGUCAAACUCAAGUCUCUCUAUUGAGAAUAUUUUUUAUUUUUAAACUUUUUUCAAAUAAAAUAUUCUAAAAAUAACCGGCCUGAAACCAUAUUUACCUGACCCUUUUGGUCGCGCCGACGCCAACGCCAAUGCAUGUGGCGUGACAAAGUGCGCCAUGUUGGAGCGUAUCGAGGGGUCUACCGGCACAUAUUCCACGUGGCAAGCUUGUGCCACUACCGUCGACGUGACAGCAGUGUCUUAUCGUGCCAACCAGAGUGGUGUGACAAGCUCCCACAUUGGAAAAAUCAUCAUAUCUUUAUCAUACGAAUUCGGAUGAAGAUAAUUUUUAUAUGAAAAUUGUAGCUCUUGAUGAGACUUACGACUUUAUAGUUUUAAAUUUUAAAAAAAUUAUUAAGAUGCUUAAAUAAAUGAUAUAAAAAUUAGGCAGCAUAUUAAGCACCACUCUGGUUGGGUGCUUAAUAGGCUGUCUAAAUUUUAGAUCACUUAUUUAAGCAUCUUAAUGACUUUAAAUGGAAAAAGCUGUUGCUCGUUCCCCGGUUUUCACGUGGCCCACCCAGUUCACGGUUCGUCAAAAGGCUGUACGCGCAUAACCAGCCCAAACAGCAUGCGUGUUAUGGGCUGGAAGGAAGGGGCCGGCCCAGAAGCUAAUUUCUCGCGGACCCGCCCCACACGCGCCGCCGGCCCAACACCGUUCGCGUGUCUGUCAUUGUCGGCGACGCGGGCCUUAUAGCACUGUAGCACAAUGUAGCGUUUCGUUUGUAUUUAUGAAUUAUUAUUCAAACAUUGACUAAUUAGGCUCAAAAGAUUCGUCUUGCAAAGUACAAUAAAACUGUGCAAUUAGUUUUUAAUUUCGUCUAUAUUUAGUACUCCAUGCAUGUACCGCAAGUUUAAUAUGAUGGGGAAUCUUCUUUUUACAUAGUAUCAAAGUUAGGAGUCAAGAGCGAACUAAACAAAUGCCGCGGUUGCGGCGCGCAGCACACGGGACGCGCACGGGGACCAUUGCGAGCCGUAUCGUGGCGGCGUGGCCGCGCCGCUGCUAAUUAGCUCUCGCCGUCUUGCGGAACCAGAAGCGGGGGGGAGCCGUGGGCCGUGGAAAACUGAAAAUUGGGCUAGCGCGUACUCCUAGUCCUAGACUGAGCGUGUGGUGGCCGAUGCUGCUGACUCAAGUGAACAAAUGUCACAUCUCUCCUGUUCCGGUCGCCGCCUUUUCGGUAGAUCCCCUGGCCCCGCAGGCCGCAGACCAGUGCAGCCGCCCGCCGUGCGCCACACCCGCUUGACCAAGGCACCACGGAGUCGCCGCCGCCGCGUCCGCAGCACAUCGCCCGCCGGGGCAUCCAACUAGCGCGCACAAAACCAGUUCACUCCCAGCUGUGAACCUGUGAUCGCCAGCAGGCUGGAACUGUGGCCGAGGACCACGACCGCAGCCUCCUCCACUGGUGGCGCACGAAACCUGUGGGGGAUGUGCGCGCCGCCUGCCUUGCGCCCCGGGUCACACGAUCCGCCCGCCCGCGGCUUCAAGCUGUUGGCUGUCGCGCUCCCGAGGCCACGCUUUGCGUUCCGCCGCUGGUUGCUUCGCCGGCCGGCUCGCUCAUGCUCAUGGAGUCAUGUGCCCUGCUCUGGCUGGCUGCCUGGCUGGACGCCUGGAUCUUGGUUGUCAUGAGACCCGCGUGCGCCGUGAGGCGGCGCGUUUCGUCCAGAAGCUUCCGGCCUCUCCUGCCGUGUUCCAUACCGUGCCCGCCAAGCCAACCGAGAUCAAAGCCCGGGUGCUGUGCUCCUACGGCCAAUCUCCUCCUGUUCCGGCAGGCACAUGCACACGGUCAGACAGCAUGCGCCAAUCCACGGAAUAGGAACUGUCCAGCUGGAGCUGCCCCGGAUGUAUUUGGGGAUAAUUGGAAAACGAGGUCCAGAUCAAGGCGGCGCUGUCCUGAACGUUUCUGACCCCGAUUCAUUUACCUGAAAAUCUACUCAUUCUGUAAGCCGCAGGCCGGCCAAAGAAAAUGCAGGUAGCUAUCGCGAUAUCCCGGGCGGAUCGAUAUCUUAGUGCCCGGCCUGACCGUCACCAGGAAAAGAUUACGCACGCCCAGCUCCAGCGGCCGGCGUUGUUAGUCUCCUACGGGAAAAGCGGCUUUUGUCACGGAAAAGUGAUGGGUAUUUUCGGAGUGAACGGAGCACUAGUGGUGAGAACCUACCGAGAUGACAGGGAUGGGUCCCUUUUGACACCAUCGGAUGAUUAACCGCCAAGGAAACGAAGGCCUGAAUUCAACCCCAACUGCAAAUCGGACGCAGGUUUCAGCCAGGAUGUGCCCAAAAUUUAUCGAUUAACACUGCGAAAAAAAUAGAAUAUGAGCGCAAUUUUCACUUCUAGUAUUUUCUAAAAACCCAGGUCGGAAACAUAAAAGCGAAGGAGAGAGUGGGAGAAGGGGCAAAAAAGGAGAGGACACAGCUGGCAGUGGCAGUGAUGGUUCUCUAUCUAGAAGGGGUCUAGCUUUGUUGCAGUUUGCACUCCCCUAGAAGGAAAACAAAAGGGAAACCAGGAAAGCUUCCCAUCCCGCACCCACAAGAAUAGCUCAAACCUGUCUGCAUGUCUGCAUCCCCGGCCAGACACGGCGCGCCACAAGCCUCACAUCGCCAUCGCCAUCGCCAUCGCGUACUCCUAUACUAGUGUAGGCGAGGAACCACAGGGGAGGAGAGAGGACAAAGCUCUGCUUCUCCCUCUGACCCACUCGUCGUUCCGAGCUCCUGUUGCCUUCCUCCGCACGGAGCAGACACGAGAGUGAUCAGGGUUCAGGGCAGGGGCCUGCUGCUUCGUGCCUUCGUCCUAACCUCUGCGGGCCGGGCCAUGGCGACACGGCGGCCGGCGUCCCUGCACCUGUGCGCCUCCGCCGCGCUGCUCGUCGUCGCCUUCUCCUUCCUGACGCAUUCGGCAGGUCGGUACGCGCACCAGCCGCCGCACUUUGAUUGAUUGAUGAUCCUUGCAGGAUUUGGUAUCGGUUUCUUGUAGUUCUUGGAUUCGUCAUUCCUGCCCGCUCGCUCAUGCAAAUAAAUGAGUGCUCUCUUUUUUUCGUUAUUUUGCAAUUUCUCGCGACCGCGCCGUACAUACGCAUUGACCACAAUGAAUCAUCUGCUUUGUUUCUUGUGCGAAAUGUCAAGCAGUUUUUAAACGUUGUGAUCUUUUCGAUAAUCAUUAUUUGAAUUUGUUUAGGGGCAGGGGGGGGGCGCAUGUUCUCUUCUAUCACGUAUAAUUUGAUUUUACUUUUGCAACCACUAUUUUCGUCAUGAUUAAUGACAAACUCAUAUGUCUGAUAUUUAGCGACAAUGGUGCUGGAACUCAUAGGAGAGCUUUUUUUUUUAACUAUGAAUAAAGCUGGUGAGCAAGUACCUACAUCCGUUAUCAUCUUAAUCUCCUAGUAACCGCCACCCAAAACUAUUGAAAUUUUUUUGGCACGUCAAUUAGCUUAUACUAACUUAACCCUUAACAAUCUAAAUUGAGCCCUUCUAAUUUUCAGGUGGGGAGGGGCAGGGCAUAUAUGUCCUCUCCCAUAAGUUAACAUUUUGCUUUUUAUACCUCUCGAGCCUUCUCUCCAUUGGAUUAUAUUGCUAAGGCAUUUUCCUUGUAAGCCCGAUUUCAUGGAAAAAGUAUGAUAUUUGGUUGUCUUGGUGCUUUUAGCAACUUCAUAACAAUAGUCUCUCCCAUGAUUAUCGUUUGGCCAGUAAACAAACUUUACAGGAAAUAGCGUUUGGGUUCAUACUUUCUUAGAUAACUGAGUGUGUGUGGUGUGUGUGUUUGUAUGGCUAUUUUGGCCUUUUUCCUUCUAUCUUAAUGCGAUGGUACACAGUUCUCCUACGUAUUCGAGAGAAAAAAAUCAGCCUUGUGGGAAAUGUCAUGCUAAAAACAUGAUCUUCUUCCGGUUUUUCUUUAAAGGUGAUCUUCUCUUGAUAUGUAAAUGAAGCUUAUAGUAUGAACCAAGUAUUAUUUGCUCACCAAUGUGAGCACUGAAAUAUUUGAUUGUACACUUCAUUCACUUCAGUAUGCUACAACUUCAAAGAUAUCAAUUUCUCUGACCAAGAACUCAUGUUGCUUAUGGCUGGUUGCUACUUGCAAUUGGUUGGGGAUCUUUGGUCCCCAUGCUAAAAGCUUUUCUGCCUUCAAUUUUUUGUGUGUUUCGUUAUCAUGACGGUUUUAACACGAUUUCUUGUUUAUGUGGUACCGUAACUAUCUCCAAUUUGGGGGUAGUAGUAACAAGUUUCAUGAAACUUCCCUUUGGUCAUCUGCAGACGCAUACGAUCCACUCGAUCCGAAUGGAAACAUAACAAUCAAGUGGGAUGUAAUGCAGUGGACUCCAGAUGGCUACGUGGUGAGUAAACAAUUACUGUGUUUGUAGCUACAUUUUUUUACCAUCCAUUAAAAUGAAGCCACUGCAUGUUGCUAUUGUUAAGAAAAGUCUGCAUACACUUUCAUAGAUCUUUCAUAAGCAGACAUAAAAAUUAUUCCACAAGACCUUUGGUUUACUCCAAUUACUGCAUCUGUUGUCAUAUGCUGCUUUCCAUGUCAUUCUUUUGUGUCAGAAAACGAUGUCUUUGAAAUAUUUCCAAUCAGCCUGUCGUUGAGCAGUGCAGUACUUUUCUUGAUACGCAUACAAUGUGCAUAGCUGAAUAUUGUGAAGUGUUGUUGCAAUCAAGGCUGAACAUGAAGAAUACCAUUUUAAAACCUCGUUUUAAAAAUAUGUAUACUGUCAAUAGCUGUUCUGAAUUGUUCCAUUUGAUUAAUCUAAUCAGAUCUCAAACGUCAUUACCCUUAUACUUUUGUUGCAUUUCCUGCUAGAACUGACCAAUUCUUCCUAAUUUCUUCGUAUGCAUUCCACACACCUCUUUUUGCAUCAAAUCCAUUUCACGAAAUUGAGAUUUGACAUGUCAAAAAUCUUUUCUUUUUCUUGAGCAACCUCAUUUCACAAGACCUGUCAAUAUCUCACAUCCUGUGAAAUCUUCUGUCCAGGCUGUUGUUUCACUUUACAAUUACCAGCAGUAUCGUCACAUCCAAGCACCGGGAUGGAAACUUGGGUGGGUUUGGGCAAAGAAGGAGAUAAUCUGGGCCAUGACCGGUGGCCAAGCCACUGAGCAAGGCGAUUGCUCCAAAUUCAAAAGCAACAUCCCCCAUUGCUGCCGGAAGGAUCCUGAGAUUGUGGACCUGCUUCCUGGCACGCCUUAUAACAUGCAGAUCGCCAACUGCUGCAAGGGAGGAGUCCUCACCGCAUGGGCGCAGGACCCUGAAAAUGCCGUGGCGUCGUUCCAAAUCAGUGUUGGUCAGGCUGGGACUACCAACAGGACCGUCAAAGUGCCCAAAAAUUUCACUCUGAAGGCUCCCGGUCCUGGAUAUACCUGUGGGCCUGCCAAACUAGUGAAACCUACUAAGUUCAUAUCGCAGGAUGGGAGGAGAUCAACCCAAGCACACAGUAAGAUCUUGUUUCCAUGUUCUAGUUGUUCUGCAAGGAAAAUAAUUUCAUGAAUAACUAUCUAGUUAUUUUUUUCAAAAUUUAUGAUCCCUUCAUUGUACCAACGCCUCCUUUUUUAUCAGCAGUUGAUCGUUUGUUUUCUUUGUGCAGUGACUUGGAACGUGACCUGUACAUACUCACAAUUUGUUGCUCAAAGAUCUCCAACCUGCUGUGUUUCACUCUCGUCGUUUUACAACGACACUAUUGUCAACUGCCCAACAUGCUCUUGUGGCUGCCAGAAUAACAGCACUGAACCUGGAAGCUGUGUAGAGUAAGUCGCACUGACAGAACAGAACAUCAACAUGUCGUUUUCAUUUUGUUCAGUUAUCUGAAGGUUAGAUGCGCUGUUCUUCGACAGGGGUAAUUCACCUUAUCUGGCUUCUGUCGUGAACGAUCCUAAUAACAAGAACAACUUGGCACCUCUAGUCCAGUGCACUUCUCACAUGUGCCCAAUAAGAGUGCAUUGGCAUGUCAAAGUGAACUACAAGGAGUACUGGAGGGUCAAGAUCACGGUGUCAAACUUCAACUACCGGAUGAACUACUCGCAGUGGAACCUCGUCGCGCAACACCCCAAUUUCGACAACCUGACUACCAUUUUCAGCUUCAACUACAAAUCUCUGAACCCCUACGGAGUAAUAAGUGAGCACUGGCACUUCAAUUCAUCCCUGAAAACACACAUGCUAUUUGAAGUUCAAUUUUUUUUUUCAGCCAUUGACAAUUCCUUUGUCGCAGACGACACCGCAAUGUUGUGGGGCAUCAAGUACUACAACGAUCUGCUGAUGACGGCCGGGCCCGACGGGAAUGUUCAGUCUGAGCUUCUGUUCCGGAAGGAGCCCUCCACGUUCACCUUCCAGAAAGGCUGGGCGUUCCCAAGACGAGUCUACUUCAACGGCGACAACUGCGUGAUGCCGCCGCCGGACGCGUACCCGUGGCUGCCCAACGCCUCUCCACGGCAGUCAGCUUCGCUUCUCCUCACAUUCGUUGCCGUCUGGGCAGCAUUGGCAGUCCUACUGGCCCAUGCGUAGUGAUGAUGCACGUGCUUCACAGAAAGUUUUGACCUGAUUGAAUUGUAUGUUGUUGCCUGCUGAUCAGUGGGUUUCUCGCGGAGCUUUAUACGGUGUCUCGAAUGUGGAGCAGAUCAUAUUCAAAUGUACAGUUACGUAUCAAGCAUGUACAUUUAACAUUCUCAAUACCUGUAAAUUUUAGCAAAGACUGGCUAGCGAGAAAUAAAUUGUUUCCCUCGUCGGCCUGCAAAGUUUCGUGCUAAAAGUGCCACAAAUUAAAUGAAAAGUUACAAUGAGGAUUUGGCGUUCAUAUAGACGCGCGUCUAUCUUAUCUUCAUCGUUCGCUUGUCUGGUUGGAGAUACAUGUGGUAACGUCCGUCAAGAUAUUACGCGAGCGUCUAUUUACCGUGAGUAGUUGCGAGCAAAAUGAUGCUCCUCCAUCUCUUUUGUCCUCGAGGCGUUGGACGUUCUCCUCGCCGUAGUUGCCGACCGGUAGUGGUCUUCACAAGGAGCGGCGCGACGGUGCUGGGAGGCAGCGAGGCAGUGGCGCUGCAGGCGGUCGGCGGCAGAGCGGCUCGCCCACGGCUGCUAGGCGCGGCACGCUGGUGACCUCAUGGUGACGGCUCAAGCAGGAGGUGAGGCCACGACUCGUCCAUGGCAGCGCACAGGCAAGCGUGCGGGGUGGCAACGAAGCCAUGGUGCGGGCUGGCCUGCCAGCGGCACAGCGCUGGGCGUGGCAGGCAACGGUGAGGUGGGCUCAAGCCGUCGGAGGAGAGCUCGACGGGUCCAAAUCGAUGGAGCUCGCCGACGGAGGAGAGAAAGGCUGAGCUCACGUCACCGGAGAGGGAGGUGGCGAAGGCGUUGUCCCCUCGCCACAUCAGGUGCAUGAGCGCGGGUCCGAUGUGCCGGGGCGGUGGGAGGGGGGCAAAUCCACUAGGGCGCCACUAGAUUGAGGCCGGAACAGCGAAUCUGGGCAGCUGCAGGAGUACGAGGCCUGGCCAUGCGGCCAAUCUAAGCCACCACCGAUCCUCCAUGCGCAGAUGCAGCAUCUCCUUUCUCUUCCUUGUCCCCUCUGUCUGUUGGCUGCCGCUGCGGCAGGAGUAUGGUGUGGCAGUCGAGAUUGUGGAGGCCGUCCGAGGCAGGGGAGGGGCGAAGCCUAAAGGCCGCCGGCCAUGCUGGGUUGCGUGGCUCGGGAAAUGAGGAGCCGGAUGGCACCUGCAAAUUGGAAUCCGUCCGGUACGUGGGAGGUUGGGAGCCUGGGACUAGGAGCAGGCGACGCUGGGUUCAGACGCCGGGUCACGCAGUUUGUUGCGUGUGCGAAUCUUCAAGAGCCACGCAAACGAUAGCUAGGACGUGCGAGCAUACGGGCGCCGAAUUAUUUUCGGAAAAGUUAUAUUCAAGUUUAGAAGGUUGUGGAUGCAUAUAAACAGUUGGCAUAUCCGUAUAUCCGUGUGUGCAAAUAUAACUUUGAUACCGACGACAGAGAAAACCGUUCAGUUACCGGAGGCUCUAGUUCAAAUCAGUGGCGAUGCAAUAUCACUGGAGAAGAGAUAAGCUAGCUGUAUGGCUUAAGUUAUCUGACAUGUAUGAGGUGCAGAAUGUCUGGUGUGCAUUAAAGAGUAGAGGCGAGGAGGCGCUGCCUACCAUUCCAGUGCACUUGCACGUACUGUUGCGAGUACUGGAAAAGCCCCAAUCAGAGAAGUUUGCAAUUAUUGAAGCAAAACAAAUCCUGGAUUUCAAAACACCGACUCGAUGGUAGUGCCAUUGGCAGACAUGUGAGACCCCGUUUGGAUACACAGUGCUAAACUUUCACUUUGGCACCAGCGCGGCUGCCGCUGCCCUCUCCUUGCAUCGCCAUUGCUAGUGUACUUGCCACUUGCAUUGUCACUGCCAUUCCCGACCUGGGUCCACGUGAGCGGCAGAGGUGCUGAGGAUGAAGAUGGGGGCAGAUCUACACAGAAGCGGCGGACCUGGGGCGCGCGGUUGGGCAAAGGAAGAGCCAGGACGGAGCUCCCCGCGGCGGGAGGAAGCGGCCGAUCGAGCGGGAUGAGUCGACAAGGGAAGAAGAAGACAGCCAAGUUAAGGGGCCGUUUGCAAAAUUCCAAUCCGGGACAGGGGUCCAUAUGAAAAUAUUCGGAUCGCGAUUAAUAAUCGCGAUCCAAUUCAUGGGGCUAUCUGAAAAUAUUUGGAUCGUGAUCAGGGGUCUCCGUGAAAAUAUACCGGCACGCCGCCGCCGUCGCCGCCGGCGACCUACGAUAGCCCUCCCGCGAAGCACCACCCCGCGCUCUCCUUCCUCAAAUUCACACCGCGGACGCUGGCUCCGGCCUCGCGCGCGGGAUCCGCUCAAGACCGUUCCUUCUCUGACGCAGCAGCGCCGGCGCGAGCCGGUGGUCUCAGACGGACGGGAAGCGCAGCGCCGCCCACCCGCAGUAUACAGUUCGGCGGGCGAGCCGUUCAGCUUGCCCUCGCCGCCAUAAGGACCCGCCGCCUCCGGGUAUUCAUCCCUACUCUGAACUCUAGGUGUGACCUUGCUCUGAACUCCGAUCUGAAGGAUGACUCUGCAUUCUGUUACAGUUUUACUCUAUCUUCAAUUGUUUUUUUCGAAAAACUUGCUUCACCAUACAAUUAUCAGCGAUCCCAUCGCAUUCAGGCAUCACUGCAUCAGCAUAGCUAUAUGGCUUAGCUUGACGUUAGAUGCACAUAUUUCUCUUUCAAAAUUAUGCUCCUGCCCGUCCACUUAAUGGAAGAAAAAACAAAACAAAAACUUGGAGUUUUUCAGUAUGUUCAGAACAUACAAACCAAUCCUGAAACCCAAAACGUUGACUGUAUCUACAGAGCAAAACAUCAUCUUUCUUUUUGUUCUCCCCAUGCCGGCCGGUUCUAGCACUAGGUCGAUCGAUCUCCUGUGUUUUUCUCAUCCGUUCUCAUGUUUCAUACCACGGCCAGCACCACGAACGCCGCGACGACGGCCGCCACCGCAGUGCCAAGCGACGCCGCGGUGGCCGGCAGCGCGGCGUUGGGCAGGUAUGGGUAGGCGUCCGGCGGCGGCAUCUGGCACUCGUCACCGUUGAAGUAGACCUUGCGCGGGAACGCCCAGCCCUGCCUGAAGGUGAAGGUGCUGGCGUCCUUGCGCAUCAGCACCUCCGACUGCACGUUCCCGUACGGCCCCGCCUGCAUCAGGUGGUCGUUGAAGUACUUGAGCCCGUAGAACAUCGCCGUGUCAUCUGAUGACAUCGCAAGAACAGACAACAAGGAUCCCAUCAAACUCAUGUCCAAAUCCUUCGUCAAAAAAAGUUCAUGUCCAAGUCGAGUGCAGAGCAGAGAGAGAGAGAGAGUCACUUACUGAUUGAUCCGUAGGCGACGACGGGCUUGUAGUCGAAGCUGAAGACCUCGGUGAUGUUGUCGAGGUUGGGGUGCUGCGCGACGAGCGUCCACUGGGUGUAGUUCAUGCGGUAGUUGAAGUUGGUGAUGGCGAUCUUGGCGCGCCAGUACUCCUUGUAGUUGAGCUUGACGUGCCAGUGCACGCGCACGGGGCACAUGUGCGUGGUGCACUGCAGCAGCGGCGCCUCCCUGUCCCGGUGCCCGCGCGCCGCCGCCGCGUGCCCGUGCUCGUGCUUCCCCGUCACCGCCAGCGGCCGCUUCGUGUCGCCCUGGACGCAGGUCUUGUGCUCGCAGCCGCAGGCGCACUUGGCGCACGGCACGAUGGUGUCGUUGUAGAAGGAGGAGAAGGAGACGCAGCACGACGGGUACUUGGACGCCAGGUGCUGCGAGUAGGUGCACGUCACGUUCCACGUCACUGCAAGCGCACGUAGGCGUGUUCGUUAGGAACAACAGGAAGCCAUGAUUGCCAUGUCAGAACUCGGAAGAAGAAAGAGAACGCACUGAGAGCUUGGGUCUUGCGGCGGCGGUCGGGGGUGAGGAAGACGGUGGAGGGGACGAUCUUCCCGGGGCCGCAGGUGUAGCCGGGGCCGGGGCCGAGCAGGGUGAAGUUCUUGGGCACCUUGACGGUGCGGUUGGUGGUGCCGGCCUGGCCGACGCUGACCUGGAAGGCGGCGACGGCGGCGCCGGGGUCCUGGCCGUAGGCGCUGAUGACGCCGCCCCGGCAGCAGUUGGCGAUCUGCUGGUUGUAGGGCACGCCCGGGAGGAGGUCGACGACGGCCGGGGUGCGCUUGCAGCAGUGCGGGAUGUUGCCUUUGAACUUGGAGCAGUCGCCCUGCUCCGUGGCCUGCGCGCCCACCAUGGACCAGAUCACCUCCUUCUUCGCCCACGUCCACCCCACCGUCCACCCCGGGGCCAUGAUCUGCCGGUACAUCUGGAAGUUGUUGAUCGUCACCACCGCCUGCAUUGUUGCAUCCACAACGUUGGUUAAUUCGUCUGGUCAUGUCAUGUCGUGUCAGAGACUCGAUCGGCCUCAGAACAGUGCGAGUGAUCGAGUACUCACGACAUAGCCGUCGGGCGUCCACGACAUGAUGUCCCAUUUGAUGGUAAUGUUCCCGUUCGGGUCCAGCGGGUCGUAAGCCACUGCAAAGACAAUAAGAAUGGAUUGACAGACGCGUGAUGGGUCAGCUCGUUCAGUAAUUCCAAUUUUCAGCAGACAACACGAGCUGAGAGGGGAAUGCACAAAGACCAGAGCAGAGGAGAGGUGACAAGCUGACCUGCGACGGAGAGCGCGGCGGCGAGGGCCAGGACCAGCACGGAGCACCGGGGCUCCAUCGCUAGAGGAUGCAAGACUCAAUCUCAACGAGCGGGGAGCAAGCACCACGCAGCGACGACACUACACUAGCAGGGCGCGCGCAUUGGGUGGGGGUGAGCAGCGGGCACGGGUCUUUAACGCAAAGAAAGCUCGGGUUCGGCAGGACGCUUGCUUGCUUGUCAGCCAACGGCGGCGCCGGCCGCGAUGGCAAAGCGCCACCAACCUCGCCGCUCUGCUCUGCUCUGCCAACGUCGGUUGGGUUCCUUCACGGUAACUCAUCGGCACGGCGCCCGUGACGCACGACGCGUACGCGCCCGGCUACUGGUGCUGCCUGGCUCCGGUCGCGGCGUGGCCUGCUGCCGCGUCGCUCUACCGGUGGUGGCAGAGCGCACGCGGGCUUGGGCUGGGUUGCUUGCGGACUGGUUCCUCCCUGCCCAAGCAACCACGGUUGGUGAUCAUACACAUACUCAUACUGCGAGUAGUGGGAGCAGGAGGGAAAGGGGGAGGCUGCAAUGGCCAUCGCAACCGCCGCGGCACGGGACGCCGAUCGCGACGGCUAAACACCUGAGGCUUUGUUUGUGUGUUUGGCCGACUGGCCGUGUCCGGUAAGCGGCCGCUGUCGCGGCUCAAACUUCUCGUGAUCGCCGGCACGUGUGCCGAGCCUUGAGAGCAAUUUAAGCUUUAUUUCUUUGAAAAUGAUGAAGGGGUGCUAAACUUUCUUUAGCAGUAUCACGUCAGAUGUUCGGACGCUAAUUAGGAGGAUUAAACAUGAGCUAAUUAUAAAACUAAUUGCAGAAUUCCUAGGCUAAUUCACGAGACGAAUCUAUUAAACCUAAUUAAUCCAUCAUUAGUAAAUGGUUAUUGUAGCAACACAUUGUCAAAUUAUGGACUAAUUAUGCUUAAUAGAUUCGUCGCGCGAAUUAGACUCCAUCUAUGCAAUUAGUUUUGUAAUUAGCCUACAUUUAAUAUUCCUAAUUAGUAUCGAAUAUCCGAUAUGACAAGUGCUAAUCUUUAGUGGAUGGUAUCCAAACACCCCGAAGUUGCAGCAGAGAUCAUGUAGUACAUGUUUCUGGAUGGACAUGUUUGAUUGAUGCGAUAGGUUCAUACUACAUGUUUUUCUGCAGAGUAACGUGUCCGGCUGAUGAUUUCUUCCGUUCAGCAAAAGGAAUAGAGCGAAAACGAUUCAUUCCCCCGCGUCAUUUCAGUUCAGUUCGCCAGUAACUUCGUGCUUGUCUUGGAACAAUCCUGAAGCGCCCUCCGCUUGCUCAGCAUGAACUGCCCGUUUCUGGAGCCGUCGAUCUCGAUCGUUCACCUUGCACACCACGACGGGCAGUUUGCCAACCGAAUCGCAGUACCAAGGAGCCAUCAAUAGAGCAGUUCAAACUUCACAGUACCGUACAUCACCGGCACACCGUGCGGCAUCAGAUGGAGAAACCAAAAACAGCACGGCAAUUCGGCAAAUCGUGAGCAAGAGCCUUCCAACUCAAAAAACAGUGGAGCCUUCCAACUCAAAAAACUGCCAAAACAACUGAUCUGCGGAACGACAGAAUGCAGUGGGGCUGCUCGACUCAGAACUCAAAAAUUAUUGUCCCUUCAGAGGUCAGCCUGCGGCAUAGAACAGGGGUUUUCCUCGAGUGCAUUAUAUUGCAUUGCACAACACAAAUGCUAUCAUUUAGGCAGUACACUACUGUAUCGGCUGCUGCUUCUACUACUACUACAACAUUUCAAAAAAAGUAGCCAAUCUGCCACGAUAAAAAGGCUUAUACAUACACAGGCGGGCGCAUAGAUAUGAGCCGUCGAAAGCAGAGCGGCACAGGCGGGAAUAAGUUAUGGACGAACUAAUGAAUCUCUUGUCCUCACUGUUAUUGUAUUGCUGAUCUGCAUCCCCGAUUCCGACCACCACGUUCCAAUACCGGGUAAACAACAGUUCCAACAGCAAACCUGCCAAGUACGUUCAAAUUAGCACACUAGUUCAUGAAGCCCAUAUAGCCAUGAAUUCUGUAACAGAUCCAAGUAUGGAAAACAAGAUAAAACUGUUAAAUGUUGCAAGAGCAUCGAUUGCAUUUGCAAGCACUAGUCAGUAGCCAAUGCAUCUUAACAUCAUCAGUUAUGCAUAAGCUUGAUGAGAGUCAAAAGCACUACAAAAAAUUUAGCGUCAAAUUAAACAGGUAGUACAGUCGUACAGAAACAAACCACACGCUCCAUCUUGUCCAACAGAAAUGCCACAGGUCUUCUGCUAGUCAGAAUUUCAGUGAGAACAUGACCAAGCAAUAGGCGAUUCAAGGCCGUGCGAUUUUAAUCUCCAUUGCAUGGCACUUAUAUGAGUCAUGACUCAGCAAGCUACAGCUUAGCAAUUCUGAUCAAAGAAUGGCGAUUGACUAUACUGUCUAAAUGACAGAACUAUACAAACAGGGGGUUUCCAGAGUGCGCAGUUGCAGGUGAAGAAAAUUGCAAUUAGAAAAUAAUGUUCAUAUACUUGAACAUGUGCAUUUGCAAACCUAAAAAUUCAAUUUGACAGUCAUAAUGUGCUCAACUAUCCUGGUCUCCUUUCAAAUAAUUCUGAUGUCACCAGAUGAGCAUCAGAAGCACAACAUAAAAUUUUGCAUCAAAUAAAAUGGGCAACGCAAAAACGAACCACGUGCUCAAUCUUGUCUAACUGAACUACCAAAAUCAUCUGCUAGUUUCAAAAUCUCACCAAGAAUCCAGCCAAAUAAUAGGUGACAAAGACUACAAAUUCUGAAGUUACAGCUGAGCAUUUUCAACCAAUGAACAGCGAAUUGCCUUCACCAUUUCAGUGGCAUACUAUUGAAGCAAAAUCUCAGUUUAGCUUGAAGUACAGCUUUCGAUAUAAAAAAUCCAGUAACUUCCAUGGACACUGUGUGAUCAAAACUAUUUCUCAUGGAGCUUCCAAGGUGCAAUGCCAAACGAAUAAAUACAAUUGACGAACAAGAAAUUAGACAUGUUUGCCAUCCGAAAAAACCAAAUUUACAUUGUUAAUAUAGAAUGUUGGAUCUUUCAAAAAGCUAGGACAACAAAUUGUAAUAUUUACUGAUCAUCCUUUAUUCAGUUAUUUUAAAUAGAUCUAACUUGCUGAGUCGCCAUUCAUACACACAAGUUGACAGAACUUUUUCUUUCAUUUCUUUUGGAAACUAGGCCAGCCAUUCUUGACCAGAUAUGCUCAUAAAAUCACAAAAAGAAAAACUCCUCAGUUGCAAUAUAACUCAUGAAAGUAGUAAAAGAUCACACAAAUAAUCAUAGGACAAAGUAAUCAAUCAGCAAAAUAUGCACUACCUAUCUUUCUAGCUUGUACUAACGGAGUAAUGUUAAUGAUCGUAGCAAAACUUGCAGAUUUUAUAGACCAGGACAAAUCUCAUGAAACUAACCAGAUCCAACAGCUGGUACCCAAUUAUUCAGCCAUCUGAGUCGUGAUAUAUAAGAACUCUUAAAACAUCAAAACAGGCGCGAUGAAGCACAAAUUAUGAAAUUAACAACGGAUAGUAGUGCCCAGCAUCCUAACAAAUGCGCCAGCAAACAAUUUGUCCAAUUCCAACCCAGAACAGAUAUAUAUAGGGCGGCCAGACCAAUCCCCUUCUCUGUUAGGAAGCUAUAUCAAUCUCUAGUUGGGUUCCGUACGGACUAGUAACAAAAAUAUCGCGGCAUGUAGCACAAGAAAUAAUCAGCGGCCAAAUCCAAGCGAUUUCUAACUUCCACGGCAAGAACAAGAGUCCUAGACCCCGAAGCAUCAAACCAGAAUCAAGCAAACAGUAAACAGGGGCCGAAACGAAUGUAAAUAUCGUACCUUUUAGUCUAAAUCCGAAACGAGCACAGAUUGAAGAGUUACAAUCAGGUAAAAAUCAUACCUUUUUUCUCACUUGUACUCGAACGACGGUAUCGGGGUGCUUGGCGUGUCGAAGCUCUCCAGGAUCUCUGACUUGCCCCCGCCCGCGCCGGCCUUCUUCUCCUCCUCCUUCUUGCCGAACAGCCCCCCGAGCCACCCACCCGCACCGCUGGAGCUCGCGGCCUCAGGAGGCGGCACUACCGGCGGCGCCGGCAGGCCCGGAAAUGCGCCGCCGCCCAUGAGGUUGGGGUCCUCGGCGGGUAGCGGCGGGUUGGCGAGGACGCGGUUGAGCAUGAGCCCGGCGCCCUCGAUGAGGGCCAGGAGGAUCCCGCCCAUGAGCGCGGACCGCCCCGCGGCACCCGCGCCCUGGCGCAUGGAGAGGAACCCUCCCGUGGCGGCGCCGGCGAUGAUGGAGUUCCAGGGGUCCUCCUUCUGGCGCGCGUACACCAUGGCGCAGUCGAAGGUGGAGAAGAGGCCGCCCCAGACGGCGAAGCUGCCCCCCACGCGCGGCGCGUUCAUGCGCACGGCCUGCGCGCCGCCCGACAGGCGCAUCCCGUUGGGGGAGUUGUAGGUGCCCUUGAGGAAGUGGAAGACGGAGCCGCCGACGGCGCCCAUCCCGAACGCGCCGCCCACGUCGUCCAGGAUCCGGUCCGGGCACGGCUCGCGCGACGUCUCCGGCGUGCCCAUGCUCCCCUCCCCGGUGCUAUUCCCCCUGCUUCUACUUCCCCGGCGUCCGCGGCGGCGGCGGCGGCGGGAGGGAGGGAAAGGGAAACCCUAGCACGGAGCUUGGGCCCUGGCGUGGAAAGGAAGUUGGUGCGAAAUGGGGGGAAGAGAAGCGAAGCGCCGUCAAAGCCUGGAGAAAUUGCUUCAGCUCAGCGGGUGAUUACUGAGUAGCGCUGUUGGCAGCACUCUCUCGGGAAGGUGGGUCCCACAGAUGGGUUGGGGUCCAGUGUCAUUGACCGUUAGCUUGUGCGGUUACCGACAUCACGUCGUGGGAACAGGCAGUGGGAGAUAUUUGUGGCGGCGCCGGCGAGGAGGCGGCGGCCACCGUAGCUCGCCGGUGGGCCAAGGGCGUGGGAAUCAUCCCUAAUAGAGCCCUACCAAAUUUGGCCCGUUGAAGCCUGGUGUUGUGGGCCGUAAAAAGGCUAGUUUUGGGAGUUUCAGCCCUAUAUACACAAGCAAUGAAACCACUUCCAUUGCAAAUCCUCCUCCGUUUUCGCUAGAGCCCCGCCGAAGUCACAGAAGAGCCGGUAUCAGGAAAACGAAACUCACAGAAGAAGCUAGUUUAGAUGUCGACCAUGGUCUUCAGUUGAAGUACGAUUCAUGUGAAAAAGUUUGAAUUACAAUUUUGUUGUAGCACAUCCAGAACCCUACAAGCUUAUAAACCAGUUCGACGAGUUCUCCACGACUGGUAUGGCAAGAUUUUAUUCACGCUUUUGUAGUACACGGACACCCCACCUUUACGUGCUUCUACGCGGAAUUCCAAACACGAGUCCGUGCCCAUGGUAUUGCACUAGGGCACAUAAACAACUCCUCGUUGUCUGAAGCAUCGAUCCGUGCAAUGCCCAUCCAUCAAAUUUUAUCGUGUCAGGCUGUCACCAUUCCGUCCUCUCACGAAUCCAGCGAGUCUGUUCAAGCAUCGCCAGCGACGCAGCGCAUCGUCCCAGCCGGCCCAAACUUAACGAAAGCGUAGCUGCUCAUCCAGCAGUUACGAGCAAAAACCAGACUUACUCCCACGGAUUCAGAAACCUGAAAGAGAGUCUCGGCAGUUUCCCGGACUUGGCCGGCAAUUUCACGUCCAGAAAAAGAGCAGCAUAUUCCGACUGGCACUCGCCAUCCCCCAUCCACACGUACGACGCACGCCGACGUCGACGGAGUCAAGAGAGAUAUCAUGAGUGAGUUGAUGACGCAAACCCCUGUGAGUGCAACGGGCUGCUGACCUGGAACCUUCUGCUGGCGUUGACCGCAACCAAUCGAACGGUCGUGUGGGCCGGGAUUGACCUGCGCCGCCGGGGAGCGCGCACGCGCCGAGACCUUGACAACCAAGGCCGCCGGGAAACAACGGGCAGCUCAUGGUUUCGGCACGGGAGCACGAGCGGGCGAGAGCGGCCUGCUCACUCCGUGAACGUGAAGCGAAACCCACCUCGUCGCCCACGGGAAAGCAUCGCCCCGACACCGCGACAUGACCAAGCAAUUUGCUUCGCGGGUUGCUGGACAUUGUGCCGGCGGGUAUAUAAACGCACGCGAGCGCGUUUGCAUGGCAUCCAUCGAUCAGCUUCCAGCAGCAGCACAAGAUCGAAAAAGCAGAAGCCAUCAAAAGAGUUUCGGAGUUCCAGAUUUCCAGCAGUGAUCCCAGCAGAACCUGCAGCAGCUAGCGUCGACGACAUGGGCCGUUGGUUGAAGCCAGAUGUACGCAUCUGAUCAUUCCUCUUCUUUUGUAAUUGUAGGGCAGGUGGUUAACUGGCUAAGGCUUCAUGAUCGUGCGCUAGUGUAUGUAACCCUCGUGCUCUCGGCGUGCGUGCAGGUGUACCCGCUGAUCGCGGCCAUGUCGUUCGUGACGGGGAUGUGCGUGUUCCAGCUGACGCGGAACGUGUUCAUGAACCCGGACGUGCGGGUGAGCAAGGCCAGCCGCCAGAGCGCUGUGCUGGACAACGCCGACGAGGGCCAGCGCUACAGCCAGCACGCGUUCCGCCGCUUCCUCGCCACGCAGCGACCGGAGGUCUUCCCGGCCCUCAACCGCUUCUUCUCCGAGUCCUCGUCCGCAGCCGACAAGUGAUCGAUCAGAGUUCAGACGGCGCCGGUGGCGGCGAUGGUGCGCGCACGCCGCGCUCGCCGGCGCUGCUCCGGCGUGCAUGCCGUGUCCGUGUGCCUGUGGAUAUUGGGGUUCGGGCGUGCGUGUGUUAUGGUAAUAUCGUGUGUGUGCGGAAUAAACUUUAAGCUUUCUUUUUCGUGAUGUACGAUCGUUUGGGCGUCUAAUAUGAUUCUCGACGGUAGUGAUUUGUUUCUUACUCCUACAUCGGCAACCAGCUGAAAAUGCAGUGUCUGGUAUCCGUAUAAUGCAGAGCUGCCAGAGGGAUAUUCCAAACUUCCUUGAAAGCUCAGACAGGGGCCUAUGCAUGUUGUCCCCGGCAUGUAUCGGUAUAAUCUUCGCGCAUGUCCCCUUCUGCUGCAGAAUCCUGAAUCAUUCAAAAAUAACAGAUGACCAUGGGAUCUGCUUCAGUUAAGAAAAAUGAAAGUACAAAAAUGUUUCAAAUUAGUAAGCAAAAUCAGCCAUCUAACAGAAAGAGUAUGAAAGUUACGCCAUGGCAAGGACACGAGCCUCAGAGUUGUAUGGCCUUCGAGGCUUUGAGGGCCUGAGGCAUGCAUAUUCUCCGACCAGUUGGUAUGUUCUCUCCGAACGCCAGCGCCUGAAGGCUGAGGACCUUGCGCGCCUGCAUCUCUUCUCCAAACAAAGAGACAGAAACCACAAACCCUGAAAACCAGUACGUUCCAUUGUGUAAGAGAAAUAGAUUGAGAAUCUUCACAAGCUUUGCUAUUGAUGUAGUACACCCGUGCAAGAAAGUUAUUCCAGGUCAGUGCUGAUGUCACAGAGGAGCAUCAAAAUCUUCGAAAUCCUUGUCUCAUGAUUUUAAGGUACGGUGAGGAAACGAUCCAAUCCAAAAUCUGGCAGAGAAAAUUCAAAUUCCUCGUGAUGGUAGAACUUAUAUGCUUCGCUUCUUGCUACGGCGUUUCAUUUCAGUUUUCAGGGAUGAUGCAGAGCUCAAGAAGCACAACCCUAUUUUUCAGUUCAGUUCUCUGUCAGUCUGUCUGGUCUUUGGAGCAGCUAGCUGCUUGUUCUUGUGGGCAACGCAAGGUCUUGUUUCUGCCUGUCCUCCAGAAAUCUUGUUAGGAUCGCGGAGCCUCGUGCGCGCGUUAACCUUUGGUUCGGUCUGAAUCCUGAUGUCCGGAACUGCAGCUCGGUGAUCGAUGUUCGUCGGAGGCCGAUUGAGAUUCAGAGCUGUAUUGCCACAAACUGCUGGCUCUGGCUCGAGUUCGCUGGCAUAAGAUGCGUUCAGGCGAGCGUCGCCAACCCGUUAGAGAUAGUGAUAAGCACUGAACUUUUACCUUCCCGUAACGGUUCGUCAGAGCACAAAUUUUCAGUUUCAGACUUGUUCCAGUACCCAAGCUGCUCCUUCCUCCCGUUGCUCAGGACACGUCGUUGCCGUUCAACAGGUACGCAAUCCUGACGACGCAACUCCUCCUGCAUCCGCGGGGAGCCGUCACGCACCGGGUCCCGCGCGUCACGCUGUACACCCCAGGACGAUUCGGUCACCGACCAACUGAAUGUACACCCACUACAGAACUCAGCCCAACUUCUUUCAGUCGGAGCCGGCCGGCGAUCGGCACGAUGCGGGAGGUUGAGCGGCGUUCCUGGUGUCGAACCCGUCGGAGGUCGUGACGCUGAUCCUGGAGCGGUCGCAGCGCGGCCUGUCGAGGCUGUUCAGGGACGCCGGGCUGACCAGGACACCGAGAGGGCGAACCUCUUUUGCAGCGGCGAAUCACCCAACCUACUGCCUCCGGUUGUCCGAUUGAUCGCAGAGGAGCGACGGCGGGGGCGUACGUGCUCGAGGCCGCGGACAUGCUCAACGGAGCUUGCGAUUGGUGGUGUGCGGUUCAGGUGGAGGAUGGCAGCUACUAGUCCGGUACUACGUGGAUUGGUGGAUUGCAGAUCACUGCUCAGGCAAGUUGUCAGCGUCCAGCGCUGAGCUUUAUGACGAUGGCAACCGCCGGCGUGCGACGCGGGCAAAGAAGGGGCGACCUUUUUCCGGUCAGCUAGCAGCUCGGAAAAAGGCCGUGCCACUACCUCUGUCAGUGCGCUGCUCGUAUCGUGCAUGCGCCGUAUCGUCACGCGACCUGGUUCAGGUUCACGCCACGCACGCGACAAGCAAAGUCAAGCCACCGCGACAACGUGUACGUGCCUCGGAUCUCUCAACCGUAAGUACGCUGCCGCUACGCGACCCAACCCUCGGUGGUCGGUGCCCCGACGACAAAGCACCUGCAACGACGCAGAAGCGACCCAAAGACUGCGAGAGAAUGGAGAUGUUUAGCACGUCCUAAAAUUUAGCAUCUAUCACAUCAGAUGUUUGAUACUAAUUAAAAGUAUUAAAUAUAGACUAAUUAUAAAACUAAUUGCACAGAUGGAGUCUAACUCACGAGACGAAUCUAUCAAGCCUAAUCAGUUCAUGAUUUGACAAUGUGGUGAUACAGUAACUAUUUGCUAAUGAUGGAUUAAUUAGACCUAAUAGAUUUGUCUUGCGAAUUAGCUUGGUGUUCUGCAAUUAGUUUAUGAUUAGCUUAUGUUUAAUUCUCCUAAUUAGUAUCCGAACAUCCGAUGUAAUAUUGCUAAAGUUUAGCACUUGGUAUCAAACACCCAGUGCAUCAGGACCCAACCGCCGUGCACUUGAGCUUGUGGAGCACUGGAGUCCAUCCCCUUCGUGCACUUGCGUUUGUGCUCUGCUACAUGGGCAGCAAAAGGCACGAGUACCGGUCAAAAAGCUCUAGCUUUUCCGAUACGUGGCAGUAUGACGGAUGAAUAGACGAUCAAACCGCACGGGCAGGGGCAGCAGCAUGGUUUGACUACUCGUGCCAGCUUGACUGAGGCUCUGUUUAGUUGCCCAGUUUUGAACGACCAAAAUUACUGUGCCAGCACUGUAGUAUACUGUAGCGUUUGGUUUGUAUUUGUGAAUUAUUGUCCAAACAUUGACUAAUUAGGCUCAAAAGAUUCGUCUCGCAAAGUACAACAAAAUUCAUCCACUCAUUGGCAGAGCAUGCAAUGGCGUGUGCCGCGGAAAGGCGCGGUCUUUUCUUCCCUGCUGUGAUCUUCAAGUCACCGCGCUUGCACUCAACAAAAUUAAAACGCGCAGCCUGCGUCUUCUUGUUCUUGGCCCUAUGUCCAAGUGGCGAAGCGACCUCUGAUGAGAAUGCCAAGCGGACCACCGUGCUCGGUCUCGUCCUGUUCAUCAAUCAUGCGCCGUCCGGCCUGGAUAUGAAUUUCGCAUGACCAACCCGAUCGUAUAGGAUGCGGUCUCCCUCCAUAUGUGAUUUCGAUCGGACGACCGCUGAGUACGAUAUGAGAGUUUUUUAAACGAGUUAGGCAAGAGAGUAACUAAUUGUAUUAUCUGAUAGUAUAACGACAACAACCAACCAAACCAAGCGACUCAAUUGAACUAGUGCAACUAUAACAUCGAGAGCAAAAAUGGUUAUAUGGUAUGACACUAAUUUUCAUGAUGAAGAUACUAUUCUUGAAUUUACCUACAUUGUUGAUCUGCUUAAUUCAUUGUUUUGUUGCGCAAAGUUAAAAACAUUUGUCCAGUAUUUAGAAAAUACAAUACUGUAUGAUGUAUGAAUUUUUUUUUAUUUAAAAAUAUAAAUAUGCACACACAAUUUGCAUGCUUACAAAUUUUUAUAUUUUCAAAAAUUAUUAAGCUAACUGAGUACUUUUUUUUGGCCGGGCCGAACCCUGUACUACUGUACAUUUUAGACGGGCUUCUCAAUGGCCGGACGUUUGAAUGGGUCCAACCACAAGAGGCCCCCGUUCCCUCCCUUCCGGCACAAGCCAGCUCCACCAGCCCACCCGCCGCGGCCGGUCCAUCCCCGGCCACCCUCCCUCCUUUUAUACCCCGCCGUUUCCCUCCCCAGUCCGGCAGUCCCAACGCCAUUCCCAGUUUCCCACCACCACCGCCCGGCCGGCCACCCGCAUCCCUCCCCUCCGCCGCCCGCCCGCCCGCAAUGGCGUCCGCCUCCCGCGCCCCGACGCCGCUGCUCAAGGACGAGCUGGACAUCGUCAUCCCGACGAUCCGCAACCUCGACUUCCUGGAGAUGUGGCGGCCCUUCUUCCAGCCCUACCACCUCAUCAUCGUGCAGGACGGCGACCCCAACAAGACCAUCCGCGUCCCGGAGGGCUUCGACUACGACCUCUACAACCGCAACGACAUCACCCGCAUGCUCGGGCCCAAGGCCACCUGCAUCUCCUUCAAGGACUCCGCGUGCCGCUGCUUCGGCUACAUGGUCUCCAAGAAGAAGUACAUCUACACCAUCGACGACGAUUGCUUCGUGAGUGCCACCCUAUCGCUCCGCUCCUCUCCUUUCCUUGUGAUGAUCCGAGAUCUAUGCUUCCCGUUUCCUCUGUUCUGUUGCGGGUGGUCUUGCCGUUAUUGGGCUCCGAUUUUGUGGGGAUGGGGCCUCAGAUCUGGUUAGGUAUGUGACGGGUAAAUACAGCGAGAUCCUUGGGUUGUUUUCUUCGUGGGAAUAGAUUGGGUUGUGAAAUUUGGGAUACAAUGCGUACCCGGAAUGAGUAUUGUGAUGCAAAUUUUUGACGUCUUUUCCGUUACCCGCCCUGUUUGUUAUGGUCAUACUGUCUUACUGUGAUCUGGGUAGGUGGAACGUGGAAACCAUAUUUCACGUUUUUCAGAUGAUUGAUUGAUCUAUCGGGCUUGAUAGUGUCUCCUUAAUCCUUGGAGUUCAGUCAUGCGUAUGGUGGCAAGACUUUUGAUUUGUUUCACCUCUAAAAAAGCUUCAAGUAUUGGAUCUAGCCUCACUGCUUUGGCCCUGCAUUGCGUCCAGUUGGAGGUUAUACGAACUGGAAUAUGCGUUUGAUCUUCGGUGUCUGCUAAUUCAAAAUGGCUGCUGGAUAAAUUGUAUAUAUCGCCUUGCCGCCAUAUUUUGUCAGUUGUCUUAAUGCAUAUGCAUUUGUUUAUGUUGCAGGGUCAUGAUCAGUAGACUGGGUAACUAGGGGACAAAAAUGCUUAUUGGACAAUACUAAAGUAACAGUAGAGAGUUUUCUGGAUUGCACCUUGCAUAGUUUAUUCUGAAGUUCUAAACAUACAUUGUGGUUGGAAUGAACGGCAUUAUCCAUGUAAUCUUGGACCAUGCUAUCUUUUUUAUUGCCAUAAGCUUUUAUUAUGACCAUAAAUCAUGCCUUUGCGCUAGAAAUAUAAUGUAAUGCUAGGUUGGAGCUACCAAUGCCCUGAAAUCACCACCACCUUGUGGACCAGGUCAUCAUCAAGCCUUGCAUUACACUCCACCUUUUGUUUUCUCCUUGCAUCGUUUCAACUCUGAAAUACUGAAGGUCCUGUACGCUUAAGAACUCACUAAAGGAAUAUCUUGUAAAAGACAAAAAGGGGAACAGGAAACAUAAGAAGUCACGUCUCAAGAGACAUUUUAAGAAUCUCUAGGGAUUAUCAUUGGGGUAAUAGAAAGGUUCCUAUGGGGCUAAAAUCUUGAAAGCGUUACUCUAGGGUCCCACCUGCUUGUAAAAUAGUUUACUGGACCAUUGGCUGGCUUAUGAUGUGGAGAUUUAUGGUAAAAACUUCUAUAUUCAUUAAUUUAGAAGCCAAAUUUAAGAGCUUGGCUUUCUUUGAACUAGUAUUUGUUUAGAAAACAUUACUUGCAUGAAAGAGAGGCCUACAGGCUACAGAAUAGUUUUCUAUGUUGGUUGGCAGGUGACACUAGCACAUGUAUAUCCCUUGCAGUAUAAUUCACAGACUUGGAAUGUGACUCCAUUAUUUUAGUCAUCUACUCUGUACUUGUUAAAUAGAUUUAGGUAUUGCUAAUCCGUGCCAGGUCUUUCCUCUAUUGUUUAUCAUUGGCUUGUCAGUGACCUGUUCUUUUUGCAAACUCGCAGGUUGCUAAGGAUCCAUCAGGAAAGGACAUAAAUGCACUUGAGCAGCACAUCAAGAACCUUCUGAGUCCUUCAACUCCAUUUUUCUUCAAUACUCUGUAUGACCCAUACCGUGAUGGUGCUGAUUUCGUUCGUGGGUACCCCUUCAGCCUUCGUGAGGGUGUCCCAACUGCUGUUUCUCAUGGGCUUUGGCUCAACAUUCCAGACUAUGAUGCCCCUACCCAGCUUGUCAAGCCCCUUGAGAGGAAUACUAGGUAAAGAUGGUACCUUUCAGCAGCUUUCAUCAUUCUGGCAAUCAUCAUCUUUUGCUAAUCUGGUAUUUAUUUCCUGAAAUCAGGUAUGUGGAUGCUAUUCUUACAAUCCCAAAGGGCACCCUCUUCCCCAUGUGUGGAAUGAACCUUGCAUUUGAUCGUGAGCUCAUUGGUCCUGCGAUGUACUUCGGUCUUAUGGGCGAUGGCCAGCCUAUUGGUCGCUACGACGAUAUGUGGGCAGGAUGGUGCACAAAGGUAUUUUCUGUUAUUUUCUUCAGAAUUGAUUGCUGUUAUGCCUACAAAUGCAACAAAAUUAAUCCAUGGACAUGCACAGUUGCUUAGUACUGGUUGCAUUGUGCAAGCUAGUGAGUCUUACCAGUCCAUGGACAUUCUCUGUCUGGGGCAGUAUCUUUGUACUGACUAAACCAUGUCAAUGUCUUCUCUGCUGGAACACAGGUGAUUACAGAUCAUCUGGGCCUGGGUGUGAAGACUGGCCUGCCCUACAUCUGGCACAGCAAAGCAAGCAAUCCGUUUGUCAACCUGAAGAAGGAAUACAACGGCAUCUUCUGGCAAGAGGAGCUGAUACCCUUCUUCCAGUCAGUUUCCCUUCCAAAGGAGGCCACCACUGUCCAGAAGUGUUACCUUGAGCUGGCCAAGCAGGUGAGGGCGAAGCUCGGUAAGGUAGAUGGAUACUUCAACAAGCUUGCCGACGCCAUGGUCACAUGGAUUGAGGCCUGGGAUGAGCUUAACCCCCCUAAGGGUGGAGUUGCCACUGCAAAUGGCCCUCCCAAGAAAUGAAAAUGCAACAUAGUCAUACUGAAAGGAAAUACUGUUUUGGUUAGCGCUGAUGGACUGAGAUCAUUUGCUGUAACUUGAAAAGUUAUCACCUCCCUGGAAAACUGUCUUUGCCGUUUUUAGGGUGUUUACAUUUUUUUUUUCGUGUGAUGCAACAACAGGUGUAACGUCGGAAUUGGAUUACCUUCAAAUUAGAAUAAAGUUACUGGCUAUGCUAUUGAUCUUUACCCCCAGAAUUAUGUGGUUUGUCCUUAUUUCUCAUGUUCCAUGUUUCUGUCUGUAUGAUGAUAUGCUCCAACUGCAAAAUGGAUCUGCCAAAGUUUGUCUUCUUGUGUAAAGGAUUGAUUGAAAAGACAGCCUAAAGUUGACUAGUUGCUUUCCAUGUUUGUUACUGUUUGUUUCAUGAGAGCACAGGUAACAUGAUCGGCAUUAGCUGCAAAACAAAAGGUAUCUUCGGCCACGAGCGUACGAGUGUGCAAUGUCUGAAUUCGUACUCAAUUUGUGUCCCACAUUUCCCUUUGAUGAUAGUUUUAGUGGUUGUGGCCUUGUGGGUGCCUUUGCUUACAAACAAAGAAACUAAAGAUCAGUUGGAAGUUCAAAAAUAUAUAAGAUCAAGUGGUUUGCAAAAGCGAGCGAUUCGACUGAGAUAGAUGCCGGCAUGCCGCAGCUACAAAAUCAAUUCAUGAUUUACAAAGUGAACCAAAAAAAUACCAAAUCGCCGUUGCCGGGGAUCGAACCCGGGUCACCCGCGUGACAGGCGGGAAUACUCACCACUAUACUACAACGACUUGAUUGAUGUCUGUAAAGACUUAAAGAUACAUAUCCAAAUUAACAAGAUGACGCUAAUAUGAUACAACACGACAGAGCCAUACGAGUCGCUGACAUGGGUUUUUUCACCCACAAACAAAACUUGAGGUUCCCGUCGUUGCCAACCUGGAAACAUCGUUGUUGCCUUUUCUUCUUAUUACCGAAAACGUGAGGUUUCCGUCCAUUCAAGCAUGAUACCGAAAAUGGCACGGGACGAUAAUGACACAGAAUACGUGGAAAUGACCAUUCCGCUCCGUCCUUCGCAUUCGAGGGACGCGCUGGUGCUGGUCCCCUGAUUACCUGAAUCUGCAGAUUUCCCCUGAAAACUUGAAAAGCAUAGCACGGAAAGUGCCCGCUGGUCUCUUGUGUGCCGGGGCCAAAAGGCGAGGGAGAAAGAAACACGUCGUAGACUCGUAGUGGUAGCCAGUGGGCUAGUGGCCAUCGAUGGAUAAUUGGAUACAGAUCCUAUUUAGUUCCUUUCAAAAUCCUAACUUUAGCACCAUGCAAAAAAAAGAUUUCCCAUCACAUCAAACUUGCGGUACAUGCAUGGAGUACUGAAUAUAGACGAAAUCAAAAACUAAUUGCACAGUUUUAUUGUACUUUGUAAGACAAAUCUUUUGAACCUAAUUAGUCAAUUUGAACAAUAAUUCACAAAUACAAACGAAAUGCUACAGUUGCGCUACAGUAAUUUUGGUUGUCCAAAGUUAGGCAGCUAAACAAGACCAUACUUUUCAGCUGCUGGCCAUCGAUGUAUGUAUGUAUAUUUUUCAACCCCUGGCCACCAAAGCAAACAGCACCAUUUUCAGCUGCUGCAUGCUUGCCGUCCUGUGCUCCAUCUCCAUGUGCGGCGCUUUUCUCUGUUCGGUCACUGCAGCAGCCAGCAUGCCUGCAGCUGCAGCACAAGCUGUCGCUGGACAGUGGACUGUGGCGUCGUCGUGGCGUCGGGGGUGGGCCACCACAGGCCCACAGCGUUGUUGCUGGAGGCCUUGCUGUCCGCGUCCUCGGCUGGGAUUAUCGUUCCUCGUCCGUUUCCUUUCCUGCGUGGCUCGCCGCUCGCGGCUCAGGCCGGACCGCCGGAGCGGGCGAGCGGCAUGGGCUGGGGGGGGCUGGGACUGGGACCUGGGAGACACAAAAACCGUCACACCACACAUUGAUACCUGACUACCUGGGCGCAACUGAUUGGUUUCUGCAUGCGCGCUCGCUGCAAACGCCGGGCCGCAGCCCGCAGCGGAAGGACGAAGCGAAAGCAACGGGAAAAACUAGGAUCGCGCCAGCGUAACCUGUACGGCCUGCUGUGACUUGGCAGGAUGAAGUGGGGCUGCUACAGCCCAUCCAUUUUUAUUUCGUUUCAUGUUUAAAAAUUAUGAUAAUUUUCUAAUAGAGUGUCCAUUUUCAAUUUCGUUUUCACCACCGCAUUUCUUGUAACGAGAUCUACAAAACAAGACCCAUAAUACAUAUAUUUUAAAGUAUUUUUUAUACUAUUAAUUUAUAUUGAAUGUACAACAGUUACUUAUCAUAAGUAUGUAGUAACUUUGCUAGAUGUAUUUUUCACUCAUGUUGUUUAGUUUUACGUGAAGUGUCUAUGUAAGUUGCUAUAUCGUGGUGAUACUAGACAUACUACAUAAAUCAUUAUAUUGCUUGCAUAUAAGUUGUUACAGUCCUUUGUACAAUAUAACACAUUUAUCUCUACAUAAAUUUAUUACUAGACAAAUAGACAUACAAUAUAAGUUGCUACAUAGUCUCUAUACAAGUUCAAUACAUUGUCUACACAUAACCUGUUACAAUAUCUCUAUAAGAGUUGUCUCUUAGUAUUUACAUCAAAUCUAAUACAUAAGUUGUUGCACGGUUUCUACAUAAGUAGCUACUAUACUUUAAUACUCCCUCCAUACUGGUAUUAGGAGUCGUUCUGGCGUUUGGAUGGAAACGAGUAAAAGAAGUCGUUCUGGCGUGGUUAGGCAAAAUUUGACGCUGCUGCCCCUCCGCUUGGGCUCCAGCGCCGCUAUUAACGCGCCGUUCGCCUCCUACGACUCGCUGCCGCGUUAAUCGCUAUUAAUAGCGCCGCAUGCCGCUCGCGUCGUCCACUCACCUGCUUGCCUCUUGCCUCGUCUACUCGCUGCUCGCGCUCGCUGCCAGACGCGCGUACGCUCGCCGCUCGCCCAAGUCAUGGAGUCCAAGCCGGCGUCCGAGGAGAUCGUCGCGCCGGAGGAGAUCGCGCUGGCGUCCGAGGAGAUCGUCGCGCUGGAGUCCGAGGAGAUUGCCGCGUCGGAGUCGAAGGAGAUCGUGCCUGAGUCGGAGGAGAUCGUCGCGCCGGAGUCCGAGGAGAUCAUCGCGCCGGAGUCGGAGGAGAUCGUGCCUGAGUCGGAGGUAGAUACCAUCCCCUCGCCGGAGUUGCAGGAGCUCGCGCCAGACUCGGCGAUGGUGCCGGAUUCUUUGCCGCCGGGCGCUUUUAUUUGCCGCCGCUGUCAAGUCAUUCAUGAAAACCGCGAAGCAUGGGAUCGUGUGCACAGUGGGCGCUAUCCAUGCUCUCGCUGUGGUCUCAAGCACGCAGACUACAUGAUCUUCGCCGUUAUUCAUGGCUUCUACGAAUUCGAGUGUGAGUUUUUCAUUCCAGAUGUCGACAAUAUCGUGUUCGAUGGCGAUCAAAUCGUGCUGCCUCCAGACGUGCUCAAGACGGUCAAAGAGGAGGCUAAGGAGAGGCGCGAGCGUAAGCUCGCUGCCAAGAAGGCUAUGGAGGACGCCAAAGCAGCGGUAAGAUCAUUAACAUUGAAUUCUAAUUAACUGGUAAUUAACAAGAUUUGUCUCCAUUACUAAAACUAACAACCAUCAAUCUACUUGUUUCAUGCAGCAAGAGUAGCCUCGGCUUCAUCCAGUAAAGAUGGAUCACAGGGGAUACAAGAUGGCAGCCGACCUUGUCUUUCCAAUGUUCCUUUUUUCAUGUGAGGUAUCUUGAAGUUGUUGCAACCUUUCUUCUUCAUAGCUUCCACGAAAACACCUUGUAGUGUUAGAAACAUUCGGUUUGCAAGGCGUGGUGAGUACUCCAUGAAUGCCUACAUAACAAGUGUGAACAAUUGUUGUGGAAGUUUAAUUCGGUUUGCAAAUUAUUGUGGAAGAAAACAUCGAAACAUGUGUGAACAAUUGUUGAGCAAAUUACCUCUUGCACGGCUGGAAGUAGAGCCUCCAUUGUUUUUGCAUUCUUCUCAUAUUGAAUUGCUUGUAUAGCUCGAAAAAAAGCCAAGUCGAGAAUGUUGAAAUCUGGAGAGUUUGGUGGCUGACAUAUUAGGCGAAUAUCAAAUCCUCCUAGCUUAGCGGCCUCACAAAAUUGUGGGUCAUCUAAUUUCAAGUGAGAAGGUGCAUUGUCCUGUUGAAUGAAUAUUGGUCUACCCACAUCUUCUCUUGGCCACUUAGCUCUAAUGGCAGGCAACACUUUGUUGAUCAUAAAACCUCUAAUCACUUCUCUAGUGAUCGAAGUUAUGGGCUUCAUAACCAAGUCUCCACGGACACGACCUGUCCUCUCAUUACCUCUUUGAGCCGCUUCAUACUGAACAAGUGGAAAACAACCAAUCCUACCAUCAAAAAUACAAUUCCCAUCCCUAAACCUUGGCCGAGCGCAAACACACAAGAACAUGAGCCUAGGGAUGUAGUUCUUAUUCUUACAAGUCUGAUGGGGAUCAUCUUCUUCGGGUAGCAAAUAAUAUCUUUCAGAUUUUUGAUGUAGGUAGAACCAUUUCUCAUCAAUGAACACAAAGUCAUACAAGUCCUUAAACCUUGGAUCAUCAAGCAACUCCCUAUUAACCAUGUCAACACACCAUUGUAACCUAGACUUCUUGUUAGCUUGAGUGAGAUAUGGUUUGAUGCUACUAGAGUGGCGCCUAAUCAAUCCUAGUUUCAAAUACCUUUGAAACCUCCAUUUGCUCAUGUUUAGUUUGGCGCACACAUCCUCUAUAGUCAUUCUUUCCUUUAGAGGAAUGUUUCGCAAUGCUUCCAAAUCAAAAGGUAUUGCUUUACGUCCAACUCUACCCUUCUUUAGACUACAAACCACAACCGGAACACCGCUUCUAAGUUGUGUUUUACCUCGGUUCCAAACACGCUGAGCUGUCCGUAUAUGAAUGUCAAAUUGAGCAGCAACAAAUGCAGUGUCUUCCUUGUGUAGUGUACCAUCAUUGCUUCUAGCUAACAAAGCUUGGUAAACUCGUUUUUGGAGAGCUUCAGUCAUUUCCUUCCUUCGGUGGGGUAAUCCUCCAUGAACUGCUUCCAAGUUGAGGUUCAGGACAGCAUGUUCUAUUACAAGAAAAAGAAUCACGUUCAUAGCUCUAAUUAUAGGGAAAAACCUUAUUCACGGCAUGUUUAUACUACUUAUUCACGGCAUGUUCUAAUUAUAGGGAAAAAACAAACACUUUCAUGCAUGAUCUAGUAGAAGAAUGUGAUUGUGACAAAAAAAUUACCAGCAAGAUUUUGUACAAAGUCCAAAUCAACUGCACCGAACUCAUCUAUUAGUAAGUUUAAAUCCAGUACUGUAAAAAAAUAAUAAUGAGAACCGAAAUAAUAUGAACAAGCAACGAACGGAUAGAUCGAAGCGAUGCAUUUACCGUCGUCUUGUUGCUCUUGGAGAUCAAACACGCCGCCGUCGGCAUCAUUAGCGCCGUCGUAUUCUGGCUCGUCGAAAUCAAGCACGUCGUUGGGGUUGGGGCCGUCAUCUUCUUAUGCCGGAAAGUUGAGAUCACCUCACGUUAAUGCUGUGAAUAUAAAAAAAGGAAAGAAAAAAUGAGUAAGAAUGAGCAUAUAGGCUCGUUGAGAUUGAAGGGAUGAUUGCCGUCGUCAUCUUCCUCCAUACGAACGUUCAAAUCGAAGCCAUGGAGGACAUGAGCCAUCGCGCCGUACAGAUUGCUGUGGAAGGAGCAGGUAGGAAGCUAGAGAAGAAGCUAAGCUAUGGCUAGAUGAACAAGCAAGUGAAGAACAGUCAAGGCAAGGCAGUAGUACUGCACGCACUCGAGUCUUAAUACCGCAGGCACUCCAACCGUCGGACCUGCUGAGCUGUGAGCGCCAAACGAACGAAAUUAACGCGCCGAACCGAAAAAACGAGUGAACGAAAAAAAAGCGCCCAGGCGAAACAAACGAACGAAAAUAAGGCGCCAUCGGAUAAAUUUGAGCCAGCGCACAGCGCCAUGCAAAAUCCACGUCAAAAAAAUAGUGUGUCACUGGGGGUUCGAACACUUGACCACUAGCCUCGGAAACGGGAGUGCUCACCACUUGGUCUAUGAAGAAUUGUUGUAUAAGGGACACCCGCAGCGCUAUUUAAUAAGAGCAAAGAAGGAAAACUUCCCCUUAACUAAUUACUCUUGGCAAGCGCAAUCAUGUCUUAAAUGACUUCUAAUACUAGUAUGGAGGGAGUAUAAGUUAAUAGUCACGUAAAAAUGUGGAUUUUUUUUUAGAUCUAGUUGCAAGGAAUAUAAUGGUGCAAACAGAUUUAAAAAUAGACCGGUUAAAGAAUAUGCAUCUACUUUUUAUUGCUGACAUCAUCCUACCAUCAUCCUGAAACCGACGCUCACGUAUGGAUUGUCCUUCCACUCGUAUGUGUGAUAAAAUAUUCUUUCUGCUGUUGUGCUUUAGUAUCUAGGUUGUGCUUUAGUAUCUAGGGAUAGGGUCUCGCGUUUUCCCUACGCGCCACUGGUCACGGGUUAGCCUGGACCAAAGUAAUGCUGGCUUGGUUUUGGUUGGGCGGGGACGGGCAUUGCAUCAUUGGAUCAGGCAGUGGAAGGCUAUGCGGCGGUGCGCUUGUGCGGCGGUGCUCGAGGACAGAAACCACGGGAGCAUGGUCGCAUGGAGCCAUGGAGGACUUCUAUGGUGCACCAUUGCAUCGUUGCCAAAGAAACGUGGCUAGCAUUUUUGUUUCUCUAUCUAUCUAUUCAUGGAGGGAAAAAAAAGUGAAAGACACAAUUCCUGUACUUGUGUAAAGAGUGCAAUCGUAAAAAAAAAAGAAGUAUGCUUUUUAAUAUUUUUGUCGCAAUUUUCAGCUCAUAUACAUAGCAUCAUCCUUUUCUUUCUAAGGACACAAUUGGGAACUUCUCUAAACGAGUGUUUCCAAUACAUGCACGUUCUUUUAUGGAUUGUGUUUUGCCUGCAAGUUACAUACAUACUUAUCUUGGUGUAGAUUAUGUCGACCCUUUUUUUUUCAUUUCUACAAGCACCACUAUAUACGGUUUGUCAACAAAGAGACCACGUCCUCAUGGAAAAUGACAUCACAUUUCUUUCCCUUUUUGAUGUGCCAUCUUUUGCAAAAGUCCAUAUUCGCAUCCACAAUGGUAGAAAAAUGCUUGAAGCUUUAAGCUCUAUUCACCAUGCUAAAAAGUUCACAAUUUACUGAUUCCUAUAAAAACCAAGCAAUUUCAUGUCCAGUAACUUUAUCAAUAAUUUUUAGUAUCUCCAUUAAUUUUUAAUAGGCGUGUUAGGAUUUUUAAGGGUCUUUACCUGUGUAGUUCGAUAGUAUAUUACUGAUUGGUACAAAAUGCCAUAUGAAAAGAUCUUUGAAAUAAGAUUUAUUAGUUGAUCCAAUUUCUCAUUAAUAAGAUUUGUAUUUUUAUUAUUUCAUGAACAAGUGGAGUUUUAGUGGGUUGAUAGCAAAUAUGAUUAUAUAUAUUAAAAAACAUUUUGAAUUUGGCCAUACAUUGAACAUUGCAUAUGGUUUGACUAAUUUUUAAUUAAAAUUAUAAAGUUGACGUUUAAAACUUCUAAUAUAGUGCUAAUUUUUAAUUCGACUUCAGAUAAUAAAGAGGAAGGAAAAAAAAGAAAGAAAGAGGGGGACACUCACUGAUGUGCGGUCCCACACCCGUGUGGACCCAUGAGUCAGUCGUCCGGCGGCUACGCCACGUGUCACUUGCCACCUCGCUCCCUUUGUACCCGACAGACACAGACCGGACCCUUGGAGCAAGGGAAACCAUUUCUCACCGUGGAGCACGCUACCCAACCGCACACUCCUGGGCCCACACGGCACCCGACCAAUCCCAGGCCUGGGCGCCACGGUGAGUUCAGGAGCACGGGUGCCCACGCUCGCCGGCCCCACGGUCCCACCUCGCCUGGCCCGUAAUAACGAUCCUUUACCCGAUCCGACGGCCCAGAUCGCUCCACGGCGCUCCGAAACCCAGACGUCCAAUCAAAACACGACAACGCGGCUGGGGAAACCACCGUGGUUUCGGGAUACCGCUCCCCUCCCCAUCUAAAACCGCCGUCCCCCUUCCUCUUCCGAGCUCUUCAUUCCCUGCGCACCACUCGAGUCGAGAGCCACCUGAUCCUUCCUUCCCCGUCUUCCUCCCGCCCGACACGUCGCCCUCGCCAUUGCCGCGCCGCGUGCGAUCGGGAGAGGGUAGGCGGCGGAGAUGGGGCGCGGGCCGGUGCAGCUGCGGCGGAUCGAGAACAAGAUCAACCGCCAGGUGACCUUCUCCAAGCGCCGGAACGGGCUGCUGAAGAAGGCGCACGAGAUCUCCGUGCUCUGCGACGCCGAGGUCGCGCUCAUCGUCUUCUCCACCAAGGGGAAGCUCUACGAGUACUCCAGCCAUGAAAGGUACGUAUACACGCUGCUUCGAUCCCCUUGUCUUCCUGCCGGUUGCUGUGAUCGCCCGCUUGGGGUUUGAGGGCGUUGGGUGUGCUUCGAUGCUUGAUUUGGGUUCUUAGAAUUGUUUGUGGAUGCAUGCAUGUUUGGUUAUUUCGUGCUAGUUUUGUGCGGAUUAAUUCUGUUUGCACGGACGAGCUGAGCUGGAUCAACGAUCGUUUUGGUUACUUUGAUCGUUAUUCGUUGAUUCGCUUUCUGGUUAUGUCGUUUCUGUGUAAUCCUCGGACUUGGAUUUUGUCUGACCGAUGCUGCCAGUGUUACUAAAGCGUAAGUGGUAAGAGUGGUGAAUCGUGAUUACUGAUUAGCACAUGCAAAGUAGGUCCCAAGCCUUGAGGUGAGUGGCUAGUAUGAAGACUCAACUUGCAGUGGGGCAAUAAGUCAGGAUUAUUUGAUUCAUAGAUUCUGUGAAAAUGAAAUAUCAGCUGCAAAAUAUAACCGAGAUGUUGGUGGAAGUGCUCUGAUUAGUGCUGAUAUUUUCAUCAUGCGAUUAAACUCUUCAGUGUCAAUUAGGAGCAUUUGAGCAUGUCUUCUGCAAAAGUAGACUGCUGCUUUUGUCUUCUGAAAUGCAUAAUGGGGUGUUGUUUAUCAGUAUCAGCAUAUCUCGUUCCUUUGCUUCAUUGUCCCUUGUAUAUGCAGCGAUAGAUGCAUUUUGGCAAUUUUCAGUUGGUCUGUGAUACCCUGAACAAAAUUCUAUAGAAAUAGCUGUUGCUACCAUGUUGUAGAGAUAUCAUGAGAGCUGCAACUAUUUAUCUGAACAUUCACAGAAACUUUCGAAGAACCAUUUCACACAUUUGUAGUGUCUUCGAGACAUAUGUAUGCAUCAUAUGCUAGUAGAUUGCUUGUGUUACAUAUUUGGUAUUACAAGUGGUAUGCAAGGUGAUAGUGUUAUUUAAACAUAAGUUCGAUUUCCUGGCCCAUAUUUCAAUACGCACUUCCAAUUUUAGUCCCAUUAGCAAGUAAACAACACAACUAUGGUUACAUGCAUGAAAGGAAUUGAAAUGGAUGCUUGAUUGUAGAAAUAUGACCUUGUGUUGUUAAAAGUUAGAUUCUAUGAGAAUAAUUGCAUGGGUACAUGCCUUGUUCAUGCAGCAUAUUCAUAUAUAACUGAUCCAUUCAGGGGAAAUGGUACUAACAUUUUUACUUUUCCCAUAGUGUUAUUAUCUGUACUCUCUAAUGAUGUACAAGAAACUUGAGUGUUUCAACAAGAAAUAGCACGUUUAGCUUUUGCAUACAAGUGACAUGUGCUGGUGUUAAAAUGUAAACUUGAGAGAUGUUAUAUCUCGAAUCAUGGCAAAAUAAUAUUCAUUUCCUUUUGUUUUAUAGAAAGCUCAUACAAAAAGCUUCCUGAAACUACUGGUUACCAGUGGUGACGAGAAUGCAUGUAACGUUGGGUUCCAAAUAUUCAACAUCAACAUCGUCCUUUCAGUCCCAAGCAAGUUGGGGACUUGGGGUAGUCUAGUUCCAAAUAUUAUAUAAGAAAAUUUUAUUUAUGAUGAUAUAAUAUGGUUUAAGCUAUAGCCAUUUUAAUCUAUUUGUCAUAAAAAAUGGUGUUGCUGGUUACACAUACUAGUUUGAAUCGAAAACAUCAAUAGAUUCCAAAAAAUCAUCAUACUGCUAAUGUACAAUAACAAGUAUUUACAGACUGCACCAUUCUAUUCCUACUAAAAAGGUUGGUGCUAAGUCUGUAAACGGUUAUAUCCACCUGAUUAUGGACAAAGCAAUGAGAGAUUUUGUUUGCAUAAGUAGCUUGCUACAUUUAUGUGCUCAUGACAUGUUCUCUGAUUCUAAAACACCCUUUCUGAGUUCACAUUUGGACUAUGAAGCACCCUGACUUCAUUGAGUAACCACCUACUUAUCUGUGCAUGUGAUGACAAACGUUCUUCCAACCAUGCUUGCAUCUAGUUAUACAUGUUAUUCGUGGUUAACUGCCAAAUGUUCUCUGAAACUUUGGGAUCAGGAGAAAAUGCUCAUAUGUCUGUUGCACUUAAUAAAUUUGUAAAAAAUUAAUCCUGUGUCGUCUUGAAUAUUGUGCGUGGUGAAUUCUUUUGCAGUUUUGUCACACAAGAUUUAGGAUGUACUGCACCUAGUAAUAUAAAGGUGCAAAAAGAAAAAGGAAAUCGUCUGAUUAUAUUAUGUUCAAACAAGACAUCAACGUUUUCUGCUGAAGCAUGACAUUUCUACUUGCAGCAUGGAAGGCAUUCUUGAGCGUUACCAGCGUUACUCAUUUGAAGAAAGAGCAGUACUUGAUCCAAAUAUUGGAGACCAGGUAUAAUUAUGAAAUAUCCGUAUUUAUCAGAGAACUAUUAUUCCAGUAAAAUCAGCAUGUUACCUGUAUUGAUAGCAAUCCCGUUUAUACCAGGCAAAUUGGGGAGAUGAAUAUGGCAGGUUAAAAUCCAAACUUGAUGCACUUCAGAAGAGUCAAAGGUAUUGUAGGCUUGCUCAAGAAGAUCCUUAUUCUGUUUACAAACGCCUACUGACUUGCUGUUUGUAUCUUUUCUCAACUGAAGGCAACUGUUAGGAGAACAACUAGACUCACUGACCAUAAAAGAACUCCAUCAACUGGAGCAACAACUGGACAGUUCUCUGAAGCAUAUAAGAUCAAGAAAGGUGAAUCAAUUGGGUUCAAGUUGCUGCUGCUGUGCACAACUAAUUUGGUAUAUUUACUAAUUUUUUAGUGAAAUUAUAUUAUAAUAACAUUAUUUUUUUUCUUGGUGCAGAAUCAGCUCAUGUUCAAUUCAAUUUCUGAGCUCCAGAAAAAGGUUAGUUACAAUCCUUUAGAUUCCCUUCUACCUUGCACGCUGCAUGUGUAACAUAGCCACUAGGGAAAGUUGUUGCUAUGAGCACACCUUGCUAGAAUUCGAGGAAGGAGAGCAAAAUUUUCAGCCUCAUAAUCAUACACAUGUUUCAGUAAGAUUAAUGUAUUUUGAUUUAGUUCAACAUUCACAAUCUGCUGUUACCUCUCAUUUGUUGUGCUUAAAUAUAUCUUACUUGAUCAGCAUUCACAAUUUGCUGUUACCUCUCAUUUGUUGUGCUUAAAUCUUACUUGAACAUCUGAUUUUUCAGCGUUCAUAAUUAUAAACAUUAGGUAAUGCAACUGCUGCAGAAUGCUCUAAACCAGAAUCAAGUUUUGUCUAUAGGAGUCUCAUUUUUAAUCAAUGGAAGAUUUGAAUCUGUGUAUCAGGUGGGAUCAGCCUAAGAUAUUUUCAGGAAAUGCAAAUUGGUUUUGAAGUGAGAGGCAAGCGAAUGAUAACCAUUGCAUUAAGGAAGAGAAUGGGAUGUAUUAGUAAGGGGUUUGGGUUUGACUGUGAAACUGAUCUCCAGUGCAUGCUUUAGGAGCUUAGUAUUCGCUACUCCUUACCAUGAAAUAGUGAAAAAGAGUCUGGAAAGGACAAUGCAAAAGAAAGCACUAAUCUGUCAGCAUUUCAGCAGACUAGUGGUGGUAGUUGUAUCUAGUCUGGCAGCAAAACCUGUAUCAAAUUCCUGAAUGCUGAUAAUAUUUCUGGUGACAGCAUCUACAAUCAACUAUCUUCCUUUGUGCAGGAGAAAUCGCUUACGGAUCAAAAUGGUGUCCUGCAAAAGGUAGAGAUUCCUUUCUUAUCUACCAGAGUGCAACAAAUUUAGUCUAGGAGGCCAGACUUAACUGUAUUUAAAACAGCUCAUGGAGGCGGAGAAGGAGAAAAACAAUGCUUUAAUGAAUACACACCUCCGGGAGCAGCAAAAUGGAGCAUCAACAAGCUCGCCAUCACCACCACCGUCAACAGUUCCAGAUUCCUUGCCGACUCUAGAUAUUGGGUAUCAUACUUCCAUCGACUUCACUCUUCUGCACACCUUCAUUAUUUUUAGUAAAGUUCUUUCUCCUGAGGCCAUAGUACGUUAGCUGAUGGACUAUGCUGUUAGUCCAUUAAGCGUACCUGAAACCAACUUUCUGGUUUCACCUUGCUAUUUCUACCUAAACCUGUCAUGGUACUGAUAUUACACGCUUACCAGUACUGCAUAAUUACUCUGUACCACUCAUCCUUGCCAUUUUAGGCCAUGCCAACCUAGAGGAACAGGAGGGGAGUCUGAACCUGAACCGAUUCCUGCUCAAGUAAACAGCGGCAAGCUGCCACCAUGGAUGCUCCGCAGUGUCAAUAACAGAUGAGCUCUUUCUGAUGCGGUUUUGCGGCUGAACUCGAAGGCAACACACUGCACCAACAAACACCCUUCGGUGACCCAGGCAUCCACCGCAGAGCGAUCCAUCUCGAUCCAGUGAUGGAUACCGGCAUAGUCACUAAUAAGAUCAGGUCUCAUCAAAUGCUUUACAGGGUGAAUGAAGUCUGGAGCACCUCUGCACCAGUAUAUUGCGUUUUGUUCUUGCGUCUACUGUCUCACUCCUUUUUUUUCUCUGAUCAACAAGCUCGGUGUACAUCUAAAAAGAGAAGCUCGGUGUAGCUUGUGGUUGGAGAUUCUACUGCUAUGUUUGUUUCCUCUGUCCUGUGUAGGCUUUAACGGAGAUGUAUGUUGUAUCAGUUGUGAUGUUUCUUGCGUUUUUCCAAAACAGAAGGCUCUUGUCCCCGAAAGUGUGGAGUCCCAGUCAAAGUGUUAAAUACAUAAUUUGGUACUUCCUCCGUUUCAAAUUGUAAGUCAUUCCAAUUUUCUUAGAAAGUCAAAGCAUCUCAAAUUUGACAAAGUUUAUAUAAUAAAAUACUAAUAUUUAUGAUACCAUAUAAGUACCGUUAAAUUUUUCAUUAAAUAUAUUUUCAUAUUAUAUCUAUUCGGUACCGUAAAUCUUUGUAAUUCUCUUUAUAAUUUUGAUCAAACAUAAAAUAGUUUGACUUUUCAAGAAAAUUGGAAUGAUCUACAAUUUGGAACGGAGGGAAUAUCUUAACCGCAUGAAUUCUAAUCAUAUCUAUGAUGAUCAAAUACCCUCAAUCUAAUAACAUGCUCGCUGAAGAUGAAAGCUGAUGCAUGAAUCUUAAGAUAAAAGGGUUUAGAAAAGGCAUGCCUUUAGAAAAUAUAGUACUUUCACAGCUGCACCCUAUACAAAUUGGUGGGUUUAUGUGAGAAGUUCUCACUAUUUAUAGCCUUAUAGGCGUUCUAAGUAGGCCCUUUGACAGUGAGAUACCAAGCAAGCAAUAGCAUCAUGCCAUCAUGUAGUACUGGCGUCAUAUUCGUUGCUCACCCUCCACUGACUCUUCAUGAGUUCUAUCUGCACGACGACUGAUACACACUUUCUUCAGUUUGAUUUGAUCUAUUGAGAUUUGGAUUAGUUGCAGCAUUGUUGUCUCUUUUUGCCUGGAUAGUGCUUUACUUUGGAGCCAUAUGUUUAACGAAUAAUUGCUUCGGUCUAGCGGCACUAACUAAUUAGGGCAGGGGUCUCCAUAGAAUUCCAAAUUGUACCUGAAAAUGAAGCAUUUUUUUUUACCACAUGCAUAUUCUCUUCCACUCAAUUCGUGUCCUACCUUUUCUUUUCUGAGUUUCUGACCGUUUUAGUGAUUGUGGCCUUGUUUUGGGUACCUCUUCGACAAACUGGAUGUAGAUUUAUCGAUUCAAAAUCUCUCUUCCACCGAGUACAAUAUAUUGUCAAGCCUUUCACUCAAACUCUAGCCCUCCGAUGAUCAUCUCCUCUCCCGGCCCGAGGAGCUCCAAGCCUCCAACACUGGCCAUCCUUCGUGCCAAACUGGGGUGCGCCUACAACAAAUAAUUGACCAUGUCCACCUCCUUUAACCUUCGAUCAUACUCCUUCCGUAUCGAAAUAUUUAUCGUUGUUGACUUUUUCCUGCAGCAUUUGACCAUUCAUUUUAUUCAAAAAUUUAUUUAAACAUACGAAAAUAUAAAUAUAAGUCAUGAUUAAAAUACCUAUAAUGGUAAAGUAAGUCACAAACAAAAUAAAUGAUACUUACAUAAUUUUUUUAAUAUGAUGAAUGGUCAAGCGUUGUGACCUUGUCAACAACGAUAAAUAUUUUUGGUACGGAUGUAGUAAUGAACGGAAAAACAUAUGCUACACAAAUAAUUGACAGAACAAACUCGUAGUGAUAACAUGUUGCAUGCACACUGACCAUGCCUGGACCUCUAGUAGAUCAACAACUAAAAAGCACUCAGAAACCAACUCGAGGCAAUGACGUUCCAAAGUAGACUUCGUACGGAGCUUUGGUGCCAGAGAUUACGGUGGCUGGUGUCAUAGAAAGUUAGCCCAGCGAGCUUUGGUUGCGAGAGCCGGUUGAUAAUGAUACUUCAUACCUUUUCCCUGUUAUAAAAGAGAAAACUGUCACUAUUGGUACAAUGAUGCAUGGUGGAUUCUUCGUGGCAAUUUGUGUUACCUUUCCCCGCGUAGCCCCCUACAAGUGGUCGUCUCUUUUUUACUUUUAUUUAAAAAAACAUUAUUGUCAUACAAUAAUUUGAUCCUUUGUCGAGCACCCCACACAGUUACAAUAUAAUAAGGACAUGUCCAACAAUGUAGACAAUUGUUAUUUACAAGUACAUUGGAUGUCACACACAAAUAGCAAAACAUAACACUUGUACAAUAACUUAACUAAGUUGUCUAUGUACUAUUUAUAUCAUGCACGGAUACAUGAAUCAUGGUGAUCAAGUGUAUCUUUGAUCUUUAUAUAUCAUUGUUGCUUGUUUUAAAGAAUACAUGUUGUAUGUUUUGUUAAGUGAUAAUUACAUGAAUUAGAAAAAUGUGAAAAAUAGUUGAAAAGAUUGUAGUACCCAUUAUCCUUAUCCCUUCCUCAGUUCCAUUGGCGGAGCUUGAAGCAAAAUUGAGAGGGGCUAACAAAGAAUGGAGGGUGAAUAACACCAAGAAAAGGGGGCUAAUUUUAGGCUUAGCUAGCAAUUAUACCUAACAUCUGCUAACUUUAUCAAGAUAUUGCAAAAUUUAAGGGGGGCCAUGGCCCCUACUAGCCACUCCGCCAGUGCUCAGUUCCUCUAUUAUGUUUCAUGUGAGGUUCUUUUGAGUCCCUAAAUCGUCUCUUUGUGUCUCUCCCUCGCCCCUCACAUAUGGCAUUGCACAUGAUCGGCGACGCGAGGCCAUAUGCAGCCGGUGCAGUGAACGACUAGGUGCGACAGAGGCCAGCAGGCAACAUGCUUGCAUGAGUCAGCUUAUUGUAUUAUAUAAUCCUAUGGAUUGUCAAUAGUUUGUUACUGUAGUACUAUAUCUGUUCUUAAACAUGUUUAACGCUACUGAUUCUUUAUUCAUUUGACUGUUCAUCUUUUCUACAAAUAUUUAUACAAUUGGAUAGAUGUACAAAUUAAUUAAACAAUACUUUUGAUCAUUUAAUUUAUUUGACUAAGUUAUUGAAUGACUAUUAUAUUACUGAUCAUUAAAAGUUCUUCUUAAUUUAAAGUUUGAAAAAAAAUCAAUAUCCUAUAAUUGGAUCAAUCUCAGUGGAGGUGUCUAAGGGGUUUCAUGGCAAUAAAUUGUUAGACACAUCAACAUAUUUGCUGACUUGGCAGGGUUUUUAUGAAGGGAGAGAAAAAGAGAGUUUCAUGACCAUGACACUCCUUAGGCACAGCCACCAAGUCUCAUGAAACUGGAUGAAACCCCACUAAGACCAUUCUCAAUGCAAAGUUUCAUAUUCAUGUUUCCAAUAAUGCCACAUAAGCAACAAUGUAUUUAGUUCAUUGAUGAAAUAGCUCAUACAAUGCAUAGUUUCAUAUCUUUUGUUGUUUUUAAGGCUACAUGCUAGACACAAAGUUCUUGGAAACAGUGUACACAUGGUUUCAUCCCCAUGAAACUACUUUCUUCUCUCAUCUCAUAAAUAGUGUGCCAUGUCAUCAAAAUUGCUUAGGUGGCAACUCAUUUAUUAUCCAUGAAACUCCCAUUGAGAAUGGCCUAAGACCAUUUUGUUUCAUCCCAUGACACAUCUGAUCAUAAUAUCAUUGAAGAAUUAAAUGCUACAAUAAGUCUAUGAAAUUGUGCAAUGAAACUGUACAUUGAGAAUGACAAUUUCAUUCUAUUGAAAAGUUGACAUGACAGUCAUGAAAUUAUGCAUUAAGACUGAAUAGUGUAAUGAAAUUAUACAUUAAAACUCGUUUUUAAUGGAGUAUAUGCAAAACAAACAUGACCUUGAGAGUAAGCAUUUGGUAAUCGAUGGAGCAUUGGAGCGCGAGAGGAAUUGCAUGGGGGGAACGUGAGCUCAUGAAAGCCGAGAGUGACUUUUUCUUUGAGUAAAUUAAUGUGCAUACGUGUCCCUAUACACCAUACGAAAUAGCGGGCUAUAGCGAGGCUAUAGCGAUUGAUGAUAGCUGCCGCUACAACAGUAUUGUAUUAAUUAACGGGCUAUAACGGCGCUAUAGCGGAGCUCGACGCUAAAUCCCGUAGCCUGCUAUUUUGUACAUUGCUAUACACUCAGCAGCGCGGAAGCACACCACUCCACUCACUUUCACUUGAGAGAAGCGCUGCAUCUGGCAUGGCCAUCGUUGAGACGGCAGCAAGGAAGCUCCUGCAUGGCGGCGCCAUCGCCCAAGGCGUCGCCGACGUGGGCGGCAUCAGCUUCGGCCUGUGGGAUCUGGUCACGGGCUUCUUCUCCAACAUCCUAUCUUACCUCUUCGCCGCUCUUGUGGGCGCCGCCCACCUGCUCGUCCUGCCGCUGGAGCUGCUCUGGCGGUGGCUCGUUACCGUCGUCGUCGCCGCCGCCGCGGGCGCCAUCACCUCAGGCCUCGAUGGCCUGUGGCAGCACGUCACGGGCUUCUUCGUUGGGAUCUUCGCCGCCCUGGCGGGCGCCCCCCACCUGCUCGUUCUCCCGCUAGAGAAGCUCUGGCAGUGGCUUGUCACCAGCGUCGCCGACGCCGCGGGCACCAUCAGCGCCGGCCUGGACGGCAUGUGGCAGCACGUCACGGGCUUCUUCGCUGGGAUCUUCGACGCCCUGGCGAGCUCCCCCCACCUGCUCGUUCUCCCGCUAGAGAAGCUCUGGCAGUGGCUCGUCACCGCCGCCGCCGACGCCGCGGGCGCCAUCAGCGCAGGCCUCGACGGCAUGUGGCAGCACGUCACGGGCUUCUUCGCUGGGAUCCUCGCCGCCUUGGCGGGCGCGGUCCACCAGUUCGUCCUGCCAUUAGAGACGCUCUGGCAAUGGCUUGCCACCACCACAGCCGACGCCGCCGGCGCCAUCAGCUCCGGUCUCGACGGCCUGUGGCAGCUCGCCACGGUAUUCUUCCCCGGAAUCCUGGCCCACCUCUCCGCCGCUGUCGCGGGUGCGGCCCACGAGCUCGCCCAGCAACUAGGGUCGCUCUGGCACUGGCUCCUUACCAACGUCGCCGACGCCGCGGGUGCCAUCAGCUUCCACCUCGACGGCAUGUGGCAGCUCGUCACGGGCUUCUUUCCCAAGAUCUUCGCCGCUCUGGCUGGCGCGACCCACGAGCUAUCGCAGAAGCUAGACGAGCUCUGGCAGUGGCUCCAGGCCGCCGCACUCCCGUUCGUGCUCGGCGUCGCUGUGGUCCUCCUGCUCGUGGCGCUCGUCAGGUUCUGCGGGUCGACCCUGCACGCCGUCGCCAUGGGGGUCUGCAAGGUGCUCGUGUACGCCAUUUGCUUCCUCGGGCUCGGCCUGUACUGCAUCGCCAUGGCCGUCGGCAGGGCGGUCGCCUGCGUCGGCAGGGCGGUCGCCUGCCUCCUACCUGCCUGCGCGCAGUGCCUCCGUUUCUGCGCCGUCGCCACCAUGAAGGCCCCGGGAGCCGACGGCAUGCUGAUAUCGCGCGCCGCGUUCGUGGCGAACCCGGCGCUCUACUUCCUGCUCCUGCACGCCGCUGGGCCCGUCGUGGCCUCCGCCGUCUUCUGCACGGUAACCGUCGCCAGGAUCGCUGCCGCGCCUGUCGCCGCUCUUUUCCGCGGCCCCGUCGAAUGCGCGUAGCGAGCACUGAGCAGCGCGAUCAAGAAAUUAUCUAUUGCAUCAUUGCUCUGCCAAUGCAGUACUUGGUUUGCUAUACUAGGCUCAAUGAUCUUUCAAAAAUAUGCUCUGCAUAUGGGCCAAAUCGAAUAUCAGAUUAUCAGUCGCUAAAUCGGGGCUGGUCCGAGGAGGUUCAGAUUCAUGGACUAAUUUUUAAUUCGAGUUGUUUGAAUACUAAUUGGAAGGGUUAAUGUGAACAAAUUAAAAAACUAACUGCAUAAGUCGUGGUUAAUUCGCGAGAUAAAUCUAUUAAGCUUAAUUAAUUCAUGAUUAGCACAUAUUUACUGUAGGCUUAAUAACUUCGUAUCGUGAAUUACCCUUCAUUUAUGCAAUUGGUUUUGUAAAAUCUAUAUUUAAUAAUUCUAAUUAGUAUUUAAAUAUUUCUUGUACAAAGUGGUCUUGAAACUCCUCAGUUGAGUUCCUGUCGUCGGCUUAAAAAAAAAUUUGGACAAUGCAAACCAGAAAGUUGUACUUAUAUGGGACCAAAGGAAUUUAUUUUACAAGCAAGAAAAACGAAAUGGAUAGCUUAGGAGUUAAGCCAGACAGAGCUGCAGUAUGCAAACAAAAAUCUUUUUUUUCCUUUUAAAAUAGAAUAAAGCAGUCACUCCACUCCAUAGUACAAUGAUGCACAGGCCGAUUCUCUGCGCCAUCGAUUAUUACCUCCUUUAUUUUAUAUUGUCUCGCAAGUGGUUCCUUCGUCGAGCCAGAGCGACAGUGUCACAAUUCACAAACACAAAACGCCCCUCUCCGCGAAGCUGCGAGCGACGCCAUGGCUUUCCCAGCAGGGACUCCGGCGAGGAAGCUGCUCCUACCUGGAAUCUCCGCCAAGGCGGGAAGCGUCGCCGUCGGCUUCGACCUCGACGGCGCCGUCGACUUCUUCUCGGGCCUGUGGCAGCUUGUGAAGGCGAAGGCCGCGGAGAUCCUCGCCUACCUCGCCACCCUCUUCUCGGCGCUCGCCAAGAAGGUCGACGAGCUCCUCCCGCCGGAUACCCGCUCGGAGACGCUCCGUCAGUGGCUGCACGUCGCCGUCACCGUGGUGCUACCCGCCGCCCUGGGCGCCCUCGUGCUCCUCUGCGUCGCCCGCUGCUGCUGGCGUUGCUGCUGUGCCCGCAACAGGGCCCCUAGAGGCCGCCUGAUGGUGGCGCCAGGGCGCGGCGGCGCGCGCAUGCCGCGGGACGUGUUCGAGGACGACCCCCGGCGCUACUUCCGCGACCUCCGCGCCAGGAAGCCCCUCGUGUACUAGCGCGUCCGCACGUCUACGUGCGUUCGUGUAUACGUACGGUACGAGAGUCCGAGAUAGGGCGUAUGUAUAUGUGUAUGUGUAUGCACGGCUUGAUGUGUCCGUACGCGACUGUGAUGUCGUAGUCUUGUGCAUCAUAUUGUACUGCGCGUGUAGUUGGCAUUAUUGGUAAUGAACGAGUCACCUCGCGUUAUGUAUUCAUGUGCCGUUGCAUAGCAACACAAGCUGCACGAUCGAGUUCGAUCCACUACUUGAAAAAGACUAAAAGCGUACCCUGCGUGGUGCUUGCUUUGCUCGAAUCUGGAUGGGUAUGGGGAGCACCAGCCAUCAGCCAAUUGGAGCGAGUUGCUUCAGCAUUCUCACGGCCGGGCCGGCCCCAGUUGGUGGCCGGGUACAGGCGACAGUGCCCUCGAGCUGUCGACGGUGGGUACCCAGUAGGACCUUCUUUUCCUUUGGGCGACAUGAUUCUCGUUGCUGUUGGUAGUCAAGGUCGUCGUACCCUCUCGUCGCAAAUGUAAACAUAGGCUAGGGCUGCUACUGCGCUAAUUUAGCUGUUGAUGCGAUGGUUUACUUCGGUGGAGAGGGCAGAAGUACCUGACGAUAUGUCGUUGGAGAACAAGAUCAUUCCGCGGUGCUCCCUCCAUUAUAAAAGAUAAGUUACCUAACAGAUUUUAGAGCAUAUUAGUAAGUGGUAAAUAACUUUGAUUGUCUCUAUUUAUUAGCCAUAAUUGACUGUAAACACGCACAUGCACACAUGGCAAAUUGAGUACAAUAAAUUAUUUUUUAACAAAUUUCAAAUUAUAGAAUGAUUUAUUUUUUUGAAGAGGUAUGUAAAACUGGUGACCUAAAAUCAAUUUUAAGUAUAUAUGAGAGAGAAGAUUUUCAUAAAAAUUUUGCCAAUGAAAUCAGAUCCGCUGUUCUUCUGCAUGCACUUAGCGAGUUGAGAAGGAAUGACGAGGGAAUCACGCGUGCAAAACCGACGAGGAGGGUAGGGUGUAACAACUCUACCUUAAUUAGGUGUAGUUAAACCUAAGAAAGUCAUUAGUCACUAAGAAGAGGAAGUGAAAUGUCCAAAAAAAGCUCUUUUUGGAGUUAAAUAGGGAACUUGAGAUUUUAUUUACAAACUUGAAUUUUUGUCCAAAUAGAAGUUGUAAAACUUUUAAUUUCAAACAACUUUUUUGAUAGCACUUUGGCUAAUUUGGAGUGGGAGGAGGUCAAAAAGAAGAAUCAAAUCAGGAGUACAUCGAAAUCCUACAAAUGACCUAAGUCCUGGUAUUCAUGUUUUUCCUCAACUUUGCAACCUGUUAUCUCACAAUUCUAUAUCUAAACUCGAGUCGAACCCCUAAUAAAAGUUGUAGUGCUGCGAGUGUGUUGCAACUUUGUUAUACUGUCCCAAGGCUAAUUUACAACCAAACCUGUUCAAAAGCUCAGUCAAAGUCACUCAAAACAGUCAAACCAUCCCAAAUGCAUUUCUGCGCUAAGUCUGGUAGAACGUCCAGAGCGUGCAGCUUGGCAAGCCUGUUCCUCCUAAAAGUUGAACUGAGCUCGAGAAAAGUCACUAAUAGAAGUUGAAGUCCUAAGAUCAAGGAACAAUUCCUUCAAUAACACCCUUGCCUAAUUCAAAUCCCAAGCCUCUCAAAAGUUACAUCAAAACUGCUGAAAUGCCUAAGUCCGAGAGGAGCGCGUUCCUGCCGACUUUGGAGCCUAGUAACUUCAAAUCCGUUUCAUUUUUGAGAAAACUCUUUGUGUAAAACUUGGAGCUGGACACUAGGGCUACAUGUUUUACUUUUGGAGUUUCACGAGUUCUUUUGAAAAGUUUUGAGCAAAAGGCCCCCAAACCCGGCCCUUUUGGCCUGCCCUGAGGCGCACCCCGCCCCAGCGCGUGCCCAGAACGCGCCCGCACGUUUGCCUGUGCACCGACCGCCGUGUGGCCUCUGCUCACUGGCGGCUUGCCGCCGGCCAACCCCUGGCCCAGACUCGACAGGACGGUGAGCUCUGGCUAACCAAUCAAGCGGUGUGCCUAUCUCUCCCACCUGCGCUCAAUCUCCUCCACCCAACCGCGCGCCGAGCUUCGCCCCUCCGCUUGCGCCAUGCCGCUGCCACCCGCUGGCUCCGCGCCUUCGCCCAAUGCGCCACCACAACAGCGACUCGACGGUGCCAGGGCGAGAUUUGACGAAUUGGGGAAAAAAUUUCUGGGUAAAGUGGGGGUAAAGGCUCCUGAUACCAAUUGUUAUGAUCUCAACAGGAUUGGAAGGGGAAUUUUGGAUAGAGAGCAAGAAUAUGGGACAGGGAAUGGAAGAACGUAGCUGAACCGCGGGGGAGACAGGCGAUUCAAAGUUCUGGAUUACAUUUCAUAGUCUGUUACAGGAGAUGAUGGGUGGUUAAGUAGCCACCGUCAGAGCUCACGGCCCUCUUGGGCUCUCCUUCGCUACUGGGCCUUAUUCAGCUUUCCAACCUGAGAGGGGGGAGGGUGAAUAGUCGAACCUGAAAAUUUUCACAACUUCCAACAAAUUUAUCAGUGACUUUCGGAGUUUUCGGAGAUUGUUUCGAAAAUUCUGCAAGUUGCGGAAUUUUUGGAGAAAUCUACGAAUUCUCCGGAGAUUAGCGAGAUUGCACUACACCUCUAUGAAAGACUUGCUCAAAAGUAAAUCGCCGAAUAUAGGUUAAGCAACAGGAUAUUCUAGGUUUUGGCACAAGGUAGAGCAGUUGGAAACUUGCUAGAAAUGUAGAUCGAGUACAAACCCUAGAAUAUGUUCUAUGCUUGAAUAUGAACAAAUUUAAGAACAACAAGCACAAGAGACACAAGGAUUUGUUUACCGGAGUUCAGCUUCACACCUUGAAGCCUACAUCUCCGUUGAGGACCCACGAAGGGUGGGCUUUUCACUCCUAAGCCACUUUCCUCCCUCUAGCAACCAUAAGGAUCAAGCUAGAGUCACUUACUCAAUCGUCGGGGUAAUACAAACUUCUCGUGGGCAGCCACAAUCCUUGGAUGCUCCACGGGCAAUGCCUAGCCGGCUACGAGCUUGAAGCUCCAAGAGUAAAAAUCGCGAAACCACCAGCUUGACGAAAAACAAGGUGCUCAAGCGAUGGGAAAUCGGCUCAUUAGCAGUCUCCCGUGCUCUCCCUUGAAUCCCUAUUUAAAUCCCCACCAAAACUUCACCUAAAGGCUAAGAGGGGAGUAAAGAUGAGCUUUGAAUGUUUCUGAACAGCUCAGGUCAGUGUUAGGUCGAGAGGAAGAUUGUGGGAGGGGGUGAGAGGGUAUUUAUACCCCUUCACCCUAAAACUAGCCGUUGGGGGUUAAGUUUUGGAAACUCCGAAACUUUUUCCGGAAACUUUUUCGAAACUUUUUCCGGAAACUCCGAAACCUCCGAAUUCUUCCGAAACACUUUCUGGAAAACUCUGGACUUCUGAAAUUCCUCCGGAAACUCUGCAAACUCCAAAAUAUUCUGGAAGAUUCUCUGAAAAAGUCCGAAGCUCUCAAGUCAGCACUUAUCUAAGUUUCCCCAUGUGAUGUGAAGGUGCAAAAGUGUCUCUCAUAGGUUUGUUAGGUCAUCUUGAACACCUUUUUCAACGUAAAGACCAGAGAUUACGCAUCCCUCUUAAUAGUGUGGCAUUCCUAUACUCAAAUUCAAACUAAAAAUAAAUUUAGCCUUCAAAGUAUGCCUUAGAUCUACUCAUUUCCUUUUGAGUGGUCAAUCACAAGUGCUCUAUAUCCAACAUUCCAGUUAAACCUGCUUAUGCACUUGAAACUUCAUUAGACACUUAAGCUUACGUCAUUAAUUCACCAAAACCCACUUAAGGGGCCAAGAUACUCUUCACGGUCUAAACCACUACUCAUAAGUCUUGGCAUUCGAUUCAGCUAAUCCACAAGCCUGACGUCUCGCGUAGCACUCCUGAAGACGACGCUACUUCUUGGCGGCCUUCUCGUUCAUGACAUAGGUGUUCAAAGUAGAGUAGUUGUAGGUGUAGGAAUCCAUGCUGCUUUUGUGGUGUCAUCUCAUGUUGUCCCUUUGUCUGCUUUUCUAGUUCCCUCGCGUUGUCACUGUUGCGAGCUGGUUCUGUUCUUUGUUAAAGUCAUGUUCUAUCCUGACAUAAUCUGAGCUCUCAUGCGGGUGGUAUGCGCAUGCACAAACCUUACUUGUGCUUGCUCAAAUUAACGCUUUGCAAGAAAAAUCGACAUUGGUUGACAACUAUACACUACGCUUGUGCUGGAACAUCGAAAUUAGCAUGCUGGCGAGCAAAAUUGGCACCCAGCAGCACAAAGGUGAUCGGAGCCACCGGGGUAGUACCCGCCAGCACAGAUGGCUUUGUGCUGGCGGGUUCGUUAGGUGGCCCGCCAACACAAAUGACCCCUACAUCUCCCUUAUCUCCUCUUAUCUCUCCAGGGGCAGGCAUCCGCCCCAUACCUAUCCCUUAUCUCCUCUUAUCUCCAGGAGCGGAUACAGCGUGGGUGGGUGGCCUGUGGGGUAGGCCUGCGAGCGCGGGGACCGGCGCGACCAGUUGGAUGUAACGGCAGCCCACGCACGCGGAGACUGGCGUGGACAGGCGGUCGGUGGGGCAGGCCCACGAGCGUGGGGACCGGCACGCUCGGUUGGAUGCAGCGGCGGUCGACCGGGCGCGGGAGUGGCGUGGGCGGGCGACGGGCGGCCGGUGGGCAUGGGCGCUAGUGGGAGCGGCGACCGGUGGGGCGGGCUUGCGAGCGAGGGGACCAGUGCACCUAGUUGGAUGCAGCGGCGGCCGAUCGGGCACGCGGUCGGCGUCAGGUGCUCCCUCUCCCUUAUCUGUUCCUUUCUCUCAUCCUCUUGCUCUUUCUACCUUAUUUGUUCCUUUCCUCUCUGGUGGGAGGGCGAGAUCCAGCGGCGACCAAGGGCGGGUGCCGAGGGCGAGCUCCGACGGCGUGCCCAAGGGAGAGCGAUGAGGGCAUGCUCCGGCGGUGUGGCAGAACCGCCCAGAUUAAUCCGGCUAAAGUGUACUCAACGUCGCCUCACAUGCGAGCAAACACUUUAAUCAAGUUAAACUGGUAGUCCGUCAGGUUAUAUCCGAUAAACCACUUGUUUUGGAUCGAACGAAAAGCAUCUCACACGAAGGCGACUCCAAAGAUUACAACUUCCAGUACUUAAAGUAUAGAAUCCAUUUCAGUUAUAACACAACCAUUGUUCAAAAGUGCAUAAAGUAAAAUUGUUUCAGAGCUUAAGCAGCGAAAAAAAGACAUGAUACAACUAACGUCGAUACAUAAUACCAUGGCGAAGCCAACCAUGAUAUCAACCACCACGGUCCUCGCUGUCUGAGGAUGAUUUCCACUCGACCGUCCAACCCAGAGGGAGUUGGGUCGGCCAAUUCAAACUGGCAAUCAUUUUCUCAAAAUCAGCACUACCUAGAAACAUAGCCACAAGCAAGGCUGAGUAUACUAAUACUCAGCAAGACUUAACCGUCGGAUGGUAACUACUCCACCAACUUCUAGACAUGCAAGGCUUUUUGGCUGAGGGGUUUAUUUUGCCAAAAGCAUCUAAAGUGGGUCCUUACUUAGCAACAUGUUCUAGUUAGUUAUCCAUUCUAGGUAAGCACAUAUGCUAAGCAACAUGUGAUCAAGCAAUUUAAUUCAAGCAUCGAUAUUUUUUUCAUCAUUUGUUCCUCUUCUUACUCAGUGCAGAAGUGCAGUCAAGUAGUCUCAAAUUGUGAGAGGCAGACGAUUCGAAUCGAGUUUUUUAACCUUGCAAGGUGAACCUAAACCCACGACAGAUGCGUACCACGACGAGUCCACACAUGUCAGCCGUCCCAUCAAUCCCCAGCACAUGAUCAGGUCCCACUUCCCUUGGAUACAAUGCCCUAACGGUCCUGGAACGACGCCGUAUCGUGGCUGCACUUGUACCCACAUGCUAAAGCAGGGGAACCUAGUUCCACAGAGAGUGGGUAGGUAUGCCCACAUCCUGGACUAAUCAGGUACUAGGGUUCUCCAUCCCGUACUAGGUAUGAGCUUUGUAGUUUCAAACACUUGACCACUGUCCUAACACAUCUCGACCUUAGUAGUUUUCUUCUAGACAGACGGGGCAAUCCACCAUCCACCAAAAUAGAACAUAUAGCCCAACCCUGCCCGUCAAUCCUUAUGGUUGCAACAUAAAUAAAUAGGCAACUCCUAUAGCUCGCGAGUGACAGGAAAUCACUCGACUUUUACCGUGUCCCUAUUUAGCAUUGCAACUACUCGCCUUAACAUACUAAUAUUCAGCACAUAAGUACCUACGAUCAUGCAACUAGGGUUUCAAGCAACUCCUAUGAACGUAAAUGCACAAACAUAAUUAACAUAUCAUGAGGGAGCAUAACCCAGUUUUCUAAAUGUUUUUUUACCUCUUCCAAUAUUUCCCAUAUUACCCCUAGUAUUACUUAAUGUUUUUAUUUAGUUUUAAUCAACACUUCACUUCCAAAUUUGUUCCCGCAUGCAUACAGUGAGAUAUGGCACUUAAAAUUUAACAGGAAAUUAACCAUGUUAAAACUAAGCUACUGUAAAAGGUUGGGGUACAGUGGACUUCUACAAAAAUAAUUAAAAUUAAAUUAUUAGGCUAUGAUAGAAAGCAUUUAACUAUUUUUAUCUCAAAAUUUACAGAGUUUUUGGCUCUGAAAUUUUAACAGUGUGUUAUACAAGUGCAACAUAGUAUUUUAUGAUAUUUCCAUGAUUUUUGGUGAAAUACAUCUAUUUUACAUAUUUUUCUAUCAUUUAAUCUUGAACAAAAAGAUAAGCAUGUUUCACCCAGUUUCAUCCAGUGACCAUUAUUUUUCCUAGCACUUAUGUUUCAUGUGUGUUCCAAAAAAAAGUGAUUUGACAUUUUUCUCUGACAUAUUCUAUUUAUCAUGCAAAAAGUAAGAUUUCACCCUAGAUUUUAAAGUUAAAACUAAAACAGUGCAUAACACAUCUAAACUAGGGUCACAACCACUUUUCUAAACACAAGCUUAAUGUAAUAGAGCUAACAGAGGAAGUUUUGCUAUUUUACCACUUUUGAGUGAUUUACUAAGCAUUUAAUGGCUUAAACAAGAUUUAAAACCUAGAGAAAUACAUAUAACAUGACAUGUCUAAAAAUAUUUUUCUUUGAAACUUCACAACUCACUGAUCCUAAAAAAAGUGAUUUGGCAUUUGUAUCAUUUUUUUACCUUUAUUUAUGCAGUUUCAAAAUUCAGCCAUGUAUUUUAUAUUUAAAACAGAAAAGUCGCUGGCAUAUUUACUCAUGGACCCCUACAGGUUUUGAAAAUUCACGAACACGUCCCUGUUGCUUACGCGCAGGCCCCUAGAAAGAACUAAAUCAAAGCAAUGUAGUCCUUGGCUCGCCCGGGGUGUUCCGGCGAGCUUUCCGGCGAGCGCCGGCGAGCUUGAGGCCGGGAGGGAGCUCAGGGGUGACGAGGGACUCACAUAGGUGGGUUGAGCUUAUGGGAUUGGAGACGGAGGCGGCUCGUCGACGGCGGACCGCGAGGGGGAAGAACUCGGCGGCGCGGCUUCUCUGCUCCGGCUCCGGUGACGACUCCGGCGAGCUAGAGGCGGUUCGGGGAGGUGCAUUGAGGUGUGUGGGGCGCUGUGUGCGGCUCAGAGUAUGGUGGAGAAGCGCGGGAGGGGGACUUCCACGGUGGGCUUCACGGCGGCGGGCGUGCAGAGUGGUGGCGCGCGGGGAGGGGAGCUCCGGUGAGCUUUAAAGCCUUUUAUAGGCUCGGGAAUGUGCGUGCGGGAGCGAAGCGAGGCGGUUGCGCUGGAGGACAAGAGCGGGCCUUGGUUGGGGGAGGAAGGCGGGGCGGAACGCCGUUGGCCGGCGGCGCGGACUGGCGAGCGGAGAUGCGGGCGCUCCGGGGAUCUCCAGGCCAUUGGCCAAGCGGGAUAGCGGGAGCGUGGGAAAACCUUGGGUCGCGCGGAACGAUUGGCGAGUCGCGGCGUGUGUGGUCACGUCCAAGGCGGCGGUUGGCCGGGCGCUUUUCGCCGGCGAGCUGCGGCGACGUGGCCGAGCUGGGCGGGUGCGCGCGCGUGCGGAGAAGCCAGCGGAGGUGCGGGACAGGGGGCAAGAUGUGCUCGGGCAGCGACUGGGCGAAGCGCCGGGCUGUCCCGUCCCAUCACGGUGGCCAUAGGGCGAAGCGGCUCCGACGAACGGACGCCGGCGACGUGUCGCGGCGCGACGGGCGCAAGUGGCGAGCGCGCUCUGGGCGAUGAGGCGGAACGCGACGUCGCGCGAGGGACCGAGUUUUGGGCGACAUUUUCUCUAAAUUUUUCAAGUGAAGUCGAAAAUAUCCAAAUGUAAAAAGUGUAGACCUGACUUCAACUUACAAAUCUUAAAAGACUUAUCGUGCAAAACCGCGCUCAUUUGGAAGUUAUUUGAGUUCAAAUUUCAUGGGAACGCUGAAACUCCAGACUCCGAGUUGAGGCUGAAUUGAAGGUUUUAGCUAACUUUGGCUCAGGUUUUGACAUGGUUAGGCUUGAAUUUUGGCCUGGGGAAAAGGGAUGAAGUUGUAGUACACAUCUAGGACUCAAACUUUGGUAAAAGGUUCAGCUCGAGUUCAAUUUAGAAUUUGUGAGAAAUUGUUGCUGAUUUUAGCCUUCGAGCUUUCUGUGCUAUUUUUGAAAUUGUUGCUGAUUUUAGCCUAGAGUUUGAACAGGUUCUAUGGUGAUUUAGUCCAGGCUCUAAUUGCAACCUUGUUCUCCAAUGUUUACUCUACAACUUUUGUAAAAGCUCCAACUCAAGUCCAGGUCUAGAAUUUGAAUAACCGAAGCUAAACUACUCUAAUCAGCUGUAUUCUCAGGACUUAGUGAUUUUGGAGAUGUGUUUGAAUGGCUCCUGAAUUUAAAUCUAGUUUUUGAAUCUCUUCCUCUCCAAAAAAUUUAAAGUUCAAAUAAGAAAAGUUGUUGGGUUUGUAAAGUUCUACAACUCUUAGAUUGACAAAAACUCAAGUCCCUAUAUAAAAUUUCGAGUUUUAAAUUGACCCCAAAUUUAAGCUUCUAAAGGGCAAUUUAGACCUUACAUGUGCUAAUUGAGUGUCUAAUCUCCCUAUUCAAGCUUAAUCAAAGCUAAAUUAGCUAGGGUUUUCAUAGACGGCGGGUGCUAAGGUCGAGUUCUGACGGCGCGUCCAAGGACGGGCGUCGAGGGCGACCUCCGUCAGCGGGCGCCAAGGCCAUGCUCCGACGGCCAAGCUCCAACGCUGAGCCGCGGCGCGGCCAUGGUUGCUGCAGCAGGAGCGGAUACGGCCAGCCUUUUUUAUUAUCCAAAAAUAUCGGUGCCGGUGGGCUACCUAAACACCCGCUAGCGCAAAUUGAAACUGUACUGGCGGGUGGACACCCACCAACACAAAGACCAUUUGUGCAGACAGUGAGUUGCUGCCAGGUGCGGAACCCGCCAGAAGAAAUCGGUUUUGACCGCCAGCGAAAAUCAUUUCUAACGUAGUGAUAUAGGCCCAAAUGUGCACACACGGGAAACUGAGCUCGUGUACUUACUUGCUCCAUGUGAGUUACCAGGCCUGAAUCUGGACCCGUCGAGCCCUCUUCACUGUCAAGAUGUUGCUUCUGCAUUUGAUCUGGCCUACAUGGCCCUGUUUGGAUAUGAUUACAAUCCGUUUACGGCCCUGUUAGACACGAUUUUCAUCGGUUUAUGGCUUGAAAUAACGGCUCGCUUAUUUUCGCUCGUUUAUUCUCGCUUCGCUUCUGCUGUAGGCCAUUUCAAAGAUUCGAAGUAUGAGAAGCAAAAAGUGAGAUUUGACGAUAAGCGAGAAAAUCUUCACGUAGCUUAUAAUUUAAGCGUUGACACGAGAAGCCUAUCCAAACCAGGGCCAUGGUCUUGUGUUUUUACUGCUCUGUGUGACUGCUUCACCUUGCAUUGGGAGCGGUUGAGCUGGAGCCGAAGCAGUAGCCAGUAGCUGUGGUUACUACUUUGCUACUCGCCUUGGGACCCACCAUGUACGCGCAGCAUGCUUAGCCUCUACGGGUAUAGUUGGCCAUAUGGCCCGUGGCACGUGGGCCGGCCCACGACACAGUAUUUUGAUCUGGUCCGAGCACGGCACGGCAGAUGUCGUGCUCGUGCUGGCCUGGCCCAAACCAUGGGCCGUGCCUGGGCUGCUCUCUCAGCCCACAUGCUGGCCCAGCACCGCACGACCCAUUUGCCCGUUACGAUUAAGUGGGCAGCCCGGCAUAUUAAGGCCCGCUCGGCCCGUCGCAACUCCUAAAGGGAGAGAGGCUAUCCCCAACAGCUCAAUGAACUCCAUGGGCACCUUGGCCACAUCCGCCAUGGGCGCAUCGGAGAGCCCGAGCCCGAGCAGCGCGGCUAGGCCCUUGGUGAGCUGCGCGUUGGAGUCGGUUGAACUUGAUGAUGCGGCCGCCGCCGUCGCCCUCCUCCGGCUCGGCGUGGACCCAGACCUGGGAGACGCACCCUCGGACGCGACUGGAAUCGGUAUUGAGCGCUGGGUCCAUGGGCGGCAACCGCGAGGCCUAGGCGAGGAGCUUCUUGUACUGGGUGCGCGCGUCGAGGAUGGAUUGGAAGAGGCUGACAAUGUCGUGAAGCACUGGUGGUAGCUGCGAUAGGUCUACGGGGCUGGAGCCCGAUGGGGAUGAGGAAGUGGUAGAGGGGGACGGGGAGGCAGUGGACCGGACUGUGAGGCGCUGGAAUGAGAUGGGGCAGUAGAGGGUGAGGCGGUGAGGGUGGGGAAGGAUGGGGUUGGAGAGACGGGCGCAGGAGGAGGAUAGCAGGCACAACGGGGCUCCGGUGGCGACGGUGCUAGUGGAGGAGGCCAUGGUCGGCAAAAACGGUGGUGGCGCAGGAGGAUUAUUCCCAUUCCGGUGGUCUCUAGAACAAAAACUGGAAGGAAAAUGAGGGGCGGGCUGGCACGAGCACGGCAAGGCCGUUAAGACCCAUUAGGCGAGCGUGCCGGCACGGCCCCCUAAGAAGGUAGCGUGCCGUGCCUGGACCGCUUCUUCGGCACGCAGGCCGGCACAGCACGGCACAGUUAUUAUUCGGGCCACACUGUGCCGUGCCUAAACAGGCCGGGCCAAAUCGUGCUUGGGCUAGGCCAGGCCAGACCGCCCGUUUUGCCAUCUAUAUCUACGAGUUCCCAAGCCUGAUGAAGUGACGAGUAUAGUUGGCCAUAUAGCCCGUGGCUCGUGUGCCAGCCCAUGGCACAGGCUUUUGGCCCUGUCCAUGCACGGCCCGACAUGAUGACCGUCAUGCCCGUGCUAGCCCGACCCACACCACGGGCCGUGCUUGGGCCGUUGCCUCAGCCCACGUGCUAGGUCAGCACAAUCUGGCCCAUUUGGCCUGUCGGGGUUAAGUGGGCGGCCCAGCCUAAUAAGACUCGCUCGACCCGCAUAUAAAACCCCCCAAACCCUACCUUCUCCUCCAUUCUGCUGCUGCCUCCCCUGCCCCCGGCCCCUCGCGCCCUUCGCCGCCUCCCCCGUCGCUUCUCCCGCGACCCUCCGCCGCCUCGCGCGACCGCCGGCCCCUCGUGCCCUCCGCCGCCUUCCCCACCGCUUCUCUCGCGACCCUCCGCCGCCUCCCCUACCGCCUCUCCCGCAGCCCUCCGCCGCCUCCUGCACCCGCCGGCCCCUCGCACCAUCCGCCGCCUCCCCCCUGCUUCUCCCACGAGGUGCGUGCCGCACCCGCCGCCCCUGCUCCGCGGCAUGGCCUCCGCUGCCCCUGGGUCCCACCCCACUGCCGUGGAGGCACCGCCGCCCACUGGGACCGCCCCGCGACGGGUUGCGCUAGUGCUGCCGGCGAGGGGAGGCGGACGGAGAAGCGGAGCAGAGGAACCGGCUCCGAAGCCGUGCUGCAGGCCGGCAUGAGCACGGUAAGGCCGUUAAAGCCCGCCAAGCUAGCGUGCUAGCACGACCCGCCUAAGAAGGCAGUAGACCGUGCCUGGACCGCUCCUUCGGCAUGACCCGGCAUGAUUCCUGUACGGGCCUAAACAUGCCGGACCAAAUCGUGCUUGUGCCAGGCCGGGCCGGGUGCUCGUUUGGCCAUAUAUAGUGACGAGACCUUAUCUUGAGGCAUAAAAAGCCCCACUUGCUGAGGCUGCCGCACCCCUUUGCGCAAACCAAAGAACAGAAAUGGCCACCGCCGAAGCCGUAGUUGGCAACCACGAGUCCCUCGGCGCGAAGCUCGACCGCCUCAAGGAGCACGCCAAAGACGUGGCCUCCAGGCACCCCGUCGCGGGAGCGGCGGCCGUCAUCGCCGUCGGCGCGGUGGGCGCCUACCUCCUGUGGCCCGUGGCGGCCCCGGCCGUCGCCAUGAUGAAGGCGCCCGGAGCCGGCGGCGCGCUCAUCUCCCGCGCCGCGUUCCUGGCCAAGAAGAAGCUCUACUUCAAGCUCCUGCACUCCGCCGGCGCUGCGGCGGCGGUAGCUGCCAUGGUGUAGGCGUCGGCACCGCGCCGCGGGGAAGCGUGUUUGGAUCGGAUUAUAAGUGAGCGAGAACUUUGUGUGUGCAUGCAUGCAUAUGAUGUAUUGACUGGUUGUCUUGUAGUGGAUGUAUUUCCAGUUCUCGAAUGUCCAAAUAAACAUCCUGUAGUGUAUUGUCAUGAUCGAUCCGUGGCAAGCCACCACUGCUCCUCUGCGCCGUAGUGUUUGCCAGAUCGUUUUCGUCAAACCAUUGUUGCACGUCAGUUUUUUGGCGAGUUCCCAACCGUUUGCACAUCCGUAGUAGCCGUAGUCAUUCUGAACUCUGGAAAUCUUCUUCCUCCCUACCUUGUGAAGUAACCUUGGCGCCGCAGGCUAACUUUCAUGAGCCUUUCAUCGAAACAAUAUUAUUUUAAUUGGAAAAUAUGGAGAAAUUUUUCACAAGUUGCAAAUGCAGGUGCCAAUAAUCAGCCACUAUCUAGCCGACAGACACAGACCGUACCGUCACAUUCCCCUGGCAUGCUGGCCAUCUGUGCUGAAAUGCCCAAAGCUUUCUUGUAAUCUCUAGUGAUCUUUUUAAUAUUGUUGUGCAGAAUGGUGCGUGUGCAAGCAGGAUGCGCCGCAGGCCUCGCUGCAGAAGACCAUCGACUACGCCUGCGGCUCGGGGGGCGGACUGCAACUCCAUCCAUGAGAACGGGGGGCGGUACAACCCCAACACCGUCGCCGCGCACUGCUCCUGGGCGGCCAACAGCAACUACCAGAACAACAAGGCCAAGGGCGCCACCUGCGACUUCACCGGCACCGCCACCCUCACCACCAGUGACCCAAGUAAUGGCAUCUUCAUGAGAUUGGCUGCAAGUUGCAUGCUAGUGGUUAGUCGAAUCAAUACUCAUUUUGCUUUGCAGUGCAUGUGCAUCUCGAAAGUUUGUUAGGUUUUCUGAACUUGUGCGCCUGUGCCAUCUGAGCUCAACUUUUUUACCGUGGAAGAUUGUGAAUCAGAUCAUUUUGGUAUAUUUCAUUUAGUUAUCAGUUAGUGCAAGUAAAAGCUAUCCUGGUGUAUUGGCCAAGCUUCAGGGGAUCAGGUUCUGUACUGGUACUGGAUUAUGCUAUUGAUGUGGACUAGCUUAACUAAAAUAGUAAAAUAGAAAGUUUGCGAAUAACUACAAGAAAUUUUCAAGAACUUUUUCAAAGUUCGAAGCUAUUGCAUUGUGCGGCUGGUGGCAUAUCACUCAAUCAGAAUCUUUGGAAGACCUCAAUCGGAGUCUUGCUUGUAUCUUUCAGGUUCUUCUGGCUGCUCUUACCCUACAAGUGCAAGGUACAUUGUGAAAUUCACUUAAAUUAUUAACUCUGUAGUCUGUACCGUGAUCCAUGAAGUACUACUUCAAAAUUGUGCGCUUUGGGGGCUGGUACCUCAUGAAACCCAUGUAUCAUGUGUGCACUGAAAUUGAAAUGAUGCUCAUGCUACUAGCGAAUUCUGGAAUAAGAAACUGGAAUUUAUACAUCAGAUCAGUUGCACUAGAGGAAUAUUCAACAUGCAUACCUAUGAAUCGCAAUUUGCAAUUGUAUGUUGGGAUAGACGCGCUAUACUUCUUCGUGGCCAUUGUUGUCCUUUUUAUGCUUCUAUAGUCCCAUGCUAGAGAUCCUUUUUUUUUUUUUUACAAUUCUGCAUCAUGAACUUGACUGCAGCAGUGUGUUCAAUUAGCACUAGCAGCAUAAAAGACAUAGCUGGCAGAUGAUUGUAUUAGGAAUUGCAGAACAUUCAGCAUAUACUUGAAUCAAUAUUACAAACAGCAUUGCCUUCCUUAUACGGCGCUGUUGGAACGAUGACCCCGACCACUGGAGGCACAAUGGGCGGUACCCCAGGAACCUUCACGCUCGGUGCCGGCACCACCGGCACAGGCAUGCGAACCGGCACUACUACUGGAACCACUGGCGCUGGGCUCGGUCUAGGACCGGCAGGCACCGGCAUGGACACUACAGCGGCAACCUUGCUCCCAAGCGCUGGGGUGGCCGCCAUCCUCACCGUGCUCCUCUCCGCCAUCGCAUUCGCAUGAUGUUUGAC
rnacentral:lncRNA from 1 species